rnacentral:lncRNA from 1 species
GACUGCAGUGCAGAGCAUUCUGAGGUGAGCUGAGCGGUAGAGCUGUGCCUGCCUCGCUCGUAUGGACGGACAGAUUUGCUGGAUGUGUGUGGUCGGGCUUUGCGGGAGGUUAAUCAUGCUCCAUCACUAUCUCAACAUAACCUCUGCUUUGUGUGCAAUUCUGUUCUGGUGGGUGCCAAUACCUUUGGGCUGGCGGGUGUAUUUUCUCAGGGUGAAAACCCGUGAUCUAACUUUCCGGCUUAAUCAGGGGCGUCGUUACUUAUUGAAGAUGCUGGUUCAGAUUUGUUUCAGUGUGAUACCUCUGGCUGGACUAGCCAACAUCGACAUGCAAGCGGCAAUUCCUUCUCGAAGAUGUUGUCUUGAAGUGUUGUACCCUUUAUCUGCUUGGGGAUGAUGUGGUGAUGCAUCCCUAGGUGGUGGAUGGCCUUGAGUUUUUUCCCCCCGCUUUGCAAGCUGAUUUGUUCAAUAUGUGGCUGUGGUGUUUAAAACAAUACAUAUGGCCGUGGGCAUCACUUGAUUAAUUGCCUCCUGUUGUUUCCACAAAUUUUAGUGUUACUCCAUACAUAACGUGUUCAGGGGGCUAACUAAUCACCUACUCUCACCGCUGCUCCUAUCACCUUGAUGAUUUGAUUUGUGGGAAGAUCACUGACUUGAUUGAUCAGUCGAUCAAACAUUUCAGACUUUAUUUAUGGGGGGCCUGGUUCCAACCGCAAACCAGACCAGUGUUAUUGCCCACUUUUUCAGAUCAAGAGUUCCACCCCUGUACAGUUUCUCACAUGCAGACGGUUGUGCGUUUGCUCUGAAUUAUCACCCCCAUGAAUAUACAUUGAUCCUCAUCACCGACGCCAUAAAUUGGAGCCUGACAAGGGUAGAUGGAUCUUGCCGGAAAUUCUUCAAUGUGCAGCGCAAGUAGCACCCACAGGUACAAUCCCCUCUGGAGAACACUAGCAGCUCGAUCACCUAUAUAAGGUCGCAGGCUCUCGCCAUGGCCAAACCACAAGCACCACAGUCACUUCACUGAUCAAGUAGCUGGCAAGAGGUUUGACCGCAGUACAACCUUGCAUCCCGGUCGAUCGAUGGCGUCCAAGGUCGAGCUGGUGGUGGAGGUGAAGUCGCCGGCGGAGAAGCUGUGGACGGCGAUGCGCGAGUCGACGGAGCUGUUCCCCAAGAUCUUCCCCGAGCAGUACAAGAGCAUCGAGACCGUGGAGGGCGACGGCAAGUCCGCCGGCACCGUCCGCCUCAUCAAGUACACCGAGGGUACGUGCGCGCGCCGUGAAACGAUCCACAUGUCCAGACGAGUAUGUGUAAGCUUGUAAGUGCAUAUGUAACGUGAGCAUUGGGUGCGUUGCGUUCAGGGGUUCCGAUGGUGACGUUCGCCAAGGAGAAGGUGGAGGUGGCGGACGACGAGAAGAAGGUGGUGUCGUACAGCGUGGUGGACGGCGAGCUGGUGAGCUUCUACAAGAACUUCAGGGUGACGGUGCAGGUGACCGACAAGGGCGCCGACGGCGCCGGCGCGGUGGUGAACUGGACCAUGGACUUCGACAAGGCCAGCGACGAGGUGCCCGAGCCGGACGUCAUCAAGGAGACCGCCGCCAAGACCUUCCACGACCUCGACGACUACCUCCUCAAGAACUAGCAGCUUUUAGCUGCCUCGUCGCCAGGGUGGCCGCCGCGGACGACCCUCCGUCUGUCCGUCCGUCCGUCCGUCCGUCCAUGAAUACUGUCGUCGUUGCCUGUUCUCUGCGGUGUCCCCGCACCAAGCUUACUCUCACGUAAACGACCGUGUGUACGGCCGUGUACGUGUGCGAUGGGACGGCCGCGUGAGUAGUGGAAUAAUAAUAAUGAUAAUAAAGUCGCAGCUUUAUGAUCACGUAUACGUACGAAUGGUGUUAGAUUUGUGCGAUUUGGUCUGAUUCGAUCUGUAGAAAAUAUUCAGUACGUUGUGGUGGAAUUUUCCCUUCCUUCAAACCGGGCUACUCAAGAGAGAGAUAACAUGGGCGGGGAAGAGACAACAACGAGUUCAGCGCUAUGAGAAAACCCACCGCAUGGAAAAAACUAGACAUAUUAAGCAGUACCAACCACAAGAAAAUAGUACAGACAAAGAUGAUUUUCCAUCCAAACCAAGACGCAACAACACCCAAAAGCACAACGAAAAUACUAACUGGUAAACGUUCCCUAGAAGAGGAUGGCAAACAAACGCCUUUCGAUGGCUGGCAAAUUCUAUAUGUUUUUGUCGCAAAAAUUUCUUGCUUCCAGAAAAUGCCAUGCACCUCUGAAAAAUUACCAUGCAUCUCUGAAGAAACUUCCAGCAAAAAUGUUCAUAAAUGCCACCCCUCCCGACGAACGUUCGCUGGAUAUUGGGUCACAAAUGUCUAUAGCAGACCAACAACACGACAUCCACACCAUUAGCAUCAUCUAUGUAGCAAUCUCUUUUAGCAUCUUACCACCAUGCUUCACAACAUCAACCAACUUUGGCUUCGAAAUACAUGUUCAAUACAACAUGAAAGAACAAGGUGUAAACACUAUCUCAAAAGGAAUUCUGGUCCAUUUGUACUCAAAAGUGGCACGAUUGUUUUUCACCUCCACAAAGGAAAGCAAAACUCCACACAUAAAACCGCCACAACGAGUUAGGACACAGAUCAGUCCCCAAUACCGCACCCGCAGUUUUUCAGACCACUCUAGCAAUCGGACACAAGAAGAACAUGUGUUGGGAAGUCUAGUCUGAGUUUAUAAAGAGCAAGUACGCUUUCGAGGCCAAUGCAUUUUUCUUAUAACUUUCAUGGUAAGGACAACAUUUUGAAACAACUGACAUAGGAAUAUGAAUUUUGAGAGGGAUUUUAGUGUCCCAGAUCCAUUUGAAAUUAGCCCCAACAAGAUGUUUUUUGAGACAGCAAUGCAUAGAUAUAGUAGUGUAGAUAUGAUUUAUGUUGAGUUUCCAGAUGAUAUCAUCAGAUAAAUCACAUAUAGGAAUAGUAUGUCAUCACAUAUUUUUCAUUCUCUCCCAUUGUUCAGCCAUAACGUGGGACAAUGUUCUUCUAAAGGAUGUUACAAGAUUAAGCGACUCAAGUUUUUCCAUAGUGCAAUUUUGUUCUAAACAAACACCACAAAGCAAAGGGAAUUUCUCACAAAAGGGUCUAUUUUAAAAAAUGAUACAUUUCUACAGUCUAGCAGUAUUACCCUUAAUUAGCACAACCCCCUCUACCCACCAUAUAUAAAUCUUUCACUCUCAUUAUUGCCUUCCAACAAGGAGAAUCAUACAUUUGACUAAUAGACAUAUAGUUCAUUUUCUAAUAUUUAGCUUUAACCGAGGCAACAAUAGAGUUCUUCAAAUAUUUAGCUUUAAAAACUUCUUGCCAUAGUCCACUACCUUUUAUCUAAUUUCCACCAACAUUUGACUAAUAGACAUAUAGUUUGUUUUCUAAUUUCCACCACCAUUUGACUCAUAGACUUAUAUUUUGUUUCCUGAGAUCUUUGACACCCAGGCCCCCUUUGCUUUUUUAUCUACAAAUAAUGCCCCAUUUCACCAAAUGAUAUCUCUUUUUUCCACAACGUCGCCAAAGGAAUUUUCUUCUAGGUUUAUCCCAUUUCUUAAUCAUAGUUCUAUUCAUAAGAAACACUGACAUAUAUAAGAUGGAUGUGGGAUAGGACAUAAUUAAGCUAGAUAGUACGACCUUCCAUAGACAUGGCAUACCCAACCCAAGAAUCAAUUUCUGAAGUAAUUGAAUAUCAAGAAAGCUCCAGUCAUACACUUUUAGGCCAACAUAACUUACAUGCAUGCCUAGAUAUUUAAAAGGAAAGGAGUUGAUCUGCAAAUUGAACAUCCCAACAUAAGUUUCCACAUUAGGUUCAUCACCCCCAAUAGCACACACACCUCACUUUUUAUAAUUAUUUUUUAAAUCUGACAUGAUUUCAUUCUGGAUAAUCCUCAGUAUUGGUGGCUUAUUGUAAAAUAUCAAUGCCAUUAGGAACAAGAUCAAUUUCCAGCCCAGUCAAAAGCCCAUUAAAGUGUGCUUGUGUACCAAUUUCAGCGAGGCUCACAGUUGCCAGGUUAAAAAAGGAGAUAAGUGCCCCCCUUCGCGCACCCCCUUGGAUCUCUGGAAGUAGGGCCCAGUUACAAUGUUUAGUUUAACACAUACAUCACCGCCGAGCAUAAUAUGUCUAUUCCAACAAAUCCACUUAGUGCCAAACCCAUGUACAGAAUGACAAUCAAGUAGGAAUUCCCAGUUGACCUUGUCAUAGGCCUUAACGAAAUAUAGCUUAAGAACAAUAAUGAUUCUUCUUUUGUUCACAUAAGUAUGGUGCAAUAUUUCAUGCAAUGUCAUGAUGCCAUCCAUAAUGGCACAACUUUUAUUAAAGCAUCCUGGUGUCUACUAAACAAAAUAUCAACAAAAGGCUCAAGACGAACAAUCAAAACUUUUGUGUUAAGCUUGUAAAAACAUCUCAAUCAACCAAUGGGCCUAAAUUGUUGUAUCUUGCUUGCAUCAGAAAGUUUGGGUUUGUAGUGCAAUAAUACCACAGUUUAAUUGUUGAACUUCUAGAGAAACAACAUGAAUACAUUCAAAUAAACGCAUGACAUCCUCACUGACCACAUCCCAAUAGUGUUGAAAAAACUCUAUGGGUAUAUUAUCAUGGCCAGGAUAUGACUAGAUUUCAUAAAAAAUAGAACAUGUUUUACUUCCACCUUGCUGAAGCAUUUGCUAGUAGAAAGGUAUCUAGAUCAGAUAAUUUUUCAUUAGGAGCCCACAACCCAUCACACAAAUGAUACAUGUUACUAGGUGCAGGUCCAAACAACUCUUUAUGAUAGCCAGUAGCAUGCUUAAGCAACUCAUCAAUGCACUAAAUAGUAACAUCACAAUCACUCAAGGGAGAAAUUGUGUUUUUUUGUUCCUACCAUUAUCAAUAACACGAAACUGAGUAGUAUUCUAACUCCCCUUAAGGAGCCACAUUUCAUGAGAUCUUUGCGACUAGGAAAUUUCCUCUUUAGCUAGAAAAUUGUGCAGGUCAACAUUGAUAUGUCUCCAACGUAUCUAUAAUUUUUUAUUAUUCCAUAUUAUUAUAAUAUCAAUUUUGGAUGUUUUAUAUGCAAUUAUAUAUCAUUUUUUGGGACUGAUACGUCUCCAACGUAUCUAUAAUUUUUGAUUGUUCCAUGCUGUUAUAUUAUCAUUCUUGGAUAUUUUACAAUCAUUUUAUAAUCAUUUUAUAUCAUUUUUUGGUACUAACCUAUUGACAUAGCGCCUAGUGCCAGUUGUUGUUUUCUGCUUGUUUUUUACAUCGCAGGAAAUCAAUACCAAACAGAGUCCAAACACAGCGAAACUUUUUGUGGAUUUUUUCUGGACCAGAAGACACUGUAUGGGCCGAGAAAGUACCUAAGGGGAGCUCCGAGGGGAGCACAACCCACCAGGGCACGCCUGGGGGCCCAGGCGCGCCCAGGUGGGUUGUGCCCACCUCGGUGGCCUCCCGCACCGCCUGUUUGCUCUAUAAAUACCCCAAUAUUCCAUAAACCUUGGGGGAGUAGACGAAAAUCAAUUCCAACCGCUGCAAGUUCCAGAAACACCAGAUCCAAUCUAGACACCAUCGCGGAGGGGUUCAUCAUGUCCAUUGGUGCCUCUCUGAUGAUGCGUGAGUAAUUCUUUAUAGACCUACGGGUCCGUAGUUAGUAGCCAGAUGGCUUCCUCUCUCUCUCUCUCUCUCUCUCUCUCUCUCUCUCCCUCUCUCGAUUCUCAAUACAAUGGUCUCUUGGAGACCCAUAUGAUGUAAAUCUUUUUGCGGUGUGUUUGUUGGGAUCCGAUGAACUUUGUGUUUAUGACCAGAUCUAUGUUUUUAUCCAUGAAUGUUAUUUGAGUCUUCUUUGAUCUCUUUUUUUACUAUAAAUAAACAGUAGGGUAAACACCCCACUGUAUUUUUUAUAAAUAACAAAGAGCCAAAGUGCAAGGUAGCAAAGUUACAUAGAAUAUCAGGGGCUUGAGAGAAGCCCCCUAAAGAAGCUAAGAAACUAGAAAAACAAAGAAGAGGCUAAGAGACUACAAGGAAAAAAAACUACAAAAGGCUAAGACUAUAAAAUAUAAGAAAGAAUGAAAACAAGACCGAGGCAGUUAUUUGAGUCUUCUUUGAUCUCUUAUAUGCAUGAUUGCUUAUAGCCUCGUAUUUCUUCUCCGAUAUUUUGGUUUUGUUUGGCCAACUUGAUCUAUUUAUCUUGCAAUGGGAAGAGGUGCUUUGUGAUGGGUCCGAUCUUACGGUGCUUGAUCCUAGUGACAGAAGGGGAAACGACACAUAGAUCUUGUGGGGUAACAAGAUGGGGUCUAUUUCUACAUAAGUAGAUCUUGUCUACGUCAUGUCUAGAUCUUGUCUACGUCAUGUCAUCGUUCUUAUUGCAUUACAACGUUUUUCCAUGAACUUAAUACACUAGAUGCAUGCUGGAUAGCGGUCGAUGUGUGGAGUAAUAGUAGUAGAUGCAGGCAGGAGUCGGUCUACUAAUCUUGGACGCAAUGCCUAUAUAAUGAUCAUUGCCUGGAUAUCGUCAUGAUUAUUUGAAGUUCUAUCAAUUGCCCAACAGUAAUUAUUUUCCCACCGUUUGCUAUUUUUCUCAAGAGAAGCCACUAGUGAAACCUACGGCCCUCGGGUCUCUUCUUAUCAUAUUUGCCUUUGCAAUCUAUUUUCUUUUGUUUUUAUUUUCAGAUUUGUUAAACCAAAAAUACAAAAAUACCAUGCUGCACUUUAUUUUAUUUGCUAUCUAUUUAUCCUAUCUAUCACAACUUUAUCACGUCUUCUCGCCAAUUUGUGGCACCAUUACCCCAAAGGGAUUGACAACCCCUUUAACAUGUUGGGGUGCGAGUAUUUGUUAUUGGUGUGUAGGGGCUGUUUACAUUGUGUUGCUUGGUUCUCCUAUUGGUUCGAUAAACUUGGUCUCAUCAUUGAAGGAAAUACCUACCGUCACUGUGCUGCAUCAUCCCUUCCUCUUUGGGUAAAUAUUGACGUAGUUCAAGCAGGCAUCAGGGACUAACCUACUAACCUAGUGUCUAGUGCCAGUUGCUGUUUUCACUUGUUUUUAGCUUUUCAAGAAAUCAAUAUCAAACAUAGUCCAAAGGGAUAAAAAACUUUGCAUUCAUUUUUUCAGGACUAGAAGAGAUCCUAGAAGGUUUGGGAGAAGACCUGAAGAGUCACGAGGGAGCGACAAGCUCGGGAGGCGUGCUCUGGGGGCGCCCCUAGGCUUGUGGGCCCCUCGUGGUACCUCUUGACCUAAUCGCGCCCCAUAAAUUCUCAAAUAUUCCCCUGACAUCAGAGAGCCACCCAAAGUACUUUCUCCGCCGCUGCGAGUUUCUGUUCUCGUGAGACCCCAUCUGGAGGUCUUCUCCGGUACUCUGCUUGAGGAAGAAUUGAUCACGGAGGGGCUCUACCUCAACCUUGUUACCCUUCCAAUGAUGCGUGAGUAGUUUACCUCAGAUCUACGGGUCCAUAGCUAGUAGCUAGAUGGCCUCUUCUCUCUCUUUGAUCUUCAAUACAAUGUUCUCCUUGAUGUUCUUGGAGAUCUAUUCGAUGUAGUGACUUUUUGCGUUGUGUUUGUUGGGAUCUGAUGAAUUGUGAGCUUAUAAUGCUUGAGUUGUCACCCUAUGGAUUCAUUCAAUGCUAUGGGAAAUUUAGUGGGAUCACCAGCUAUCACUAUUAAUGAAACUGUUUUAACUUUGGAGCAUGUUAUGCAAAGGCUAGAUGCUAUUGAAAAUAAAAUGCCUACCGUAGAGCAUAUUAAAAAUUUGGAUAAAAAGAUUCAUAAUCAUGUUACUCAAUUUGGAUCAAAGGUAGGGAUUACUCUUAAGAUGCUAAAAGAGAAAUAACCAAUAAUUAAUGAAAGAGUGGAGCAUAGAUCUGAUGUAAGUCUUGCGAGUACAAAUUGGAAGAAAUUAUUAAUAAUUUGGGUUCCGCUUUUGCUUCCGCUAAAACUAUUGAAAAGACUCCACUUAGCAAGAAUUGCAAGUUUAUAUAUGUUCCUAAAAAUAAGGGUGCUACAUCUAGCAACAACAACGAAGAUCUUAAAAUGAUUGGUGUUCACCCCAAUUUUGCCUAUUUGAUAAAGGAACCUAUAUAUGAAAAUAAAUUCCUUAAUCUUGUUUCUAGGAGUGUGAUCGUUAAAAAUAUACAUGAUAGAACUCCUAGGAAUUAUGGAUGCGCGGUCGAGGAGUUAAAAACCAAAGAUGACAACACUUGAAACUAUGCAUUAUGCCUAGCUUGGGGCGUAAAACGAUAAUGCUAGUUGGGAGGAAACCCAAUAGUUAUCUUAAUUUUCUUGUUUAUUUUUCUUUUUUAUGUGCACACAACUAUUCUACUGUUAUGGUUGUGUUUUUAUUAGUGUUUGUGCCAAGUAAAGCCUUUGGGAUGAUUUGGAUGAUAGUUGAUUUGAUUCUGUGAAAAAAGAGAACCUUUUGCGCCCAGUAAUAGAAUUUCUAAAAUUCACUGGAACGUGAUUUUGAUAUGAAUUUUUUACACAUGAUUGAUAUACAAAUUUUCCAUGUUGUCCCAGUUUUGCAAUUUUUUUAGAGUUAUAGAAGUAUGAGCAUAAUUCAAGUUUCUAUAGACUGUUCUGUUUUUGACAAAUUCUGUUUUUGAUGUAUUGUUUUGCUUGUUUUGAUGGAACUAUGGAUUGUAUUGGUGGGUAUAAGCCAUGGACAAGUUAGAAUGCAUUAGGUAUAAUGCAAAAAUAAAAUAUGAAUUGUUUUGCAACAGUACUUAAAGUAGUGAUUCGUUUUAUUAUACUAACGAAUCUCAUGAAGGUUUUGUUGAGUUUUGCAUGAUGAAGUUGCCAGGACCCUGAUCCUAAGUCACACCGAUCUAGCCUGUAACACAUCAUAUCACUUUGCGGCCUCACACACGGUAUUCCCACGGAUGCCACCUUACCUGGCCCGAUACCGUUUGCGCCUUUUGGUUCACGUAUAUGAUAGUGUCGCUAGCAUCCAUAUGACAAAGAACCCGUGCUGACAUGACUAGUCGUAAACCCAAGGUGGCGCUAACUUACAGGGACAGGCAUACAUGACCCAACAACGAACGUCUCGAUCAUCAGCCUAUGAACCCAAGUCAUAGCAAGCUACAAGGACUUGAAGGAACAACGUGUGACAUUUCCCCGAAGGGACAGACACAUGAACGAAGAAGGACACAUGCCGGCCAGCCUAAGUGUUCCGGAGCAGUAGCAAGCUACCAUGGCUCAGUGGAAGCACUAGGAGACAUUUCCCCAUAAGAGAGGCUACCAAGAAUAAACAACGGAUCCCACACAUACCAAGCAUUUCAAAAGCAUACACACAAUAUGCUCGAUAUGUGCAAAUACAACAUGGCAUUACAACAAAACUCUAUGCCUCAAUAUUUAUUAAAUAGGCUCCAAGGAGCCAAAUAUUACAAGCAUGGGUCUCAUGACCCAACAUACAGAGCAUACAAGCAACAGAAGCAUAACAUGCCUGAGUACAGACAUCUACGAAUGAAAAGGGCUGAGAAGCCUGACUAUCUAUAAGACCCUUCCAAGGGUACAAGAUCGUAGCUGAGGUAACAAGCUAAACGUUGAAGUCCACAUGGAACUACUAGUGAGACUGAAGUCUCUCUGCAAAAGCAUAAAUUAAGCAAACCUGAGUACAAAUGUACCCAGCAAGACUUACAUCUGAACUAGCUACAUAUGCAUCAAUAUCAACAAAGGGGUGGUGGAGUUUAACUGCAGCAAGCCAACUUUGACUCAAUGGCUAUCUUGUACUAUGACUGCUGGUAACUCUUUUGAGGUGGCGCACACGAGUCCACAUAUUCACCAUAUCAAUACACCACUAUGGAUCCGCUCCAGUUUCCCUAUGAGAAGACCAUCCAUAGCACUCAUGCUUAUCUUGCGCAUUUUAGAGUAUCCACUUUCACUUGUCUAUGAACUGCAUAAGCAACCCAGUAGUCCUUUACCCCGGACGCGGCUAUUCGAAUAGAUCAUGUUAACCCUGCAGGGGUGUAUUUCUUCACACAUGCUCUCGCUACUUACCACCAUGUACACGUCAUGUAUCUCGGCAACCUUCAAGUAGAAGCCUGGUGAGGGUGUCGGCCAUGACCUGACUAAUCACGCAAGACCCUAGCCCGGGUUUAUCGCCUAUUCGGUUUCCAUCCGCAAGGAGAUCAGGCCGGGGUGUCACUCAUGGCCCUAAACGAUGUGUACAAGGUUCCUAAGCCCACCAAACGGGCGGCACUUGGUACACCCGGCCACGGUGCCUAGUCUGUCCCAAGCCCACCCGUACCGGGUGCCACUUGGUAGACUACUAACACAACCUACAAACACCAAAAACUAGUUGCAACUCCUGGACAAAAAUCGAGUUGAUUAAUAAGCUGAGAGGGGUCGAGUUAUCGGAACCCAAUGUGUGGUAGUAACUGUCUUGGGUCACAGACACAGGAUUCAGUUCCUGAGGACGGUUUCAAUGAGAUAACCACCAUGUACUCCUACAUGGCCUCUCACCGCUACCUUUACCAAAUCAUGUUCACACACUUAGCUCUCAAUAGAAGGACAUGUUCAACACCAUUUCGAUCCAUCCCGGAUGAAUCAGACCCGACACAACUCUAAACAAUAGCGGGCAUAACAAACAAGCAUGAAUGAGUAGGCACAUUGAUGUCUACUAUGCAACCUUCUUCUUGUAGACAUUGUUGGGCCUCCAAGUGCAGAGGUUUGUAGGACAGUAGCAAAUUUCCCUCAAGUGGAUGACCUAAGGUUUAUCAAUCCGUGGGAGGCAGGGCAUGAAGAAGGUCUCUCUCAAACAACCCUGCAACCAAAUAACAAAGAGUCUCUUGUGUCCCCAACACACCCAAUACAAUGGUAAAUUGUAUGGGUGCACUAGUUCGGCCAAGAGAUUGUGAUACAAGUGCAAUAUGGAUGGUAGAUAUAUGUUUUUGUAAUCUAAAAUAUAAAAACAGCAAGGUAGCAAGUAACAAAAGUGAGCGUAAACGGUAUUGCAAUGCUUCAAAACAAGGCCUAGGGUUCAUACUUUCACUAGUGCAAGUUCUCUCAACAAUAAUAACAUAAUUAGAUCAUAUAACAAUCCCUCAACAUGCAACAAAGAGUCACUCCAAAGUCACUAAUAGCAGAGAACAAACGAAGAGAUUAUUGUAGGGUACGAAACCACCUCAAAGUUAUUCUUUCUGAUCAAUCCAUUGGGCUAGCCCUAGAGUUCGUAGUAAAAUAACACCUUAAGACACAAAUCAACCAAAACCCUAAUGUCACCUAGAUACUCCAAUGUCACCACAAGUAUCCGUAGGUAUGAUUAUACGAUAUGCAUCACACAAUCUCAGAUCAUCUAUUCAAACCAACACAAAGAACUUCAAAGAGUGCCCCAAAGUUUCUACGGGAGAGUCAAGACAAAAACGUGUGCCAACCCCUAUGCAUAAGUUCACAAGGUCACUGAACCCGCAAGUUGAUCACCAAAACAUACAUCAAGUAGAUCACGUGAUAUCCCAUUGUCACCACAGAUAAGCACAUGCAAGACAUACAUCAAGUGUUCUCAAAUCCUUAAAGACUCAAUCCGAUAAGAUAACUUCAAAGGGAAAACUCAAUCCAUUACAAGAGAGUAGAGGGGGAGAAACAUCAUAAGAUCCAACUAUAAUAGUAAAGCUCGCGGUACAUCAAGAUCGUGCCGAAUCAAGAACAUGAGAGAGAGAUCAAACACAUAGCUACUGGUACAUACCCUCAGCCGCGAGGGUGAACUACUCCCUCCUCGUCAUGGAGAGCGCCGACAUGAUGAAGAUGGCCACCGGUGAUGGAUUCCCCCUCCAGCAGGGUGCCGGAACGGGCUCCCGAGAGGUUUUUGGUGGCUACAAAGGCUUGUGGCGGCGGAAUUCCCAAUCUAGGUUAUGUUUCGGGGGUUUGUAUAUUUAUAGGAGGGUUUGGCGUCAAGAACAAGUCAGGAGGACCCACGGGGUGUGCACGAGGCACAAGGGCGCGCCCUAGGUGGGGCACCCUCCACCCUCGUGGGCCCCGCGGGACUCCUCUCUGAUUAUGUUUUGUUCCAGUAUUUUUUAUAUUUUCCAGAAAAAAUCUUCGUUGAUUUUCAGCGCAUUCCGAGAACUUUUAUUUCUGCACAAAAACAACACCAUGGUAGUUCUGCUGAAAACAGCGUCAGUCUGCGUUAGUUCUAACAAAAUCCUACCAAAAACAUGCAGAAAUAUUAUAAACAUGGCAUGAAUACAUCAAAAUUUAUAGAUACAUUGGAGACGUAUCAGCAUCCCCAAGCUUAAUUCCUGCUCGUCCUUGAGUAGGUAAAUGAUAAAAACAUAAUUUUUGAUGUGGAAUGCUACCUAACAUAUUGAUCAAUGUAAUCUCUCUUUAUUUGUGGCAAGAAUAUUCAGAUCCAUAAGAUUCAAAACAAAAGUUUAAUAUUGACAUAAAAACAAUAAUACUUCAAGCAUACUAACAAAGCAACCGUGUCUUCUCAAAAUAACAUGGCCAAAGAAAGCUAUCCCUACAAAAUCAUAUAGUCUGUCUAUGCUCUAUCUUCAUCACACAAAAUAUUUAAAUCAUGCACAUCCCCGGUUUCAGCCAAGCAAUUGUUUCAUACUUUAGUAUUCUCAAACUUUUUCAAUCUUCACCCAAUACAUGAGCGUGAGCCAUGGACAUAGCACUAUAGGUGGAAUAGGAUGGUGGUUGUGGAGAAGACAAAAAGGAGGAAGAUAGUCUCACAUCAACUAGGUGUAUCAAAGGGCUAUGGAGAUGCCCAUCAAUUGAUAUCAAUGUGAGUGAGUAGGGAUUACCAUGCAACAGAUGCACUAGAGCUAUAAGUGUAUUAAAGCUCAAAAAGAAACUAAGUGAGUGUGCAUCCAACUUGCUUUCUCACGAAGACCUAGGGUAUUUUGAGGAAGCCCAUCAUUGGAAUAUACAAGCCAAGUUCUAUAAUGAAAAUUCCCGCUAGUAUAUGAAAGUGACAACAUAGGAGACUCUCUAUCAUGAAGAUCAUGGUGCUACUUUGAAGCACAAGUGUGGUAAAAGGAUAGUAGCAUUGCCCACUCUCUUUUUUUCUCUCAUUUUUUUAUUUUUUAUUUGGGCCUUUAUCUUUUUUUAUGGCCUCUUUUUUUUAGUUUAUUUAGUCCGGAGUCUAAUCCCGACUUGUGGGGGAAUCAUAGGCUCCAUCAUCCUUUCCUCAUUGGGACAAUGCUCUAAUAAUGAAGAUCAUCACACCUUUAUUUACUUACAACUCAAGAGUUACAACUCGAUACUUAGAACAAAAUAUGACUCUACGUGAAUGCCUCCGGCGGUGUACCGGGAUGUGCAAUGAUUCAAAAGUGACAUGUAUGAAAAAUUAUGAACGGUGGUGAGGGAGUUCCGGACUAGGGGGUGUCCGGAUAGCCGAACUAUCAUGAUCGGCCGGACUCCAAGACUAUGAAGAUACAAGAUUGAAGACUUCGUCCCGUGUCCGGAUGGGACUUUCCUUGGCGUGGAAGGCAAGCUUGGCGAUACGGAUAUGUAGAUCUCCUACCAUUGUAACCGACUCUGUGUAACCCUAGCCCUCUCCGGUGUCUAUAUAAACCGGAUGGCUUUAGUCCAUAGGACGAAGAACAAUCAUACCAUAGGCUAGCUUCUAGGGUUUAGCCUCCUUGAUCUCGUGGUAGAUCCACUCUUGUAACACACAUCAUCAAUAUUAAUCAAGCAGGACGUAGGGUUUUACCUCCAUCAAGAGGGCCCGAACCUGGGUAAAACAUCGUGUCCCUUGUCUCCUGUUACCAUCCGCCUAGACGCACAGUUCGGGACCCCCUACCCGAGAUCCGCCGGUUUUGACACCGACAUUGGUGCUUUCAUUGAGAGUUCCUCUGUGUCGUCACCGAUAGGCUCGAUGGCUUCUUCGAUCAUCAUCAACGACGCAGUCCAGGGUGAGACCUUCCUCCCCGGAUAGAUCUUCGUAUUCGGCGGCUUUGCACUAUGGGCCAAUUCGCUUGGCCAUCUGGAGCAGAUCGAAAGCUACGCCCCUGGCCGUCAGGUCAGAUUUGGAAGUUUAAACUUCACGGCGGACAUCCGCGGGGACUUGAUCUUCGAUGGAUUCGAGCCACAGCCGAGCGUGCCGCGCUGUCACGGCGAGCAUGAUUUAGCUCUGCAGCCGGACAGUACCCUAGAGGCUGCACUCGAACCCGCUCCGAUCUUCAAUUUGGAGCCGGCUGCGCAGAUCGAGGACGGAUGGCUAGACACCACCUCGGGGGCUGCCACCUCUAUGGCGAUAGAGCCGAACAAUGACCUUGUCCCUCAUGAAGCUCGUGACUCCGAGGUGCCGGACUCCUUGCCGGACUCUGAACCUCCUGCGCCCCCUCCGAUCGAAUCCGAUUGGGCGCCGAUCAUGGAGUUCACCGCAGCGGACAUCUUUCAACACUCACCUUUUGGCGACAUCUUGAGUUCGCUAAAGUAUCUCUCGUUAUCAGGAGAGCCCUGGCCGGACUGCGGUCAGGACGGUUGGGAUGCGGACGAUGAAGAAAUUCAAAGCCCACCCACCACCCACUUGGUAGCCGCUGUCGACGAUCUAACCGACAUGCUAGACUACGACUCCGAAGACAUCGACGGUAUGGACAAAGAUGCCGGAGACGACCAAGAACCAAAGCCUACUGGGCACUGGAAAGCCACCUCAUCAUAUGACAUAUACAUGGUGGAUAUCCCAAAGGAUGGGAACGGCAAAGAAACAGCGGAGGAUGACCCCUCCAAGAAGCAGCCAAAGCACCGGCGUCAGCGGCGCCGCUCUAAAUCCCGCCACAGCAAGAAUGAAGACUCCGGCACCGGAGAUAAUAAUACACCGAACAAUGCCGAAGAUAACCCACUCCAGCAAGAUGCAGCACAGGAGGACGGAGACGCCAGCCCUCAUGAGAGAGCGGCAGAAGAAGAGGUAGAGGAUUAUAUGCCUCCCUCCGGAGACGAGGCAAGCCUCGACGACGAUGAAUUCGUCGUGCCUGAGGAUCCCAUCGAACAAGAGUGUUUUAAAUGCAGGCUUAUGGCCACGGCGAACAGCCUCAAGAAAAAGCAGCAACAGCUUAGAGCUGAUCAAGAUCUGCUAGCCGACAGAUAGACUGAAGUCCUCGCAGCCGAAGAGCAUGAGCUCGAACGCCCCUCCAAAAGCUACCCUAAACGCAAGUUGCUCCCCCGAUUAGAGGAGGAAGCAUAUGAACCUGCAUCACCAGGAGACAAUACGGCCGACCGACCACCCCGUGGUCGCGACAGAGAGGCCUCUAGGCCCUUCACUAGACCCGUACCCCGGCAUCGCUCGAAAAGCACAAGGCCACAGGGGAACGCUCCAGACUUGCGAGAUAUAUUGGAGGAUAAGGCAAGACAAUCAAGAUUGAUCUAUGGAUCGCGUGGGCGCCCCACGGUACGUGACGACAGCCGUCGCGCCGGACACAGUAAGUCCGGCCGGGUCGAACAAAACAGGCAAAGUUCUUCUGAGCUCCGUCGUGAUAUCGCCCAGUAUAGAGGCGCCGCACACCCACUAUGCUUCACAGAUGAAGUAAUGGAUCAUCAAAUCCCCGAAGGGUUUAAACCCGUGAAUAUCGAAUCUUACGAUGGCACAACAGACCCCGCGGUUUGGAUCGAAGACUAUCUUCUUCACAUCCACAUGGCCCGCAGUGACGAUCUUCACGCCAUCAAAUAUCUCCCCCUCAAGCUUAAAGGACCAGCCCGGCAUUGGCUUAAUAGCUUGCCAGCAGAGUCAAUUGGGAGUUGGGAAGACUUGGAAGCCGCAUUCCUCGAUAACUUCCAAGGCACGUAUGUGCGACCACCAGACGCUGAUGACCUAAGCCACAUAAUUCAGCAGCUAGACGAAUCGGCCAGACAAUUCUGGACACGGUUCUUAACCAAGAAAAACCAAAUCGUCGACUGUCCGGAUGCAGAGGCCCUUGCGGCCUUCAAGCAUAACAUCCGCGACGAGUGGCUUGCCCGGCACCUGGGACAGGAAAAGCCAAAAUCCAUGGCACCCUCACAUCAUUGAUGACCCGCUUCUGCGCGGGUGAGGAUAGCUGGCUAGCACGCAGCAACAACCUCAGCAAACAUUCUGGCAGUCCGGGUUUCAAGGGCCGAAAUGGCAGGUCGCGUUGUAACAAAAACAAGCGCCGCAUCAACGAUGACAAUAGUGAGGAUACGGCAGUCAAUGCCGGAUUCAGAGGCUCUAAACCCGGUCAGCGGAAAAAGCCAUUCAAAAGAACUGCUCCGGGUCCGUCCAAUUUGGACCGAAUACUCGACCACUUGUGCCAGAUACAUGGCACCCCCGAAAAGCCAGCUAACCACACCAAUAGGGACUGUUGGGUAUUCAAGCAGGCGGGCAAGUUAAUUGCCAAAAACAACGACAAGGGGCUGCAUAGCGACAACGAGGAAGAGACCCGACCGCCGAACAAUAGAGGACAGAAGGGUUCCCCCCCCACAGGUGCGGACGGUGAACAUGAUAUACGCAACGCACAUACCCAAAAGGGAGCGGAAGUGUGCACUCAGGGAUGUAUACGCGAUGGAGCCAGUCGCCCCGAAGUUCAAUCCAUGGUCCUCCUGCCCGAUCACUUUUGACCGAAGGGACCACCCCACCAGCAUCCGCCACGGCGGAUUCGCCGCAUUGGUCAUCGACAAUCAUCGAUGGAUUUCACCUCACCAGAGUCCUGAUGGAUGGCGGCAGCAGACUGAACCUGCUCUAUCAGGAUACAAUGCGCAAAAUGGGCAUACACCCCUCAAGGAUUAAACCUACCAAGACGACCUUUAAAGGCGUCAUACCAGGUGUAGAAGCCAAUUGUACAGGCUCAGUUACACUGGAAGUGGUCUUCGGAUCCCCGGAUAACUUCCGAAGCGAGGAGUUAAUCUUCGACAUAGUCCCGUUCCGCAGCGGCUAUCAUGCCUUGCUCGGACGUACCGCGUUUACAAAGUUAAACGCGGUGCCGCACUACGCAUACCUCAAGCUCAAGAUGUCAGGCCCGCGAGGAGUCAUCACGGUCAACGGAAACACGGAACGUUCUCUCCGAACCGAGGAACAUACAGCGGCUCUUGCGGCAGAAGUACAAAGCAGCCUCUUAAGGCAAUUCUCGAGUCCGGCCGUUAAACGGCCGGACAUAGCUAAGCGCGCCCGGAGUAACCUACAACAAGACCACCUGGCACGUUCCGAGUACGCGUAGCAGUGCGGCCCCAACCCCAGCCCCUGCAAAACGUCAAAGCAGGUCCUUCGCGUACACCAUUACGCUCUGAAGAUACCAUGGGCAUGGGGAGAGGGGCAUGACCACGAUAAGCCCAGACUGCGGCUCAACCACACCAGGGGCUCUCAAGUGUGUCGUUCUUUUUUCUUUUUACCUUUUAUUUUUUACCCACAGGACUCCGUUCGUCACAGGCCCUGUCCGGUAGCAGACCCGCCGAACUCACGAUGCAACAGCCAGGGAAGGAUAAAGGCUACAACGAAUAUACAGGUGGUCUCCAUUACGAGCAUUUUUAUACACCAAUCCGCAGCCUACCCCUGGAGGGGGGCAUGUUUAACAGUCCCAUCCCUUGCUUAUCGCACUAUUUGUAUCGUUCUGCAUUCAUAGCAGCACUUAUUGAAUAAAACAAUGCAGCACCUUUUUGCUUAUCAUUGCAUUUCGUUUUCAUACAUAUGUUCAUUUACGACAUGUUGCAUCCGUACACUUUGGUACGGUUAAAACACACUAGGGGCUUAUGUUUCCCGCAUCAUGGUGUGAUAAGUCCGAACACUUUCACAAGUGCGGCACCCCGAACUUAUAACAUUCUAUGCAUUGGCUCCGAAUCAUGUCUUGGGUCAAUAGUUGGGUUUGCCCGGCUCCCAUGUUUUGGUACCUUACGUUCCGUUAUAUCGGCUAAGGUAGCACUGGGAGAACCACUGCGAUUGCGCCCCAGUUGAGCUGGGUUAAGGCCUCAGUGGAGAAAGCUAAAACUGACCGUCAUGAUGAGGCGAGAGCCGGUCGCUGUUCGAGAGGUUUUUGCGAGUCCUUAAAGACUUAUGCCGCUUAGAGCGAGGAACCGGAUCGAGUCCGGCCCAGGCGUGGAUAGCGCCCCGGCUUCACCGAAAUUUAAAAUUAUAGAAUUCUAUGGCUAAGUGAGAGUGUUCAAGCAUUAUAAGUCCGGUUGCCUUGUUCGCUGUGUUGAGCGCCUCCCUAGAUGGACCCAAAAAUGGGAACAAGAGUGCUCAAGUUUAUCCCAAACACCCCAGCACUCGUGGCAUGGGGGCUGAAGCCGACGACUUGCCAUCUCUCAGAUUUGAUAAACAACCGCACAGAAGGUAAUAUUUUAAAUUAACAAGCGUUGCGUAGCGCAUAUGAACUAAGUUUUCAGCGCACAGGAUAACAAAAUGCGGGUCUACUAAAAAAUUACAUCUUUGGAGCACUCCCCCGCAAUAGUGCGGGCGCCCUUCAACACACUCUUAUAAUACAUCUCGGGCGUGCGAUGCUCCUUGCCCUCUGGUGGCGGGUCCGUCACAAGCUUCUAGGCAUCCAUCUUGCCCCAGUGCACCUUUGCGCGGGCAAGGGCCCGACGGGCACCCUCAAUACAGGCGGAGUGCUUGAUGACUUCAACCCACGGACACGCAUCCAUAAGCCGCCGCACCAGGCCGAAGUAGCUCCCAGGCAUGGCCUCCUUAGGCCACAGCCGAACUAUGAUGCCCUUCAUGGCCUAUUCGGCUGCCUUGUGGAGCUCGACCAGCUGCUUCAGCUGGUCGCUAAGGGGCACCGGAUGCUCGGCCUCAGCAUACUGAGACCAGAAGACCUUCUUCGUCGAGCUCCCCUCCUCGGCCCGGUAGAAUGCGGCAGCAUCGGACACGCUGCGAGGAAGAUCUGCGAACGCUCCUGGAGAGCUCCGAAUUCGGGUAAGCAAUAGGUAAUUAACACUCACAUGCUUACUUUGCAUGAAAAAUGCCUUACCCGCUGCUAUUUUCUUCACCGCCUCAAUCUCCUGGAGGGCCUUAUAGGCUUCGGCCUUAGCGGCUUUGGCACUCUCAAGAGCCGUUGCAAGCUCAGACUCUCGAGUCUUCGAGUCACGCUCUAGGCUCUCAUGUAUUUUCACGAGAUCCUGGAGCUCUUGCUGUUCCUCCGCCACCCACGCCUCCUGCUUCUCUCGCUCGGUGCGCUCCGCAGCCGCAUUGCGUUCGGCCGUGGCCACCGCCUCUUUUAGGGUUGCCACCUUGUUAGUGGCCCCUGCAAUACCCAUGUUAUCCUUGUCAUUCUUUUGCAACCAAAAUCCUUUUCUGUAAGGUACAAUUUUAAUAAGGUAUUACUCACCUUCCUUGUCCUCGAGCUGCUUCUUGGCACGGCCGAGCUCGUUCUCGGACCGCUCGAGGUUCUCCUUCAAAGUAUUGACCUCCGCAGUGAGUGCGGCAGAGGUCAGCAGCGCAGCCUGCAAUCCCAUAUUGACAUAUUUAUUAUGACUCCUGCGUAUAUCUUUUUAGAUCCUCAGUCCAGCGUUUUCUUUCCGAACACCGAACCGAGCAUCAGGGGCUACUAUCUAUGCCGUACCAUUUUAUACAUAUUGAAAUUCUUACCUCAAAGCCUGUUAGAAGGCUGCUGCAGGCUUUGGUCAGCCCGCUCUUGCCAAGAUGCACCUUCUGAAUCACCGCACUCAUAACGGUGCGGUGUUCCUCUUUGAUGGAGGCGCCAUUGAGCGCCUCCAGCAAGCUAUCCGGUGCCUCCGGUUGGACGGAGGCUGCCGGCGUCACGGUCUUGCCCUUCUUGCGGAGGGGUUGCCCGCCGGACUCCGGAGCCACUGUGGGUUCCGGGGCCGAGUCCGGUGCAAAGUCCGGGAGGUUGUCCUGCGACACCUCCGGGGCCUCUCCUCCUGGUGGGUCCCUUCCUGAGAUCCCACCUCGGCAUCGUCCGCGUCACGGGGGGUGGAGGCAGUCGGAAGAGAAUCCUUGUCCGACGCACCUAAGGACCCGCUCGAUGAAGCGGGAAGAUCAUCCUUAGGCGGACUGCAGGGUUGUAUGCGGCAUUAGAAAGACAUUAUGUGGCGAGAAAUAUAAAGCUUGAAGUUAUUCGGGAGUCCGGAUACUUACGAUCUCGCCAGGGGCUUGGCCCUUGGAGGCCAGUCCUCGUCGUCGUCACUGGCGUAGGCGGAGCAGUCUGGGGGAAGAGUUUUUCCCUUCUUGGACCCUUCGGCCUCCCUUGUUGGAGAGGCCUUCCUUUUCUUCCCUCCCCCCGCUGGGGGAGAGGCUUUCUUCUCCUCCUCGCCUUGGUGGGAGGAGUCGGCCUCGGAUUCAUCAUCCGAUAGCACCUGAAAACGGGAACUCUUCCGAGUCCCCGUGGCCUUCUUCUUGGCCUUCUUCUCCGGCACCACGUGGGGUGCCGGAGCCAGCAGCCCCGUUAGGCGGGCGUCUGCUGGGUCCUCUGGCAAUGGGGCCGGACAGAUAGUCCGUUCGGCCUUCGCCAGCCAGUCCUGUCAAAGGUAAAGGGAGUUUAGAUCCCGCAUAGAGUCAAACUAUGGAAAACAAGUGGCAAAAUCGCUUACCUCGUCAGCUGGACGCUGCGAGCGGAAUCCGCGAUCUUCGGUAGCGGAUGCGGGAGCCUCGGCGCCCUUGAACAACACCUUCCAGACAUCUUCGUACAUAGUGUCGAAGAGCCCGCUUAGAGUAUGGUGCUGCGCGGGAUCGAACUUCCACAUGUUGAAGCCCCGUCGUUGGCACGGGAGAAUCCGGCGGAUGAGCAUGACCUGGACUACGUUGACAAGCUUGAGCUUCUUGUCCACCAGCUUCUGGAUACAGGCUUGGAGUCCGGUCAGCUCCUCCGAAUCCCCCUAGAUCCGGCCACUCUCUUUCCAGGAGGUGAGCCAUGUAGGGAUGCCGGAUCUAAAUUCGGGGGCCGCUGCCCAAUUAGGGUCACGCGGCUCGGUGAUGUAGAACCACCCCGAUUGCCACCCCUUAAUGGUUUCCACGAAAGUGCCCUCCAGCCACGUAACGUGGGACAUCCUGCCCACCAUGGCGCCUCCGCACUCCGCUUGGCUGCCCUUCACAACCUUCGGCUUGACACUGAAGGUCUUGAGCCACAAGCCAAAGUGGGGCUGGAUGCAGAGGAAGGCCUCGCACACAACGAUAAACGCCGAGAUGUUGAGGAUAAAAUUCGGGGCCAGAUCAUGGAAAUCUAGUCCGUAGUAGAACAUGAGCCCCCGGACAAAGGGAUGAAGUGGGAAGCCCAGUCCGCGGAGGAAAUGGGAAGGAAUACUACCCUCUCAUGGGGCCUGGGGGUGAGGAUGAGCUCUCCCUCGUCAGGGAGCCGGUGCGCGAUGUCGCUGGACAAGUAUCCGGCACUGCGCAGCUUCUGGAUAUGCCCCUCCGUGACGCAGGAGGCCAUCCACUUGCCCCCUGCUCCGGACAUAUUUGGAGAAGGUUGAGGUGAUGUGCGGACUUGGGCGCUGGAGCUCGAGUUCGCGGAGAUGGAUAAGCCAAGGAGGAAGAAGGCGCAGGUAAAAGGAUUGGAUCUUUAUCCCCUUAUAUGGGCGGACGGAAACAUGCAUCCCCACCGGCCUGAUAAAACUCGCUUAUCUCCCAAGCGCCGCAAUCAAUGGCGCGGUUGGGUUACCCACAUCCGUAUUGAUGGGAAUCCCAGAAUAAGGGGAACACGAUCUCUGCUUCGACAAGACGUGCCAAGGAAACCGCCUCGCUAAAACGCGCUGAGAUGGAACAAUAAAAACAAUUUGAAGGCUUGGUAGUGGUGUGACGUUACGCCUCAAAAUACGUCAGCAGAUUGAACUUGUGUAAUAUUAUUCUCUCUACAGGGGUACGUGGAAUUUAUUUUUGCAGAGCCGGACACUAUCCUAGUGUUCACAAUCUUCUAUAAAUUAUUCGGAGGAAGAACCUGCCUUGCAAUGCCGAAGACAACAUGCGCGCCGGACUCGUCGUCAUUGAAGCCUGGUUUAGGGGCUACUGAGGGAGUUCCGGACUAGGGGGUGUCCGGAUAGCCGAACUAUCAUGAUCGGCUGGACUCCAAGACUAUGAAGAUACAAGAUUCAAGAUUUCGUCCCGUGUCCGGAUGGGACUUUCCUUGGCGUGGAAGGCAAGCUUGGCGAUACGGAUAUGUAGAUCUCCUACCACUGUAACCGACUCUGUGUAACCCUAGCCCUCUCCGGUGUCUAUAUAAACCGGAUGGCUUUAGUCUAUAGGACGAAGAACAAUCAUACCAUAGGCUAGCUUCUAGGAUUUAGCCUCCUUGAUCUCGUGGUAGAUCCACUCUUGUAACACACAUCAUCAAUAUUAAUCAAGCAGGACGUAGGGUUUUACCUCCAUCAAGAGGGCCCGAACCUGGGUAAAACAUCGUGUCCCUUGUCUCCUGUUACCAUCCGCCUAGACGCACAGUUCGGGACCCCCUACCCAAGAUCCGCCGGUUUUGACACCGACAGGUGGCUUUGCCACAAAUACGAUGUCAACUACAUGAUCAUGCUAGCAAUAUGACAAUGAUGGAGCGUGUCAUAAUAAAUGGAACAGUGGAAAGUUGCAUGGCAAUAUAUCUCGGAAUGGCUAUGGAAAUACCAUAAUAGGUAGGUAUGGUGGCUGUUUUGAGGAAGGUAUAUGGUGGGUGUAUGGUAUCGGCGAAUGUUGCAUUGUACUAGAGAGGCUAGCAAUGAUGGAAGGGUGAGAGUGUGUAUAAUCCAUGGACUCAACAUUAGUCAUAAAGAACUCACAUACUUAUUGCAACAAUCUACAAGUCAUCAAAACAAAGUGCUACACGCAUGCUCCUAGGGGAAGAGUUGGUAGGAGUUAACCAUCACGCGAUCCUGACCUCCACACAUAAGGGAGUAGCAUCAACAUUCUGUACUAUGAAACCUUCCGUCGCAUGGGGCUGACAGAUAAGAAUCUUAAACCGUCAAACACCAUUUUCCAUGGUGUGGUACCUGGUAAAUCGGCAUACCCGGUCGGUAAGAUAGCUCUGGAGGUCGUGUUUGGAGAUGAUCGUGAUUCCAGAUCAGAAACCUUAACCUUUGAAGUGGUGAAAAUCCAGAGUCCGUAUCACGCCCUGUUUGGACGGCCGACAUAUGCUAGGUUCAUGGCAAGGCCCUGUUAUGUUUAUCUACAGCUCAAGAUGUCGGGUCAUAAGGGGACCAUUACGGUACAUGGGAGCCGGAAGAUCGCUUUGGAUUGUGAAGAGGGUGAUGCGGCUUAUGCUGAGUCGGUUUGCGUGACAGAGGAGCUGAAGUACUACAAGGACAAUGUUGAUCCGGCAGAUAUGACUUCUUUGAAAAAGCCAACCACAGAGCAUGACCUGGCCCUGAAGUUUAAAUCGGCUGAUGAGAGUAAGCUGGUUGAUUUUGUCCCUGGCGAUUCAUCCAAGCAGUUUAGUAUCAACACUAAUCUGGAUUCGAAAUAGGAAAGCACGCUCAGCGAGUUCAUCAUUGAGAACCAGGACAUCUUUGCAUGGAAACCUUCUGACAUGCCAGGUGUACCGAGGGAACUCGCUGAGCACACUCUUAAUAUUGAUCUCAAGUUCAAACCGGUCAAGUAGUUUCUUUGCUGCUUCAAUGAAGAAAGGCGCAAAGCUAUUGGUGAGGAGGUAGCCCGGCUUUUGGCGGCCGGGUUUAUCAUAGAGGUUUUUCAUCCGGAGUGGCUGGCUAAUCCGGUGCUGGUACUUAAGAAGAAUGGUACUUGGCGCAUGUGUGUGGAUUACACAGACUUGAACAAGGCUUGUUGGGCUGAUCCUUUUGCUCUCCCCUGUAUUGAUCAGAUCAUUGAUGCUACGUCGGGUUGUGAGCGUCUGAGUUUUCUGGAUGCUUAUUCUGGUUAUCAUCAGAUCAAGAUGGCAGUUAAGGACUAGGAGAAAACAGCUUUUAUAACUCCCUUUGGAGCCUUCUGCUAUGUAUCUAUGCCUUUUGGGUUCAAGAGUGCCCAGGCGACUUAUCAGCGAUGUGUGCAGAAUUGUCUUCAUAGCCAAAUUGGGCGCAAUGUUCAUGCUUAUGUGGACGAUAUUGUGGUAAAGUCCAGGAAGAAGGAGACACUGAUAGAUGACUUGAAGGAGACCUUUGAUAACAUUCGGGUUUAUAAGAUGAUGCUUAACUCGGCCAAGUGCAUCUUCGGUGUUCCGGCAGGCAAACUUUUGGGUUUUCUCGUGUCUAAUAGGGGCAUUGAAGCUAAUUCGAAAAAGAUCAAGGCUAUUACGUAUCUAGCUAAAGCGGCAUGUAUCAACGAUGUUCAGCGUCUAGCGGGUUGUAUUGCAGCCCUGAGCCGGUUUAUCAGCCGGUUGGGGGAGAAGGCAAUCCCUUUAUAUCAGAUGAUGAAAAAGACAGACAACUUUGUCUGGAGUGAUGCUGCUAAUGCGGCGUUUGAGGACAUGAAAAACUAGUUAGCCGAGCCACCUAUCCUCGCUGCUCCGGUCAAUAAAGAGACGCUGUUGUUAUAUGUGGCUGCCAAUGCCCAGGCUGUCAAUGUCGCCAUUGUGGUGGAGCGCAAGGAGGUAGGUAAGGAGUAUCCGGUUCAGCGGCCGGUUUAUUAUAUCAGUGAGGUGCUCAUUGAAUCGAAACAGAGAUGUCCGCAUUGGCAGAAGCUUGUGUAUGGAGUUUUUAUGGCGAGUCGGCAGCUUAAGCAGGACUUUUAGGGCCAUCAUAUCACUGUGGUCAGUUCCGCUCCUUUGGGGGAUAUCAUCCAAAACAGGGAGGCAACUGGCCGAGUUGCUAAGUGGGAUAUUGACAUCGGACCUCACGAGGUGAAAUAUAUGCGUCGAACGGCUAUCAAGUCCUAGGCGCUCGUCGACUUCAUCAAUGACUAGACGGAGUUACAGGCACCAGAGGAUAAACCGGAUAACACGUACUGGACUAUUCACUUCGACGGGUCCAGGCCAUUGGACGGCUCGGGGGCUGGAGUUGUCCUUACUUCCCCUCGAGGUGAUAAAAUUUGUUAUGUUCUCCGCUUAAUGUUUCCGUGUACUAACAAUGCAGCUGAGUACGAGGCCUUGCUCCAUGGUCUUCGGGUGGCUAAGGAAAUGAACUUAAGUCGAGUACGAUGCUUUGGGGACUCUGAUUUGGUGGCUCAGCAAGUCUCUGGUACUUGGGAUUCUAAGGAUCCACUCAUGGCGGCUUAUCGACGAGAGGUGGAUGUUGUUGCUGGUCACUUCAAGGGUUACCAGGUUGAGCACAUUGAUCGGUGCAAAAAUGAAGUGGCAGAUGCUUUAAGCCGGCUGGGGUCUCAGCGUAAACCAGUGCCGCCCAAUACCUUUCUGGAUGUUUUGCAUAAUCCGUCAGUCAAGCUACCUACAGAGGAGGACUUGGCUAUUCCUGAUCUAGAGGCUCAGUUGGUGGCGGCUCUUUAUAUUAUUCCAGAUUGGACGGUUCCAUAUUUGGCGUACAUGAACCGGGGCGAGUUACCGGAGGAUGAAGUUUUGGCCAAACAGAUAAUCCGGCGUUCUAAGUCCAUGACUAUUCAUAAUGGCGAGUUGCAUCACUGCAGCAUCUCAGGGGCGUUUCAGUGCUUCGUUUCUCCUGAAGAAGGCCGUGAGAUUUUGCAUGAGAUCCACGAAGGCGAUUGUGGUCACCACGCCGGUUCGAAAUCCUUGGUAGCUAAAGCUUUUCUUCACGGCUUCUAUUGGCUGAUGGCUCAUGUUGAUGCCGAGGACUUGGUGAAAAGGUGCGACGGUUGUCAGAAGUUUUCACGCCGAGCUCAUGUUCUGGCUCAAGAGCUAAGGAUGAUUCCAAUCACUUGGCCGUUUGCAACUUGGGGGCGUGAUAUGGUAGGGCCUUUUAAGAGGUCCAAAGAUAAAAAGACCCACCUUUUGGUGGCUAUCGAUAAGUUCACUAAGUGGGUUGAGGCGGAGCCAGUUAGCAUGUGUGAUGCAGCCACGGCGGUUCAAUUCAUGAAAAAGGUGAUCUUUCGCUUUGGUUUUCCACACAACAUCAUAACAGAUAAUGGCACGAACCUCUCCAAAGACGCUAUGGAGGACUUUUGUCAACGAGAGCACAUUCGGCUCGAUGUGUCAUCAGUGGCUCACCCCCAGUCCAAUGGUCAAGCUGAGAGAGCUAAUCAUGAAAUCUUGAAGGGCAUCAAGCCCCAGCUUAUGGUUCCUUUGAAGAGGACGCCGGGUUGUUGGGUGGAAGAGUUGCCUUAUGUAUUGUGGAGCAUUAACACCAGCCCCAAUUGAUCUACGGGUUAUAUGCCUUUCUUCAUGGUUUAUGGAGCAGAGGCAGUUCUUCCCAGUCAUAUUCACCAUGACUCGCCUCGGGUGGCAGCUUAUGUUGAAGCGGACAACGAACAAGCUCGCCAGGAAGCAUUGGACCUGUUAGAUGAAAAAUGGGACAUAGCAGCGGCUCGCUCGGUGAUUUAGCAGCAAGACUUGCGGCGUUAUCACAGCCACCGGGUUAAGACCAGAACUUUUCAAGAAGGCGACUUAGUGCUCCAGCUUAUCCAGGAUCAGACCAAUAUGCACAAGUUAUCCCCACCUUGGGAGGGAUGCUUUGUGGUUAGCAGGAAUCUGAACAACGGGUCAUACUACCUUAUCGAUGUUCGAGAGCACAAAGACUCACGCAAAUCGGAGGAGGAGACCCGCCGGCCGUGGAAUAUUGCUCAUCUUCGGCCUUACAACACCUGAGCCAUAGGCUCCUAUUAUGUACAUAUUUUGACAAUGUAUAUAUUAUGAUGAAUAUAAUAAACCGGCAUCCUUGCUAAAGCGGGGCCUCUGCCAUUUUUCUUUAAAAGAUUUCUUGGUUACAUGGGGGCUUCAGCUUACAAAGCGGAGUUCUGGUUGUCCAUUAAUCCGGCUAUCAAGCCACAACAAAGCUUGGGGGCUUCAUACCCAUGGGGCCAAAGAGAGUUUGUUGCAAGGCAUAGCUCAAACAUAGGCACCCACUAAGCACAGCUCAAAAUGUUACCUAGGGGCUCUUUGCUUGCACAGCAACAAAGUGUCUUAAACCUUGUAACAGGCUAUCAAGCCAGGCUUGGAAGCCAGCUGUAUUCACCUAAAACCCCGGGUUAUCCUGCCUCUUUAAGUAAGCCACUCAGUCCAGGUAAUCCUGGUAUGACCCGCCGAACGUUUGACAAGUCAAUCUUAUAUAGACCCUGAACUUUUCAAAGUUAAAAUGACGAUUGGUUAAUGUGAGGUCCAUCUUAAAAGGCUUUGCAAAAUGGUUUAACUCAGCGGCCUGGCAGCCCAUGAAAAGCCUCGAUUUUGGGCCUGGCAGCCCAUGAAAAGCCUCGCACGAUUUUAUUUCACAAGUUUUUUCUUUUUCUGAGGGUUAUGUUUAAAUCAGUGUCUUAUGACCCGGUCUAGUUUUGAGUUGCCAAGUACACAGUUACGAAGAUAACCGAUGUCAAUGACCCGGCUUGGCUUUCAACUAUAAGUUGUCAAUACAAGAUCGGUUAUAAUCCGGUGUUUAUCAUAAGCUAGCACGGUUUCAUUUUAAACUGGCAAAAUAUGAGGAGAGUUGUCAUACUCCAGAUUCGGGUUAUCACCCUUACUUCAAUCAGUUGGUAAACCAACGAUGUGAUUCAAUAUCACAUGUAUGAUUUAUUUCAUAUUAUUCUUAAAAUUACAGCCUUGGUUAUAAACCAUGGCGUCAUGUUGGGUAUUAUGACCCGUCCGACGGUAAACCGCCAGGACACUUUCAAACUUUGUCUGUAGGAACAUGAUUGAAUUAAAACUGCUAAGGGUCAUAAAAGUAGACAUAGCAUAAUCAUGACGGAUUAACAAUAUUAUGCAGAGUGCACGAUGGCACAUCAGAUCAAAGAAGUUUUUCAACUAGCCUAUUACAAGGCGCUUUGAUUCCCAAAAGGAUAAUUGUUUUCACACGGAUGCAGUGUGCAGAAGCUAAACCGGUUGCCGGAUCAUGAUUUAUCACCGGGCUGCCGUGAAGAUUCUGGAUCAUUGUGGGCCGGUUCAUCCUCCUCUUUUUCACCCACUGGCUGGAAGUCAAUGGUUGACCAAUCGAUCCCAGUUAAGGCUCUAAACACAGCUUCAUCAUUUAUAAGGGUGGACGGUUCAACAUCAGGGGCGUAGGUAUGCUUAUGGAUUGGCGGCAUAAGAUUUUGCACAUCAUAAGUCGGCGUGUUAAGCCGUUUGUUGUCAGCAUCAUAAAUCGACUGGUAAAAAGACAUAUUAGUGUCUUCAGCCAGUUUGCUCGCCAAUGGACGCAUCUUCCUCGUUAAGGCCCUGAGGUCGUCAUUAUCAAAAUCUGACCCGUCCUCUUUUUGGCCUGGAUAGCCGUUUCCAAUAUCUUCCGGAUCAAGGUCAGAUAUCCAUGCCUUGGCCCGAGUCAGAGCAGUAAGAGCACCGACCCUAGGAGCUGAUCUUUUCAACUCCUCAAUACGGGUAGGCAUCAUAGAUAAUUUCUCCAAUGUUUCCUUGAUUAACGUUGGGGGCGGUUUAUUAUGAGAAGCUGUGCAGAUGACCCGUUGAGCGCCGGUAUAUAAAUGCUCUAUCAGCGUAUAAGUAGCCUUCAGUUUCUUGCGCAUAUCUGAGCCAAGAUGUGUAAUGCGGCUCCCUGCAGUUGUCAAAAUAUUAGUAAACCGACAACAUCAUAGAGGUUGUCUAUUUAAAGCUUAUGAAGAGGAUAUUUACCAAAGAUAACAGUGGUCAUAACAUUGACUUGUUACUUCAAACUGGUCAGUUCUUCCACUACCGGAUUAAGGGCUGCCUCAGCAUCUUCCGCCCGUUUCACCAGAGUUACUUUUUCAGCAUCCCAUCCUGCCCGUUCCUUUUUGAAGUUUUCCUUCAACUGUUCCAUGGCUGUCAAGGUGCUGGUCAACUCGUCUUUUGCCUUGGAAGUUUCUGCUUGCUGGGACUUGAUAUUUUCUUGAAGAUCAGCACUUUGAGAUUCUUUUUUGCUCAGAUCAGCCUGGAAGAGACAGUUAAUGAGUUGGUAGCGCAUGUUUUAACUCCCAAGCACAUAAAAAGUUAUACACUUGGCACUUGGGGGCUAAUGCCUAUCGCUUUUUCUCAACAAAAAUGGUAAAGUCCCAAGGCUCAAUACAAGUAUUAAUCUUGGCACUUGGGGGUUAAUUCCUAAUUGCUCAAACAACAUAGUUGUGAAACUUUUCUUGCUAUGAUAAACCGGAAUCUAAAGGUAUUCAACAAGAAGGGCAAGCCUUACAACAUGAAGUCUCGGUUCAUCUUGAAUAGAUAAACCGGCCCUUGGGGUCUACACAUGUGAAGUUGAUUUAUUAUUCUAUAAAGUCCUGGAUCAUCUUGAAGAGAUAAACCGGCCCUUGGGGGCUACUGGAGUUGAUAUUAUCAAUAAAUCAGAAGGAAGGAAUAUUUAUGAAAAGUUUGAACAGAAAUUACCUCAUAGCGCUCCUUUAUCAGGCCUACUAAACCGGCUUCAUAGUCACGGCUUGUGUAUAGGCGGUUUAAGUAUCCAGAAUGCAACUCUUGAGUGUCGAGAUGGGCAUAGCUUGAUAAAUCUGUUUUCCACUUACCCUUGUCCAGAGCAGUUUUUUCCUCUUUGGCGCUGUGUUUGGAUAAGGCUAUGGGGUGUCCAGGAGAGGUGUAACCAGUGCCAGUAACGACAACAUCAUCAUCAUCACCUUUAGCCGGGCUUGGUGGAUCAUCAGCACAUUUAGCCGGACUUGGCAGAUCAUCAGCGUGAGCCGACGGAUCAACAUCCAUAUGUACAGCUUCAGUUGCCUGAUCCGGCAAUGGUGGGUCAUCUGGAAUAUUGUCAACAUCUGGGCAUGACGGUUUAGGAGUUUUCUCUGGUUCACCCCGAAUGGGGUCUUCAGAUGGAUUGUUCACUUUGGCCCUCUUUCUGGCUCUAGCUUUGGUCCUGGAAAAUAAUUAAUAUGCAUCAGAACAGUGCAAGGGUUAAAAAUAUAAAGGUAUGACGGAUUAGCAAAAGCUGCUCACCCAGGAACCGUUAAGGGUUGGAAGAUGAAUGGGAGGCUCCCUGGUAAUUGGAGUCAGAUGGAUUAAGAGGAUAUCGGAAAUAACCCGCCUUGGGAUAAGGUAUAUCAGAAGUAUAAGAGACCUCUUGACGGCGUUUUUGAACCAGACUGUUCGGUAAACCGGAGGAAGUAACCACCUUGCCGCUAUGCCGGGUUAUGCGGCGAGCUUCAUGCUGCUGUGUCCUCAAAAGAAAGUGCGGAUCCGAAUAAGCUAGAGGGUGUGAAAAUUUUAUUUUCCGGAUUGCUCGAUGGAUUUUCGGUGUGGGUAGAGGAUUUGAGUCAGAAGAAAGAGUAAUUACCUCUACAUCACGAGCAUGACUGGCCUCCACAUCAUCCUGGUAACGAUCAUUGUCAAUAAGAUGUAUGAAAAAAGAACCAAGAGAAUCAAGUUCUAAAUCCGGAUCAUCAAGAUCUUCGUCAUUGUUUGGGCCAGGGGAUUCGGCAGUUUUCUUGUUUGCCGGUUUCUUCGUAACUCUGGUCUUAGGGCGAGGAGUUUUCACUGAUUUAUCCUGCGGUUUCGCCGGUUUGUCCUGUGGCUUCCUUUUCCAGAACGGAUCAUUACCCUGCAAAGAUGAACAAAAGGUUAUGAGGAAAUAUUUAAAAGGGGGUGGAUUAAGACAAGAAGGAUGCAAUUCUUACAGCUGGCGGUUUAUUGGAGACACAGAAGGGACUAAGCCGUGUCUUGCUGCACUCAGAUAUCGGUUCAUCUAACAUCCUUUUAACAGCUUCAGUGAUCUCGUCAUCAGUUAGCUGAAUAUCAAUGUGCCGCUGAGGGUCCUUGACAUCCCAUGUGUACUCACACAUUAAACUGGUAUGACGACUUAAAGGCAAGAUACUCCAAGAAACCCAACAGCGGACAAGGUCGAUGCUAGUUAAACCAUUUGCCAUAAAGGCUCGGAGCUUUGAAAGUUGUGGAGCAUAUAUGGAUCGUUCCUUGGCAAUAAGUCGUUGGGGAAACGGAUGUUCACUGGUAAGCCGGUGAGCACGAUAACCCGGCAGAGAAUUUUCAUCAUCAGGAGCUGUGUUUCGGCAGUAAAACCAAGUCUGAUUCCAGUCUUUGGGGUGACUAUGAUGUUUGGCGUGAGGAAAAUUGACAUCUUUCCUUUUUUGAAUUGAUACUCCGCCAAGUUCAGUAUUGGACCCGUCCGUGAAUUCAGUAUGGCGGUUUAAGUAAAAGAAGUCUCUGAAGAGCUCAACAGUAGGUGCUUCUUGCAGAUAAGCCUUGUAAAACACUUGAAAAUUGCAAAUAUUGGACACGGAGUUCGGUCCGAUAUCUUGAGGACGGAUCUGGAAGCUAGCAAGCAUGUCAUGGAAGAACUUUGAUCCGAGAGGACUAAACCCUUGAUUCAGAUGAUCAGUAAAUACAAUCACUUCUCCAUCUUGGGGUUCAGGAGGACUUUCUGGACCAGGGACCCUCUAGUGGAUGUUUUCCUUACUCGCUAAAGCGCCAGUGACAACAUACCCGGUCAGCUGUUCUUCCGUAACCUGGGAAGGAACCCAGUUGCAAGCCUAAAAUUGUUUGGCCAUUUCAAUGAAAAGCUAGAAAAAAGAUCAAUGUCGGUUUAAGGUUUGUGACUGACAAAGUAUAAAACAUUGCAAGGUUAUAUGGAGAAGAUGUUGAGGUAUAUACACAUAUCAAACUGGAUCCUAACAUCAGAAGGGUUAUCAAGAUGAUAAAUCGGCGGUUUAAGAGAGGGCUAAUGCUACCUAGCGGGUUAUAAUUUUCUUAAAGUUAAACCACCUACAGUGGUAUGGAAGGUACAAUCUGAAAAUUACUAAGUGUUGCAGAAACAGGUUUUGCAGAUGGAUGUUAUAAUUAUGGAUCUACCGCAGUUCAAAAAGGGAAAAAAAUUUUAAACCCUAAGUUGUGACAACAACAGUUCAUGGAUUCAGAUGGGAUCUCUUGUAAAAGGGGAGGCAUUCAAGUAUUACAAGUAGGUACUAAGAUCAGUAUCACGCGUGAUAGUCACUAAGUUUGCAUUAACAAGCUACAAGUGAGGGGAAGCAAAAAGGAAUGACGAACACUGAUGAACAUCGAUGGAUAUAGAAGCCCUAAUGACAUAUCUAGGGUUGAAGGAAAUAAGACUGACCAGUGUCACGGGAGCAGUGGAGAGGUACCGCGAUUCUCUGGUGCGCUCAGGUCGAUGCAGCGGCCAAUGGUGGUGCAGCAUUUGAAGGUCGAGGGCGGCGGCAGAGCUUCAGGGCUCGGGCGUCGUGAGGUUGAAGAUGAUAUGAAGCGGCAGGGAGGGGGAAAAGGAGAAAGGAACCCCCCGACCCUAUUUAUAAGGCGAAUGGAUAAGUGGCAGGCAUGGGAAUCGAGGAGCCCGAAAAAUGGAUAUGUGACAGAGUUGUUGCCUCGAUUUUCAGAGGCUUAUUAAUACAGGGGAGGUAUGUAUGGUUUUUUAAAUAGGUGACGUCAUGGCGGUUUACAAUAAUAUCAGAAGAUGAUGUCAUGGUGGAUUACAAGGCUUAUGGUAAGGAUUGAAGAAGGAUUUUUCUUAAAGUGUUGAAGAUUGACAUGAAAAGGUUCAAAUCAAUCUGGGGCCUAAUGUUGGGGAUGUAACUGGUGGGUAUAAACCUUCGAGGAGGGUCCGGUUUAUCCACAGAGAGACUACCAAUAUUGAAGCCCAUGAAGUUAUGGAAGAUGGCGACUUAUGGAGGAUACAUGACAAGGGAGCCCAAAGCCCAGAGGCGGGUUAGGGACCAUAGACAUAAACCUCCAUAGGCGUGUAACUUGUAAUGUAAGACAUGAAAGAGUAGAUACCAAGCCGGACAUGUUUAUGAACCGGCCUCGGGAAUGUGUAGACCGACGGGCAUCAACCUGUGUAUAUAAAGGGACGACCCGGCGGCGGUUUAGGGACAACACACAACAACUCGAGAACCAGACAAAGCGGAUUCGCUCCCUGGUCAUCAAAACCCCAUGAAUUCCAUCACAACUGGAUCGUAGGCUUUUACCUUCGCCGCAAGGGGCCGAACCAGUAUAAACUCCCUGUGUCCUUUGUCCAGUUUAACCCUUUAAGCUAAUCUUGUUGCGAUGGCUCCAUGAUUAAGUCCUUAUGUUAGGACAUCUGACGUGACAAUUCCACGACAUAUCACACAAGUAGUGGUGUAGACGGCAUCACCGGGGGUGGCCGGAGUCGAUGACAACGACUACAACGGCGGCCGCUAGAGUUUGGCUAGAUGCGGGUGCGGGCUGCAGCUCGCUUACGAGCAAACGGAGCACACAAGCGGCAACUACUGGCAGCAAGAGCUUGACCAGGUGCUCAGCUGUGACGUUGGCCCAUCGUAGCGAUGACGGUGACAAACGCGGCGGCCGGAGCUCACGAGCACUUGCGGGCGACGGCUACGAAGUAGGAUAGAGCAUGAGGGAGGAGGGGAAAUGGAGUAGAGCUCACGGCAGUCCUGAAGAUCAGCAUGGGAGGCUCGGGGAUGGCCUGGAUGCAGCGAAUCAAUGAUAGGGAGGUCCGGUGACCAUUGGUGAAGAAGAUGGCGAUUGCGUUGCUCUGGUGCCCCCGGGCUUGCAAGAUUCAUUGGAGAGGAGCCGCUCGAGGUGGCAGAGGCGAUGGACGACUCGGGGAGGCAAGGUGAUGGCAGUGGCGCAGGGUUCACGGCGGCACGCUUGGUUCAUCUCGGGUCCGGAGUGAAGAAAGCGACAAGAAGGAGGGGGGAGCUAGAGUGAGCGGGUUGGAGUCGUGGUUCCGUCCAUGCAGAAGGUGGCCAUGUGCGAGCGCAGCUGCUGGCACGCAGCUACUUCGGGGCGAGGGAGGAAGACAAGGGCGACCUGUUGGUGGGCUGGGCCGGCCAAGUAAGUUGGUCCAGGUGGGUUUGGUGCCCUUUUUUAUUCUUUUCUAUUUCUAUUUUCUGUUUUGAUGUGAAUCUUGCCACUGUUUGAAAUUCCAACAGUUUCAAACCAGUGCCAAAAACCCUCUGAAUAAUUUUAUGUUGCUAGAUGGACUUUUCCAAAAGCACAUAAAACAUUUCAAAGUUAUUUUUAAAAUAUAUUCUAUAUAUUAUGAAUAUAAUUCCAAAUUGAAAUAUAAUAAUAAUUUAAAUUCCUUGCCCAAAAUAUUCCACAAAAAUGUUCACUAUUUUUGGUUUUAUUCAAGAACCUUGCCAAAAAUAUCAAACAAUUAUAAGAACAUUUUGGAAGACAUUGAGUGCAAUAUUUCCAGGGUUCUUUGCCCUUAUUAAAGUAAUUUCAGAGGCUUUGAAAAAUCCUCAUUUCAAAUUCCUUUGAAUGAAACAUGAUGCAUGGAUGCUGAUGCAAGGACGGGCAAGGACUAAGCUACGACUGUGAUAGAAGUUUUCAAGUUUUGGGUGAGAUCACGAUGGAUGAAGGAAUAAGGAGUUGAAAGAGCCUAAGCUUGGGGAUGCCCAUGGCACCCCAAGGUAAUAUCCAAGGACUCCCAAGCAACUAAGCUUGGGGAUGCCCCAGAAGGCAUCCCCUCUUUCUUCUAAUGACCAUCGAUAAUUUUACUUGGAGCUAUAUUUUUAUUCAUCACAUGAGAUGAGUUUUGCUUGGAGCGUCAUGUAUUAUAUGAGUCUUUGCUUUGUUUGCGUUUUAGUUUGUCACAAUCAUCUUUGAUGGACACACCUUUUUGAGAGGGACUCACAUUAUUCAUGAUUUGUUAGAAUACUCUAUGUGCUUCACUUAAAUCUUUUGAGCUAGGCAGUUGCUCUAGUGCUUCACUUAUAUCUUUUAGAGCACGGCGGUGGUUAUAUUUUAAAGAAAUAGUUGCACUCUCAUACUUCAGCUAUAUCUUGAGAGUUGAUAAUAGUAAUGGAAAUUAGUGUGGGUUAUGAAUUUGGUCCUAAUACGAUAGGUAUUUAAGAGGGAUGUAAUAAAAACUUUCAUGUAGAUAACUGAAUAUGAUAAGUUUGAUUCCUUGCAAUAGUUUUGCGAUAUAAAGGUGGUAAUAUGUGGGUUAUGCUACUGAGUAAUUGUGGAUUAGUAAGAAUAUUGGUGUUAAGGUUUGUGAUUCCUAAAGCAUGCACGUAUGGUCUCUCGUUAUGCUAUGAAGUUGGAGCAUGAUUUAUUAUUGAUUGUCUUCCUUUAUGAGUGGCGGUCGAGGUCGAGCGUUGGUCUUUUCCUACCAAUAUACCCCCUAGGGGCAUGUGUAGUAGUACUUUGCUUUGAGGGAUAAUAAACUUUUGCAAUAAGUAUGUGAGUUCUUUAUGUGAUUAAUGUGAGUCCAUGGAUUAUACGCACUCUUACCUUUCUGCAAUUUGCUAGCCUCUUCAGUACCAUGCAUUGCCCUUUUUCACCUUGAGUUGUGGUGCAAACUUCGCUAGUGCAUCCAAACCCCGUGAUAUGAUACACUCUAUCACACGUAAGCCUCCUUAUAUCUUCCUCAAAACAACCACCAACCUACCUAUUAUGGCAUUUCCAUAGCCUUUCUGAGAUAUAUUGCCAUCCAACUUCCACCAUUCCGUUUUAUUAUGACACAUAUCAUCAUUGUCAUAUUGCUUUGCAUGAUCAUAUAGCUGACAUAGUAUUUGUGGCUCAGCCACCGUUCAUAUUUUUUAUGCAUGUUAUGCUAGAUCGUUGAACAUCCCGGUACACUGCCGAAGGCAUUCAUACAUAGUCAUAUUUCUGUUCUAGUAUCAAGUUGUAAUUUUCUUUCGAGUUGUAAGUAAAUAGAAGUGCGAUGAUCAUCAUAUUCAUUAUUAGAGCAUUGUCCCAGUGAGGAAAUAAAAAAUGAGGCCAAAAAGAGCCCAACAAAAAAACACAAAAUAAAAAGAAAAUAAAAAUGAGAGAAAAAUAGAGAAGGGGCAAUGUUACUAUCCUUUCCACACUUAUGCUUCAAAGUAGCACCAUGUUUUUCAUAUAUAGAGUCUCCUAUGCUAUAUUUUCAUAUAACUAGUAGGAAUUUUUCAUUAUAGAACUUGGCUUGUAUAUUCCAAUGAUGGGCGUCCUCAAAUGCCCGAGCUCUUCAUGAGCAAGCAAUUUGGAUGCACACCCACUUAGUUUUAUUUUUGAGUUUUCAUAUACUUAUAGCUCUUAGUGCAUACGUUGCAUGGCAAUACCUACUCUUUGCAUUGACAUCAAUUGAUGGGCAUCUCCAUAGCCCGUUGAUUAGCCUCGUCGAUGUGAGACUUUCUUCUUUUUGUCUUUUCCACACAACCUCCAACAUCAUACACUAUUCCACCCAUAGUGCUAUAUCCAUGGCUUACACUCAUGUAUUGCGUGAGUUGAAAAAGCUGAAGCGCGUUAAAAAGUAUAAACCAAUUGCUUGGCUUGUCAUCAGGGUUGUGCAUGAUAAAUACUUUGUGUUAAGAAAAUGGAGAAUGACAAGACUAUAUGAUUUUGUAGGGAUAACUUUCUUUAGCGUUGAUAUUUUGAAAGACAUGAUUGUUUGUUGGUAUGCCUUAUUAUUGCUUUUAUGUAAAACUAUAGACUAUUGAUUUGAAUCAUUAGGAUCUUUAUAUUCAUUCCACAAAGAGAAAUUACAUGAUGAACAUGAUAGGUAGCAUUCCACAUAAAAAAUUCUAUUUUUAUCAUUUACCUACUCAAAGACGAGCAAGAAUUAAGCUCGGGGAUGCUUGAUACAUCUCCAAUGUAUCUACAAUUUUUUAUUGUUCCAUGCUAUUAUAGUAUCAAUCUUGGAAGUUUUAUAUGCAAUUACAUAUCAUUUUUUGGGACUGACCUAUUAACCUAGUUGUUGGGGAAUGUUGCAUGGGAAACAAAAAUAUUCCUACGCUCACCAAGAUCAAUCUAGGAGAUGAACAUCUACGAGAGGAGAGAUUGCAUCUACAUACCCGCUAAGCGGAAGCGUUAAGAAACGCGGUUGAUGUAGUCGAACGUCUUCACGAUCCAAUCACGAUCCAUCCAGCGAACUCCCGAUCCAAGUGCCGAACAUACGGCACCUCCACGUCCAACACACGUACGGCUUGAUGACGCCUUCACCUCCUCGAUCCAACGAGCAAUGGUGAAGUAUUAGCUCGAGUCCUCCGGCAGCACGACGACGUGAUGGCGGCGGUGGUGGAGAAAUCUUAGUAGAGCUUCGCUAAGCACUACGGAGAAGAAGAUGGACUACGAGGCAGAGGAGGAGGAGCGCCGUGGCAUGAAUAGAUCCGUAUGGAUGCGGCUGCCCUAUCUCCCCUCCUCUAUAUAUAGGGGGAAGGGCGGAGGAAGGGGGCGCCCCUAGAUCCAAUCUAGGGGGCGGCGGCCUACAACGGAAACCCUAGAUGGGUUUUGGCCCCCCACCCCUUACGAGACUUGGCCCCCAAGGCAAAGGGGUGGGAAACCCUAGGGAGGUGCCCCACCUCCUUUGGCAACAUGGGAAGGGGGCUUGGGGGCGCACAACCCCUUACUGGGCUGUUGUGCUCCCUCCCCUUGGCCCAUGAGGCCCCCCAACACUUGUUGGGGCCUCCCAAAACCCGUUUCAGUGAUGCUGGUCAUCACCCGGUACCCCCGGAACAAUUAUGGACUCCAAUACCCUUCGUCCAAUAUAUCAAUCUUCACCUCCGAACCAUUCUGGAAUUCCUCGUCACGUCCGGGAUCUCAUCCGAGACUCCGAACAACCUUCGAUAACCACCAUAAUGACUCAACUAUACUUAUGUCGUCACCAAAUAUUAAGUGCAUAGACCCUGCGGGUUUGAGAACUAUGCAGACAUGACCGAGACACCUCUACGGUCAAUAACCAAUAGCGGGACCUAGAUGUCCAUAAUGGUUCCUACAUAUUCUACGAAGAUCUUAUAGGUUGAACCUCGAUGCCAAGGAUUCAUCUAAUCCCUUAUGCAGUUUCCUUUGUCUAUCGGUAUGUUACUUGCCUGAGAUUCGAUCGUCGGUAUCUCCAUACCUAGUUCAAUCUCAUUACCGGCAAGUCUCUUUGCUCGUUCCAUAAUACAAGAUACCGUGGCUAACUCAUUAGUCACAUUGCUUGCAAGCUUCUUGUGAUGCUGUAUUACCGAGAGGGCCUAGAGAUACCUCUCCGUCAUACGGAGUGAUAAAUCCCAGUCUUGAUUCAUGCCAACUCAACAGACACCGUCGAAGAUACCUAUAGAGCACCUUUAUAGUCACCCAUUUAUGUUGCGAUGUGUGUACAUGGAAGGUAUUCCUCUGGUGUGAGUGAGUUGCAUGAUCUCAUGGUCAUAGGAACAUAUAUUCUUGACAUGCAGAAAAUGAUAGCAAUAAACUUGAUAUGAUCAUAUGCUACGUUUAUAGUUUGGGUCUUGUCCAUCACAUCAUUCUCCUAAUGACGUGAUCCCAUUAUCAAAUGACAACUCAUUUCCAUGGCUAGGAAAACAUAGUCAUUUUGAUCAAUGAGUUAGUCCGGUAGAGGCUUACUAGGGACACAUUGUUGUAUAUGUAUCCACACAUGUAUCUGACUUUCCAAUCAAUACAAUUCUAGCGUUGAUAAUAAAUGAUUAUCAUGAACAAGGAAAUGUGAUAAUAACCAAUUUAUUAUUGCCUCUAGGGCAUAUUUCCAACAGUCUCCCACUUGCACUAGAGUCAAUAAUCUAGUUCACAUCAUCAUGUGAUUAACACUCAUAGUUCACAUCGCCAUGUAACUAACACCCAAAGAGUUUACUAGAGUCAAUAAUCUAGUUCAAAUCACCAUGUGAUUAAUACUCAAUGAGUUCUAGGGUUUGAUGAUGUUAUGCUUGUGAGAGAGGUUUUAGUUAAUGGGUCUGCAACAUUCACAUCCAUGCGUACUUCACAAAUCUCUAUGUCAUAUUGUAGAUGUUGCUUCCACGCUCCACUUGGAGCUAUUCCAAAUGGCUGCUCCAAUAUACGUAUCCGAAUUGCUACUCAGAGUCAUUCGGAUUGGUGUUAAAGCUUGCAUCGAGGUAAACCUUUACGUCGAACUCUUUAUCACCUUCAUAACCGAGAAACAUUUCCUUAUUCCUCUAAGGAUAAUUUUGACCGCUAUGCAGUGAUCCGCUCCUGGAUCACUCUUGUACCCCCUUGCCAGACACGUGGCAAGGCACACAUCAGGUGCGGUCGACAUCAUGGCAUAUCGUAUAGAGCCUAUCACUACUAGGGAAAAGCUUAUAGGCAGAUGCUUACUAGUAGCAUGGUUUAAUAACCCUCGCUACUGCUACUUACUAGUAGCGCGGGUUUUUACCCCCCGCUACUACUAAGUUGAUAGUAGUAGCGUGGGUUUAUAACCCUUGCUACUACUAAGUGGUCUCUACCGUGCUCCCCGGGGACAUGCCAUAGUAGUAGUGAGGGUUAUAAAACCGCGCUACUACUAUCAACUUAGUAGUAGCGCAGGUUUAUACCCCUCCCUACUAGUAAGUACAAGGUAGGUGAAAUCCCCAUAUCCUCGGCCGAUUCCCUCCUUUCUCCCUCAUUCUACCCCCUCUCUCCAUAGGCUCUCCUCCUCCUCCAUGGCGUCCCGUGCCUCCUCCUCCAUGGCGCCAAAAGAGGGAGGCCGCCUCACGUCGCUGGCGUCCCGAAGCUCGCCGGUCUUCCCCGCAUCUCCAUGCCACCACGUCGGACCACCUCACCACCGGCAACGAGCCCUGGUGCGCCCUCCAUCUCAUUCCUUUCUUCCUUGUUUCUCUUUUCCCUCUCCAUGUACCUCCGAUUUUACUCACCUCCCAUGCCCAUGCCUACGCAAGUCGUCGACAUGGCCAACAAGGAGCUCUCUGCUUUGGCUGUGAAGAGGACCCUCACACCGUUGUCUUGCUCUCCUCUGCACUGGAUCCGGUCCCUCUACAACAGCCAUCGCUGGAUCUAGUCUCCGCUACCCGUCCAGACCUCCAGCGACCCUUGUCGUCGCUGGAUCAAACCAUUGACAGCAUGCACGGGGUCGAGAUUUUUUUUGAUUUUUGAAAUUAAUAGUAGUAGCGCGGGUCACACACACGUGCUAGAGAUAGUUAGUAGUAGCGCGUGUCAAACCCGCGCUACUACUAACACAUGUACUAGUAGCGCGAGAUGCAUCAUGCUACUACUACUAGUUAGUUGUAGCAUGGUAGUAGUAGCGCAGGCACCCGCGCUACUACUAGCUUUUAACCCGCACUACUACUAGGCUUUUUCCUAGUAGUGUAUGGCUAAGUGAUACGUCUCCAACGUAUCUACUUUUCCAAACACUUUUGCCCUUGUUUUGGACACUAACUUGCAUGAUUUGAAUGAAACUAACCCGGACUGACGCUGUUUUCAGCAGAACUGCCAUGAUGUUGUUUUAUGUGUAGAAAACAAAAGUUCUCGGAAUGACCUGCAAAUCCACGGAGGCAAGUUUUGGAAAAUAUAAAAAAUACUAGCGAAAGAAUCAAGACCAGGGGGCCCACACCCUGUCCACGAGGGUGGGGGGCGCGCCCACUCCCCUGGGCGCGCCCCCUGUCUCGUGGCCCCCCCUGACACUCCACCGACCUCAACUCCAACUCCAUAUAUUCCGUUUCACGGAGAAAAACCCAGAGAGUAAGUUUCAUCGCGUUUUACGAUACGGAGCCGCCGCCAAGCCCUAAUCUCUCUCGGGAGGGCUGAUCUGGAGUCCGUUUGGGGCUCCGGAGAGGGGGAUUCGUCGCCGUCGUCAUCAUCAACCAUCCUCUAUCACCAAUUUCAUGAUGCUCACCGCCGUGCGUGAGUAAUUCCAUCGUAGGCUUGCUGGACGGUGAUGGGUUGGAUGAGAUUUACCAUGUAAUCAAGUUAGUUUUGUUAGGGUUUGAUCCCUAGUAUCCACUAUGUUCUGAGAUUGAUGUUGCUAUGACUUUGCUAUGCUUAAUGCUUGUCACUAGGGCCCGAGUGCCAUGAUUUCAGAUCUGAACCUAUUAUGUUUUCAUGAAUAUAUGUGUGUUCUUGAUCCUAUCUUGCAAGUCUAUAGUCACCUAUUAUGUGUUAUGAUCCGACAACCCCGAAGUGACAAUAAUCGGGAUACUUCUCGGUGAUGACUGUAGUUUGAGGAGUUCAUGUAUUCACUAUGUGUUAAUGCUUUGGUCCGGUUCUCUAUUAAAAGGAGGCCUUAAUAUCCCUUAGUUUCCACUAGGACCCCGCUGCCACGGGAGGGUAGGACAAAAGAUGUCAUGCAAGUUCUUUUCCAUAAGCAUGUAUGACUAUAUUUAGAAUACAUGCCUACAUUACAUUGAUGAAUUGGAGCUAGUUCCAUGUCACCCUAUGUUAUAGCUAUUACAUGAGGAAUCACAUCCGACAUAAUUAUCCAUCACUGAUCCAAUGCCUACGAGGUUUUCACAUCUUGUGCUUCGCUUAUUUACUUUUCCGUUGCUACUGUUACAAUUACUACAAAACUAUUAUCUUUACUUUUGCCACUGCUACCAUUACUGUCAUACUACUUUGCUACUAAAUACUUAGCUGCAGAUACUAAGUUAUCCAGGUGUGGUUGAAUUGACAACUCAACUACUAAUAUUUAUGAAUAUCCUUUGGCUCCCCUUGUGUCGAAUCAAUACAUUUGGGUUGAAUAUUUUACCCUCGAAAGCUGUUGUGAUCCCCUACACUUGUGGGUUAUCAAGACUAAUUUCUGGCGCCGUUGUCGGGGAGCAUAGCUCUAUUCUUUGAGUCACUUGGGAUUUAUAUCUGUUGAUCACUAUGAAGAACUUGAAAGAUCAAAGAACUAAAAUUUAUCCCUCAACUACAAGGGGAGGUAAGGAACUGCCAUCUAGCUAUGCACUAGAUUCUCCUUCUGUUAUGAAUAAGCUUGCGACACCUAAACCUGAUACUACUAUGAAUUCUGAUAUGUCGCAUGUUAUUGAUGAUGUCACUUCUGCUAUGCAUGAUACUUAUGAUGAAACUACUUCUAUGCUUGAUACUACUGUGCCAUUAGGUGAAUUUCUUGAUGAACAACUUACUAAGGCUAGGGAGAAUGAAAUUAUUGAAAGUGAAAUUAUUGAUGAAUGUGAUGAUGAAGGUUCUCCUCCUAAUUAUGAACUGCUUGUUGUUCCUGAGGGUUAUGUUAUCGACGAACAAACUGCUAGAGAUUUUCUUGCUUGCAAUGAUAGAUCAGAUCUUAUGAAAUUGUUAGCUAAGCUGAAACAAAAGACUCUAAAUGCUAGAAUGAAACAUGACCCUGCUUUUUCCACUUCAUCUAUCUUUAUUACUGAUAAGGAUUAUGAAUUCUCUGUUGAUCCUGAGAUUAUUACUUUAGUUGAAUCCGAUCCUUUCUAUGGCACUGAAUCUGAAACUGUUGUGGCACAUCUCACAAAGUUAAAUGAUAUAGCCACCCUGUUUACUAAUGAUGAGAAGUCUCGCUAUUAUUAUAUCCUUAAGAUAUUCCCGUUCUCAUUAAAGGGUUAUGCUAAGACUUGGUUUAAUUCUCUUGAUCCUGGUUGUGUGCGUUGUCCCCAGGAUAUGAUUUAUUACUUCUCUGCUAAAUAUUUCCCUGCUCAUAAGAAACAAGCUGCCUUGCGGGAAAUAUAUAACUUUGUGCAAAUCGAAGAAGAGAGUCUCCCACAAGCUUGGGGGAGGCUUCUCCAAUUACUUAAUGCUUUGCCUGAUCAUCCUCUUAAUAAAAAUGAAAUACUUGAUAUCUUUUAUAAUGGACUAACGAUGCUUCCAAGGACUACUUGAAUAGUUGUGCUGGUUGUGUUUUCAGGGAAAGAACAGUCGACGAAGCUGAAUUCCUAUUGAAUAAUAUGUUGACUAAUGAAAAUAAUUGGACUCUUCCUGAGCCAAUUCCCGAGGCAAUUCCUGAACCAAUUGAGCCAACUCCUGAGCCUAUUCCUAAACCCACUCCGAAGAAGAGAGGUGUUCUAUUUCUCAGUCCUGAAGAUAUGCAAGAGGCAAAGAAAUCAAUGAAGGAAAAAGGUAUAAAAGCUGAAGAUGUUAAGAAUUUAGCACCUAUUGAAGAAAUACAUGGUCUUGAUAUACCACCUGUCGAAGAACCACAUUGCCUUGAUAACCCGACACAGGUAGUAAAGGUAAAUUCUCUCUAUAGAUAUGAUAAAGUUGAAAUCCCCUCUACUAAAUUUCAUAGCCCAUGCUUUGAUGAAUUUGAUGACUUUAUGGCUAGACAAGAAAGUUUUAAUGCUUAUAUUGGUGGAGAACUAAAGAAUAAUGCUUUCAAGAUAGGACGCUUGAGUGAUUAUAUGGCUAGAGUUAAAGGUGAACUUAAACUCAUUAGCAAAUAUGCUUCUAUGGUUACCACUCAAGCUGAACAAGUACGUAAGGCUCAGAAUGAAUUCCUAGAUGAACUAAAUAAUAAAGAUGACUUUGCUGUUAGAGUGGCUACUAGAACUGGUAAAAUGACUCAGGAACCUUUGUAUCCUGAAGGCCACCCUAAGAGGAUUGAACAAGAUUCUUAGAAUAAUAAUCUAGAUGCUCCUAGUUCUUCUAAGAAGAAGAAAAAGAAAAAUGAUAGGACUUUGCAUGCUUCUAGUGAACCUAAUGUAGAAACACCUGAGAAUCCUAAUGAUACUUCUAUCUCUGAUGCUGAAACACAAUCCGGAGAUGAACAUGAACCUGAUGAUAAGGCUAAUAACAAUGUUCAUGUUGAUGCUCAACCUAGUAAUAACAAUGAUAUAGAAAUUGAACCUGUUGUUGGUCUUGAUAACCCACAAUCAAGAAACCAACGUUAUGAUAAGAGAGAUUUUGUUGCUAGAAAGCAUGGUAGGGAAAGAGAACCAUGGGUUCAGAAACCCAUGCCCUUUCCUCCUAAACCAUCCAAGACAAAGGAUGAUGAGGACUUUGAGCGUUUUGCUGAAAUGAUUAGACCUAUUUUCUUAUGCAUGCGCUUAACCGAUAUGCUUAAAACAAACCCUUAUGCUAAAUAUAUGAAAGAUAUCAUUACAAAUAAGAGGAAAAUACCUGAAGCUGAAAUCUCCACCAUGCUUGCCAACUAUACCUUUAAGGGUGGAAUACCUAAGAAACUUGGUGAUCCCGGUGUGCCCACCAUACCAUGCUCCAUAAAAAGAAAUUAUGUUAAAACUGCUUUAAGUGAUUUAGGAGCCGGUGUUAGUGUUAUGCCUCUUUCCUUGUACCGUAGACUUGAAUUAAGUAAGUUGACACCCACUGAGAUAUCCUUGCAAAUGGCUGAUAAAUCAACUGCUAUACCUGUCGGCAUUUGUGAGGACGUGCCUAUUGUUGUUGUUAUUGCGAAUGUUACUAUCUUAACAGACUUCAUCAUUCUUGAUAUUCCCAAGGACAACAGUAUGUCGAUUAUCCUCGGUAGACCCUUUUUAAAUACUGCAGGUGUUGUUAUUGAUUGCAACAAAGGCAAUGUCACCUUUCAUGUUAACGGAAAUGAGCAUACGGUACAUUUUCCGAGGAAACAACCUCAAGUUCACAUCAUAAAUUCUAUUGGGAAAAUCCCAUCAAUUAUAUUUGGAGGUUUUGAAUUUCCUCUUCCUACUGCAAAUAAAAAGUAUGAUAUUCUUAUUAUUGGGGAUUUUCAUAUCCCCGUUGAGGUAACUUAGUGUUAUUCGAAAUUUCUCCGGUUCCGUGUUAUUCAAAAUGAGUUUGUUAACAAGACUUGAUCAACCUUGUUAGUGGGUUCAUUUUGAUGAUCAUCAUAUGGAUAAAACUAGAAGGCACAACCUUUUGUACCCUCCUUUUACUUUUUGUUACUUAAAAUAAAUAAAGCAAAAAUAGUAUUAUCUGUCUAUUUUCUGAAUUAUCCAUGCAAUAAAAAAUAUCCCUAAAAUAAAAGUGCUCCAAAUGCCCUGCAAAUUUAGUAUGCUUUUUUAUGGAAUAUUUGAGGAUUUUAGGCACUGAAAUCACUAUAGGAGGGGCAAGCACCAGGUCACGAGGGUGGAGGGCGCGCCCACACCCCUGGGCACGCCCCCCUGUCUCGUGGCCCCCUUGUGGACCCCCUCCACUUAUGCCAGCACCCACACACUCCAUCUUCUUCCCAAAAAAUCCCCAUCCAGCUCAAGCACGAGUUCUAGCUCAUUUUGCUGUGAUUUUUGAUCUCCUUGCUCAAAGCUCCAUUCACAAAACUACUUUGGGAGAUUGUUGCUUGGUAUGUGAUUCCUCCAUUGGUCCAAUUAGUUUUUGUUCUAGUGCUUUAUUCAUUGCAAAUUUUUACUGCCUAGGUGACCAUGUUCUUGAGCUUGCAUGUUAAAUUUAUGAGGUCCCAAGUAAUUCUAAUGCAUGAUAUAGGCUCUAGGCACUUGUAGGAGUAGUUGCUAUCAAUCUUGUUUAGUUUUAUUUACUUUUAUUUUGAAGUUAUUGAAAAUUUCAGAAAUAUUGCAGAAAAAUAAAUAUGUUCAGGAAAAUGUACCAAGGAGGUUCUUCAAGGAAGAAAGGACUCCGGCUUGCAAUACGUGAGCUCGAUGACAAAUUACCAAGGGAAGCUUAUGUACGGCCUUGUGAAUGGCUAUCGGAGCCAUUUAUGGUUGCAGCGGGUAUCAAGGAUGAAUUUGAUGCAUAUGUGCGUAAUGCCGACCUUGAGGCAUUCAUGCAAGAUAAGUGCCCGCAGUACCAGUACUUAACUGAUUCAUUUGUGAGAAGGUUUACAUUUACAUCUUCACGCAAUUCUCAAAGUGUCCUAUUUGAUAUUUAUGAUAAAUCAUAUACCAUGAACUUAGAAGAUUUUACAACUGCUUGCAAACUUCCACAGUGGGGCAAUAUUAAUGAACCCCACAAAUCUGAAUUUAGAGAUUCCCUUGCUAGUAUUACCGUGUGAGAAUCUAGGGAUAUUGCACAAGCUACCAUAGGGAGCAUUCAUUUUCCUGCUAUACAUUAUUUUGCUCUCUUCAUUGGUGGAUGCAAUAACGGUAAAGAUGAAGCAUGUCAUAUGUGUGUGCCUGAUCUUUGUGUCCUCAAGAGUGCUGUGUUAGGUUAUAAAGAUUAUAACUUGGGGGCAAUAGUUGCACGUAGGUUGCAUAAUAAUGGUAGAGCUGGAGAUUUAUUUGGAGGAAUUUAUGCGACCCGUGUGGCAAAUUAUCUUGGUAUAGCCCCAUGAGAGGGGGGUAUGAUGUUGCCUCCUGCUUAUUUACAUUAUGACGCUAUGGUCCAUCAUCAUUUUCUUAAGAGGAAUGAACAAUUCCUCCAGUAUCGACUAAUCUUUGACAGACAUAGCGCUGUCCAUGUUACUCUUCCUGCUUCUUUCCUUUUUGAUUACCAGGCAAAAGGAAGAUAUGUUGUUACCAGGGAGGAAGCAGCUGAACACGAGGGGAGAGCAGAGGCGGCUCGCCAACAUGCCGCAGCUCAGGAGGCAUUUGCUGCUGCAUCUCAGUACGACCCCAGUUACAACUGCGGAUAUCAGCCAGGCUACCCUUGGCAUUAGACCAACUUAGGCCAAAAUCCUAAGCUUGGGGAGUACGUAUUUCUCACCGACUUUACAUUCAUGUUCACACACUAUUCUAGUCGUCGGUGCUCAUACUCUUUCAUUGUAUUAUCCGUGCUAGUUUAAUUUUCUUUUUCUAGUCUUCUUCUUGUGUGUUUGAUAAACCUUAAGAAAAACCAAAAAAAUUAGUUAGUUUAAUUUCCAUGCGUAUAGUAGAAAUUAAAAUGAAAACCCAAAAAGAUUUCUCAUUCUUCUUUUACUUGUUGGGAGCUUUCCCAUGUAAAUAGUUUUCUUUUCUUUUCUUUCCUUUGGGGGUCGAGAGUAGAAGACCAUAUUGAAAUUGUUUAGUGGCUCUCAUAUGCAUGAUUGUUUAUUUAACUUAGAGCCCAUAUUACUUUGUCUUCUCUCUUGAGUUGAAUGCUUGCAGAUUCCAGCUUAGUCCAAUGCACGUGCACUAUUAUUAUUAUACACAUCAUUCGGUCAUGCAAGUGAAAGGCAAUAAUGACGAUAUAUGAUGGACUGAUUGAGAUGAGAAAAGCUGGUAUGAACUCAACCUCUCUUGUUUUUGUAAAUAUGAUGAGUUCAUCGUUCCUGAUUCAGCUUAUUAUGAAGUAAACAUAUUUGCAAUGACAUUUAGAGAUUAUAGUUGCUUGUGCCAUGCUUGAUUAGCUAUGAGUUAUAAUGGUCUACCUUGCGUGCCAACAUGCUAUUAAAAUAAUUAUGAUGUGGUAUGAUGGGAUGGUAUCCUCCUUUGAAUAAAUUGAGUGACUCGACUUGGCACAUGUUCACGCAUGUAGUUGAAACAAAUCAACAUAGCCUUCAUGAUAUUUAUGUUUAUGGUGGAUUAUAUCCUACUCAUGCUUGUACUCAGUGUGAAUUAAUUUUAAUGCAUGUUUAUGACUCUUGUUGCUCUCUCAGUUGGUCGCUUCCCAGUCUUUUGCUAGCCUUCACCUGUACUAAGCGGGAAUACUGCUUGUGCAUCCAAACUCCUUAAACCCCAAAGUUAUGCCAUAUGAGUCCACCAUACCUUCCUAUAUGCGGUAUCUACCUGCCGUUCCAAGUAAAUUUGUAUGUGCCAAACUCCAAACCUUCAAAUGAAAUUCUAUUUUGUAUGCUCUAGCAGCUCAUGUUUCAACUAGGGCUGCCUAUAUCUUCCAUGCUAGGUGGGUUAUUCUCAAGAGGAGUGGACUCCGCUCCUCAUUCACGAGAAAGGGCCAGUAACCGGGAUGCCCAGUCCCAUGAUCUAAAAAGAUCAAAGCAAAUCAAUAUAAUUAAACAAAACUCCCCCAGAGCUAUUGUUAGUUGGAGGCACUUGUUGUUUCGAGCAAGCCAUGGAUUGAUGCUUGUUGGUGGUGGGGGAGUAUAAACUUUUACCAUUCUGUUUGGGAACUGCCUAUAAUGCAUGUAGUAUGGAAGAUACAGCCAUCUCAUAGUUGUUGCGUUGACAGUGAAAGUAUGCCGCUCAAAAUGUUAUUCAAUCUCUAUUUUAAACUCGAGCUCUGGCACCUCUAUGAAUCACUGCUUCCCUAUGCGAAGGGUCUAUCUAUUUACUUUUAUGUUGAGUCAUCACCUUCUUAUUAAAAAAGCACCCGCUGGAGAGCACACUGUCAUUUGCAUUCAUUAUAAUUGGUUUAUAUUGGGUAUGACUUGACUGGAUCUCUUUUACCAUGAAUUACAAUGUUUAGUUAGUCCUUGAUAUUUAAAGGUGCUCUGCAUUUAUGUUUUGCGGUCUCAGAAAGGGCUAGCGAGAUACCAUUUUGUUAUAUCAUGUUAUGAUUGUUUUGAGAAAGUGUUGUCAUCCGAGUUUAAUUAUUAUGGCUCGCUAGCUGAUUAUGCCAUUGAUAUGAGUAAUUGUGAGACCAAGGUGUUAUUGUGAGUAUGGUUAGUUCAUAAUAUUUGCUGAAACCUGAAUGCUGGCUUUGCAUGUUUACAACAACAAGAGAAAAUAGAGUUUGUAAAAGUUUUUCUUUAUCACUUUCAGUUUAUCAACUGAAUUGCUUGAGGUCAAGCAAAGGUUUAAGCUUGGGGGAGUUGAUACGUCUCUAACGUAUCUACUUUUCCAAACACUUUUGCCCUUGUUUUGGACUCUAACUUGCAUGAUUUGAAUGAAACUAACCCGGACUGACGCUGUUUUCAGCAGAACUGCCAUGGUGUUGUUUAUGUGUAGAAAACAAAAGUUCUCGGAAUGACCUGCAAAUCCACGGAGGUAAGUUUUGGAAAAUAUAAAAAAUACUGGCGAAAGAAUCAAGACCAGGGGGCCCACACCCUGUCCACGAGGGUGGGGGGCGCGCCCACCCCCCUGGGCGCGCCCCCCUGUCUCAUGGCCCCCCCUGACGCUCCACCGACCUCAACUCCAACUCCAUAUAUUCUGUUUCGCGGAGAAAAAACCCAGAGAGGAAGUUUGAUCCCUUACGAUACAGAGCCGCCGCCAAGCCCUAAUCUCUCUCGGGAGGGCUGAUCUGGAGUCCAUUCGGGGCUCCAGAGAGGGGGAUUCGUCGCCGUCGUCAUCAUCAACCAUCCUCUAUCACCAAUUUCAUGAUGCUCACCGCCGUGCGUGAGUAAUUCCAUCGUAGGCUUGCUGGACGGUGAUGGGUUGGAUGAGAUUUACCAUGUAAUCAAGUUAGUUUUGUUAGGGUUUGAUCCCUAGUAUCCACUAUGUUCUGAGAUUGAUGUUGCUAUGACUUUGCUAUGCUUAAUGCUUGUCACUAGGGCCCGAGUGCCAUGAUUUCAGAUCUGAACCUAUUAUGUUUUCAUGACUAUAUGUGUGUUCUUGAUCCUAUCUUGCAAGUCUAUAGUCACCUAUUAUGUGUUAUGAUCCGACAACCCCGAAGUGACAAUAAUCGGGAUACUUCUCGGUGAUGAUCGUAGUUUGAGGAGUUCAUGUAUUCACUAUGUGUUAAUGCUUUGGUCCAGUUCUCUAUUAAAAGGAGGCCUUAAUAUCACUUAGUUUCCACUAGGACUCCGCUGCCAUGGGUGGGUAGGACAAAAGAUGUCAUGCAAGUUCUUUUCCAUAAGCACGUAUGACUAUAUUCGGAAUACAUGCCUACAUUACAUUGAUGAACUGGAGCUAGUUCUGUGUCACCCUAUGUUAUAGCUAUUACAUGAGGAAUCUCAUCCUACAUAAUUAUCCAUCACUGAUCCAAUGCCUACGAGCUUUUCACAUCUUGUGCUUCACUUAUUUACUUUUCCGUUGCUACUGUUAUAAUUACUACAAAACUUUUAUCUUUACUUUUGCCACUGCUACCAUUACUAUCAUACUACUUUGCUACUAAAUACUUAGUUGUAGAUAGUAAGUUAUCCGGGUGUGGUUGAAUUGACAACUCAACUGCUAAUACUUAAGAAUAUUCUUUGGCUCCCCUUGUGUCGAAUCAAUAAAUUUGGGUUGAAUACUUUACCCUGGAAAGCUGUUGCGAUCCCCUACACUUGUGGGUUCUCACUAAGGCAUGUGGGACAACCUUUGUCCUUUCUCUUUCUUUUGCCGGGGUCGAGCUUUGAGUCUUACUCAACUUCACACCUUACAACUCAGGCAAGGACUCCUUCUUUCACUGAUCCAUUUUGAACUCCUUCAAAAUCAUAUCAAGGCAUGUGCUAUAUGAAAGUUUUAUCAGGCGUCUUAUCUAUCUCUAUAGAUCUUGUUUCCCAAUAUCUAAGCAGCUUUACCUGGGUCUUCCUUUAAAAAACUCCUUUCAAACAACCCUUUAUGCUUUCCAGAAAUUCUACAUCAUUUCUGAUCAAUAAUAUGUCAUCCACAUAUACUUAUCAAAAAUGUUGUAGUGCUCCCCUUCACUUUCUUGCAAAUAAAAGUUUCUUGCAAACUUUGUAUAAACCCAAAAGCUUUGAUCAUGUCAUCAAAGCGUAUGUUCCAACUCCGAGAUGCUUGCUCUAGUCCAUAGAAGGAUCACUGGAGCUUGCAUAGCUUUUAGCAUCCUUAGGAUCAACAAAACCUUCUGAUUGUAUCACAUACAACCUUUCCUCACGGAAACCGUCAAUGAAACUUUGUUUUGACAUCCAUCUACCAGAUUUUGUAAUUAAAAAUGCAGCAACUGCUAACAUAAUUCCAACAUACUUUAGUAUCGCUAUGAGUGAGAAAGUCUCAUCAUUGUCAACUCCUUGAACUUGUCGGAAACUUGUUUGCGACAAGUCAAGCUUCAUAAAUGCUGACAUUACCAUCGGCGUCUAUCUUCUUCUUAAAGAUCCAUUUAUUCUCAAUGGCUUGCCAACCAUCGGGCAGGUCCACCAAAGUCUAUACUUCAUUCUCAUACAUGGAUCUUAUCUUGGAUUUCAUGGCUCCUAGCUAUUUGUUGAAAUCCAGGCCCACCAUUGCUUCUCAAUAGCUCGUAGGUUCACCGUUGUCCAACAACAUGACCUCUAAGACAGGGUUACUGUACCACUCAGAAGUUGCACGUACCCUUGUCGACCUACGAGGUUCGACAGUAACUUGAUCCGAAGCUUCAUGAUCAUCAUCAUUAGCUUCCUCUUCAACUGACGUAGUGACACAGAAACAUCUUUUUGUGUUGCGCUAUUCUCUGGUUGAAGUAAAGGUUCAACAACCUCAUCAAGUUCUAUCUUCCUCCCACUUAAUUCUUUCAAGAUAAACUCUUUCUCGAGAUAGGACCCAUUCUUAGCGACAAACACUUUGCCCUCGGAUCUGAGAUAGAAGGUAUACCCAAUCGUCUCUUUUGGGUAUCCUAUGAAGGUGCAUUUGUCUGCUUUGAGUUCGAGCAUUUUCGGCUAAAGCCUUUUGACAUAAGCAUCGCAACCCCAAGCCUUAAGAAACGACAACUUAGGUUUCUUGCCAAACCACAGUUCAUACUGUGUCGUCUCCACAGGCUUAGAUGGUGCCCUAUUUAAAGUGAAUGUAGUUGUCUCUAACGCAUAACCCCAAAACGAUAGUGGUAGAUUGGCAAGAGACAUCAUAGAAUGCACCAUAUUCAAUAAGGUACGACUACGACAUUCGAACACACCAUUACGCUGUGGUGUUCCAGGUGGCGUCAACUGUGAAACAAUUCCACAUUGUCUUAAGUGAUUGCCAAACUCAUAACUCAGAUAUUCUCCCCUUCGAUCGGAUCGUAGGAAUUUAAUCUUCUUGUUACGAUGAUUCUCAACUUCACUCUAAAAUUGCUUGAACUUUUCAAACAUUUCAGACUUAUGCUUCAUUGAGUAAAUAUACCCAUAUCUACUCAAAUCAUCGGUGAAGGUGAGGAAAUAACGAUAUCCACCAUGCACGUCAACACUCAUUGGACCGCACACAUCAGUAUGUAUGAUUUCCAACAAGUCACUUGCUUGUUCCAUUGUACCGGAAAAUGGGGUUUUAGUCAUCUUGCCCAUAAGGCAUGGUUCACAUGUGUCAAGUGAUUAAAAAUCAAGUGACUCCAAAAGUCCAUCAACAUGGAGUUUAUUCACGCGCUUUACACUAAUAUGACUUCAGCAGCAGUGCCACAAGCAUGCGACACUACCAUUAUUAACUUCGCAUCUUUUGGCAUCAAUAUUAUGAACAUGUGUAUCACUACAAUCGGGAUUCAAUAAACCAUUCAAAUUGGGUGCAUGACCAUAGAAGGUAUUAUUCAUGUAAACAGGAUAACCAUUAUUCUCUGACUUAAAUGAAUAACGCAUUACAAUAAACACAAUCUUAUCAUGUUCAUGCUCAACGCAGACACCAAAUAACAUUUAUCUAGGUUUAACACUAAUCCCGAAGGUAGAGGGAGCGUGCAAUGGUGAUCACAUCAACCUUGGAAACACUUCCAACACACAUUGUCACCUCGCCCUUAGCUAGUCUCUAUUUAUUCCACAGCUUUUGUUCCGAGUUACCAAUAUUAGCAACUGAACUGGUAUUUAAUACCCAGGUGCUACUAGGAGUACUAGUAAGGUACAGAUCAACAACACAUAUAUCAAAUAUACUUUUGUUGAAGUUGCCAGCCUUCUUGUCUACCAAGUAUUUGGGGCAGUUCCGCUACCAGUGAUCGUUCCCCUUACAAUAGAAGCACUUAGUCUCGGGUUUGGGUUCAACCUUGGGUUUCUUCACUGGAGCGGCAACUGGCUUGCCAUUCAUGAAGUUUCCCUUCUUGCCCUUGCCCUUCUUGAAACCAGUGGCCUUGCUAACCAUCAACACUUGAUGCCCCUUCUUGAUUUCUACCUCCACGACCUAUCAUGAACAGCUCCGGGAUCAUCUCCAUCCCUUGCAUGUUAUAGUUCAUCACGAAGUUCUAGUAGCUUGGUGAUAGUGUCUGGAGAACUCGGUCAUUCAUUAUCUUAUCUGGAAGAUUAACUCCCACUUGAUUCAAGCGAUUGUAGCACCCAGACAUUCUGAGCACAUGCUCACUGGCUGAGCUAUUCUCCUCCAUCUUGUAGGCAAAGAAGUUGUAAGAGGUCUCAUACCUCUCAACACGGGCAUGAGCCUGAAAUACCAAUUUCAGCUCCUGGAACAUCUCAUAUGUUCCAUGGCGUUCAAAACACCUUUGGAGACCCAAUUCUAAGCUAUAAAGCAUGGCGCAUUAAACUAUCAAAUAGUCAUCAGAACGUGUAUGCCAGAUGUUCACAACAUCCAUAGACAACAUUAGAGGGGUUGGUACACCGAGCGGUGCAUCAAGGACAUAAGCCUUCUGUGCAGUAGUGAGGACAAUGCUCAAACUACGGACCUAGUCUGCAUAAUUGCUUACAAUAUCUUUUAACUUAGUCUUUCUCUAGGAACGUAAUAAAACAGGGAGCUACAACACGAGCUAUUAAUCAACAACAUAAAUUGCAAAGACAACUUAGACUAUUGUUCAUGAUAAUGAGUUCAAUUAAUCAUAUUACUUAAGAACUCCCACUCAAAUCAACAUCCCUUCAGUUGUCUGAGCAUAACAUGAUCCAAAUUCACCAACCCAAGUCCGAUCAUCACAUGAGAUGAGGUGGUUUCAAUGGUGAACAUCUCUAUGUUGAUCAUAUCUAGUAUAUGGCUCGUGUUCGACCUUUCGGUCUCUUGUGUUCCGAUGCCAUGUGUGUACAUGCUAGGAUCGUCAAGUUUAACCCAAGUGUUCCGCAUGUGCAAAACUAGCUUGCACCCGUUGUAUGUGAACGUAGAGUCUAUCACACCCGAUCAACACGUGGUGCUUCAAAAAUGACGAACUUUCGCAAUGGUGCACACUUGGGGAGAACACAACUUUAUCUUGAUAUUUUAGUGAGGAAUCACCUUAUAAUGCUACAGUCGUCCUAAGCAAAAUAAGAUGCAAAAAAGGAUUAACAUCACAUGUAAAUCAUAAGUGACAUGAUAUGGCCAUCAACUUGUGCUUUUGAUCUCUAUCUCCAAAGCAACGGCAUGAUCUCCAUCGUCACUGGCAUGACACCAUGAUCUCCAUCAUCAUGAUCUCCGUCAUCGUGUUUCCAUCGGGGUUGUCACGCCAACCAUGCUUCUACUACUGUUGCUACCGCUUAGCAAUAAAGUAAAGCAUUACAUAGCACUUAGUGAUUGACACACAUGUCAUAAAAUAAUUAAAGACAACCCUAUGGCUCCUGCCGGUUGCUGUAUGCAUCGACAUGCAAGUCGAUAUAGACUAUUACAAACAUGAUCAUCUCAUACAUCAAAUAUAUUUCAUCAUGUCUUUGGCCAUAUCAUAUCACAACAUACCCUGCAAAAACAAGUUAGAUGUCCUCUAAUUAUUGUUGCAUGUUUUACGUGGUUGCUAUGGGUAUCUAGCAAGAACAAUUCUUACCUACGCAAAACCGCAAGGUGAUAUGCAAGUUGCUAUUUAACCUUCUACAAGACUUCCUUUGUCGAAUCCAAUUCAACUAAGGUGGGAGAGACAGACACCCGCCAGCCAUCUUUAUGCAACAAACUCACAUGUUUGUCGAUGGAACCGGUCUCAUGUAUGCGGACAUGUAAAGUUGGUCUGCGCCGCUUCAUACCACAAUACCGCUGAAUCAAGAAAAGACCAAGGAAGGAAGCAAUAUGAAUAUCAAUGCCCACAAACUCCUUUGUGUUCUACUCAUGAUGUGAUGUACGCAUAAACCUGGCUCUAAUACCACUGUUGGGGAACGUUGCAUGGUAAACAAAAAAUUUCCUAUGCUCACCAAAAUCAAUCUAAGAGAAAAACAUCUACGAGAGGAGAGAUUGCAUCUACAUACCCUUGUAGAUCGCUAAGAGGAAGCAUUAAGAAAUGCGGUUGAUGUAGUCGAACGUCUUAGCGAUCCAAUCAUGAUCCGUACCGCGAACUCCUGAUCCAAGUGCUGAACAGACAACACCUCCACGUCCAACACACGUACGGCUUAAUGACGCCUUCACCUCCUCGGUCCAGCGAGUGAUGGUGAAGUAGUAGCUCGAGUCCUUCGUCAACACGACGGUGUGAUGGUGGAGAAAUCUCAGUAUAGCUUCGCUAAGCACUACGGAGAAGAAGAUGGACUACGAGGGAGAGGAGGAGCAGCGCCGUUACACGAAUAGAUCCGUAUGGGUGUGGCUGCCCUCUCUCCCCUCCUCUAUAUAUAGGGGGGAAGGGAGGAGGGAGCGGGCGCCCCUAGAUCCAAUCUAGGGAGCUGCGGCCAACAAGGGGAAACCCUAGAUGGGUUUUGGCCCCCCACCCCUUAGGAGACUUGGCCCCCAAGGCAAAGGAGUGGGAAACCCUAGGGAGGCGCCCCACCUCCUCCGGCAACAUGGGAAGGGGGCUUGGGGGUGCACAACCCCUUAGAGGGCUGUUGUGAUCCCUUCCCUUGGCCCAUGAGGUAUCCCAAUACUUGUCGGGGCCUCCCGAAACCCCUUUCGGUGAUGCUGGUCAUCACCCGGUACCUCCGGAACAAUUCCGAACUCCAAUACCCUUCGUCCAAUAUAUCAAUCUUCACCUCCGGACCGUUCCGGAGUUCCUCAUCACGUCCAACAUCUCAUCCAGGACUCCGAACAACCUUCGGUAACCACCAUAAUAACUCAACUAUACUUAUGUCAUCACCAAACGUUAAGUGUGUAGACCCUACGGGUUUGAGAACUAUGCAGACAUGACCGAGACACCUCUAUGGCCAACAACCAAUAGCGGGACCUGGAUGCCCAUAAUGGUUCCUACAUAUUCUAUGAAGAUCUUAUCGGUCGAACGUCGAUGCCAAGGAUUGAGCUAAUCCCUUAUGCAGUUUCCUUUGUCUAUCGGUAUGUUAUUUGCCCGAGAUUCGAUCGUCGGUAUCUCCAUACCUAGUUCAAUGUCAUUACCGGCAAGUCUCUUUACUCAUGUAAUACAAUAUCCCGUGGAUAACUCAUUAGUCACAUUGCUUGCAAGGUUCUUGUGAUGUUGUAUUAUCGAGAGGGCCCAGAGAUACCUCUCCGUCAUACGAGUGACAAAUCCCAGUCUUGAUCCAUGCCAACUCAACAGACACCAUCGGAGAUACCUGUAGAGCACCUUUAUAGUUACCCAGUUACGUUGUGACGUUUGGUACACACAAGGUAUUCCUCCAGUGUUAGUGAGUUGCAUGAUCUCAUGGUCAUAGGAACAUAUAUACUUGACAUACAGAAAAUGAUAGCAAUAAACUUGAUACGAUCAUAUGCCAUGUUUAUAGUUUGGGUCUUGUCCAUCACAUCAUUCUCCUAAUGAUGUGAUCCCUUUAUCAAAUGACAACUCAUGUCCAUGGCUAGGAAACCAUAUCCAUCUUUGAUCAACGAGCUAGUCCGGUAGAGGCUUACUAGGGACACAUUGUUGUCUAUGUAUCCACACAUGUAUCUGAGUUUCCGAUCAAUACAAUUCUAGCAUGGAUAAUAAACAAUUAUCAUGAACAAGGAAAUAUGAUAAUAACCAAUUUAUUAUUGCCUCUGGGGCAUAUUUCCAACACCAGUGCCCAAUGCCAGUUGCUGUUUUUUGCUUGUUUUUGGCUUUUGAGGAAAUCAGUAUCAAACAAAGUCCAAACGGAGAAAAAACUUUGGAUUAAUUUUUUCUGGACCAGAAGAGACCCCUAGAAGGUUAUGGAGAAGACCUGAAGAGUCAUGAGGGAGCGACAAGCUCGGGAGGCGUGCCCCAAGGGGGGACGCCCCUAGGAUUGUGGGCCCCUCGUGGCACCUCUUGACCUAAUUGCGGCUCUAUAGAUUCUCAGAUAUUCCCAUGACAUUAGAGAGCCACCCGAAAUACUUCUUCCACCGCCGCAAGUUUCAGUUCUCGUGAGAUCCAAUCAGGAGGCCUUCUCCGGUACUCUGUCGGAGGGGGAAUUGAUCAUGGAGGGGCUCUACCUCAACCUUGAUGCCCUUCCGAUGAUGCUUGAUUAGUUUACCUCAGACCUACGGGUCCAUAAUUAGUAGCUAGAUGGCUUCUUCUCUCUCUUUGAUCUUCAAUACAAUGUUCUCCUUGAUGUUCUUGGAGAUCUAUUUUCUGUAAUGACCUUUUGCGUUGUGUUUGUUGGGAUCUGAUGAAUUGUGAGUUUAUGCUUAGAUUUAUCCAUGAAUAUAAUUUGAGUUUUCUCUGAACUCGUUUAUGCAUGAUUAUUAUAGCUUCAUAUUUCUCUCUGAUUUAUUGUUUUGGUCUGGCAAACUAGAUUGAUUUUUCUUGCAAUGGGAGAGGUACUUUAUAAUGGGUUCGAUCUUGCGGUGAUCAAUCCCAAUGACAGAAGGGGACAUGACACGUAUGCAUCGUUGCUAUUAAGGAUAAAAGGAUGGGGUUUAUUCAUGCGUGGGUUUACUUUGUCUACAUCAUGUCAUCCUGCUUAAGGCAUUACUCCGUUCUUUGUGAACUUAAUACUCUAGAUGCAUGCUGGAUAGCGGCCGAUGUGUGGAGUAAUAGUAGUAGAUGCAACAUCGUUUCAGUCUACUUUUCUCGGACGUGAUUCCUAUAUACAUGAUAAUUGCAUUGGAUAUCACUACAAAAAAAGACACAUCCAUGACAUUUUGGGCCGAACGAAAUUUUUCCCUGUCAUACAUAUGACACUUCUAUGACGAUAAUUGUGACAAAACCUGGUAUCAUCAUAGAUGUGGUGGGCUCCUACUUCUAUGACAAAAAAUCAUGAAAGAAAAUGGGCUUUUCGUCCUGGGCGAGCCGGAGACGCAGCUGCAUGACAUUCUUUGGGCCGUCCAUGACGGAAAAAACCGUGGUAGAAGCGAGAGCAAGGAAAAUUUCGGGGAGUUCCCGGUUACGGUGGGUGGUCGGGGGCCGAGCGAUGCGCGUUUCUCUCGUACACAUACGCGCGUGUGUGCGAGGCGUUGGCUCUAACUGAACCCGAGCGAGGCGUUGGGCUCUAACUGAACCCGAGCGAUUGCACUGUAGACUACUCNNNNNNNNNNNNNNNNNNNNNNNNNNNNNNNNNNNNNNNNNNNNNNNNNNNNNNNNNNNNNNNNNNNNNNNNNNNNNNNNNNNNNNNNNNNNNNNNNNNNNNNNNNNNNNNNNNNNNNNNNNNNNNNNNNNNNNNNNNNNNNNNNNNNNNNNNNNNNNNNNNNNNNNNNNNNNNNNNNNNNNNNNNNNNNNNNNNNNNNNNNNNNNNNNNNNNNNNNNNNNNNNNNNNNNNNNNNNNNNNNNNNNNNNNNNNNNNNNNNNNNNNNNNNNNNNNNNNNNNNNNNNNNNNNNNNNNNNNNNNNNNNNNNNNNNNNNNNNNNNNNNNNNNNNNNNNNNNNNNNNNNNNNNNNNNNNNNNNNNNNNNNNNNNNNNNNNNNNNNNNNNNNNNNNNNNNNNNNNNNNNNNNNNNNNNNNNNNNNNNNNNNNNNNNNNNNNNNNNNNNNNNNNNNNNNNNNNNNNNNNNNNNNNNNNNNNNNNNNNNNNNNNNNNNNNNNNNNNNNNNNNNNNNNNNNNUCAUCUGUUUUGCGGUACACCACACCCCUCCCGAUCAACAGGACCCCCGUUUCGACCGUAGGAGGUCUGUUUCCUCCGUUUUGCGGUACGCCACACCCCUCCUGAUCAACAGGACCCCCAUUUCGACCAUAGGAGGUCCGUUUCCUCCGUUUUGCGGUACGCCAGACCCCUCCCGAUCAACAGGACCCCGUUCCGAAUGUGGCCGGUCGACACAAGGCUGUUUCCUCUGUUGUGCGGUACGCUGGGCCUCGUUUCCACCGCAUGUUCCGUCCAAGCCCUCCUGAUGAACACGACCACGCAUUCCGUUCUGACCCAGCCGGUUGGGUCCCCAUGAACACGACAACGACGUUGUUUCUCCAUUCCGACCCAGCCAUGUACACGAGCCCUGGCCGUACGUAUGCGAGAGUAGGCGUUUGAGACCCUGCCCGUAUGUACGUACGUGGCCGUAUUUUCUUUCUUGCACCCUGGCCGCUGUACGUACGUGUACAUGCUACGUGCGUGCCUCUACUACGACACAUACGCGCCUCUACUAUGACACGUGCGCGCCUCUACAUCGACCAGUAUAUGUGUACGUACAUGUUCGCGACCAGAAUGACAAUGCUACGUACGCUUUGACCAGGUGGGUCCCGACUGUCACGCACUUCCUUGCCCGCGAAGAUGUAGCUGGUGGGUCCCAGCAGUCAGGGGGCGAAUCAUUUUGUUUUUUUGCCCGGACGCACUUCCUUGCAUGCGAAGGUGUAGCUGGUGGGUCCCAGUAGUCAGGGGGAAAUGUUUUUUUCGCGAAAUACGGUGGCCCAUCCGGUGGGUCCCUGCUGUCAGGUGGAGGAAUAAUUAUUUUGCACGUAAUAAGGAGGCACUUCAUUGCGGCCGCCGUGGACCCAGCUGUCAGCAUCUCCACGCACAUUACUCUUCCGAUGGAAGUAGGUCGUUGACCACAUUGACCACGCCGCGCCGAGAGGACAACGGCGGUGGACGACGGCGAGGCCUAGGAAGGGGACGACGCGAAGCCGGGGAAGACGCAGCAGUGGAUGCCCACGCGAAGAGUACGAGGGUUCACUGGUUUGGCUGCGGUGUGAGGCUGCCGUCGCUGCAGAAUAACAAGGGGUGUGGGUGAGUAGAGGGAUGGCCUGGCCAGUGGUGGGAGUAGUAGGGGCGGUGAGGCCUCCGCGGCAUCACAGCCGGCCACGGGAGGCAGGAGCAUGCGGCACGACCGAAGCUGCUUUGGGCGGCUGGAGCACGAAGACCAGAGGUUGAAGAAGCACUAAGGCUGUUCGAUGGACAUCGUACGGUCACUGGAGCUAGAAUCGUUCAUAUUGACUAAGUUGACAAAGCCCUCCGUCCCCGUAAACUUAGUAGGCCCACAAGUCAGCCUCCCACCAAGGUGAGUCGCAGCUAGCAGGGGGAGUAUUCAUUUUUUUGUGUGUAAUAAGGAGGCAUUUCCGGUGGGUCCGAGCUGACAGCGGGGGGAAUGUUUUUUUCACAAAAUACAGAGACCCUUCCGAUGGGUCCCAGCUAUCAGGUGGAGGAAUCAUUAUUUUGCGCGUAAUAAGGAGGCAUUUUCCUGUGUGGGCCCCUAUUGUCAGCCUCUUCCGAUGGUUGUUGUUUGUUGACCAUGUUGACCUUGCCGCGCCAAGAGCACAAACGCGAUGGACGAGGGUGAGGCUCAGGAAGAGAACCACCCGAAGCCGACGAAGCCACCGCAGUGGAUGCCCACGCUGAGGGGAGAACGAGCACUGACUGGUUGGCUGCGGGGUGAGGCUGACGUCGCCGGAAAAUAACAGGAUGUGUGGGUGGUUAGAGGGAUGGCCUGGCGGUAGCACAGCCAGCCACGGGAGGAGGUAGGAGGCAGUCCCGCCGACGCUGGUCUGGGCGGCUGGAGCAGGAAGAUCAGAGAUUGAAGAAGCCCGGUGGCCGUUGGAUGGACAUCCAACAGUCACUGCUGUGUGUUGACUAAGUUGACAAAGCCUUGCAUACGCGUCAAAAAAAAAUUAGGACAGCGUCAUCGUCAACCUAGUAGGCCCAGAAGUCAGCCUCCAAAACUGUGGAAAACAGCAUACAACCCAUUAGCCAUUAUUUUCAAUAAUUUACAGCCCAUUUGCUAAUUCUUAAGGAUAUUUGAAGCCCAUAUUCUUUUUAUUAGCAUUACAGACCAUAUAUUCUGGGCACUGCUAAAAAAUUCAACGAAUUUUGCAUAUUUCGGUGGGGUCCGAACUUUUUUAAUCAUGAAUUUUUGAGUCACGUUAAAAAUAAUUUUCAAAAAAAUAUAUCAAAAUAAAAUUCAAAAAACAUUUCUUCGCAAAAAAAUGAAUGAAAUUUAGAAUCUUAACUAGCAAGAUGCCUAUUCGUUGCACGGAACAUGAAGAUGCAUUUGUAUGAGUAGUUUAUCUUGUGGGAGAAAAGAUGAUAUUUUAAUGUAAUUGCCAGUUGGCUUUGGUUUUUAUAAGAGUAGAGAGUAGAGAAAUCCUGAAAAAUGAUAUUUUAAUGCAAUUGUCGGUUGGCUUUGGUUUAAAAAUUUAUAGCCCAUUUCUUAUAACUUAUAGCCCGUUUUCUAGGGAAGCCCAUUUCUUACUACUUACGUCCCUCCUCGUCUUGAAAGAUUUGCAGCCCAGCAAGGCUGAGAAAAGCAAGUAGGCCUCGGUUUUGGUAUUCUCCAAAAAAAGAACUGGGCUAGCCAAUUUCAGAAAGAAAAAAUAUAUCAACUAGGCUCGUCAUGUGCUUAAUAAAAGCGUAAGCGUGAGCUAGACGAGCCAUAGCCCCCGCACAGCGCGCAGUUGAGCUCCGUCUCUGAAAUUGAAAAACAAUUGGGCAAGCUGCUGGGUCCCUAGUGUUAUCCGCUCGUUGUAUAAUUUUCUCGUUUAUUGACUACAUUGACAAUGGCUUGGAACCUAAUUGUCAAACAAUUAGGAGGAAGUAUUUUUUUGGCUUGUAAUAACGAGGCACCUGCUUGCGAAAUGCAAUGACCCUGGUGGGUCCCUACUGUCAGCCUCUCCACAUACAGUCGUCUCCUGAUUCCUCUUGGUUGUUGACCAUGUUGACAACGCCAGACGGCGGCGGGCACAGCGAGCUAACCAAGGCGGAGAACAACGGCAAGGCCUCGGACGGGAACGGACAUCAGCCAUGGAAGAUGCAGCAGUGUAGUGGCAGGUGGAGGGGAGUACAAGGGCAACAACAUGCAAGUCAAGCAUACAAAUGGUACAGAAAGCCCAAGGAUUAAUUGUUCAUCAAAUUUUUAGACAAAACCCAGAUUGAACAUGACAGUAACAUCUAACCCAACCACUCUUUUUUGCAGUCACAAACAAAUGGAUCGGUCAGAUCCAUAAAAUCAACAUCCUAUGCAAAAACAUUUAUUUCAGGAUGUCUACAACUUAUUGUAAAUAGAAUCCGAGCAUGUUUAGAAGCCCAUUUGUCCACCUGAAACUUCUUUUUUUGCUGUUCAACAUGUUCGUCCGUAAGAAAUCUCUUGCUGUAAAAAUUAAGCGUCAUGGACAAUAGUAACCUUGCAUUCAACAGGAAGAAUGUGACAAAGCUUCUGUUCGCCUGGUUGGGUGCAUAUCGUCCCAUCGUUAUUGUCCUCAAAUGAAUGUCAUGAGAACUGAGAAAAUCCUUGUGCUUAUUACGCCAACGAUUGGUUAUAUGUUUUUCUCCAUGUGGUUCUGCCUAAGUAGACAUGAAGAUUGAAAACAGUUAAGGUCUGAAAAAAGAGUAUGUCGAAAGAACAACAGCUGAACAGUUAAUUCUAGUACAAUAUAUACAGGCUUUCAAUGUGCAUGAAAUCAUCACCUCUGUGUAUAAAUUCUCCAGAGAUCAAAAGCAUCGCAGCAAGCCAAUAAUUAUGUCCAGAUCAAAACUAUACAUUCUGAUAUAUAUGAUCUUGACAGAAUCUAGCAGCAUUGAUAGGCUAUCAAUGGACAAACUCUUCAUUGACCAUAUAACAUAAUAUUAGUACCCAAAGUGUACUCCAAGAUGAUAUAAAACUUAUGUGCACAAAUGAAAAAUGCAGCAUAAGAUUACAAAUGUGUAGAUGAUAAUAUACGUACGGUACCUGAAAAAUUGAGGAGCCAAACACCAACUCCUUGUGGUUAUUAAACGGGUCACGAAUUACACCCAAGGUCUCUAGUUUGGGCGCAGAGACGACAAUUAUUUCUGAAGGUGUAUAACAAUUAUGAAGGAGCAACCUUUCAAGUGAAGGGGCAUCUUCGAUGAUGAGCUGUUGUCCUUUAAAACAAAUUCCAACGCUUUUAAGGUGAUGCGACUUUAUUUGGAGACAACUGAUACUGAUUUCUAUUCCCAAAACAAUCAGCAAGCGCUCCAGGACAGGGCAACUGGAGUGGAUGAUGUUGUGCAGUGAGGCCUCCGACAGAUAAACCACCACAAGCGAAAGUUUUUUUAGCAGUGGGAGUCGAAGCAUUCGUACCAGAUCGUCUGGUAGAUGGCACUAGGCGAAGGUGGCGGUUUGGAGAGAGGAGGAAAACCGCGAGAUGGACAAUGGUGGUGUGGGCACGAAUUCUUGGUAUGUUCGUGGUAUGAAAUUUUUGUGGUAAUGGUAGAACUCAAACUGCUGUAGUUUUCCGAAUUCAGGGGAUUUCAUCCAAGCGUCCACCUUGCCGGGUAUGGACAACAGGUAGCUUGUCGGGAUGCAGAGGCAUUGAACGGGGCCCUGCUGGUGAGAAGAGACGAUGGCUCUGAGGAGAUCAAAUUCAGGAAGGACAGAUAUCUGACGACAAUCGAGAUUGAAGGGCACGGUGCGCCAUAGAGGGCGCCACCGAGUUGAGAGGACUUGUGUGUGGCAGCAAUCCUUGGUGGGGAGAAGCGAGAUGAUCUCCUCAAGGAUGACGCCCGGGAGAUCGCUGAUGCGGUCCACCAGAGAUUCUAUCGGUUCGUCAGAUCCGGGUGGGGGGGGGGCUCGCCGCUUCUCCCCACGCUACCGGGUGCGGGAUCUACAACCAGCGGCGUCGCUGGCGGGAGCCUCAUCUUCUUGGCGCUGGGGCCAGCCGACUCCAUUUUCCUUGUGGGCGUCACGCUAAGCUCACGGGUUUGAGCAGAGUAGCCAGAGACGAGCCUAUAGUGGGGAAGAAGGAGGGCUGGGGAUUUCUGUAGGAGUGAAAGAAGAGGAGCAGGUGUUUUCUAUACGAGUGAGGAAGAAGGUGAGCAGGUUUUUUUGGACGAGUGAGGAAGAUUAGGAGCGGGGGAAUUGGGUGGGGAGACGGAAGCGGGAGAGCGAGCUAUUCGUGUUCAUAAGGCCAGCUGCACUAACUACUCACUUUUUCCCAAGAACCGCUCUCUUCUUUUGCGUUGCUGCAUUGGAGCUGCCGCAUGGGCUUGGCUGACUGGCCAUGCAUGCAAGAUGCAUGUGCCCGUCGGCCACUGCAUGCGCCUGAUUUGUUACUAGGCCUAUUUAAUAGGGUGGUUAUGGAGUAAAUUAAGAGAUUUAUUUUCUCUGUGUGCAUCCACCAAAUUAGAGGAUGCGGUACUAGAUGCAGACACUCACAUUAAACUAACAUUCAGAAGAACAAAAGUUCAACAUGUCUAUGCAUCUCAAUGAUUCACCAUACUAUAACCAAUAUACAAAGCUGUGAGAAGGUGUGGAAAUAAAGAAAAUCGAUCGAUGCUUCUCUGAGCAAAGGGCCUCCCGGCGCACGCAUUAAUUUCCUGGGCAUGCUUGUUUCUUCUCAAUGUUGCGAGCACUUUGAGCAUGUUGGCAACUCCACAGCUAGCUAGCUACCUCAUCUUGCAAUUGAUGCUGACACAUUUGCAGCAAACACAUGAGGCAAUAGAGAUGACUCAACAUGGGUCCAUAUUGUGCAGUUCCCCUGAUAUUAUAUUCAUUGUCCUGAAUCUGAAAAGAUAGGAAAACAGUAGCUAUACUUAAACGGUGUUGCAAAACAGUAGCACAUAUCAAUAGCUCGGCAUGACAAAACACGAUCAUCUAGACGAAGGGGAUAGUGACCUGCCUGAGGAAGAAUACAUAUAAUUUCAUAAGUCCUUGGUUGAUUUCCACCUUCGGCUGCACUGCUUGUUUGCUCCUCCACACAUGACAGGAUCAUUCCGCACUGCAUUCAGCAACUCAACGUACGAAUAAGCUAAUUUCAUCUUGCGGUGGUCAUUGUACCUAGUUACGAAUGUAGGAAUACCUGGAGCACCAUGAGGUUAGCUGACAGCAGGUAGAUGCAGCCAUAUAAAUUUUGUGUGGUGCGACCAAAAUUGAGGUUUGUAUCCCUUCCCGUUAUGAGAAUUCUUCUUGAAGUUGGUAGAAUGUGACGGCUUGUUCUUUGCAUCAAACUUGCCUUUCCCCUAAGAUUUGUUCUUGUUGUUUUGGGGCUGGUUGGGCUGGAAGUUCUUCUCAUGUACCAUGUGGGCACUAGAAGCUCCCUCAGUGACCCGAGCACGUGUGUCUUUUGCUCUCACCUUCUCCUCAAAAUCAAGAGUGCUAAUGAGAUCCAAAAUAGAAAACUCAUGUCUCUUGUUUUUCAGAGAAGUAGCAAAAUCGUUCCACAAAGGUGGAAGCUUGGCAAUGAUGGUCCCAGCAACAAAUUUGUCUGGCAACACACACUUAAAGUACUCAAGUUCCUUGGAGAGAGAUCGUAUCUCAUGAGUCUGCUGAACAACAGAGCGCUCAUCAGUCAUCUUGUAGUCACAGAAUUGCUCCAUGACGUACAACUCGUUGCCAGCGCCCGAGGGCCCAAACAUGGCCUCGAGCGCAGCCCACGUGUCUUUGCUGCUGUCAAACGACAUAUAUGAAUCCACAAUGGAAUCGUUAAGAACACUCAGCAGGGCGGCUUAUAAGAGGGUAUCCAUGUUCUGAAAAGCUUCCUGCUGUGUAGGAUUAAGAUCGCCCUCAGGCUUACCCUUUGUGGCGUCAUAGCAGUACAUGAUCUGAAACCAAUAUACUGCUCUUGUGCGCCACCUUUCAUAUUGCACCCCCUUAAAAGUAGGCAGCUUCAAAAGCGCAGCAAAACCACUCGGAGUAAAUUGCCUGUAAUCAGGUUUUUGGAUUGGAUUGUUGAAUAUAUGAGCAACUUAGUAUGAGAUUUAAUCCGAAUCAGCAGUAAAUAGAUCAUGACGACAAUUGCAAACAUCAAAGUAAUGAUGCGGACUAAACUAGGAGGACAGAAUCACAUACUGUACAGCAGGAGCAGAACCGAUGUGGUUGAUGUUGUCACUCAUGUCGUUGAUGAAGAGGUUACCGAGGUCGGGGAAGAAGGCUGUCGUUGAGGAAGUCAUCGCUGGCAGCAGUCACAGGAGUGUGCUCCCCAAAAACCUGAUCGCCCCUCUCCCGUACAGGAUCACAAAAGGUGGGGUUCGGAGGACUGCUGUCCCUUCUCGCGGUGCACGCCGGAAGGAGGGUUGGAGAAGAAUUGCGUGGCAGCGCUAAGAUCUAGAACGGUGCGAAACCAUAUGAUACAGCGACGGCUAGGGCAGAGCAUGUCAGGUCGGUCGUGCGAGUAUAAUAGUAGGCCUUUGGCCCCCAAACCCCACGUCCAAGUCAAUAAUAGCUCAAAAAAAGUCAAUAAUAGCCCCACCAAGGUUUGUCUCAAAAAAAUUACUGAGUAAUUAAGGCGUCUGUUAGUCCCUUUAGUAUAAAUACAAUAUCAUUAAUAAUGGCCCCACCUUUUGUCUCACAAAGUAUGUUGGAGUACAACCGGCUACACGUUUACAAUCCGCUUCUCUUCUCUCUCCUUCAACUAAGCACAAAUACUAUAUUUAAAUCCUUAUAGCCUGCUUAUGUCAUCUAAUUGUAGUACUUUCUCUAAAGUUACUAUCCGCAAUGUGUAGUCUGAAAUGCCGGACGUGCAGCGGGCGGUGCCCUCGGUCGGCGCGCUGCUUCAACGGCGGAAGCAGUGAGAGGUCGCGUCGCCCUGACUUGCCAUCAAUGUGGAGCGGCGGGCUCAGCUGGAGCCGGGCGGGAAGUGCAUGCGGGAGGGGGGAGGGGUUUUUGUUGGGCCAAGAAGGUGAGAAGCCAACUUGGGAUCGGUCCGGACGGGGAAAUAUCAUGUGCUCCCAUACUCUGCACAUGACACUAGUCUAUGUUACUACUCCCUCCUUUCCGGUUUAUAGAGAUGUUUAGAGUAACAUAGUAAUAUGUUACAGUACAAGUUACUCCCCACUAUGACCAGCCUUGGCCUCUCCCAGUGCUCCACCAUGUAUAGCUGCUAAGCCUGCCACGUAAGCAUAAAAUAUGAUGUGGCACCAAUAAACUAAGCACCUAUGCAUUGAAGACUUGAGUUACUAAGCCAUUUAAUGCACUUAGCACAUCAUCUAAAGAGCAUUAAUAGUAUAGCCAGCUGCUGGCUAUAAGCUAGUGCCAUGUCAUCUACAGCCCAUCUUAUAGUCAACAUGUACAAUAGUAGAUCAAAAGAGUGUACUACUACUUUUUUAUUCUGUGGCCCACCUUUCAUUCUCACAAAGUGCCUAGGAGCAUGUGCUAGAGCUGGCUCUUCACGAAGAGCCCGCUUACCUUCUCUCGCCUCUUCUCUUUCCUCCAACUAAGCAGAAUUAUACUAGUUUAUUCCUUAUAGCCCACUGACUUAGCUCUAUUGUACUUGCUCUAAGCACAUCUAAGCACUUACUAGCACCCCCUUGACUGUGGACCUUGACGGUGUACAUCACCUUGUGUCUCAUAAUUUUCGUCGUCAUCAUCUGAGUCCUAGAAGAUCUUACCUACAUCAUCAUUAGCAUGCAUCCGCCUUGAUAGACAACAUGCGCAGAAGGAGUAGAGGUGACUGGGGAUGCACCCACCACCACAUCGUGGGCACUCCGUAUGUGCUCGUGUGCGUGCAGCGUGCGUGUUUUUCCAUCGGUGCUAGCUCUAAGGCCGAGGCUGCGGUCGUCUUCGUCUCCGACUAGUAGUUGAGCAACGACGGAAAAGAGGUGCUACAAGAGAUGCGUAUGCGCCGUUGUGUGCGAGCUUUGCCAUAGCACGACGAACCGGACGUCGCCGCGAAUGGCACACGCCUCCAUGCAGCCGAGUGUGUGCACAUGCAUGUGUUAUUCACGUGCAUUCUGCAGCCGAGCGUGUGUGCAUGCACGUCUUGUAUACGUGCGUUGUGUGCUCCAUGUUGUGCGCGUAUUUGCAUGAGUUGGACCGGAUGGAGUUAGUGCGUUGGCGUGUGUACAUGCGUGGCUGCAUGCGUCCUGUACAUGCGUGGCUUGUUGCGUGGUUAUCAAUAAUUCAAUGUAAACUACUCCCUCCAUUCCUAAAUAUAAGUCUUUCUAGCCAUUUCAAAUAGACUACAACAUACAGAUGUAUGUAGACAUAUUUUAGAGUGUAGAUUCACUCAUUUUGUUUCGUAUGUAGUCCCUUAUUGAAAUAUCUAAAAAGACUUAUAUUUGGGAACGGAGGGAGUAUAAAACAUCUUCAACUUAGCAUCCUGAUGUACCAUUUCUAGUGGUUAGCAAAAAGUUCAUGUUCUUUUAUUUGUUUAUAGGUGGGCAGGCGGCAAAAAACAGGGGAAAACGCGCAAGGUUCCUUGCAGACGCUCCACCGCGAGGUUCCUUGCUCCUCCUCGGUCGUCGGGAAUCUAUGCUCUUCAACUCUUUUCUUUUACGUGAGCUUUGUUCAUCCUUUUCCCAACACGCGAGACAUCUAGCAUCAAGGUGCAUGUGUCAUGCAAGAAAAUGGAGAUAAUCAAGUAAGUAGUGCGUAAGUGAGUCGUGCGGGGGGGGGGGAGCGGGGGGAAACCCUUUUUCGUAAGUGAGUCGUGCACUUCGAUGGCACCUACGCAAUAUUUUUUCUCCUCGAUGGCACGUGAAUAGUGCACGUACUCAACGACGGAGGACGGGAUGGUAGCAAUGACCUGGUCAAACCUUUUUUGGAGAGAGUAUGUACUACUAGUAAAUAACUUUGAUGUGUCCCGUUAACUCGCAGAAUGACGAGAAGCUUGAUUAUGCCUUCUCCCUCGCCAACGCGUGCGCGGUGGCUCGUAGCACGAGGUGAAACUUUUGCUUACAAGCGGUGGACGUGUAGCAGUUCAUUUGGUGUCAGAUUGCCAGAAGCACUACUGUAGAACCAUCAACUUCGGAAGAGGCGAAGAGCCAAGCGCAAGGUCACCUACUAACCUUAGGCUAGGCGUAGUGGGAGUAACAUAAGUAGGGGUACCUCCUUUUUUUAUUCUAGAAACAACCACACGCGAAUAUCAAGGUGCUGGUUACGUAGAACAAAUUUCCUGCAGUCUGCACUCAGCCCUCCUCUAUCUCUCUUCUCAGCCAGCCAGCGGACGCGCGGAGCCCAUCGUCUGUUUGCUCACAUGCAGCCCCACAUGUUAGUGAAAACGCAAGAGGACCCACUGAACUUGCACAUCUUUCACCUCGACGUGCUGGUGAUGAAAAACAAAUCCAAUAAAGAUCUUAGGUGGCCGCUUGUGGAGUUACUCAAGAGUAGUAAGAUUCUAUUUACAGUUUAACCCAAGAUGCACAUCUCGUGGCUUCAACUACCACUCUAUUUUCUUUCAUGACACGACCUGGAUGCUGGAUGUCCCACGUGUCAGCAAAAGGAGGAAGAACCCGACCAAAUCUUCGGUUGUGCUCUCAGAUUAGACUAGUUGUGCUAACUUAAAAAAUUUAUUUUGUACUCCCUCCGUUCCAAAAUACUUGACUUCCAUUUGUCCAAAAAUGGAUGUACCUAUAUACUAAAACAUGUCUAGAUACAUAUAUAUUUUGAAAAAUAGAAGGCAUGUGUUGUGCAACAGAGGGAGUAGAAUGGAUGCAAGUUUUUGUAUUGGGAAGAAGAGUACAUCCAUAUAUUGAUAGAGCAUUGGAGUUGGCCUUACAAAUGGGACCGCAGUCGAGGAAACCAACUAUCGGCAAACCCCCUCCUCGCCCGCCGCGCGAUGGCUGAGUUAGAGAAACGAUGAGGUUGAAGAGAUUGCUCUAGCACGGACUCCAAGAAAUAUGGUUUCAGAUGGAAGUCGUGCUGGUGGCGUGUGCCGUACUCCUGGAUGUGAAUGCUUGUUCUGGCCCAUGCCACCCUACUACUCCUACUACUUACUAUAUAGUACUAGUAUCGAGGAUUCGAGGUGCUGGUUACGUACAAUAUGGCUACAGCAAAAACACCCGCACGACGCGCGAAGCAUGUGAAGCUAGUACAAAUAGUGUACUACUAUUGUUGAUUGGCCUCAUCCGAUAACCUGUUGCAAUGCACGUACAAUUAUGUAUUCGGAAAAUAUUCUUUUGCCUCGUCGCACCACUCACUCAUAGAAGUAACUCGAAAGCCAUUCAUAAAUUUAGUAAGUUUAUCACAGGCAUAUCAUUUUAUUACAUACAACAGGUCAUCAACCCACAUCGACAAUGAGGAUACAUUAUAAAUACUAAAGUUUUCACCACACAACAAAUAACAAGCAAUGAAAUGAACUUCAACUCAACCAUUCCUCGGUGUUGGAAACGCUUGCUUUGAACCACAAGUGAUUCUCUGGGACGGGCCAUCUAUUGUUGAUCUCGAGACCAACGCGGGACUGAUCAUCUAGGCUGAAGCGGCCUACUAUAUCAGUACCAUGGUAGGGAACCACCCUAAUGUCCGAGGUAUAGACACAGUUGCUUCUCAUAAAUGGUACUAGUAACAUUGUGUCAAUAGCAGUUGGAUCGCCUUUCACCAUCAUCGGAUAGUUGUGUCCAAGGAAGAGCGAGUUUUCUCCAAGACUAUCAAUUCGGUACCAGGGAGAAGGUGUUGGUGCUAGCACACUAGUAUCCAUCCCGAAUACCAUGCAACGGGUCUUAGAAUAGGUCUGAAGAGUGCGACCAUGGGAGACAACAUGUGCUCCCUCAGUAGUAACAUCAUCAGUGGGCUGUAUACACACAAGAAGAGGUGAUCCAUCGGAAUUAGUUGCCAGGCGCCACUGGGUAUAUACGUUCUGCUCGUCCUCGUGCUCGUGAUCAUCACCAUCGCCAUCUCCCCCUUGGUUAUAAAUUUUUUCAAGUAUAGGUGGUGGAAUGUUCAUAGGACCUUGGAAACACAAGAAGAAGGUUAAUUAGUAAAGGGAAACUUGAUAAUCCGCAUGCAUGUGGAUGAAACAAUUAUAAUUACAGUGGAAGACAAACGUACCAAAACUACGAGGAUCCCAUGCAAAAACAGUGCCAUGAGCGGUGGAAGCAAACACAAGACCCUCGUAUUGAAUUGCAUCACAGUACACAUCUGUGUAUAGAAACUGAUUUUUGAGCAAUAUCCAUCGAGUCAAACCACCAAGGAUGGCAACAAGCUUGUCGAAGAUAGCAACAACUUCAUAGUUGUUGUAAUUCCAAGAGCGGUUGGGAACUUGACAAAUUUCUAUCUUCCGUAGAAGACAGUCACCAUGAUCGUAUUUGAACAUGCGUACAAUACCGGUGUGCUCAACCUCUGGGCAUUCUGCUGAGAUUUUUGGAAGUGGAACCCGGUCACAAGUGUACACAUUCACAAGUUCCCACUCGCAGUUGGACCCAAUGUAAACAACCCAAUCUCCAAUUGCGCCUGCCCAAGCCUUGCCCUCAAGCGAUGGCAUCUUAACAUCAUAUGUAUCAUUAUCAAGCGGCAUCAACUUGCACAGGGCAAGGCCUCCGUCGUGCCGGCGCCAGUCAUCAGGGUCACGACAAAGAAGAUAGGGGAGAUCAAAUGCUCCUUGACUCUUGGGUUCCUUGUAAUGAUGUUAUCAGUUGAGUCGAGAAUGGGCUUGAACGAACCUGCCAUGCUAGCCGAGGUGAUGACGUCGCACCGAUCAAUGAGUUCCUCCACCACGUGAUCUUUCAGAUCGGGGCAAGAAUAACGGGGUCGUUUCCAACCUCUUCCCUCCAUGGAGAAGACGAUCGAAUAAUGGCAGAAGAAAGGGUGAAGGGCUGAAGGAAAAUGGAGGAGGGAGAGGAAGAGCGUGCGACAACAGUUCCAAAUCGAGAGGGAAAGGUGAAUAGUCGGUGGACGGUUGCCAGUUUGCCACGGUUCACAAAGAGGCGCCCCGGCCUACACGUCCGUUUGGAAAUACUCCUACUACUCGUGUCGUCUCACUGAUAUGUUGGAACGGGACCACAUGUCAACGAAACAUGGUGUGUAAUUUCUCGUGCAAAAUGCGAUCUGGCCGCGUUGGCCCGAGGUGCCGCAUUAGUUUUUUUUUGAAAGUUUGUCGCAUUAGUUAUCGACCUUUAUUUUUUUAACAUGCAAUCUGAAUGGAUAACUCCUGUGGUAAUCACACGUGAGCGGAUAUAGUGAUGGUUGAUUCGCCUGAGCAACUUAUUACUGUGGGAAUAUGGGAGUACCAGCGGAUUCAAGGAACAGACAAAUGAUGGUUGCUUCGUCCGAGCAACUAACUGUGGCGAAGGUGGGGCUCUGUGAUUUGACUGCUCACUAGUCAUUACUACUGCGGCACAACAACCGAGGUGAAUCUUUCCCUGAAGUUGUGUUGUGCACUCAAUAUUGCUGCAUGGCAGGUGGAGUCGGAUGAAGGAUGUCCAAUAUGUCGGCGAAAUGAAGUUGAAUUGUUUCUAGCAUUUCUAUCAAUCCUUCAUGAUUUGUUUAUAUGUACGCAUAAUUUUGAUGAAAUUAUACUGUGAUGCUAUGAAGGUUUCAACUUUGGUUCCCGCAGGAAAAAAAUGUUUCAACUUAGGAUUCAUGUGUCUUGCCUCGAGAUUAUCUCGUUACAACAUUCCAUCAAAUACAAAUGAAACUACCAUGGCUAAUGCAUCUCAAUGGUUCGCAGAUCAGCGCCAAUAUUCACAUCACAACUAAAGACAAAGUUGUGAGAAGGUGUACAAAUAAAGAAAAAAAAUAUAAUUGAUUGAUGAUGUUCGUAGGCAUGGCUCCAUUUCCUUGGCAGAGUGUUCAUUGCUUGGCAUCUAGUUUCACCCAGCUCUAUAGCCAAAAAAGAGGUGUAUGAAGGACACCACAAUCCAAUCAUUUUAUGCAACUCCACUAAAAUCGAGCGGACCAUCCUUGUUUGCAAAGAUAUCCAGUCAGUGUGAUUACAAUAGUAGUGGAACUAGAUGAUGAAACAUAAUACACAUAAAUAGAAGCCGAUCACCUCUACGAUCUCUCUUUAGGACUAACUUCUUGUUGGAGAAGAUUAGGCACGAAGUUGGAUGAGGAGGAUAGCAAAACCAAUCUCCCUUUCCGUAGUCCCACAGAAAUGUAAAAACAUUGCCCGUGUGACAUUUUGGCGGAACUGCACAAAACACUCUUUAGAAAAGUGAUUUGUGCAGUUCACCAAAAGGUCACAAUAGCAACGAGGUGAAACUAGAUAGCCCUGUUUGCAAAAGGAGGUCGAAAGGAAACAAUUACUGCCCAAUAACACGAGUUGAAGACACAUACGCCGACAAAAAAGAAGCAUGGUCCAUGUAAAAAGGGAAAGAUAGCACAUGGUGGUUUAUCAAAAAUGGUUUGAGGACGAGAUUGCAAGAUGGAAAGUACGCCGGCCGAGAUACGAUUUAAGCAAACAACUAAAGAAGAUCCACAUGCAGCAACAUGGCAAGAUGGGCAGUGGAGCAAGGCCGGAGGAAGUUGUACCUGAGGGUCGUCGGCAUGUUACUAGGAGGGCGCCGGCGGCCGGGAUCUGCACAUACUACGACAGCGAGCAAGUGGCGAAGGCCCUACCGCACCGGAGCUUGGUCAGAGAGAACGACGGGUACCGCAGAUCGGGACGAGCUGCCUCAACGCCGUCGAAUGGAGAGACGAUGCACAUCCUCCCUUUCCGCCGGCAGAUGGGAUGCAGCCGGAUCACUGACCAACGCUGAGAGAGAGAGGCCACGGCGGCCUUGUGUGAGAUGGUGUGGCGAGAGACAAACCCAUUUUUACAUUUUGCACACGGCAAUCGUUUUAUAUUCUAGGCGUGGUACCCAACCCUCCUUCGAGUAAACAACCGCUACACGCGUCAAAUUAUCACGUGGGCUGCCUUUUCGUACAGAAACGAACUCCACCGUGUACCCGCGCGGGUGUGGCCGGGAACGAGACGUGAGUACGUGCGUCCUGCGUGCACUUCUUCUUUAGGUGCAGGUACGUACGUGGGUGGGUGUGAGAGAGAUGGUUUGUGCGAAACAGAGGCAAUGUGUUGAUGAUAUCUCAAUCAGAAAACCGUAACAUAUGCAAUGUGUGUGAAACAGAGUCAUGGAGGUGAGAUAUCGAUAGAAUUGAAAACAGGGAUGAAGUGUGUGGCUGCGCGAUCGAUAAAGAGUGCCAUCGAAUUUGUGUUUGCCCACGUCAAAGAUACAGGGCGGCUGGCCUACUGGAAUUUGAGAGGGCAAAGGAGCAGUUCUUCUCCAUGGCAUGGAUACCUACCUACAAUGUUCGACUAUCGGUGUGUUGGGGGGGGGGGGUAGAGACCGGUCGACUAGUAUAUGUGNNNNNNNNNNNNNNNNNNNNNNNNNNNNNNNNNNNNNNNNNNNNNNNNNNNNNNNNNNNNNNNNNNNNNNNNNNNNNNNNNNNNNNNNNNNNNNNNNNNNNNNNNNNNNNNNNNNNNNNNNNNNNNNNNNNNNNNNNNNNNNNNNNNNNNNNNNNNNNNNNNNNNNNNNNNNNNNNNNNNNNNNNNNNNNNNNNNNNNNNNAUAUGUGUGGGGAAGGAGAGAGACCUGGCUAUGUAUUGAGGGAGAUCGAUCGACAUCCAUGGAUAUGUGUAGCAGAGGAAUAAGGUUGGGAAAAAGACAAAGGUAGAGCGUCAGAGGGUUGGUGGUGGAGUGGCGUCUUACAAAUGGUGGGAGAGGCCUGCUAGACAAACGGAGGGUAUGAGUGCAAUAUGAAUAAGAGAGGGCGGGGGAUGUCUGUCUGUCUAUGCACGUGCGUGUGAGAGACGGGUUGGGAGGUAUUCAAGGAUGAUGAGGGGAGAAGAUAUGGUUGUGGUAAGCAUGCGUAACUACAUAGGAAGAUCAACCGUCGUGUGUCCGAGAAAAGGAGAGACAUAACUAGCGAGGUAAGUGUAUCGGUGCUUGGUGAAAACAAAUUAUAGUCGACCUGUCUAUAUGUAGGGAGAUCAGUUCAUAUACACGCCUGUAUAUGUUAGAAGCAAAUAAGAUCCGGAGAGGCAGACAGGGGGAGAGGGUGUGGCUAGGAGGUGGUGCGAGAGGCCUACCAUGUCGAGGGGGGAGCAGUGUGCGAGCAUGUGAUAAAUGAAAAGAGGGGCGGGAGUGUGCACCUACGUGGAAUCGUAUUGGACAUAUGGGGGCAUGGACGGUGAGAAGAGAAGAGGGGGAGUAUAUAUGUGUUUGUUGUAGGCACACUUGGCUAGAGAGGUAUAUCCACCGGUGUGUGCCAGAAAGAAGGAGCCGGGGGCCUACACAAACCGCUGGUGGACAACCUAAAGAGUAAUAUUGAACGUGCACGAUGGAGGGGACACUAAGGGUGUGUGAGGGGGCGGGCAUGUGCAUGCAUGAUAGAAAGUUAGCGCUAGCUAGCUACAAAUAGAAGAGGAUCAUGAAGGUGUAAAAUACGAACAAAGAUCAUAAUUCAUUAUAAAAAAGUGGAUACGGAUACUUGAAGAAGAUAUCAUAAUGUAGAACAUUGAUUAUAAUUUGGGCUAAUGUGUGGCUUUUGCAACUCAGGUCUAAAUACUUGUCAUAAUGUAGGGGGCGGGGCACUAUACUUUGUGUGAUAAACACGGUGUACGUGUGGAACAUGGUUUAGAUUAUGAAUAUAUAGUUAGUACAUCAAAUGUACUAUUAUUUGGAAUCAACAUCAAGUGUAUUCAAAAAAUAGAAUUCGAGUUCAUGUAGUACACAUAGUUCAUAUCUAUCUCUAUAGUAAUCAUGUGGUGUGUUAUUAAGGUAAUACACGAAUGAUGGUUGAAGUUGGCAACAAUCAUGAUUGUAGAGUCUUAUUGAAAUAGAGAAACGAAUUCAAAUGUAGUUCGAAUUGCAGCGGUAGUAUAGACAUUUGGAAUGCACUAAACUAUUGGUAUGCGUAGGUUACAUGCAUUAUACAGCAAGCAAAAAAAUUUAAUCGGACAUAACAUGGAUUCAUACUCCCUCCUUCCAUCUAUAUAGGGCGUAAUGAGAUUUUUAAGACCGCCUUUGACUAUUGACAAGAUUAAUAGUACAUGACAUGCACAAUGUGAAAAUUAUAUCAUUGAAAGAACCUUUCACAGACGAAUUUAAUGGUGUGCUUUGUGUAAGUUGCAUGUCAUAUAUCAUUGCUAUAAUAUUUGGUCAAAGUUAGCAUCGAAAAACGCAUUAGGCCCUAUAUAGAUGGAAGGAGGGAGUACCUUUGAAUAGCAUUUGUAUAGUAAAACGGGGCAAGACUCUCUCUUUGUGUGGUGUGAAUAGUUUUAUUUUUUUCGAUUUCUUUUAGCUUGAGAGAAGUGUGAAUUGAUUUGGUACGUACAAGUACAAUAUUACUACACGUUAGGCUUGUCCCUAAAAUUCAACCCGCGUCUUGUUAAAUCCCGAAAAUUCAGAUAUCGUGCUCUCAAAACUGGCGCCUUCACAACCCGCGCCUUGCUAUCCCGAAAUUACAACGCGCGCGAAAACUCCCUCCAGCUGCCAAAUCCCGACACGUGAAAUCCCCCUUCUAACCCUGAGCCGAAAGGUCCGCUAGUUCAAAUCGGUGGGGGGUACUUUUGUAACACACCCUACAUUUUGGACAAGCGCGUCCCUAAGUCAUGCUUCACCCCCCCCCUCAUCGCCCCCUUUUUGCCAUUCGAAAUCCCAGGCCGCCAUAACCUCUCCGCUCCAGCCGCGAAACCCCACCCUCCUCCAUCCGCCACCUCACCGCUCCCAGCCGGAGCCUCUUCCCCGACGACAUUGUCCACCGCAAUAGCUCGACGUCCCUCGCCCACCUCCCCGGAUGAGGAUCUAUCAUCCAUCUCGCCGUCCCGCCGGUUCAGCCGCCCCGUCCUCCACCUCCAAGGAGCUGCUCCGACAAUCGCCUCGUCUAUUGCGGCUGCUCCAUCCCCACAGCGUCGCCUUAACCUGCUCCACCGGAACUGCAGCAUCCUCAGCGAAUCCUCGGAUGAAGUCGAGGCCUACUCGGCACUACCAAAGAGGUUGUACACUCAUCGCAUCGCACCUUCUCCUUAACUCGACCUCCCGGCGCCGACGGUGCUCCAUCCGGCACCCCCAUGGAGCGGCUACCUUGAAGCCGGCGCCGCGAGCGACAUCUCCACGGCGGCUCUCCCCCAGUGUGAGGCCCCUUUGGCAGCAGCGUCCAUACCAGCCAGAUCUGCUGCUGCUGCUCCGGCACUCACUCGAUCGCUCGAUCGCCCAGCUGUUGCUGCUCCGGCUCUCACUCGCGCGCUCGUGCUGCUGCUGCAGCUCUCCCCCUCGCUCGCUGGAGUUAAGGUAGAACCACCCGCAGCAGGGACAGGGGCUCGCCGGAGAGGUACCCCACUAUCUAUCUUAGGGUUCAGGGUGGGGGGCGUGGGGCCUAGAGGGCUGGCCGGGGCGGCGGUGGGGAGUUGUUUCGGGGCGGCGAGGUGGCACUGGGGCCGGCGGUUUGGCCGGUGGUGGCUGGCGGCUCAGGGGGGUGCAGGUUGAAGAUGAACUGCAGGCCCUCCCUAAACUACAUGUCAAGCGCCUCUCUGCUACCAUUGCGUUCAGUUUCGAUAGCAGCAUUCAGAUUCCACAGUAAAUUUUAGUUUCGACAGUUAAAUUCAGAGUCAACAGUUUUUACCUCAUCUGUUGUAGUCAGGUGGUUUUUGGUGAUGUAAAUUUUACAUCAAUUUUACAUCAUCUAUUGGAGAUGCUAUUAGAAUCCCACUUGAGAUUGACGAUGUCUAUCUUGUGCUACUUCAGCCUUGAUGUCUUACGGCUCACCGGAGCUGCUCCAACGACAGAAUGAUCCAUCACAACAGAGCAGUGCCCUGGACGCCUUCUACAGAUUCCUCAGAUCUUCCUCCACACCUCCGACAGCCACCUCUGCCUCAACUGCUUCAGCGAUCAACCCAAUGAUGCUGAGGUCGACACGACUACGGCAAAGAGGUUGUACACUUGUUGCAUCACUUAUUACUAUACAUUCACGUCGAUCCAUUAGGGCUAUUUUGGUUCAACGGAAAAACAUAGCAAUAGGGAAUUUUCCAAUGGCACUCUACUAUUCAAUUAUUCAUGCAUUUUAUUGAAAGUAAUGAAGCAAAACAUCCACCUGGACCUACUUUUCAAAAUCCUAUGCAUGAAAACAAGACCAAGUGCAUUAGUGCCAGAAUAACAUUCUAACUGUACACACUUUCAUAUGGUUUCACUUUAUUUUGGCCAUGUUUCUUUGCAUUCCUCUACUCUUCCAAUUCCUGUAAACCAAAAACCCAAGUUGACAGAAAUCCUGUGUUUACAAAUGCUCUAUUUACCAUGUGCAUUUUCCUAUCCUAUUUCGGUAUUUUUCCUAUCCCUGCGUUUUAAGACUCAUGCAAGCCAAAUGAGCCCUUACAGAAUUACUUCAGUUACAGGUACGUGUCGAAGGGAACUUUGUGUGGUUUGUCCUGCUCCUGCUGUGACGUCGUCCACCUCACCUGAGAUGCUCCAUCGACAGAAGCAUCCACCAAACCAGACACACGACUCCUAACCGUCUUUCGCCGCCUCAGAUCUCCUUCCCUGCCACCGGCACCCACCUCAACGGCAUCACCAUCAUCGACUCAGCAGCUGAACCUGAGGAGUACACGGGUCCACAAGAGAGGUCGCACUCUUUUGUUUCUACUUAUGUUAUGCAUUGCUUAAACUUACCUGCUACUUUAUCGUCCUGUUCAACUCUUGGACUCCCAAGUUAGGUCCAAAUUAAUGUUCAAACUUGAGUUCUAAAUUAGUUGUGGGGCACAUAUCGAGGCAGCAAUGAAUAGUUUGUCUGUCUAAUAUCUAGUUCACCUAGGGUAUACCUAUGUUGUUCAUCUUGGAUGGAAACAAAUAAUAAAGCAAUCAUCAUCUGCCUUAAUUUAAAGCAAUCAUUAGCCUUCUUAUCAUUAUUUUUGGUUCCAUCCACUGGUUGUUACCAUCACUCUAAAUUUCUGCAUGCUCUCCUUACAUAAUCUCACCAUAUUUUUUCGUAUGCAUGUCAGAUAUUGUACACAGUCAUGCUGAACAUGUAGAGAAAAAGAGAAGAGUUUUGCACGGCAAUACAAUGUCAUGCAGACAUCGCUCCAUGGUGGGUUCAAUGGCAAACCCUCCCCACCCCUCUCCAGAUUGUAAUCCAGAGGAAGAUAUCUGUUCUGAGGCGGAUUCAGACGCCGCUGACCACUCCUAUUUACCCCCCAAGGUGUUUGCUCUACCUUGGCAUGAUGAUGUUAGUCAUAUCAUGCAUAUGUUGCCUUGCAGUGCCUACUUUUGACGUCAUAUAUGUCAUCUGCCUAGCUUAGACAUGUUCUGUAAUGCCACCUAUUUAGUUUCUAUAUCAUAUAUGAGAAUUAUGCAUUCUCAUGUCUUUUAGCCAGCCAUAAUAUAUGUGAAAUGUGCAAUGCCAUCCUGUUUAACCAGGCAUCAUAUAUUUGAAUGAUAUCUUGCCCAUCCUUUUCUUCAUUACAUUUCCAUUUGUCGACAAUGUUUGUACAUUAAACUACUCUUCCUGUGAAUCAACCAUUUGGGUGGGAGAUGGAAAAAUCUGGAGUGAAAACAAGGCCUUCAGAGCAGACAGUGCUACCUGUCGAAGCAGAUCUCUUGUUGGGUCCCGAUAGCUCCUCAGAGAUGGAUUCGGAGAAAUAUGACCAGUCCUAUUCCCCCACUGAGGUGUAUGCUCUAACUUGGCACGGUUAUACUGCUCAUAUCAUGGAUAUGGUGUCUUGCAUUGCAUAGUUUAGACAUCAUAUACACAAUAUUCAACACCAUGUUCUUAGUUCAGACAACAUAUCGAAUGCCCUAUGUUUAGCAUAUAAAUCACAUAUGUGAAUUAAAUGAUGCGAUCCUGAUUACUUAGAUAACAUGUAGGUGAAUAAUGUCAUGCGAUCAUGUUUAGUUAUUCAUCAUAUCUUUGAAUUAUGUUAUGCUAUGCUAUCCAGUUUAGAUAGACAUCAUAUAUGUGAAAUUAUGUAAUGCUAUCCAUUUUAGUUAAACAAUAUACAUGUCAACUAUUUCAUGCCCUCUUUUUUCCACACUAUCUAUUGCAUCUGUCUCUCAUACAAUGUCUGUACAUUCAACUAUGUUUCCUGUUUAUCAGCCAUUUGAAUUGGAGCGGGUGAUGCCAGUAUCUAGCAGACUAAAAACACGGCCUUCAAAUAAAAUAGUGCUACCUCUUGGUGCAGAUAGCACCCCGGUUGUACAUGCACAAGAACCAGCCCUACCACACAUAACCCAAACUCUCAUAGAUUGUACCCCUACUGCGAUGGACAGAGAACCAGCUUCAACCAAUCUAACCCCAGCCGAUAGUAACCCAGUUCCUGUUGACACAUCACCAUCUCCACCACAGAGCUCCCAAACAAGAGCAGUUAGUAAGGCAGCUCUAGUGCCCAAAGGGCCAGUACUAUCACGGCGAACCCCAACUCCACCAGUUAGUACGCCUAUUCCUGUGGAGGAAGCACAACCAGCUAGUCGUAGUUUAGCAUCUAUCACAUUUGAUGUUGUUAAAUCGUAUGUGCGUAUCUUCCCAUCUUGGAAAUAUUAUACUGAAGAUGAAGGAAAAUGCCAGUUGCAGGUGUUUGUCUAGGAGUUAUGUGUAAGUAAUCUUAUUCAUGGCAAUUACUUUGCUUCGUCCCAUACAUCCUACCUCCAUGAUGGUUAUAAUACAGCAAAUUUUCCCAUUUUUCUCUAUAGAGAAGGACCGAUUUGGAAACUCAAGAUGAGGUAACCUGUGCUAAUACCUCUGCUAUCUUCAAGAAUGCUUGGUGGCAGUAUCGGAAUUACCUGAAGAAAACGUACUUCACCGGCAAAGAAACUCAUCAAAUUCCCUUACGUUCUCCUGAGACACAUUUACUGGACGAUGACUGGGAACGCCUUGUUCUGUACUGGUCCCGAACCAAGAAUGUGGUAAGGUCUAUGAGCUCAUUUUCUAUUUUUAAGUAUUAUAUUCUUGCGUCUUACUAUACUCUGUUCAUGUAGAACAAGUUCCUAAACCUGAAGAACAACCGUUCUAAUUUAAGAUUCCAUUGCUAUCAUAGUUCAAAAAAGUGCUAGGCGUUAAUUGUGCGUUUUGCCACCGCCUUGCGCUUUACUGACCAAAGCGCAUGCUUAUGCGCAGUUAUGCACAGAUUAAGCAUAGUUAUGCACAAUGCGUUUUGCCAACGCCUAGAGCCUAGGCGCGCUUAAGCGCUCGCUUAGGCGCGCCUUUUUUAACUAUGAUUGCUUUUCUCUUGUAUCACUGUAUUUACUCAUACAAACUUAUUUUUAAAUUGAAGGAUCCAAACGAAACUCCAAUGGCACAACAGGUAUGUUCACGCAUGUUCCUUUAAUAGGUUUGCUCUUAUCAAUAGCUCUGUUGAUUUCAAUUUCAAUUGUGUAUACAGUUGACUUGCAUAUCAUGCACAUUACUAGCAUCACAACAGAGCUAGUAGUAUUGUUGUACAUGUAGACCCGUGGUACCCAUCUGAAAUCUUGUUGUGCCAUGUAGUUUCCCAUGCUUUGUAUUCUUUCACUGCUGCUUUGUCUUGAACUGAUAUGAUUUGAACCGUGUCUCUAUUUUGAUUUGGAAAGACAAUGCAGUGACCAUAGGACAUAGAUAUAUGUUUGUUUGAUGCUUUUAUUAUGUACUAGUACUUGGAAAUAGAAGACUUGAUCAUGUCCACCUUACUAAUGAACUGGUUCACCGAAAUGAGUUUCAUAUACUAGUACAUGCUAAACUUGUUAUGUGUCUGCUUGUUUCUUCUUUUAGAAUGCUGACAGAAUAUUGGGGAAGAGUGCCUUGUUAAGCAAUGGUAAAGGAAGUAAUGCAGAUAAGGUUCAGGAUAGUGACACAUCCUUGUUGGUCUCCAACAAAGCUGAUAAAACAACUAAGGAAGACUAUCUUGAAGACAGCGAGACAACCCCAAAGUCUUGUCUUGGUUUAGUGUUCGAGUUACUGGCCACUACCGCUUGCACAAGCUAUUCAAACUCACUGUCUGAAUCAGUUCGGUUUCUUGAGUCUCAACUACAAGCUGAAAGACAUCGAUCAGCUGUGCUGCGACAAGAAGCGUAAGGACUGCGAAAGUCCCUGGAACAUUCAGAUGCAUACUUUCUGGUGCAACAGCAAGCGUUGGAGGAUUUUAGCACCAAACAGGACAAAGCUAAUAAGCUUGCUAAGCUUAUUGCCAGCAUGGUGGGUACCCAGGAUAACGUUUCUUGAGCUCUUCCAAAGUUGUUUCAGUUAUGCUCUUGUUUUGCUGCCGCGUUUAUUUGCACUGGUGGCCAAUUUUGACGGCCAGUGUAUGUAAUAUGUUGCUUUGUUCCCUAUAUUUGCACUGGAGGUGAACUUUGAUGCCCAGUGGAUGUAAUAUGUGUAAUAGCGGUAAUAGGCUAGUGUUUAUUGCUUGCUUAUUUAUUUCCUUAUUGUCUUGUUUAGUUGUUUGCUUGUAGUCACUGCAGUUCUUUUUCUGUGUUUUUCUAGUGGCCACAAUAGCCUAUUUUUGGUAACUAGGCCAAAAUAAUCAUGGCAACACACGGACUGUUGUAACCAUGGGCCUCCUGCAGGCCGUAUGAUCCAUGGGCCUUCUUCGAGCCGUAGGAUCCAUUGGCCUUCUAUACGGGCCGUAGGAUCCAUUGGCCUUCUAUACGGGCCUAGGAUUCAUGGGCCUUCUACGGGCCGUAGGGUCCAUGGGCCUUCUACGGGCCGUACGAUCCAUGGGCCUUCUAUGGGACAUACUUUUCAUGGGCCUCAUAUGGGCCGUAGGAUCCAUGGGCCUUCUACGGGGUGUAUCAUCAAUCCGCCAAUCAUGGGUCGUACUAUUCAUGGACCAUAACGGGCCAUUAAUAGGCCGUAUUCGAUAACUCUAUGAAAACAGCCCAACGGGUUUUUUUUGACAUGAAAACGGCCCAACGUAUUAACGGUCCGCAAACGGGCCGACUGUAACGACAGGCUAAAUUUGGCCCAUAAGCAGAAAAUGACAGUAACGGGCCGUAUGUAACCGAAUGCUGCAAAUGAGCCCAAGAAUCUAUGGGCCCUGAGAAGGCCGAAAGAUAAGUUGGGCUGGAAACGGCCCAAUGGAAUAACGGGCCGUUAAUGGGUAUAAAGUGAUACACUGUUCAUUACGGGCCAGUUUCACCACGGGCCUUUAAUGGGCCAAGAGUUACAAAGGGCCUCAUAUGGGCCGAAAGAAGUCAUGGAACACACAGGGGCUGAAAGUUAAAACGGGCUGGAAUCAUAUUGGACGGCCCAGAUGACGCUACUGGGCCUAAUUCGGAUAGGGCGUAACGGCCCUGGGUUAGCGGGCUGUAAAUGGGCUAUAUGCGAACAGGCCGUUAACAGGCUUUCCAUGGGCCGGCCCGCCACCUUUUGACCAAGUCAAACAGGCCGGCCUUUUCAUAGGAAUGGGCCUCUGUUGGGUUGUGCCAUGUGUUGCCGUAUCAUAGGCGCCUUUUGUCCAAUGAGCGGAUGGCAUCUGUCCCAACGGUGAGCCGACACGUGUUUCCUCCAGCCAAUGAUGAUUUUACACGUGGAAAAUCCCCAUUAGUCGGGGAUGUUAACGGGUUAUCGGAUCCAAAACCUGACCCGAUAGCUUAACGGCGUUCCGUUACGGUGGAUGCCAGGUGUCGGUCACCCUUGACGAAAGCACUUCUGUGACACGCGAUUUAUCGUCAUGGAAGUGGACACUUCCGUGAUGAUAAUUUUGGUAAUGUCAUGGAACACUUCUACGACAGCACAUGUAUGACUAUCUUGAUUCUGUCAUAAAAUCGUGAUGGAUGUACAUGCAUGACAAAAAACGCGACCUACUGUGACAAACCCGUAUCAUCACAGAACUGUAUUUUUUUGUAGUGUAUCGUCAUGAUUAUUCACUUUUCUAUCAAGUACCCAACAGUAAUUUGUUUACCCACCGUAUGCUGUUUUCAAGAGAGAAGCCUCUAGUGAAAACUAUGGCCCCCGGGUCUAUUUUCCAUCAUACUAAAACCAAAAAUACCUUCUUGCAAUUUUUCUUUCUUUAUUUUGUUUUGUAUUUUUGUGAAAUCUAUAUCUAUAACCAUAUAAUUUAAUCUUGCAAGUAACCACCAAGGGAAUGACAACCCCUUAUUCACGUUGGGUGCGAGGAUUUGUUAUCUUGUGUGUAGGUACUAUUAACGAGGUGUUACGUGGUUAUCCUACUAGAUUGGUAACCUUGGUUCUUAACUGAGGGAAAUACUUAUCUCUACUGUACUUCUUCAUCCUCUCCUCUUCGAGGAAAUCCCAAUGCAACUUACAAGUAGCAAACAUUCAUCUCCAUUCCACAAGAGUAAAUUUCACAGAUCAAAAAUAAAAAAAUUCUAAUUCUUCUAGUAGGGAUAGUUCUUCCCUCAAAUUAUUUGUUUUUCUUCCUCAAACACCAAAAGAAUUAGAACCCCUUGAAUUUCUUGAUAUUAAUAUUAAUAAUAUCUAUAUGAUAUCUAGAAUUAACUACCAAUGUUUGUCUACCAGGGGCAUGAUAUCCUUAUCGUUGAGCCAACUAAGCUCAAACCUAAAUUCUCUGUUGUGAGAAGAAAUAGUUUUGUUGUCCUAAGUGUCAAGCAAUGAUGAACAAUGGUUAGAAAAUUUCCUAACCAAUUUCCUAACAUUAGUUUGAGAAAAAAUUCCUACCAAUAACUAGACAUAAUAAUUAUGUCUGGUUUCUCAAGGGUAGGGAUCUGAAAUCUGAUGGUUCUUGGAUCGGGUGUGCAAGCCCGAGCUUAAAUCGAUUUCUCUCAAGCAAAGAGUGUUGUCAAUAAAGUUAAAUAGACUAGAAGAAUGAGAUAAUAUGUUUUUCAUUCAUUUCACCCUCAUGUCUUAAGAUAUUGAAAUCCCCUUCCAAAAUAUAGGGCGUCUCCAUGGCAUUACAAACUCAACCAACUUAGUGAAAAUUCAGUUUUAUGCUCCUCAUGAGCGGACCCAUAGACUACUACGAGCGCCCAUCUCAUCUUUUUCUGCAUCACAUAUUUCCCAUCUUGAAUUCACUUCUAGUGAUUCAUGUCCAACGCUUAGGAUGGCCUAAGAUUUUAUCAAUUCAUGAAAAAACACCACCAGGAUCAAACUUCAUACAAAAACUCAACAAGUAGUCUCUCUUCAUAGUGUCAUGUAAUACAAAGAAAUAUAGGUAAUGAUCUUUGAUCCACAUAAACAGGUCUUCAUUCCCCCCUACAAUUCCAUAAGAGACCUACAAAUUUUAUCUACCACCGGUGGUAGUUACCACCACUUGAGUUUUGUAUGUUGUAUGUAGUAUCUAUCAAAUUGGAGAGUAUGUACGUACGCGUAAUAUGUAGUAUAUUAGAAUGUUUAGGUACUAUAUAUACUACUUAUUAGGUAGUAUGUAUCGUAUUUUAAGUAUGCUUCUUUUUACGUACAUAUAUGUACAUAUUUGUGACACCCCCGAUUCAAUCAUACACUAAUCAUACAUGCAAACGUGUACGGUCAAGAUCAGGGACUCACGGGAGGAUAUCACAACACAACUCUAAACACAAAUAAAAUGAUACAAGCUUCAUUAUACAAGCUAGGGGCCUCGAGGGAUCGAAUACAAAUGCUCAAUCAUAAAUCAGCGGAAGCAACAAUAUCUGAGUACAAACAUUAAGUUAAACAAGGUUCCAUAAGAUGGCUAGCACAAACAUGGAUACAGAUCGAAGAGGCACAAGCCUCCUGCCUAGAAUCCUCCUAAACUACUCAUGGUCGUCGGCAGUCUACACGUAGUAGUAGGAUCCGUUGGUGUAGUGGUAGUCGUCGUUGGUGGUGUCUGGCUCCUGGGAUCCUCCAUCUGACCGCAGCAAUCGGGUAUAGAAAGGGAAAAGAGGUGGCAAAGCAACCGUUAGUACUCAUCCAAAGUACCCGCAAGACUUACAUCAAAUCUAUGCUACAUUUGCAUUAGUAUCAAUGAAAGGGGUAGUAACUGUGGACUAAACUGUAGAAUGCCAGAAUAAGAAGGGGAGAAGCUAGUCCUAUCAAAGACUGCGCUUCUGGUAGCCUCCAUCUUGAAGCCGUAGAAGAGAGUAACAAGUAUAGUAACAAGUGACAUCGCAUAACAUAAUCCUACCUAGCAAUCCUCUCCUCGUUGCUGUGUGGAGGAGCAAUCACCAUGUUAUAUCUGGAACUUGUAAGGGGUGUGUUUUAUUAAGUAUCCGGUUUUCUUUGUAAGAGGUCAAAGUACAACUCCAAGUCGUCCUGUUACCAUGGACACGACUAUUCGAAUAGGUCAAUCUUCCCUGCAGGGGUGCACCACAUUAUCCAACACGCUUCAUCACUCUGGCUGCACACACUUUCCUGGGUCAUGCCUAAUGACCCACAAGUAUAGUGGAUCAAUAUUAGUCCUUUCGAUAAGUAAGAAUGUCGAACCCAACAAGGAGCAGAAGGAAAUGACAAGCGAUUUUCAGCAAGGUAAUUUCUGCAAGCACUGAAAUUGUCAGUAACAGGUAGUUUGAUAGCAAGAUAAUUUGUAACCAGCAAGUAACGGUAACAGUAAAAAAAGUGCAGCAAGGUAGCCCAAUACUUUUGUGGCAAAGGACAGGCCAAAACGGUCUCUUAUAAUAAGCAAAGCGUUCUUGAGGACACACGGGAAUUUCAUCUAGUCACUUUCAUCAUGUUGGUUUGAUUCGCGUUCGCUACUUUGAUAAUUUGAUAUGUGGGUGGACCGGCGCUUGGGUGAUGUUCUUACUUGAACAAACUUCCCACUUAUGAUUAACCCCCUGGCAAGCAUCCGCAACUAUGAGAAAAGUAUUAAGAUAAAAUCUAACCAUAGCAUUAAACAUAUGGAUCCAAAUCGGCCCCUUAUGGAAUAGCGCAUAAACUAGGGUUUAAGCUUUUGCCACUCUAGCAACCCAUCAUCUAAUAACUACUCCAUAAUGCAUUCCCUUAGGCCCAAAGAUGGUGAAGUGUCAUGUAGUUGACAUUCACAUGACACCAUUAAGGGAAUCACAACAUUCAUAUCAUCAAAAUAUCAAACACAUAUCAAAUUCACAUGAUUACUUGCAACAUGACUUCUCCCGUAACCUCAAGAAGAAAAGCAACUACUCACAAAUGAUAUUCAUGCUCAAGAUCAGAGGGGUAUUAAAUAGCAUAAUGGAUCUAAACACAUAAUAUUCCACCAAAUAAACCAUAUAGUAAUCAACUACGAGAUGUAAUCAACACUACUAGUCACCCACAUGUACCAAUCUAAGGCUCCGGUACAAAGAUUGAACACAAGAGAUGAACUAGGGUUUUAGAUGAGAUGGUGUUGUUGAAGAUGUUGAUGAAUAUUGGCCUCCCAAAGAUGAGAGGGUUGUUGGUGAUGACGAUGGCUUCGAUUUCUCCCUCUGAGGGAAGUUCCCCCGGCGGAAUCGCUCUGCCGGAGGGUAAAAGUGCUCCUGCCCAAAUUUCGCCUCAAGACGUCGGCGCUCCGUCCCGAAAGUCUUCUCCUUCUUUUUUCUAGGUCAAAAGACCUUAUGUACCAUAAGAUGGGCACCAGAGGUGGGACGGGCUGCCCACAACCCACCAGGGCACGCCUGGGGGGCCUGGCUUGCCCUUGUGUCUUGUGGGCACCAGGUGGCCCCCUCCGGUAGUUAUUUGCUCCAGUAUUUUUAAUAUAUUCCAAAAUAACUCUCCAUAAAUUUUCACCUCAUUUGGAGAUGUGUAGAAUAGGUAUCUUUGACAUAGCUUUUUUAGGUCCAAAGUUCUAGCUGCCGGCAUUCUCCCUCUUUGUGUAAACCUUGCAUAUUAUGAGAGAAAGGCAUUAGAUUUACUCCAUAAAGCAUUAUUAUGAAUAAAACCAUUAUAAAUAAUAGUAGGAAAACAUGAUGCAAAAUGGAUGUAUCAAUGCCCAGCCUCGGAAGAUCAACACGUCACAACCCUACCUAGGCUCAACACAGAGGCCAACACGCCGGUCUACAUCCUAAGCGCGCAGGGUUCUUGGGCCCAUUGCCUAUUGCACUCCUACACGUUGCAAGGGCGGCCGGAUCAGUCCUGGCAACCUGCACUACAAGGUAGUUGCUUUACACAGACCAUGUAGGUGCACGCCACUCAAUCGCUGACGUCUAGAAAGCUUUGGCUGAUACUAUGAUGCCGAUUGCCCAUAUCUUGUCCCAUGUGACGGUUAGUGUGUAUAUGGCCAACGACCAACUCGGAUCAAAUAACCAAAUCUCGUUAAGCAUGUUAUUUGAUGUAACCAGGCCCACCUCUCUCCUGGGUGGUCUCAACCUGCCAUGUCGCUCCGCCACAAAGUAACACUCGGGGGCCGUCGGGAACCCAGGCCCACCACUACCCGGGUGGAACCACCUGUCCCUUCAGCCCCCAUAUCCGAACAGUAACAUAAGUAAUGUAAUAGUAUAUAUAGUAUAUACCCGUGAUCACCUCCCGAAGUGAUCACGGACCGGUAGUAUAGUAUGGCAGACAAUAGUGUAGAUCCACUUAUGUAAUAUUAGCAUCCUAUACUAAGCAUUUACGAUUGCUGGUGAAGGUAACAACAGUAGUAGCGAAGACAGGCUAUGCAGCAGAAUAGGAUUAUCCGAAAAGCAGUAACAACUACACUACUUUAAUGCAAGCAGUAUAGAGAAGGAAUAGGCAGUAUCGGGAUGAUCAAGGAGGUUUUAUUUUCCUGGAAGUGAUGACCCACAAGUAUAGGGGAUCAAUCAUAGUCCUUUUAAAAAGUAAGAGUGUCGAACCCAAAGAGGAGCAGAAGGAAAUGACAAGUGGUUUUCAGCAAGGUAUUAACUGCAAGCACUGAAAUAGUCGGUAACAGGUAGUUUGAUAGCAAGAUAAUAUGUAACGAGCAAGUAACGGUAAUGGUAAAUAAAGUUCAUCAAGGUAUCCGAAUCCUUUUGAGGCAAAGUACAUGCCAAAACGGUCUCUUAUAAUAAGCAAAGCAUUCUUGAAGGUACAUGGGAAUUUCACCAUGUCACUUUCAUCAUGUUGGCUUGAUUCGUGUUUGCUACUUUGAUAAUUUGAUAUGUGGGUGGAUUGGUGCUUAGGUGUUGUUCUUACUUGAACAAACCUCCUACUUAUGAUUAACCCCCUCGCAAGCAUCUGCAACUACGAGAAAACUAUUAAGAUAAAAUCUAGCCAUAGCAUUAAACUUUUGGAUCCACAUCAGUCCCUUACGAAGUAGCGCAUAAAGUAGGGUUUAAGCUUCUGUCCCUCUGGCAACCCAUCAUCUAAUAACUACUCCACAAUGCAUUCCCUUAGGCCUCAAUAAGGUGAAGUGGCAUGUAGUCGACAUUCACAUGACACCACUAAGGGAAUCACAACAUACAUAUCAUCAAAAUAUCGAACACAUAUCAAGUUCACACGAUUACUUGCAACAUGACUUCUCCCGUAACCUCAAGAACAAAAGUAAUUACUCACAAAUGAUAAUCAUGCUCAAGAUCAGAGGGGUAUUAAAUAGCAUAAUGGAUCUGAACAUAUAAUCUUCCACCAGAUAAACCAUAUAGUAAUCAACUACAAGAUGUAAUCAACACUACUAGUUACCCACAAGUACCAAUCUAAGGUUUUGGUAUAAAGAUUGAACACAAGAUAUGAACUAGGGUUUGAGAGGAGAUGGCGCUAUUGAAUAUGUUGAUGAAUAUUGGCCUCCCAAAGUUGAGAGGGUUGUUGGUGAUGAUGAUGGUGAUGAUUUUCCCCUUCGAGAGGGAAGUUCCCCCGGCGGAAUCGCUCCUCUGGAGGGAAAAAUUGCUUCUGCCCAAGUUCCACCUCGAGAUGCCGCCGCUUCAUCCCGAAAGUCCUCUUCUCGUUUUUCUAGGUCAAAAUGACUUCUAUUCCAGAAGAUGGGCACCGGAGGUGGGCCGAGGAGGGCAUAACCCACCCGGGUGCGCCUGGGCUCCCUGGCAUGCCCGGGUGGGUUAUGCCCACCUGGUGCCCUCCUCCGAUAGUUAUUUUCUCUAGUAUUUUCAUAUAUUGUAAAAUAAUUCUCCAUAAAUUUUUCAUCUCAUUUGGAGAUAUGCUGAAUAGGUAACUCUGACGUAGCUUUUUCAGGUCUAGAAUUCCAGCUGCCACUAUUCUCUCUCUUUUUGUAAAUCUUGCAUAUUAUGAGAGAAAAGAUAUUAGAAUUACUCCAAAAAGCAAUAUUAUACAUAAAACACUAUAAAUAACAAUAGGAAAACAUGAUGCAAAAUUGACGUAUCAGGAAGCUCUGCGGGAAAGGACGGGUCGUCAGGAGCGUAGCCGACGUAUGGAGCAGCAGCGUCGGACUCGUAGUCUACCGGAGAGAAGAGGGGCAAGAAACAAUGAAUACAAUGCAAACAGGUGCAUGACAAGGCAAAUAGUGGUGCUAUGUGUGACCAACGCAGUACUACGCGAUAUGGGUGAAGUGGGAAAACAUCCGGGAAAGUAUUCCCGGUGUUAGGCAUUUUCGGACAGAUGAAACAGAGGGGGUCGGUUCCAUGUUUGCUAUGCUAGGGACGCGUGGCAGAUGAACGGAGCGCAUAUUCAUGUACAAAGUAUUUUCAUCCGAGUUACAAAUUAUUUUAUAUUAACUUUCAAAGUUUUAAUUCAUUUUUGGAAUCAACAGAUUUAAUUUAAAUCAAAAUUCAUUUAAUGCAACAACAUGACAUCAGCGGUCAACAUUGACCGUUGACUGGUCAAACUAACGUGUGGGCCCGCUAUCAUUGUCAUAGCUUUAAUUAAACAAAACUAAUUAAGUAAUCAGGUAAUUAGGGUUAAUUAGACAGAAUUAAUUAAGUUUAUUAAUUAAUUCACUAACUAAUUUAUUAUUUAUUCAUUUAAUUAAUUCUUUUUUCUUUUUAAUUUAUAUUUUGUUCCAGGGCGUGGGGCCCCGACGCCAGUGGCCCAGGGCCAUAGCGGGUGUGGGCUAUCGGGUGCCCGCACACCCGAGGCCACCAGGGGAGGGGAGCGCCGGCCAUGGAGGCGGUGCAGAGUAGUGGGAGGGGGCGGCGGAGCCGGGGCAGAGCAGUAGUAGCGGGCGGGGCAGGCAAUGGCUAGUAGGGCGAGCGGGGGAAUGGAUGGCACGCGGGCGCACACGCGGCGGCGCGAGCAGGGCGUGGCCCGACAAGCAUUGGACGCGGCCAGGGCAGCCAUGGCGUGACCAAGCGGCCGGAAAGGGCAGCGGGCGACCACGGCCAACCGCGGCGAGGCCGCGUACGGGUUCGGGGCAGCUCGGGCAGGGGAGAGCAUGCGGGGGAAGGAGGGCGCAACGAGCAUGCGCUGGGCGCGGCGAGGGACGGUGUGGGUGCACACGCUGGACGAGCGGCCAGAGUGGGCGGCGGUCAUGGCAGGGAGAGGGGGAAUGGGUGGAGGAUGUGCUCACGGGCGUCGUGAGGCAAGAGGUCGAUGAGGCAUGAAGAGUCCGUUCGGGGAGGAGGGUCGAGGAGGCGACAACAGGGCGGCAAGGUCCAGCGAGGUGGCUCCGGGCGGCGGAGGCGAUGGAGUUCGGCGACGGGGCGCGGGGUCGUUGCCCUGGUUCCCCGAUCCAUACAGGAUUGAAGAGAGAGGGGCGAGUGCGGGUAGCAGGGAAGGGGGAUUAGGGUUUGUGGGUAGUGGGGGGUUAUAGGCGUCGGUUGGGCUGGCCUAGUUGGCCCAGAGGACGGUUGGGCUGGCUUGGUUGGCCCAGAAGCCAGCUGGGCCGUGGCCCAGUGGGGGGAGGGUUCUUCCUUCUUUUUAUUUUUUGUUUAUUUUUCUUUUUCUUAUUUUAUUUUUCUGUUUUAUCUAAUUUUAGUUUUACAAAAUACAAAAGUUGUACCUAAAAUAUUAUUAGUAAUUAUGCCACUACCACAAUUAAUUUGGCACCUAAAAUAAAUAGUUUGUAAUUGUUUAUUACUUUAAAAGCAUUUAAACAAUUGUUUUAUCGGUGUUUUAAUUAAUUUAGAGCAUUUAUAUAUUUUACAAAAAAUGUGUUGUGUCCUCCAUUAUUACUUAUGAUUUAUUUUCUACAUUUAGAACAUUUUAGUUUUAAUGUUCUAAAACUUUUAUUGCUUGCCUUGAUUUUGAAUUUGAAUUCGAACGAGAUUUGAAUCAUCGUGAGAUUAACAACAGUAAUCAUGGUGACGUGGCAUCAUUAGUAGAGGGUUACUGUAGCUUAAUUAUCAGGGCGUUGCAAUUCUCCUCCACUACAAGAAAUCUCAUCCCGAGAUUUAAGAGGUGGAGUAAGGGGGAAAGUUCUGGUUGCGAAAUUCUAACGGAUCUUCUCGGUCUUGGUUGCUCUACUCGAAGAAGUUUAUCCCUUCUGUUGACGUCUUCACCCCUCUGCUCCGGGUCACCAGAUGAAGUCUUCAUUCUUUCUUCGGGUCCUUCCUUGUACUAACGAAUAGGGUAGAAGGGGGGAAAUAUGAGGGCAGAUGUGUGGAAGGAUUGACAUUCGGUAAUUAUCUCAAGAAUGAGAUAUAGAAGCACUAUGAAACAUAUCGAGAGUGCUAUAAGAAGGUUCAACAAGUUUCAACCUGGUAGACACCCAACUGAUGCCUAAAACAGGUGAUGAAGGGGUUCAAAACAAUGAGAUUAAGUAUUGCGUCUAAUACCAGAAUAAAUCACUAGGAAGGUGGCUCGUGAAUUAUAUUCAAAUCCAAGCGUGAGGAAUAACUUUAGAAACAGGGGUGUAUAGGAGAGUCAGGUUUUGAUCCUAUGGAACUGUGGGUUAUGGGCCUACCAUGUGGGUUAAAAGUAGGAAAGGCGCUGACAUCUUGCAUGGUCAUGAUAACAAGGCAUGUCAGAGGAUAGCCUAUCAGGUAUGUUCGCAACAACAUUGGUACUAAGGGCGAGGGACGAAGAGAACCAUUUUCCUGCUCGUUGAAACAAGGCGGACCUAUAUGCAAAGUUCUCAUCCAUCGAUGGUUAUAGGAAUUCCAUCAACAAUAGUAAUAGGGUCUUACAGACAGAGUUGUACUCUGAGGUGCUUACAUAAGGAGGGAAAUAUCACUACUCAGACAAGUCAGAUUAUAAGAAAGGUUAAACAAAACAAUUGAAAGGAAAAUGUGAUUAGUAUAUUAAUAAGAACAAUCGAAAGGAAAAUGUGUUUAUACUCGAGUAUCAAGAGUAUAUUUUUGCCAUCCAUGACAGGGCAGCAAGUAGAUAACCAAUUAGGUAAAGGGGCGAGGAAAUUCAUGAUGUUACCCAUACAAUGUUUUUUGGAUAAUCGAUCAAGAAACAUUUGGCAUUGCGCUUCCAAUGUUGUUGUUGAUGAUCGGAGUACCACAAAUAUGCUUCGGGAUAGCAUUGACAUGCUCAUCACGUAAAGGUCAGAGUUUGGAUACACUAAUGACCCAUCGGAAACAACUUAUAAAAUAAGUCAUACAAUUUCAGCAAAGAAAGAUGAGGAUGUGGCCGACGGGCUCACCAACAAUGCAUCGAGAUUUCCAUAAAGUCGAUUCAGAAUUAAAUGAACAAGGUGAUAGCAUUGGUCACACCAAAGUAGAUAAUGAAGUAUUUUUUAGGAGAAUAUCCACAAUUAAACAUUCAACAAAAAUGCACCUAGAAAUAUGGACCAAGUAGCACGAUCAAUGUUAGAACGGUGAUUCAAUAACCAAUAGACUAAAAAUCAAGCUAUCGACCAUUAACUUCAAGCAAUAUGGUUGCUAGAAGUUUUGAAAUUACACAUCAUAGUUAAAUUGUCGGUAUUCCAGUUAGAAACAACAUGGGGACCAUGAAAUGAACGGAGAUGGUGAGAAGUAUUACACUACAGGAAUCAUGCACUUUGCCGUCUGCCAUGGCUGACGGCAAAGGCAUGCCUGGUGGAUGGCAAAGGCCUUUGUCGUCAGCCAGCAGACAGCAACAGGUCCGACUGAAUAAGCUACGACAAAGGCCUCUCUUUCCCAUCUGCUGGCAGACGGUAAAGAUGCAAAGGCCUUUGUCGUCUGCUGGCAGACGGCAAAGAGCCUGGAUGGCACACGUGGCAGCUUAGGUUCGUUAAGGGGUUAACGGCGUGCUUUGCCGUCAACUGGCAGACGACAAACAUCUUUGCAUCUUUGUCGUCUGCUGGUGGACAGCAAAGAUGCAAAGGUCUUUGCUAUCAGCCAGCUGACGACAAAGCUGCCAAAUAGGCCAGCCCAGUGCACCCCAGGUUGCACACGUAGCUGCCACGUGGAAGCUUUGCCGUCUGCUAGCAGACGCAAAGUGGCUGUAUAGCCCCUAUUUUUCUUAAAUUCAUUCAAUUUGACAGAAUUUCACAUCUAUAUAUAUAUAUAUAUACAUUUCAAAAUAAUUUCAACAAGCAUACCAACAAUAAGUUUCGAACAACAUAUCCAACAUACAAGUUUUCAACAACAUAUCCAACAUACAAUGGUUUCCAACAACAUAUCCAUACAUACAUACCCAAAACAAGUUUCCAUAAACAAAAAGGAAGCACAAGGUGAAGAGUACACUCCAUCAAUGCAAGCUUCCUCAUCUAAAGCAAAUCUGCAAAUUAGGAAAGAUGAAAGUUAGAAGAAGAAGAAGAAGACUAGCUAGAAGAAAAAGAAGAAAAAGAAGAAAAUGAAGAAGAAGAAUUUAUCUUCUCUUUCUUUUUCUCCUCACCUCUUCUUUAUCUUCUUCUUCUAACUAAGGUAUGUAAAAAUGCCAUUUUUUAGCUAAGCUAAGUAAAAAUGCUAAGUGUGUAGGUCAGUUUAGAGCUAAGCUAGGUAAAUAGAUCAUUUUGGAGCUAACCUAGGUAGUUAUGUCAUUUUUGAGCUAACUAAGCAUAUUUAUUCACUUUGGAGGACAAAAUGGUAAGUGUAGAUCAUUUUAGAGCUAUCCUAGUUAAAAUCGGUCAUUUUGGAGCUAGGUAAGGUUAUUUUGUCAUUUUGGAGGAAAAUAAACUAAUUAUAUGAUAGUUUGGAGCUAAACCAAGGUUAUUAUGGCAUUUUUUACCUAAGUAAGCUAAUUAUGUCAAAAAUGAACUAGGUAAGCUAGGUAUAGAUCAUUAUUUUGCUAUCCUAGGUAGUUAUGACAUUUUUUAGCUAACUAAGCAUAUUAAGUCAUUUAGGAGGAAAAUAUGCUAAGUAUAGGUCAUUUUAUAGCUAUCCUAGGUAAAGUAUGCCAGUUUGGAGCUAAGUAAGGUUAUUAUGUUAUUUUCGAGGAAAAUAAGCUAAGUAUAGGUCAUUUUGGAUCUAAACCAAGGUUAUUAUGCCAUUUUUACCUAAGUGAGCUAAUUAUGUCAUAAAUGAACUAGCUAAGCUAAUUAUAUAUCAUUAUUGAGCUAUCCUAGGUAGUUAUGUCCUUUUUUACCUAAGUGCACUAAUUAUGUCAUAAAUGAACUAGCUAAGCUAGCUAUAGAUCAUUAUUGAGCUAUCCUAGGUAGUUAUGCCAUUUUCUAGCUAACUAAGAAUAUCAAGUCAUUUUGGAGGAAAAAUGCUAAGUAUAGGUCAUUUUAUAGCUAUCCUAGGUAGAAUAUGUCAUUUUGGAGCUAAGUAAGGUUAUUAUGUCAUUCGAGGAAAAUAAGCUAAGUAUAGGUCAUUUUGGAGCUAAGUAGGUCAUUUUGGAGCUAAGUAGGUCAUUUCUUAAGCUAAGUAUGCAUUUUUUAAGCAAAACACUUGGGAAAGCUUACCAUCAUCAUGGAGGUGAAGGACCGGUCGGGUUUGCAUCAGUGUCAGACGGAGAAGGACCGGUCGAGGUUGCACUAGUGCGAGGCGGAGAAGGAUCAGUCGAUGCUUGUCGGGAGGCUUGUUGCACCAAAGAUCAUUUGCAAUGUCUAGUUAGCACGAUCUAACUGAAAUGUGAAUACUAAUACCUAAUUCCAUUCAAAUGAAACUCACCGUGUCCGCUAUACCAAUCUGGGGCAUCGACGGAGGGGUCUGAACGUUUUUCUCGCACACGAACUGCACAUUUUGUUUUCACAAGUCUGUCAUAUUAGUUAGUAAUGAAACGAACAUUAAGUGCAUGAUUUGGAUAAUAUGUAGGAGAAACUUACCACGAGGAGCUCGUAUGGGGCCCGGUGACCCGCAUCAUUCCGGUUCCUCUUCGCCUCCAACAGACUAGCCGUCCUCUCCUCCAACUCCCUCUCCAUCUGCGCCGCCUUCUUAUUUGCCUCCGCCAAAAGCUCCUGGGCCCUAGCCUCGAUGGCGAGCUCCAUUGGCCAUGGUCGAGGCCUCAUCUCAGGAAGAGACCUCGUCUAGCGCUUCUUGAUCUCCGGGAGACUUUUAGGACAACUUAUCAGUCCAUCCCCAAUGGCUACCAAGCCAUGUUUCCUCCCGUCACUAGAUAGCAUCACGAGCUAAGGAUCAAAAGGACUCUUGCUCGGGUUGAAGUUCUCCCCUUUCAUCGCCUUCCCAAAGUCUCUGUACCUCACGAGCUUGUUGUGGGAGGAGAUGUUGGUGAAGCUCUCUAGAUGAUUGAGGUCAUCCUAUGAGAAUGCCUUAGCCUUCUUGUACGGGGCACUAUGGGCCAUGACAUAUAGGUCGUACAGUGGUGGCACCUCCUUCUUGUUGUGUCGCGCCUAAAAGAGAGGAAUAAAAUAUUAGUUGAGGGCUCAAGCUAGCAUGACGAAUGAAAUUGCAUGAAUCGUUAAGGGCUCAAACCACAUACCAAGUGAUCCCCUUACUCAAACAGGUUGGAUCUCCCUUGAUGGUGUGGCACACCUUGCAUUUGGGCGCGCUUAUCCCUGGCCUUGUUGUGGACGGCUAGCCAUUGGGGAGAGCACCACUCAUCCACCAACCUCUCCCAGCAGUCCAUCCUAUCCGCACACCAUCUUGGGGCACCUAAGUUAGAUAAAGAGAAAUUUCAGCGAUACGCAUAUGAAUCAAAUCAAGGAAACUAAGUACAAGGCCUUAAGAAUAGGUAAUUACCUUCAUGUACUUCUCCUUACUCAGAUACUUGCCGCGACUCUUCUUCUUCGCCCUCCUGAUGUUAGUCGAGGCGUAGUAGUCUCGAACAGCCUGCACCCGAGCCUUGUGUCAUAAGUUCUGAAGUAGGCGCUUGCACUCGGCUUCGAGAACCAUAGCCGCGUCUGCCUCGUGUUCCUCAAGACACCUGUAGAAGGUCUACAAUCAAACAAGACAAUACUGAUUAGUACAAUCACUAGGUACUGUUGAUUUUUAAUUCCGUAAAGGAGAAAUUGCCCAAAACCGCCGUCUCACAAUGUCAACCACCAUCUUGCACACGGCACCGUCGACCCUCUCCUCCGGCGGGGUCGGGCAGCCUCGUACAACUCCCAGGUCAGUGCUAGCUAUGGAACCUCACCCUCACCGGGCAACAUGACCCACCCCGAGAAGUGGUGCCGGCAAAGCACACCAAGGACGUGGUUGGGCCUGUGGACAUCAGAGGCAUGUAUCCAACCCCUGCAGUAUGACAAGGCCAACACAUUAGAUAUUAAUUUGAAGAAACAAGAAGCCAAAGGUUAAAGAAGAGUAAAUGCACUUAAUUCUCCUUGUUAGGCUCAAUCAACCGCCUCUGGUCGUGGGUCGCCGACAUGGACGGGGGCUUUGUACCACCACGCUGGUAGACCUUCUUGCCCCCUCAGCAAGCUCGCCCUCGAUGUAGCUAUCGUCAGAAAAGGUGUCCUUGCCACCAUCAGCAUGGCCACUAGUCUCUGGAGUCACGUGGGAUGAAGACUCUGGGACCCGAGUCUCGUCGGAUAUAGGCUCGGCGACCCGAGGCUUGUGGACCAGAGUCCAAGACGGGUCCACCUGAAAUGGAGCACUCCGAUGGUCCGGGGAAUCAGCUGGGGGUGGCGCCGAGGAAGGCGCAGCAGGCUUCCUACCUCUCCCGCCGCCAUGUCCACCUCUGGCUGCAUCCCUCUUCGCCCUCCCCCGACCUCUCCCGGCCGAAGAAGAAGCGACCGCCAGUGUCUGCAUGCUGUCUACCAGCGCUCUCUGAAGGUGCUGGGGUGGAAUAACAACACACCUCCCAGCACGCGCCGAGGAAGGAGGCUCGGAGCGCUCUCGACUUGCGCCCACUAUCCAUCAACACCUGCAAUGACAAAGAGUAAAUGAAAUUAGUACAACAUAAACAUAAUAAAAAAAUUAAGUGUUUAUCAUCAUCAUUAACAUAAUAAAAAAUUGAAUACCUAAUAACAUGAACUAAUUAAUAAUAUAUGUGUACAUAAUAAUAAUCAAAUACCUGGCCUAACUCAUAAUUCACAAAUAUAUGACCCCGUCGGCCUCUGGAAGGCCGAAGAGCACCUUUUUUGGCAGAUGUCGGGGGUCGGGGUGUCGGGAGUGUCGUGUCGGGGUUGGGGUGCUAUNNNNNNNNNNNNNNNNNNNNNNNNNNNNNNNNNNNNNNNNNNNNNNNNNNNNNNNNNNNNNNNNNNNNNNNNNNNNNNNNNNNNNNNNNNNNNNNNNNNNNNNNNNNNNNNNNNNNNNNNNNNNNNNNNNNNNNNNNNNNNNNNNNNNNNNNNNNNNNNNNNNNNNNNNNNNNNNNNNNNNNNNNNNNNNNNNNNNNNNNNNNNNNNNNNNNNNNNNNNNNNNNNNNNNNNNNNNNNNNNNNNNNNNNNNNNNNNNNNNNNNNNNNNNNNNNNNNNNNNNNNNNNNNNNNNNNNNNNNNNNNNNNNNNNNNNNNNNNNNNNNNNNNNNNNNNNNNNNNNNNNNNNNNNNNNNNNNNNNNNNNNNNNNNNNNNNNNNNNNNNNNNNNNNNNNNNNNNNNNNNNNNNNNNNNNNNNNNNNNNNNNNNNNNNNNNNNNNNNNNNNNNNNNNNNNNNNNNNNNNNNNNNNNNNNNNNNNNNNNNNNNNNNNNNNNNNNNNNNNNNNNNNNNNNNNNNNNNNNNNNNNNNNNNNNNNNNNNNNNNNNNNNNNNNNNNNNNNNUGUGGUUGCGGUGUCGGGGUGUCGAGGCGGGGUCGGGGUGUCGUGUCGGGGGUCGAGGUGUCGGUGAUGUCAUGUCAGGGUGUCGAGGCGGUCUCGGGGCGUCAUGUCGGCGGUCGGGUGUCGGCGUUCUGGGAACGGGGGUACCGAGACUUGCCCGCUUGCGGCCUGCGGCGUGGCUCAAGGAGUGGCCCCGUACAGCUUGUCGACACAAGCUCAAGACCCUCGCGAGGGGCCAAGCCUCGCGGGGCGGAUGACUGGAAGCUUCCUCAGGCACGGCCUCCUCAGGCUGGCUCGCGAGGAGGCGGAGAGAUCAAGGCAGGGUACCUCACGAGGUGCCCGUGAUGCAAGCCAUAACGACCGAAGCUAGGCGGGCGCCAGGCGGGCGCCAGCCUGCGCAGAGUCCUUGUUUCCUCUUUGGUGCAAAGGGGGCAAGCGCAAGCAAGGGUAUCAAGCAAAGGCGAACAUUUCGGUGCAACAAGACCAAGACCAGCAGAACGGCAGGAUGGAGGUCAUCGUGGAGCCCAAGCCGGCAUCAUCUUCAGAGUCUUUGGCAGGCGAGGACCAACUUUGGUCAGGAUAAGUGUACUAGAUAUUCCCCUUCAAAAUGGCCAAUUGUUGGCGCCAUUCCCGCUCAAUAUUUGGGAAGAGGACCAGGGCCUUGCCCUAUAAAUAGGGCUAGCCACCACAGUAGAAAGGGAUCCGGAUUCAAUCCUUCCCAAGAGGCAUCAUGUCGGUGUCAAAACCGGCGGAUCUUGGGUAGGGGGUCCCGAACUGUGCAUCUAGGCGGAUGGUAACAGGAGACAAGGGACACGAUGUUUUUACCCAGGUUCGGGCCCUCUCGAUGGAGGUAAAACCCUACUCCUGCUUGAUUAAUAUUGAUGAUAUGGGUAGUACAAGAGUAGAUCUACCACGAGAUCAGAGAGGCUAACCCUAGAAGCUAGCCUAUGGUAUGAUUGUUCUUCGUCCUAUGGACUAAAGCCAUCCGGUUUAUAGACACCGGAGAGGGCUAGGUUUACACAGAGUCGGUUACAAUGGGAGGAGAUCUUCAUAUCGUAUCACCAAGCUUGCCUUCCACGCCAAGGAAAGUCCCAUCCGGACACGGGACGAAGUCUUCAAUCUUGUAUCUUCAUAGUCCAGGAGUCCGGCCAAAGGUUAUAGUCCGGUCAUCCGGACACCCCCUAAUCCGGGACUCCCUCAGUAGCCCCUGAACCAGGCUUCAAUGAUGACGAGUCCGGCGCGCAGAUUGUCUUCGGCAUUGCAAGGCGGGUUCCUCCUCCGAAUACUUCAUAGAAGAUUUUGAACACAAGGAUAGUGUCCGGCUCUGCAAAAUAAGUUCCACAUACCACCGUAGAGAGAAUAAUAUUUGUACAAAUCUAAUCUGCUGACGUAUUCCGUAGCGUGACAUCAUGCCAUGGCCAAGCCUUCAUUCGAAUCGUUUUACUGUCCCACCUUAGCGCGUUUAGUGAGGCGGUUUCCUUGGCACGUCUUGUCAAAGCAGAGAUCGUGUCCCCUUAUUCCGGGAUUCUCAUCAAUACGGGCAUGGGUAACCCAACUGUGCCAUUAAUCACGGCGCUUGGGAGAUAAGCGAGUUUUACCAGGCUGGUGGGGGCACAUAGUUUCGUCCGCCCAUAUAAGGGGAUAAGGAUCCACCUUUUCCAUCUACGCCUUCUUCCUCCUUUGCUUAUCCAUCUCCGUGCACUCGAGCUCCAACGCCCAAGUCCGCACUUCCCACCUCAACUUCCUCCAGCGAUGUCCGGAGGGGGAGGCAGGUGGAUGGCCUCCUCCGUCAUGGAAGGGCACAUCAAAAAGUUGAGGAAGGCCGGACACUUGUCCAACGACAUUGCGCACCGGCUUCCCGACGAGGGGCAGCUCAUCCCCACCCCCAGGCACCAUGAGAGGGUGGUGUUCCUCCCCCAUUUCCUCCGCGGACUGGGCUUCUCACUCCACCCAUUUGUCCGGGGGCUCAUGUUCUACUACGGCCUGGAUUUCCACGAUCUGGCCCCGAACUUCAUCCUCAACAUCUCGGCGUUUAUCAUCGUGUGCGAGGUUUUCCUCCACAUCAAGCCCCACUUCGGCUUAUGGCCGAAGACCUUCAAUGUCAAGCCGAAGGUUGUGGGCGGUCGGCAAGCCGAGUGCGGAGGCGCCAUGGUGGGCAAGAUGCCCAACGUCACAUGGCUCGAGGGCUCCUUUGUGGAAACCAUGAAAGGGUGGCAAUCGGGGUGGUUCUACAUCACCGAGCCGCGUGACCCUAAAUGGGCAGCGGCCCCCGAAUUCCAAUCUGGCAUCCCCACACGGCUUACCUCCUGGAAAGAGACGGGCCUGCCGUGGGGUAAUCCGGAAGAGGUUACCGGACUCCAAACCUGCGUCCAAAACCUGGUGGACAAGAAGGUUAAACUUGUCAACGUAGUCCAGGUCGUGCUCUUCCGCUGGAUCCUCCUGUGUCAACGACGGGCUUUUAACUUGUAGGAGUUCGACCCGGCCCAACACCAAACUUUGUCCAGGCUCUUUGACACAAUGCACGAAGACGCCUGGAAGGUGCUAUUCAAAGGCUCCAAGGUUUCCCCUCCCAUUACUGAGGAUCGAGGAUUCUGCGCGAAGCGCCAAGCCAGCGCAGUAAGCUUGUUUUACCCUUUACAGGAUACUUGUUUUUCCUAGUUUGACUCUACGCGGGAUCUAAGCUCCCGCUCCUUUGAUAGGACUGGAAGAAAACGUCCGGACAGAUUGACUGUCCGGCUCCUUUGCCCGAAGGCCCAGCAGAUGCACACUUGGCGAAGCUGCUGGUCCCGGCACCUCACGUGGUGCCGGAGAAGAGGGCCAAGAAGAAGGCCACGGGAACUCGAAAGAGUUCCCGCGCCUGGUGAUGUCGGAUUCAUCGCCCGACGACCCCGAAGCGCACUCCUCCACCGAAGACAAGGAGGAGGAAGAAGAAGCCUCUCCCCCUCCAACGGGGGGAGGAAAGAAAAGGAAGGACGCCCCAACUAGGGAGGCCGGAGGGUCCAAGAAGGGAAAGACCCUUCUUCCGGACUACUCCACCAGCGCCGACGACGGCAGAGAGGAGUGGCCGUCCAGGGCCAAGCCCCUGGCAAAAUCGUAAGUAUCCGGAUACUAGAAUAACUCAUGGCGUUUCUUUAUUGCACAGUAUCUUCUGACGCUGAAUAUAAUCAUGUAGUACACCCAAGGCCCGGCUCGACGCUUCGUCGAGCGGCUCCCUGGAUUCGUCGGAUGUGAAUUGUUUUUCACUCCCGACUGCUACCUCCCCUCGCCUUGCGAACGAUGCCGAGGUGGAGUCCCAAAAGGGGCUAAGCCAGGAGGAGGUAGCCCCGGAGGCGCCGCAAGGCGACCUCCCGGACUCCAGGCGCAAAGGGGGUGAAACCCCAGAGGGAUCUAAGUCCGGCCCUGGGCCGGACACCGCAUCGGAACCUUCAGUGGUUCCGGAGUCCGGCAGGCGGCCCCCUCGUAAGAAGGUCAACCCUACGACGCCGGUGGCCUCAGUCCAACCGGAGGCACCGGACAAUUUGCUGGAGGUGCUUAACGGUGCCUCCAUCGACGAGGAGCACCGCACUAUUAUGAGUGCGGUGAUCCAGAAGGUUCAGUCCGCCAAGAGCGGGCUAACAGAAGCCUGUGCCAGCCUUCUAACAGGCUUUGAGGUAUGUAUUUAAGACAUGUAAAAAUAUUACCGCAUAGACAGUAGCCCCUGAUGCUCAGUUUGGUGUUCGGAAAGAAAAGCCGGACUGAGGAUCUAAAAAGAUAUACGCAGGAGUCUAACAUAAGUAUGUCAAUAUGGGAAUGCAGGCUGCGCUGCUGACCUUUGCCGCACUGGCUGCGGAGGUCGUUGCAUUGAAGCAGAGCCUCGAGCGGUCCGAGAAUGAGCUCGGCCUUGCCAAGAAGCAGCUCGAGGACAAGGAAGGUAAGUAGUACCUUGUAUAAUGAUAUAAAAAGAUCUGGUUGCAAAUAAUGACAGAACCAACGCGAGUGUUACAGGGGCCACAACCGAGGUGGCGACCCUGAAGGAAGCGAUGUACAAGGCCGAAGACAAUGCGGCCGUGGAGCGCACCGAGCGAGAAAAGCAGGAGGCGCGGGUGGUGGAGGUGCGGCAAGAGCUCCAUGCUCUUGUGAAGAAACACGAGAGAUUGGAGCUUGACUCAAAGACUCGAGAGUCCGAGCUUGCCUCGGCCCUUGAGAGCGCCAAAUCCGCCAAGGCCGAAGCCCAAAAAGCCCUCCAGGAAAUUGAGGCGAUGAAGAAGAUAGCGGCGGGUAAGGCAUUCUUUAUGCAAAGCAAGCACGUGAAAGUGAAUUACUUGUUACUUACCCGAGUCCGGAGCUCACCAGGAGCAUUCGCAGAUCUGCCCCGCAGUGUGUCCGACGCUGCCGCAUUCUACCGAGCCGAGGAAGGGAGCUUGACGGAGAAGGUGUUUUGGUCCCAGUAUGUUGAGGCCGGACACCCGGUGCCCUUGAGCGACCAGCUAAAGCAGCUGGUCGAGCUCCAUAAGGUAGCUGAACAGGCCAUGAAGGGCCUAAUAGUCCGGCUAUGGCCUGGGAAGGUCAUGCCCGGGAGCUACUUUGGGCUGGUGAGGCGGCUGGUGGAUGCCUGUCCACGGCUUGAAGUCAUCAAGCGCUCCGUAUGCAUCGAAGGCGCCCGUAGGGCCCUUGCCCGUGCUAAAGUACACUGGGGCAAGCUGGAUGCUGAGAAGCUGGUGACAGGUGGGCCACCGGAGGGGAAGGAGCAUCGCAUGCCCGAGAUGUAUUAUGAGGGCGUCCUGAAGGGUGCCCGCCUUGUGGCGAAUGAAUGUGCCAAGGAUGUAAUUUUUGAGUAAACUCGCUCGUGCUUAUCCUGUGCGCUGAAAACUUGUUCAUAUGUGCUAAGCAACGCUUGUUGAAUUUAAAAUAUUACCUUCUGUGCGGCCGUUUAUUAAAUCUGAGAGAUGCGAGUCGUCGGCUUCUACCCCCAUACCAUGAGUGCUGGGGUGUUCGGGAUAAACAUGAGCGCUCUUGUUCCCAUUCUUGCGUCCUUCGAGGGAGGCGCUCAGCACAACGAACAAGGCAAUCGGACUAUAAUGCUUUAUCACUCUCACUUAGCCAUAGAAUUCUAUAAUUUUAAAUUUCGGCAAAGCCCCUAGUAUUCGGAAGACCGAGUUCGGGGCGCUAUCCACGCCUAGGCCGGACAAAGCCAGCUCCUUGCUCUAAGCGGCAUAAGUCUUUAGGGACUCGAAAACCUCUCGAACAGCGACCGGCUCUCGCCCUAUCAUGACGGUCAGUUUUAGCUUUCUCUACUGAGGUGCUUAACCCAGCUCAACUGGGGCACAAUCGCAGUAGUUCUCCCAGCGCUACCUUAGCCGAUAUAACGGAACAUAAGGUACCAAAACAUGGGAGCCGAGCAAACCCAACUAUUGACCCAAGACAUGAUUUGGAGCCGAUGCAUAUAAUGCUAUAAGUUCGGGGUGCCGCACUCGUGAGAGUGUUCGGACAUCUCACACCAUAUUCUGGGGCACUUAAGCCCCUGGUGUGUUGGCCGUACCAAAGUGUACGGUUGCAUAAUGUCAUCACUGAACAUAUUUACAUAAAAAAUGAAUGCAAUAAUAGACAAGAGCUAUGUAUUGUUUAUUAAGAGGCUGAUGUGAAAGCAGAACGGUACAAAUAGUGCGAUAAGCAAGAGAUGGGAUUAUUUGACAUGUCCCCCUCCAGGGGCAAGCUGCGAGACUUUAUGUAAGACAUGUAUUUAGCUCGUUAUAGAGACCACCUGGACAUUCGAUGUAGCUUGCUGCCUCCCUGGCUGUUGCAUCGUGUGUUCGGCGAUUGUACUGCCGGACAGGCCUUCCGGAGAAUGGAGUCCUGAAAGUAAGAAAAAAAGGAAAUGACAAAAUCGGGAGCCCCUAGUGUGGUUGAGCCACAUUUUGGGCGUGCCGUGGUUGUGCCCGUCCCCCUAUGCCCAUGGUAUUUCUAGAGCGUAAUUAUGUACGCGUGGUGCUGGUUUCGCAAUUUCGCGGGGGUUGGGGUUGGGGCCGCACUGCUACGCUUGCUCGGUGCGUGCCAGGCGGUCUUGUUGUAUGUUACUCCGGGCGCGCUUGACGGUGUCCGGACGUUUAAUAGCCGGACUGGAGAAUUGCCUUGAGAGGCUACUUUGUACUUCUGCCGCGAGGGCCGCCGUAUGCUCCUCCGUUCGGAGAGAGCGUUUGGUGUUUCCGUUGACCAUGAUGACUCCUCGAGGGCCUGGCAUCUUGAGCUUGAUGUAUGCAUAGUGCGACACCGCAUUAAACUUUGCAAAUGCGGUUCGUCCGAGUAGGGCGUGAUAGCCACUGCGGAACGGGACUAUGUCGAAGAUUAACUCCUUGCUUCGGAAAUUAUCCGGUGAUCCGAAGACCACUUCGAGUGUAACUGAGCCUGUACAGUUGGCCUCUACACCUGGUAUGACGCCUUUAAAGGUCGUCUUGGUGGGUUUAAUCCUUGAGGGAUCUAUGCCCAUUUUUCGCACUGUAUCCUGAUAAAGCAGGUUCAGGCUGCUGCCGCCGUCCAUAAGGACUCUAGUGAGGUGAAAUCCGUUAAUGAUUGGGUCUAGAACCAAUGCGGCGAAUCCGCCGUGGCGGAUGCUAGUGGGGUGGUCCCUUCGAUCAAAAGUGAUCGGGACCAUGGGUUGAAAUUUGGGGCAACUGGCUCCAACGCAUAUACGUCCCUGAGUGCACGCUUCCUCUCCCUUUUGGGGAUGUGGGUUGCGUAUAUCAUGUUCACCGUCCGCACUUGUGGGGGAAAGCCCUUCUGUCCCCUGUAGUUCGGCGGCCGGGGCUCCUCCUCGUCAUCGCUAUGCAGCCCCUUGUCUCUGUUUUCGGCACAUAAUUUGCCUACCUGCUUGAACACCCAACAAUCCCUGUUGGUGUGAUUGGCUGUUGUUUCGGGGGUGCCGUGUAUCUGGCACGAGCGAUCGAGUAUUCGGUCCAAACUGGAUGGGCCCGGAGUAUUUCUUUUGAAUGGCUUUUUCUGCUGACCGGGUUUAGAGCCUCUGAAUCCGGCAUUAACUGCCGUAUCCUCAGCAUUGUCGCCAUUAAUGCGGCGCUUGUGCUUGUUGCGACGCGACCUGCCAUUGUUGUCCUUGGUAUCCGAAUUAUCAGGGCUCUUGGUCAUGUUAUUACUACGAGCUAGCCAGCUGUCUUCUCCUGCACAAAAGCAGGUCAUGAGUGUUGUGAGGGCUGCCAGGGAUUUCGGCUUUUCCUGUCCUAGGUGUCGGGCAAGCCAUUCGUCUCGGAUGUUAUGUUGAAGGCUGCGAGGGCCUCCGUGUCUGAACAGUCGACUAUUUGAUUUUUCUUGGUUAGGAACCGUGUCCAGAAUUGUCUGGCCGAUUCCUCUGGCUGCUGAAUUAUGUGGCUUAGGUCAUCGGCGUCUGGUGGUCGCACAUAAGUGCCCUGGAAAUUGUCAAGGAAUGCGGCUUCUAGGUCCUCCCAGCAACCAAUUAACUCUGCUGGCAAGCUGUUAAGCAAAUGCCGAGCUGGUCCUUUAAGCUUGAGUGGGAGGUAUUUUAUAGCGUGUAGAUCAUCAGCGUGGGCCAUGUGGAUAUGAAGGAGAUAAUCCUCGAUCCAUACUGCAGGAUCUGUUGUGCCAUCGUAUGAUUUGAUGUUUACGGGUUUAAAACCUUCGGGGAUUUGAUGAUCCAUUACUUCAUCUGUGAAGCAUAGUGGGUGUGCGGCGCCUCUGUACUGGGCUAUAUCAUGACGAAGCCCAGAUGAGCUUUGUCUACUGUGUUCGGCCUGGCCGUAUUUUCCAUGUCCGGCGUGACGGUUAUCGUCACGCGUCAUGGGGCACCCAGGCGAUCCGUAGAUCGAUCUUGUUUGCCUUGCCUUGUCCUCCAAUAUGUCUCACAGGUCUGGCGCAUUUCCCCGUGCCUUGGUAUUUUUUGAGCGGUGCCGGGGUGCGGCUUGAAUUGAUGGCCGAGAGGCCUCUCUGUUGCGGCCACGAGGUGGCCGGUCGGCCGCGUUGUGCGCUGGUGAUGUAGGUUUAGGUGCUUCCUCCUCUAAUCGGUGUAGCAGCCUGCGCUUUGGGUAGCUCUUGGAGGGGCAUUCGAGUUCGUACUCUUCGGCCGCAAGGACUUCGGUCCAUCUAUCAGCUAGCAAGUCUUGGUCAGCUCUAAGCUGCUGCUGUUUUUCUUGAGGCUGUUCGCCGUGGCCAUAAGCCUGCGUUUGAAACGCUCUUGUUCGACGGGAUCCUCAGGCAUGACAAAUUCGUCGUCGUCGAGGCUUGCCUCGUCUUCGAAGGGAGGCAUGUAAUUAUCGUCCUCUACCUCUCUGUCUGCCGCUCUCUCAUGAGGGCUGGUUUCUCCAUCCUCCUGUGCUGAAUCCUGCAGGAGGGGGUUGUCUUCGGCGCUGUCCGAUGUGUUAUUAUCUCCCGUGCCAGAAUUGCCGUUUUUGCUUUGGCGGGAUUUAGAGCGGCGCCGCUGACACUGGCGCUUAGGCUGCUUCUUAGAGGGGUCAUCCUCCGUUGUUCCGUCGCCAUUCCCUUCUUUUGGGGUGUCCACCAUGUAUAUGUCAUAUGACGAGGUGGCCUUCCAGUGCCCUAUAGGCACUGAUUCUUGGUCGUCUCUUGCAUCGGCGUCCAUACCGUCGAUGUCUUCGGAGUCGAAGUCGAGCAUGUCGGUUAAAUCAUCGACAGUGGCUACGAAGUGGGUGGUGGGUGGGCUUUGAAUUUCUUCGUCGUCCGCAUCCCAACCUUGCUGACCAUAGUCCAGCCAGGGCUCUCCUGAUAAAGAGAGAGACUAUAGUGAAUUCAGAAUGUCACCAGAGGGCGAGUGCUGAAAGAUGUCCGUGGCGGCGAACUCCAUGAUCGGCGCCCAAUCGGGUUUGAUCGGCAGGGGUGCGGAAGGUUCGGAGUCCGGAAAGGAGUCCGGCACGUUGGAGUCAUGAGCUUCACAAAGGACAAGGAUGGUGUUUGGCUCGACCGCCGUAGAGAUUGUAGCCCCCGAGGCGAUGUCCAGCCACCCUUCCUCGAUUGGCGCAGUCGGCUCCGAGCUAAGGGUUAGAGCGGACACUGGGCGGCCUCCUGGGCACUGUUCGGCGGCAGAGCCAGAUCAUGCCCAUCAUAAUAGUGCGGCGUGCUCAGCUGUGGCUCGAACCCGUCGAAGAUCAAGUCUCCGUGGACGUCAGCCAUGUAGUUCAAACUUCCAAACCUGACUUGAUGGCCAGGGGCGUAGCUUUCGAUCUGCUCUAGAUGGCCAAGCGAAUUGGCCCGCAGUGCAAAGCCGCCGAAUACGAAGAUCUGUCCGGGGCAAAAAGACUCGCCCUGGACCGCAUCAUUGUGGAUGAUCGGAGGAGCCAUCGGGCCUAAGGAUGACGACACAGAGGAACUCUCAAUGAAAGCACCAAUGUCAGUGUCAAAACCGGCGGAUCUCGGGUAGGGGGUCCCGAACUGUGCAUCUAGGUGGAUGGUAACAGGAGACAAGGGACACGAUGUUUUUAUCCAGGUUCGGGCCCUCUCGAUGGAGGUAAAACCCUACUCCUGCUUGGUUAAUAUUGAUGAUGUGGGUAGUACAAGAGUAGAUCUACCACGAGAUCAGAGAGGCUAAACCCUAGAAGCUAGCCUAUGGUAUGAUUGUUGUUUGUCCUACGAACUAAAACCCUCCGGUUUAUAUAGACAUCGGAGAGGGCUAGGGUUACACAGAGUCGGUUACAAUGGGAGGAGAUCUACAUAUCCGUAUUGCCAAGCUUUCCUUCCACGCCAAGGAAAGUCCCAUCCGGACACGGGACGAAGUCUUCAAUCUUGUAUCUUCAUAGUCCAGGAGUCCGGCCAAAGGUUAUAGUCCGGUCAUCCGAACACCCCCUAAUCCGGGACUCCCUCACAUCACCUCCACAAGAACUCCUUCCCUCGCGAGGCAGUUCUUCCUUUGUAUUGUUCAUCAUCAGCCCCAGAGGCAAUCCACCACACCACAAACUAGAGUAGGGUAUUUCACCACAAUGGUGCCCAAACUAGUGUAAACCUCGUGUCCCUUGUGUUGUUCUUCGUGUAGUUUAGAUCCUUUGCGAGGCGACGAGACGUGAGUAGGUAGGAGGUGUGAUCUCCGCCCGCACCCCAAAGUUCGAACCUUAAGGGUCUGCCGGAACCCAAAAUCCGACAUUUGGUGCGCCAGGUAGGGGUGCGCCGGAAUCCUCCUUCCGCCGCCUUGUGUUUCGCCGUCUGUCGCAUUCAUGUCGGACGCUCGUUGAGCCCGCGCCGAGCACCGGGCUGCUCUCGCCACCCACGUCACCCAGACGGCUCCCGUCGGCGGAUGCCCCCGCCAUUCCCCGUCGCCUGCCGUCAAUUCCGCCACCGUCCCGGCGGGGAACGAGCAUCAAGCAUCGUCCCUGCAUCCUUCGGUGCGGCGAGAAGGCCGCACCGCCACCCCGUCGCUGACCCCAGUCGGUUCAUCCUCCCACACCCGUCGCGCUCCUGCGGACGCGCAUGCCACGCUGCUCCUGGCGCGGGAGCUCCUGCACUACCGUCCCGUCGAUGACAUCUACGACAAGUGGCUCGCCCGCAUCACCGAGCUCGUCAGCGCCGCUGGGGGCUCCCCUGCACCAUCCAUCUUACUGCACCGUGCCCCGCCCUACGUGGGCAACGAAGCUCCGGGGGUGCCUCAGCGGCCUCCCCCUCAAGAAGGCGCCCUGGCCCCAAGGCGCGUGGCCCCUGGACGGGACCCGCUUCGUCUGGCGCCUGCACAGCAAGAGAAGAGCUGCCAAGAGACCCCUCGUCCCAAAGAAGCUGCCCGCGUGCUCCCCGCACCGGCAUGAUAUGACCGCGCUCCUGCUCCAGCGUGCCAAGACCCCGCGCUGCUCCUGGAGGCAGCGUGCGGAGACCUCCAAGAUCAAGCUCUUCGUCACCAAAGGCCUCCCGUGGCCACUGCAGGCUAUCGUGCCUUCACCGCCGAGCUGCGCGGCGUGGCCUGGACGGGCAAGUUCAAGCCGGAUCUGCCCCCGCGCUACAACAGCACGGCUGACCCUGCGGAGUUCCUCCAGCUCUAUGAGCUGGGCAUCGAGGCCGCCAACGGGGACGAGAAGGUCAUGGCGAACUGGUUUCCCAUGGCGCUCAAGGAUGGUGCCCGCACAUGGCUCCUGAACCUGGCUCCUGGCACGAUUUCCUCCUGGGAUGAGAUGCACACUCGCUUCAUCGCCAACUUCCAAGGCACUCGCGACCGGCCCCCGGCCAUGAGUGACCUGCGCCGCAUCAAGCAACAGCCAAGAGAGACCCUGCAAAAGUUCAUCCAGCGCUUCAACAACGCUCGCCUCAAGAUCCCCAGGGUGACUGAGGAGGCCAUCAUCUCGGCCUUCUCCGACGGCGUGCAUGACAUCAACAUUAAAGAGGAGCUAGCAAUCCAUGAAGACCUGUGCACAUCCCUGGAGCUGUUCAAUUUGGCGACCAAGUGCACCAGGGUUGAGGAAGGGUGUCUCUCCCUCCUUGAGCUUCCGGUUGCCGAUCCCAAGAGAAGAAGCCCAAGGUCAAGGACGUGAAGCACAAGGGGGCUGUUGUGCUGGCAUCAGAGCUGGACCCAAGCGAGGCAGGGAUCAGCCUGAGUCCUCCAAGGGCAGCCGGUACUGCGUGUACCAUGACCUCCACGGUCACAACACGAAUGAAUGCCAAGAGCUCAGGGCUGUGCGGGAUGUGCGUGCCGGCCGACGCCCCGAGCGCAAUGACCGGGGCUAUGGCCGAGGAGGAGGAAGAGGUGGAGGACGAUGGGAAGACCGUGGCCCUCACCAAGGGUGGCGUGACCGACCUCACGUGGACCGCUGGCAGGACCAGCCUCGCGAGGGAGGUUGGAGGGAUUAGCCUCGCGAGGAUCGCCCACAAGGCAAUGCAUGCCUCCCUCCUCUACCACCACGGCCGAGGAGGAAUGAAGACCAUCAUCAGGACAAAGGGGCUGGGGGCUACCAGGAGCUGCGCGCAAUCUCUUGUAUCUUGGGCGGCGCUCAGGCCCCGGCCUCUCAGCGCAUCUUCAAGCAGUUUGCUCGCGAAGUGAAUGCAAUCCUCCCCAAGCUUGAGGCCACACGCCCUCUCAGGUGGUCAGCAUGCGCCAUCACGUUCAUCUCAAGUGCGCAGCCACAACCAGAGUCCUCCCGAUGCUUUGCUCCCCGAUCGUCAGCAAUGUGCAGGUCACCAGAGACCUCAUCGAUGGCGGAGCAGGACUCAAUAUCCUGUCCGUCGAAACGUUCAACAAUCUCCAAGUGCCAUACAAUCAGCUUCAGCCAACCAAGCCUUUCUCAGGAGUCACUGAUGGUUCCACUGUUCCGAUAGGGCAAGUCCGCCUUCCUGUCACCUUCGGGAAGCACGACAACUACCGCACCGAGCUCAUUGACUUCGACGUCGCCCACAUCCGCCUGCCGUACAAUGCCAUCCUCGGGUACCCAGCCCUAGCCAAGUUCAUGGCGGUGACUCAUCACGGCUACAAUGUCCUCAAGAUGCUAGGAAGCAGUGGAGUCAUCACGGUGCCUUGUGAGGAGAGGGAUGUUGUGUGUUCUUUGGAGCGUGCUUUUCAGGCUGCAUCAAUCGAAGACCCAGAUCACAAGAGUGGAAGGUUUCCCGAGGCAGUCCCUAAGAAGAAGAAGACAUCGCCUGGUCCGGACCCUCAAGAGGCAGGCACCGCAAAACCCGUGCCUGUUCAAGGGGCGCCUCCUUCUGUCGCAUAGGAAGGCGCGCCCGGCGCCCUCCUCGGGCAAGGCUCGGGGGCUCUCCCUUGGAGGGCCAUCGACUUUGCCAAGAUCAUGAGGGAGGCGCUCGGGCACCACUUGGAGGCAUGUUUCAAAGCACGUUUCCCUCAGGAAGGAGCAAGGCAAGGAGGGCCAAACCCUCAUUAGUUCAUCAGCGAGACCAUUCAGGAGCUGUAGGAGUCAGGAGUCAUGAGUGACAGCUGCCGCUUACCCGCAGUAGCUCCCCAUCUGGGCGAGGAUGGUGGGCUGCGCGUCUGCAUCGACGUACCAGGACUCAACCGAGCCACCUCUCAGGAGCACUUCUGGCCCUCACGCGUGGGACGCUGCAAAGGUCCACCCCAUAGCUAUGUUCGCAUGCCUUUCAGCUUGCCGAACGAGGCUGCUGUGCGUCAGCGCCUCAUGAGGAGCAUUUUGGAGGCUCAAGAGGCCAGGCAUUCCGCAGUCCUGGCGGAGAUGGAGAUGGUCCUCGAGGGGCCGCCAGCGCCUCUGGAGCCUCCCGGGGCUCCUGGCCCUGGGGGCUCGUGAAGCUCGGCUUCCGCAGCGCACGUCGUCCGCUACUUCGGCAUCCCUUCAUCUCCGACAUCAUUAGGUGACACCCUUCGAGUUUCAUUUUCAGUUGGGAUCGCCCCCAGGGCUGCAUCAUUCCCAGGCCGCGUGGGUCCGUCCCUGCGGCAUGUACCCCUUUUGUUCAUGUUUUUAGCUUACCUUGUUGGGGGCGCCCCUCGGGCUACAUUAUCCCAAAGCCGCUCGGGUCCGACCCAGCGGUGUUUGCCUUUUUCUGCCUCUAUUUAAACGGAUCUGCUCCUUCAUGAUUAACGUGCUUGACUUAAUCGCCCGCUUGAUUGACACCAUCUUAUGGAGCUGCUCCUUAACGGCACGACGCUUGCGCAUGGGUCCGUCCCUGCAACGUCGACAAACCUGAGUGGCUGAGCUCUGGCCGCGGCAACCCCGCAAUGCGCCACCUCACCAGGCCCUCAGUGCCCUCGUCACCCCUCUAGAGCAACCGGUAGCUGGCUGGCAAUUGUAACGGCAACCUCUCGUUUUCCUUGUGAUGAGCUCGCAGGAUCUCUUUAAGGAGCAGCGUCGGGUGAGGCCUUCGCAGCAUCUCCUUCCCUCUUGUCCACGCGAACCGCUUGCACGUUAAAGGGGGGCGCCUGAGCAUCGCGACUCACGGGCUCUUACUGGCUCUCCGUCCCUAACCUCCUAGCCUUGUCCACGGCAUCACGACCUGGCAUACCAGCGACGGCUGAGCUCGCUCGAGGGCCGGGACCCGAGGACGUAGAGAACGAAGGGGAGUGAAGGCAAGAGGGAUGAGGCUCACAAAGACCUCGCUAGGCAACUCCUCAGCUGCCGCCGCGCGGGCCUGGCACCGCGCCAAGGAGUGGCAUCAUGCUCUCGAGAUAAGUCAUCCUCCAGAGAUAUUAGCUAUCGCAGACCUUGCACCUAAUGCAGUUCCGUGUUCGCAACGUUGCGCUCCUUUCUCACUGAACGAUGGCUGCUUGAGCGCUAAAGGGGACCUCCUGAGCAUCGCGACUCAGGGCCUCUUACUGGACCUCGGUCCGCUCACCUCCUAGCCUUGACCACGGCAUCGCGACCUGGCAUACCAGCGACGGCUGAAGCUUGCCUUGGGACCAGGACCUAUCAGCGUAGAGCACCAAGUCCUCGCGAGGUUCGAAAGGAAGAACUAAGCUAAGACGGGUCGAGCAUCUCACACUGCUUCACGAUAAGAAUCAUAUUAGCAAAAGAAACUACAGGCACCUUACAAGCCCCCACGAGGUGUGUUCUUGGCUCCUCGCGGGAACAAAAGACGCGAAUCCUAAGUAGGCCUAACUACAGGGACCAUGACGGCAGACGCCAUCAUCAACAGUGGGCCGCGCAAGGCCGACGCCAACCUCAUCCAGAUCAGCCGCGUCGACCGCCAGUCACGCCUGCCCUGCUCCAGGCAUGACGCGAGCUCGGGGGCUCAUAGCUGUCGUCGCUCGUCGCCGGAGUCAGGAGGAGCCCGGAAGAAUCGCUGGACCCUCCGGCGCGCCCGCUGCCAUCAAGGGAGCUGCUGGAAGAGCGGGCGGCAGGCCUCAUCCUCGCCGCUCCAGAACUUCGGCCGCUGCCUCUGGGGAAGCACUCCAGCCGGCGUCCAUCUUCGUCGAAGACCUUGAAGAGCAUCAGGGAGGCGCCAUCAUAAUCCAGAUGGAUCACGAGGGCCCCCUCCGACCGACAGACCCGGGCGAUCUCGCCCCAGCCCCAGGUCAUGAAGACCUUGCCCGAAGCAACGACCUCAACAUCCGCUUCGGUCACAGGAGUACUGUAGUCGGCGUGCUGCAGCCAGAGCUAGAGAGGCCCCCUUGGCGGAAUCUCGAAGGCGAAGGAGGGAGGAAGGUGAAUCCAAGAUCGAGGAGGCAUGGAGGCGUGAAGCACAAGCUCGCGAGAAGAGCCCUCGGCGUGAACCCCGGGAGGAACGACGCCACCAUCGUAAUCCACCGGCAGCGACGGCGCCUCUGGCAGUGACGCUCGGUGCCUGCGUCUUCAGGGCCCUCAAUCCGGGCAUACAAGGGCAAAGGGAAUCCAGGCGGCGGCCGCUCGAACCAUGGCCUCGACACCUCCAGCCAAGCUUCCCCUUCUCCGCGGCAGGAGACGAGCCGCUUCUUCGACGGAAGCGGGACAGGACCCUCUCGGGGGGCCUUCCCUUCUCUUCGGCAAAAAACCGGCGGAUUGGCGCCAUUAGCACGAGGUGGAUCAAGGGAAAGGAAGGAGAAGAAGGAGAGUAGCAGGAAAAGAUGGACUGGAAGGGCUCGCACCGUUCCGCAGAUAUAGCCCGGGGAGGCCAACCGCCGGCCUCCACGAUCACAGGUAAUCAUGACCCGUUUUGCAUGCAGGACUUCUCAAUUCGUGCAGUUGCCGAGGCGUCAUGGGGAAAUGGGGACGCGCACGUCCAAUCAACCGCCACGCACGCCCAAGGCCGCAGGUUGUUGGGGCCUACGGCGCUUCGCACUUGCCCCUUCGCUUCUCUACUAAGCCAAGUCCGGGCGCGCCUUGGGCCCGGGGGCUACUGUCGGCGUUCUGGGAACGGGGGUACCCAGACUUGCCCGCCUGCGGCCUACAGCGUGGCUCAAGGAGUGGCCCAAUAUGGCCCAUCUUCAUCGACAUAAGCUCAAGACCCUCGCGAGGGGCCAAGCCUCGCGGGGCGGACGACAGGAAGCAUCCUCAGGCACAGCCUCCUCGGGCUAGCUCGCGAGGAGGUGGAGAGAUCAAGGCAGGGUACCUCACGAGGUGCCCGUGACGCAAGCCAAGACCACCGAAGCCAGGCAGGCGCCGGCCUGCGUAGAGUCCUUGUUUCCUCUUUGGUGCAAAGGGGGCAAGCGCAGGCAAGGGUAUCAAGCAAAGGCAACCAUUUUGGUGCAACAAGACCAAGACCAGCAGAACGGCAGAUGGAGGUCAUCGUGGAGCCCAAGCCGGCGUCAUCAUCAGAGUCUUUGGCAGGCGAGGACCAACUUUAGUCAGGAUAAGUGUACUAGAUGUUCCCCUUCAAAAUGGCCAAUUGUUGGCACCCUUCCCGCUCAAUAUUUGGGAAGAGGACCAGGACCUUGCCCUAUAAAUAGGGCUAGCCACCACAGUAGAAAGGGAUCCAGAUUCAAUCCUUCCCAAGAGGCAUCACCUCCACAAGAACUCCUUCCCUCGCGAGGCAGUUCUUCCUUUGUACUGUUCAUCAUCAGCCCCAGAGGCAAUCCACCACACCACAAACUAGAGUAGGGUAUUACACCACAAUGGUGGCCCGAACUAGUAUAAACCUCGUGUCCCUUGUGUUGUUCUUCGUGUAGUUUAGAUCCUUUGCAAGGCGAUGAGACGUGAGUAGGUAGGAGGUGUGGUCUCCGCGCGCACCCCAGAGUUUGAACCUUAAGGGUCUGCCGAAACCCGAAAUCCGACAUUGGGGNNNNNNNNNNNNNNNNNNNNNNNNNNNNNNNNNNNNNNNNNNNNNNNNNNNNNNNNNNNNNNNNNNNNNNNNNNNNNNNNNNNNNNNNNNNNNNNNNNNNNNNNNNNNNNNNNNNNNNNNNNNNNNNNNNNNNNNNNNNNNNNNNNNNNNNNNNNNNNNNNNNNNNNNNNNNNNNNNNNNNNNNNNNNNNNNNNNNNNNNNNNNNNNNNNNNNNNNNNNNNNNNNNNNNNNNNNNNNNNNNNNNNNNNNNNNNNNNNNNNNNNNNNNNNNNNNNNNNNNNNNNNNNNNNNNNNNNNNNNNNNNNNNNNNNNNNNNNNNNNNNNNNNNNNNNNNNNNNNNNNNNNNNNNNNNNNNNNNNNNNNNNNNNNNNNNNNNNNNNNNNNNNNNNNNNNNNNNNNNNNNNNNNNNNNNNNNNNNNNNNNNNNNNNNNNNNNNNNNNNNNNNNNNNNNNNNNNNNNNNNNNNNNNNNNNNNNNNNNNNNNNNNNNNNNNNNNNNNNNNNNNNNNNNNNNNNNNNNNNNNNNNNNNNNNNNNNNNNNNNNNNNNNNNNNNNNNNNNNNNNNNNNNNNNNNNNNNNNNNNNNNNNNNNNNNNNNNNNNNNNNNNNNNNNNNNNNNNNNNNNNNNNNNNNNNNNNNNNNNNNNNNNNNNNNNNNNNNNNNNNNNGUCUUCUUCUUCUUCUUCUUCUUCUUCUUCUUGUCCUCCCCUUUUUCUUCUUCUCCCCCCUCCUCUUCUUCUUUUCUUCUAAUAAUUUUUUCAAGAACUAUACUACGAACUAACUAAAAGAACAUGUGGUGCCCCCAUGUUUGGUUUUGGUAAUUGAUGACAAUCUCUAUGGAUUAAUGGUUGUCUUGAAUUAUAUUUGAAGGUUUUGUCCAUAGGCUUUUCUUGGAAUACAUGUGUUGGUUUCAAGGAGAGGUUGUGUCGACCAAGGUGCUAUUCAAGGAAUUACCUAAAGAUUGGUCUUGUGAGAGGUUGAUCAAGACUAAGUAAAAGAGUGAAUCAAGUUGAUCAACAUAUGAAGCAUACAAGAUGUACCAAGGGAUCAAGUGAUCCCAUGGUAUGGUAAGCAUUGCCCAUUAUGCUUUGUAUUCUAACCCAUGGUAUUCGUGAGAGUUCUUUGUGGGGUUAGGUUGCGGUGUGCAAGUUUAAGUGGACCAUCAUGAAGAGAUCAAAUGCUUGAAGUUUGCCGUUCAUUUUGGUGUCAAUGGACUUGUGAAGAUGUGCUGAAGAGUGGCUCACCCAUAGUGGAGUAUGGGGCAGCAAUCAUCCAGUCUUCAUUGACCCAACAUAAUCAAGAAAGGUGGUCCAUCUUGAGGAGGACGAGAUCGUCAUCAUCUAGCUCAAGUGGACCAUGUGCAAGGCAAAGGUUUGCCCUUGAUAGGUUUUCUAUUUUACCGGUCUCAUGGUGGUAGUUGGGAGACCGGGUUUUAGGAUCGAUUGCCAUACUAUCAAGGGGGGAUCUCGAUGAGUAGCUUGAUCGUAUCAUUUGUAGAGAGCUCAAACCAUUGCAUCCUUGCAUCAUCUUUCUUGGUUCUUGUUUGGUUCUCUUUGUGAGAUUUGGAGCUUAUGGUCAUCUUGAUGACAAGCUCGAGUUCAUCGAAAAUGGAGUUCACAUGCAUCUUCUAUGAUGUUUUCAAUGUUGGAGGUUCUGCCGGUUCUUCUUUGAUGUUUGCUACGCAUUGUCUUGUAUCCAACAAGCUUGAGUUUGCUCAAUUCGGAGCUCAUUUACAGAAGUUAAGGCAUUUCUAUUUUUAUUGGACCCGUCUGUUGUCUUAGCUGCGUUUUGAAGGCAUCCAAGUGCUAAAGCCUCUGUGGCAUGCGGUAGUACUGCUCAACUGAGCGGUAGUACCGCAGGGGCCAGCGGUAGUACCGCUCCUGGUGAGCGGUAGUACCGUUGCCUCUAGCCCAGAACGUUGGCACGCACGGAAGUAGGCACGGAAGUAAUUUUUUACUUCCGCGCCCUACGCGGUAGUACCGCUCCUGGUGAGCGGUAGUACCGCUGCCUCAUGUCCUGGCGCUGUUGUGUGGUAGUAGGAGUGGAUGUAAUUUUUUACAUCCGCCCUCACGCGGUAGUACCGCUCCGUGUGAGCGGUAGUACCAUGCCGACCUUUUCUCGUAGCUAGCUCCAACGGUUGUAGGCGCGGCAGUUAUUUUUUUCUCUGGUCGCGCGGUAGUACCGCAAGGGCAGGUGGUAGUACCGCUCCUACAGAAGUACUUCCCUGUUGCCCCUUUGCAGUGUUGUUUCUUUGGGCUUUUGCCGCCCAAGAGGUGGUACUGCUACCCCUAGCGGUAGUACAGUGAGGUCAAGUGGUAGUACCGCUCUAUGCGGGCUGUGAGGAUAACGUUUGGAUUUUUCCCCACCUAUAAAAGGGGGUCUUCUUCCCCAAUGGACCUUAUCUCUUUAGCUCGAGUUCUUCCCUCAUUGUUGACCUUCUUCGAGCUUGCUAACUCUCAAUCCCUCCAAUGAUUCUUGCUAGUUCUUGAGGGAAAAGAGAGAGGAGAUCUAGAUCCAUGUUUCCACCAAUCACUUUCUCCUCUAAGUGAGGGGAACCCCUUGGAUCUAGAUCUUGGAGUUCUUCGUGUUCUUCUUUCGUUCUUCCUCUAAUUUUCUUCCCCAUUAGUUGCUUUGGUGGGAUUUGGGAGAGAAGGACUUGGGCACUCCGUGUGCCCUUGCCAUUGCAUUUGGUGCAUCGGUUUGAGUUCUCCACGGUGAUACGUGGAAGUGAAGUUUGAGAAGCUUAUUACUCUUGGGUGCUUGGUACCCUUGAGCUUGUUCCUCUUGGGUGCUUGGGCGCCCUAGACGGUUGGUGGUGUUCAGAGCUGAAUCAUUGUGGUGUAAAGCUCCGGGCAAGUGUCGGGGUCUCCAAUUAGGUUGUGGAGAUCACCUCGAGCAAUUUGACGGGUACCGGUGACCGCCUCCAAGGGUUGCCAAAGUGUACGGGUUCGGUGAUCGCCCCCAAGAGUUGCCAUUUGUACGGGUUUGGUGACCACCCUCAAGGGUCCCUGCUACGUCUUGAGCUAGCAUUGGUUUUCCCCGAAGAGGAGAGGGUGAUGCAGCAAGUGUAGCGUAAGUAUUUCCCUCAUUUUUUGAGACCAAGGUAUCAAUCCAGUAGGAGGCUCCUCAAAAGUCCCACGCACCUACACAAAAAAACUGAGAACUCGCAACCAACGCAAUAAAUGGGUUGUCAAUCCCUUCACAGCCACUUGCGAAAGUGAGAUCUAAUAAAGAUAGUAUGAUAAGAUAGAUAUGUUUUUGGUAUUUUAUGAUAUAGAUGCAAGAAAAGUAAAGAUGCAAAUAAAAGUAGAUGCAAAUAAAAGAUGCAAAUAUGAUAAGAGAUAGACCCGGGGGCCAUAGGUUUCACUAGAGGCUUCUCUCGAGAGCAUAAGUAUUACGGUGGGUGAACAAAUUACUGUCAAGCAAUUGACAGAAAAGUGAAUAAUUAUGAUGUUAUCUAGGCAUGAUCAUGUAUAUAGGAAUCACAUCCAAAACAAGUAGACCGACUCCUGCCUGCAUCUACUACUAUUACUCCACACAUCGACCGCUAUCCAGCAUGCAUCUAGAGUAUUAAGUUCAUAAGAACGGAGUAACACAUUAAGCAAGAUGAUAUGAUGUAGAGGGAUAAACUCAUGCAAUAUGAUAUAAAACCCAUCUUGUUAUCCUCGAUGGCAACAAUACAAUACGUGUCUUGCAACCCUUUCUGUCACUGGGUAAGAACACCGCAAGAUUGAACCCAAAGCUAAGCACUUCUCCCAUGGCAAGAAAGAUCAAUCUAGUAGGCUAAACCAAACCGAUAAUUCGAAGAGACUUGCAAAGAUAAAUCAAUCAUACAUAAAAGAAUUCAGAGAAGAUUCAAUUAAUAACCAUAGAUAAAUCUGAACAUAAACUCACAAUUCAUUGGAUCUUGACAAACACACCGCAAAAAGAGAUUACAUCGAAUAGAUCUCCACAAGAGAGGGGGAGAUCAUUGUAUUGAGAUCCAAAAACAGAGAAGAAGCCAUCUAGCUAAUAACUAUGGACCCGUAGGUCUGAGGUAAACUACUCACAACUCAUAGGAGGGGCAAGGAUGUUGAUGUAGAGGCCCUCCGUGGUCGAUUCCCCCUCCGGCAGAGUGCCGACGAAGGCUCCAAGAUGGGAUCUCGCGGAUAUAGAAGGUUACGGUGGUGGAAAUUGUGUUUCGUGGUGCCCCUGGAUGUUUUCGGGGUCCGUAGGUAUAUAUUGGAGGAAGAAGUACGUUGGUGGACGCCCGAGGGGCCCAUGAGACAGGGGGCGCGCCCUACAGGGGGGCGCGCCCUCCUAUCUCAUGGGGCCCUUGGAGCUUUCUUGACUUGCACUCCAGGCUCUCCGGAUCAGAUUUGUUCCAAAAAUAACGCUCCCAAAGGUUUCAUUCCGUUUGGACUCCGUUUGAUAUUCCUUUUCUUCGAAAUACUGAAAUAGGCAAAAAAAACAACAAUACGGGUUGGGCCUCCGGUUAGUAGGUUAGUCCCAAAAAUGAUAAAAAUAUGUAGAAUAAAGCCCAUAAGCAUCCAAAACAGGUAAUAUAAUAGCACGGAACAAUCAAAAAUUAUAGAUACGUUGGAGACGUAUCAAGCAUCCCCAAGCUUAAUUCCUGCUCGUCCUCGAGUAGGUAAAUGAUAAAAAGAGAAUUUUUGAUGUGGAAUGCUACCUAGCAUAAUUCAUAAUGUAAUUUUCUUUCAUUGUGGCAUGAAUGUUCAGAUCCAAGUAAUACAAAAUAAAAGUUCAUAUUGAUAUAAGAAAUAGAAAUACUUCAAGCAUACUAAACAAGUGAUCAUGUCUUCUCAAAAUAGCGUGGCCAAAAGAAAGUUAUCCCUACAAAAUCAUAUAGUCUGGCUAAGCUCUAUCUUCAUCACACAAAGUAUUUAAUCAUGCACAACCCCGAUGAUGAGCCAAGCAAAUGUUUCAUACUUUAAUAAUCUCAAACUUUUUCAACUUUCACGCAAUACAUGAGCGUGAGCCAUGGACAUAGCACUAUAUGUGGAAUAGAACGGUGGUUGUGGAGAAGACAAAAAAGAAGAAGAUAGUCUCACAUCAACUAGGCGUAUCAACGGGCUAUGGAGAUGCCCAUUAAUAGAUAUCAAUGUGAGUGAGUAGGGAUUGCCAUGCAACAGAUGUACUAGAGCUAUAAAUAUAUGAAAGCUCAACAAAAAGAACUAAGUGGGUGUGCAUCCAACUUGCUUGCUCACGAAGACCUAGGGCAUUUUGAGGAAGCCCAUCAUUGGAAUAUACAAGCCAAGUUCUAUAAUGAAAAAUUCCCACUAGUAAAUGGAAGUGACAACAUAUGAGACUCUCAUGAAGAUCAUGGUGCUACUUUGAAGCACAAGUGUGGUAAAAGGAUAGUAGCAUUGUCCCUUCUCUCUUUUUCUCUCAUUUUUUUAUUUGGGCCUUUUCUCUUUCUUUUUAUGGCCUCUUUUUUUUUUAAUUUCAUCCGGAGUCUCAUCCCGACUUAUGGGGGAAUCAUAGUCUCCAUCAUCCUUUCCUCACUGGGACAAUGCUCUAAUAAUGAUGAUCAUCACACUUCUAUUUUUUUUACAACUCAACAAUUACAACUCGAUACUUAGAACAAAAUAUGACUCUAUAUGAAUGCCUCCGGUGGUAUACCGGGAUAUGCAAUGAAUCAAGAGUGACAUGUAUGAAAGAAUUAUGAACGGUGGCUUUGCCACAAAUACAAUGUCAACUACAUGUUCAUGCAAAAAUCAAUAUGACAAAAGUAAUGUGUGUCAUAUGAACGGAACGAUGGAAAGUUGCAUGGCAAUAUAUCUCGGAAUGGCUAUGGAAAUGCCAUAAUAGGUAGGUAUGGUGGCUGUUUUGAGGAAGGAGUAUGGUGGGUGUAUGGUACCGGCAAAAUUUGCACGAUACAAGAGAGGCUAGCAAUAAUGGAGGGGUGAAAGGAGUGUGUAUAAUCCAUGGACUCAACAUUAAUCAAAAGAACUCAUAUACUUGUUGUAAAAAUUUAGAAGUCAUCAAAAACCAAAGCACUACACGCAUGCUCCUAGGGGGAUAGAUUGGUAGGAAAAUACCAUCACUCGUCCCCGACUGCCACUCAUAAGGAAGACAAUCAAUAAAUAAAAUUGUGCUCCAACUUCAUCACAAAGCGGUUCACCAUACGUGCAUGCUACGGGAAUCACAAACUUCAACUCAAGCAUUCUUUAAAUCCAUAAUCACCCAACUAGCAUGACUUUAAUAUUACUACCUCCAUAUCUCAAAACAAUUAUCAAGCAUCAAAUUGAUCAUAGCAUCCAAUUCACUUUAUAUGAUAGUUUUUAUUAUACCCAACUUGGAUGCUCAUCAUUCUAGGACCAAAUUAAAACCAUAGCAAAUACCAUGCUGUUCUAAGAGACUCCCAAAAUAAUAUAAGUGAAGCAUUAGAGACUAGCAAUUUCUAUAAAAUUAAUCCACCACCAUGCUCUAAAAGAUAUAAGUGAAGCACUAGAGCAAAAACUAUCAAGCUCAAAAGAUAUAAGUGAAGCACAUAGAGUAUUCUAGCAAAUUCUAAUCAAAUAGGCUUCUCCAAAAAGGUGUGAUACAGCAAGUAUGAUUGUGGUAAACUAACAAGCAAAGACCAAUAUAAUACACGACGCUCCAAGCAAAACACAUAUCAUGUAGCGAAUAAAAAUAUAGCUCCAAGUAAAGUUACCAAUGAACGAAGACGAAAGAGAGGACGCCUUCCCGGGGCAUCCCCAAGCUUAGGCUUUUGGCUAUUCUUGAAUAUCUUGGGGUGCCAUAAGCAUCCCAAAUCUUAGUCUCUUGCCACUCUUUAUUCCAUAGUCCAUAAAAGCUUUACCCAAAACUUGAAAACUUCACAACACAAAACUCAACAGGAAAUCUUAUAAGCUCCGUUAGUGAAAGAAAACAAAAUCACCACAUAAGGUACUGCAAUGAACUCAUUCUUUAUUUAUUUUGGUGUUAAACCUACUGUAUUCCAACUUCCUUAUGGUUUAUAAACUAAUUUAUUAGCCAUAGAUGCAUUGAAAUAAGCAAACAACACACGAAAAACAGAAUCUGUCAAAAACAGAACAGUCUGUAGCAAUCUGUAACAAACGCAAACUUCUGGAACUCUAAAAAUCCUACCAAAAUAGUAAGUACUGUAAAAUUUGUUUAUUGAUCAUAAGCAAAAAUAAUGAACGCAAAAUCUAUUUUCUGUGAUUUAAUGAAUUUUUUCUCAUGAGCGCUAAGUUUCUGUUUUUCAGCAGAAUCAAAUUAACCAUCAUCAUAGUUUACCCUAUAGGUUCUACUUGGCACAAACACUAAACAAAAGAUAAAAACACAUCUAAACAGGAAGUAGAAACAAAAUUUAACACUAAACAGGAACAAAAACAAAGAACAUAAAGAAAAUUGGGUUGCCUCCCAACUAGCGCUAUCGUUUAACUCCCCUAGCUAGGCAUAAAAGCAAGGAUAGAUCUAACGAGUGCCAUCUUCGGCACUUCAUUCAUAAGUAGCACGCAUGAUAGAUUCAUAAGGUAAUUUGACUUUCUUUCUUGGAAAGUGCUCCAUGCCUUUCUUUAAAGGAAACUGGAAUCUAAUGUUCCCUUCCUUCAUAUCAAUAAUCGCACCAAUCGUUCUAAGGAAAGGUCUACCAAGAAUAAUAGGGCAAGAAAGAUUGCAAUCUAUAUCAAGAACGAUGAAAUCUACGGGCACCAAAUUUCUAUUAGAAACAAUAAGAACAUCAUUGAUCCUUCCCAUAGGCUUUUUAAUGGUGGAAUCUGCAAGGCGCAAAUUUAAAGAGCAAUCAUCAAGAUCAUGGAAGUCUAGAAUAUCGCAUAAAGUUUUCGGAAUUGUGGAAACACUAGCACCCAAAUCACACAAAGCAAAACACUCAAAAUCUUUAAUUCUAAUCUUUAUAGUAGGUUCCCACUCAUCAUUAAGUUUUCUAGGUAUAGAAACUUCCAAAUUAAGUUUUUCAUCAUAAGAUUGCAUCAAGGCAUCAACAAUAUGUUUGGUAAAAGCUUUGUUUUGACUAUAAGCAUGAGGAGAAUUAACAACGGAUUGCAACAAGGAAAUACAACCUUUUAAAGAACAAUUAUCAUAAUCAAAUUCCUUGAAAUCCGAGAUAGUAGGUUCAACAUUAUUAGAAGUUGAAGAUUCUCCAAUCUCUCUUUUACCAAAUUUAGCAUUAAGAUCUAAAGAUUCCGAAUUUUUGGGACGCCUUCUAGGCAAAGUUGAUUCGCCAUCACCCCCAUAAUCAUCAAAAUUCAUAUUGCAAAACAUAGAUCUAAUAGGAGACGUAUCAAUAACUUUAAGAUCCUCAUCAUUAUUUUCGUGUUAAUUAGAAGAACACGCUUUUAUAAAGCUUUCCUUUUUAGCAUGCAAUCUAGCGGUUCUUUCCUUGCACUCGUCAAUGGAGAUUCUCAUUACUUUGAGAGACUCAUUGAUAUCAUGCUUAGGAGAAGAAGAUCCAAGUUUAAGAGAAUUAACAUCAAGCAAAAGUCUAUCAACGUUCCUAGCCAAAUCAUCAACUUUGAGCAAUUUUUCUUCAAGCAAAGCAUUAAAAUUCUUUUGAGAAAUCAUAAAUUAUUUCACACUAUUCUCAAAAUCAGAGGGCAUCUUAUUAAAAUUACCAUAAGAAUUAUUGUAGGAAUUUCCAUAAUUAUUAGAGGGAUUACUAGGGAACGGUCUAGCAUUAAAAUUUCCUCUAUAAGCAUUGUUUCCAAAAUUAUUCCUAUUCACAUCCAUAGACUCAUUAUUAUUCUCAAUCAAAGAAGACAAAGGCAUAUCAUUGGGAUCAAGAGGAGUAUUUUUAGUAGCAAACAUCUUCAUAAGUUCAUCCAUCUUUCCACUCAAAAAAUUCAUUUCUUCUAUAGCAUGCACUUUUUUACUAGAAGAUCUUUCGGUGUGCCAUUGAGAAUAAUUAGCCAUAAUAUUAUCAAGCAAUUUUGUAGCAUCUCCUAAUGUAAUUUCCAUAAACGUGCCUCCCGCGGCCGAAUCUAAGAGAUUUCUAGAAGCAAAGUUCAAACCGGCAUAAAAUUUUGUAUGAUCAUCCAUAAAUUCAAACCAUGAGUAGGGCAAUUGCGAAGCAUCAAUUUCAUUCUUUCCCAAGAUUGGGCAACAUGCUCAUGAUCAAGUUGUUUAAAAUUCAUAAUAUCGUUCCUAAGAGUGAUGAUCUUAGCGGGAGGAAAAUACUUAGAGAUAAAAGCAUCUUUUCACUUGUUCCAAGAAUCAAUACUACUUUUAGGCAAAGACGAAAACCAAACUUUAGCACGAUCUCUAAGUGAAAACGGAAAUAACUUCAAUUUGACAAUAUUGUUAUCUGUAUCUUUCUUCUUUUGCAUGUCACACAAAUCAACAAAAUCGUUUAGAUGAGUGGCGGCAUCUUCACUAGGAAGGCCGGCGAAUUGAUCUUUCAUAACAAGAUUCAGCAAGGUAGUAUUGAUUUCACAAGACUCAACAUCAUUAAGAGGAACAAUCGGAUUACUAAGGAAAUCAUUAUUAUUGGUAUUCGAGAAAUCACACAACUUGGUAUUAUCUUGUGCCAUGGCAACAAGUAAUACAACACACAAGCAAACAGAAAAUGGCAAACAGAAAAAGGCGAGCGAAAAGAGAGGAGGAGAAGAUUGGGAAAGAGAGGGCGAAUAAAACGGCAAGGGUGAAGUGGGGGAGAGGAAAACGAGAGGCAAAUGGCAAAUAAUGUAAAUGCGAGGGAGAUGAGUUUGUGAUGGGUACUUGGUAUGUCUUGACUUGAGCGAAGACCUCCCCGGCAACGGCGCCAGAAAUCCUUCUUGCUACGUCUUGAGCUAGCGUUGGUUUUCCCUGAAGAGGAGAGGGUGAUGCAGCAAGUGUAGCGUAAGUAUUUCCCUUAGUUUUUGAGAACCAAGGUAUCAAUCCAGUAGGAGGCUCCUCAAAAGUCCCACGCACCUACACAAACAAACUGAGAACUCACAACCAACGCAAUAAAGGGGUUGUCAAUCCCUUCACGGCCACUUGCGAAAGUGAGAUCUAAUAAAGAUAGUAUGAUAAGAUAGAUAUGUUUUUGGUAUUUUAUGAUAUAGAUGCAAGAAAAGUAAAGAUGCAAAUAAAAGUAGAUUGAAAGCAAAUAUGAUAAGAGAUAGACCCGGGGGCCAUAGGUUUGACUAGAUGCUUCUCUCGAGAGCAUAAGUAUUACGGUGGGUGAACAAAUUAUUGUCAAGCAAUUGAUAGAAAAGCGAAUAAUUAUGACAUUAUCUAGGCAUGAUCAUGUAUAUAGGCAUCACAUCCAAAACAAGUAGACCGACUCCUGCCUGCAUCUACUACUAUUACACCACACAUCGACCGCUAUCCAGCAUGCAUCUAGAGUAUUAAGUUCAUAAGAACGGAGUAACGCAUUAAGCAAGAUGAUAUGAUGUAGAGGGAUAAACUCAUGCAAUAUUAUAUAAACCCCAUCUUGUUAUCCUCGAUGGCAACAAUACAAUACGUGUCUUGCAACCCUUUCUGUCACUGGGUAAGAACACCGCAAGAUUGAACCCAAAGCUAAGCACUUCUCCCAUGGCAAGAAAGAUCAAUCUAGUAGGCCAAACCAAACCGAUAAUUCGAAGAGACUUGCAAAGAUAACUCAAUCAUACAUAAUAGAAUUCAAAGAAGAUUCAAUUAAUAACCAUAGAUAAAUCUGAACAUAAACUCACAAUUGAUCGGAUCUUGACAAACACACCGCAAAAAGAGAUUACAUCGAAUAGAUCUCCACAAGAGAGGGGGAGAUCAUUGUAUUGAGAUCCAAAAACAGAGAAGAAGCCAUCUAGCUAAUAACUAUGGACCCGUAGGUCUGAGGUAAACUACUCACAACUCAUAGGAGGGGCAAGGAUGUUGAUGUAGAGGCCCUCCGUGGUCGAUUCCCCCUCCGGCAGAGUGCCGGUGAAGGCUCCAAGAUGGGAUCUCGCGGAUACAAAAGGUUACGAUGGUGGAAAUUGUGUUUCGUGGUGCCCCUGGAUGUUUUCGGGGUCCAUAGGUAUAUAUAGGAGGAAGAAGUACGUCGGUGGACGCCCGAGGGGCCCACGAGAUAGGGGUGCACCCUAUAGGGGGGGGCACUCCCUCCUAUCUCGUGGGGCCCUCGGAGCUUUCUUGACUUGCACUCCAGGCUCUCCGGAUCAGAUUUGUUCCAAAAAUAACGCUCCCGAAGGUUUCAUUCUGUUUGGACUCCGUUUGAUAUUCCUUUUCUUCGAAAUACUAAAAUAGGCAAACAAAAAAAACAAUACGAGUUGGGCUCCGGUUAGUAGGUUAGUCCCAAAAAUGAUAAAAAUAUGUAGAAUAAAGCCCAUAAGCAUCCAAAACAGGUAAUAUAAUAGCAUGGAACAAUCAAAAAUUAUAGAUACGUUGGAGAAGUAUCAGUCCCUUAGUGGAAUCACAGCAUCUUGCAUUGUGCGAGGGCGUGAGGAGAUUACGGUGGCCCUAGUGGCUUCUUGGGGAGCAUUGUGCCCCCACACCGCUCCAAACGGAGAUUAGCAUCCGCAAGGGUGUGAACUUCGGGACACAUCAUCGUCUCCGCGUGCCUCGAUUAUCUCUUACCCGAGCCCUUUACUUAUGCACUUUGUGAUAGCCAUAUUGUUUCUUGUCAUAUAUCUUGCUAUCACUUAGUUGUUUAUCUUUCUUAGCUUAAGUUGUUGGUGCACAUAGGUGAGCCUAGUUGUUGUAGGUUUUUUGCUUGACAAAUUAACCGCUAGGUUUAUUCCGCAUUUUUUCAAUCCUAAACCGUAAUUAUUUUGAAGCGCCUAUUCACCCCCCUCUAGGCGACAUCCACGAUCUUUCACUAACCUAACUAACCUAGAAACUAACCUAACUAACCUAGAACUAACCUAGAAAAUCAAACUAACCUAACUAACAGUACUAACUAACCUAAUUACUAGCAGUAGAAAAGAAACAUGGGGGAGCUCACCGGAGUGGGUCAGCGGGGCAUCGGGGCGGCGGGGUGUUGGGGCGGCUAGGGCGUCGGGACGGCGGGGCGCCUUGUUGUGAAGGCGGUGGGGNNNNNNNNNNNNNNNNNNNNNNNNNNNNNNNNNNNNNNNNNNNNNNNNNNNNNNNNNNNNNNNNNNNNNNNNNNNNNNNNNNNNNNNNNNNNNNNNNNNNNNNNNNNNNNNNNNNNNNNNNNNNNNNNNNNNNNNNNNNNNNNNNNNNNNNNNNNNNNNNNNNNNNNNNNNNNNNNNNNNNNNNNNNNNNNNNNNNNNNNNNNNNNNNNNNNNNNNNNNNNNNNNNNNNNNNNNNNNNNNNNNNNNNNNNNNNNNNNNNNNNNNNNNNNNNNNNNNNNNNNNNNNNNNNNNNNNNNNNNNNNNNNNNNNNNNNNNNNNNNNNNNNNNNNNNNNNNNNNNNNNNNNNNNNNNNNNNNNNNNNNNNNNNNNNNNNNNNNNNNNNNNNNNNNNNNNNNNNNNNNNNNNNNNNNNNNNNNNNNNNNNNNNNNNNNNNNNNNNNNNNNNNNNNNNNGAGGGUGGUGGGGGUCGGGGGUGGCGGUGACGGUUGGGGUCGGGGUCGGCACGUUGGAGUGAGAGAGAAAGAGAUGGAGAGUGGGAGGUGGGGUGGGCCAUAGCCAUUAGCUCCCGUUCUCUUUCCCGUCUGCUAGAUGGCAAAGAAUCUUUGCCGUCUACUAGCAGACGGGAAAGAAAGUGUUUGUUAGGUGGUACUCGUUAGUGGGCCACCACCACCCCCCCUCUUUGCCGCCUGCUAGCAUAUGGAAAAGCUUCUAUGCCGUCUGCUAGCGGACAACAAAGAGCUUGAUGACAACAAACAUGAUCUUUGCCGUUAGUUUUCUGUAAGCUGAUGGCAAAGACCUUCUUUGCCGUCAGCUGGCUGACCGCAAAGAUCCUGAUUCCAGUAGUGUUACCAUAUCAAGAAUUCUUAAGAGGUGGAGCAAUUCUCACGACAUCCUUGAUAUAAAAGAUGGUAAUACUCCAAGGUAGAACAUAACAAAAGCUGGAUAGCAAGGAGCUCCAUAACAUGAACAAGUUUGUGUUGGAAGGAAGGUAAGGAUGUGGUCGAUGACAACACAAAUUACCAAGUGACAAGGAUGGUACUUCUCAUCAUGAAUUUGUUGCACAACUUGGAAGAAGUCAAAUUGUUGACAAUGAUCAUGACACAUUUUUCCAAGAGGUUUCAUGAAGAUGCAGUCGAUCAACGAUGGCAUCAAGCCAAAGGAAUGGUGAAGUGAAAGCUUAUCGGAACCACAAAAAAGAUGCAAGCUAGAAAUUAGAGUUGCCUUUCAAGACAAACAAUAUGAUGUUGAAAGCUCGAUGUAGCUAGUGCAUUGUUGGGAUUGCGUUCCGGGGAUGAAGGACAUAGGUAGCAUGGUCAAGCUUUAGGAUGGCGAUGAUGAUGUAGCCAAUUAGCUGGGAAUGAUAUGAUUGAGUACAAACUUGUAAGCAAUGAACAUUACUUAGAUUUGUUGAAUCGCAGUGCAGACUUGAUAUAGUUAUCAAUGUCCUUGAGUGUCUAACAACUCAGAACCCAGGGAAAAUUAGAAUCGGUGAGAACUAAUAGUUGAUGAAGAACUCAUAAGAAGAUAUAUAGUUCUGUGUUAUUCUCGAGAUACCAAGGGGUAAUACCCGAAGGUAGAUCAGAAUAGAGUUUUAGACUUGUGUAUUGAUUUGUGGAAGACAAGCACUUUAACUUGUCUGAGAAUGAACUCAAAGUAGAUCAACAUGGUCGGAACCACGAUUGCAAAGGGAAAAAUCACAGAUACAAGAUCAAAUUAUACCAAGGGAACAAUUAUUGUUACGAGAACUUCCAUGAUAAGGUCUACAUUGUUUCCAUGGGCAUGAACACAAAGUUCAAGGUCGACUCCCACUUCUUCAAUAAAUAACCUUUCAUCCACUUCUCGCUUUCGAUGAAGUUGUAGUGUUGAAAUUUUAUCGGGCAAAAACACCAAAAGAGUAUGACUCGUGAAAACUCUCGGGUUCACACGGAUUAGGGAAGGCAUAGGUUCAACCCAUCGGGGCAUCUUAGGAACAUAUACCAUGAACUUUAGGAGUAAAUAACACAAGCUCGGAAGCGGAGCAUGGUUGAAAAAAGUAGGGGAUAUAGCUUACCAAAGGCAUUAUGUAUCAGGGGAAGAACUCAAGGUUUUGAGAACAUGCAGGAACGAUUGGAUAAUGAUCCACCAAAGGAUUUGGCAGACUGCAAAGAAUCUGAUGUGAGUAUCGAUGUUCAACUAGAAGAAGAAAUAAUGCACAGGCAUCAAAUUAUUGAAAUAUCUGGAUAAUUCCAAAGCUUAAAUACAACAGAAUUAUGAUUUCCAAAUCGGGGUAUCAGAAGAAGAUGCUCCGAUCAAAAGAAAGUAAGUUGAAAAGACAUAGAUCAAUAAUCAAUCAAGGUUUGAUUUGCCGAGAACCAGCUCAUGUCCGGAGUGACGUCUGAGCCGAAGUACGAAUUCAUAGUGAUCAAUUGAUGAUUGCAUGCAUUCGCAACAUAUUGGAUCAAGGGACUCUAAAUGAUAGCGACAAGGGAUGCCAAUAAGAUUACUAGACAUAUGGGAUUUAACCAUAAUGCAAGAAGGCUAGAAUUCCAAGAGCAAUAGUUAGCAGAGGAUUACCAGAAGAUUGGGUAGUAUUUCAAUGUAUCUUGUGAAUCAUAUGAACAACUAGUAAUGAGCAGUUCCUCGAUAAGUGUGAAAAAUUAUUCAUAGGGGUAUUAUGUGGCAAGGAACUGCAAGGCAGUGGCACAGGGGAUUCUUAAAAGUCAAAGAAUAAUUCGAUAUAUCUUGUAAUAACAAGAGAACUGGGAAUGGAAGUAUGAACGACAGGUGUAUGUAGUUAUCCAUAGGGGUUGACGGUGCAAGGGAAUUGCCAAAGCGAUGAACCCAGAGGCCAGUUGGGCCAUGGCCCAGUGGAGGGUUCUUCUUUCUUUGAAUUUUUUGUUUAUUUUUCUUAUUUUCUUUUUCUGUUUCAUCUAAUUUUAGUUUUACAAAAUACGAAAGUUGUACCUAAAAUAAUAUUAAUAAUUAUGCCACUGCCACAAUUAAUUUGGCACCUAAAAUAAAACAGUUUGUAAUUUUUUACUACUUGAAAAAAAUAUAAACAAUUGUUUUACCGUUGUUUUAGUUAAUUUAGAGCAUUUAAAUAUUUUACAAAAAUGUGGUUUCUCCACCAUUAUUACUUAGUAUUUAUUUUCUACAGUUAGAACAUUUUAGUUUUAAUGUUUGAAAACUUUUAUUGUUUGACUUGAUUUUGAAUAUGAAUUCGAACAGGAUUUGAAUCAUUUGAGAUUAACAACAGUAAUCGUUAUGACGUGACAUCAUCAGUAGAGGGUUAUUGUAGCUUAAUUAUCCGGGCGUUACAAUAUUUCACAAAUAUAGUAGAAACCAUGGGCCAACUUACAAAUUUUUCAUGUAACUCAAUUUGAAUUAUCUUAUAUAUAGUAUAUUAACAUAUCUAGAAUGAUAAAGGACUAUAUAUGGUACCACAUAGUAGUAUAUGAGACAUGUGGGGUAACUACCCCUGGGUGGUAGGGGGAGCUGGGUAGCACCUCCAGUAUCACUCAUUUUAUUUAUUUGGCUUCUAGUAAAAGGUUUAGAGAUGACCACAUUAACCUCCUUCUCUAUCAUUUCAUGAAUUUAACAACAAUACAAGUUUCCUCAUCUAUAUAUCUAUUAUUAAUCCAGUUAGUGUUAAGAGGAGAUUACUCCCUGGCCACUUUAGUUAGAACCAUCACAUCAUGUUGUUUUUGUUCCAAAUUAUCGCCUUUUCAGCUAGAUGUUCUCUAGUUUUCUUGAGUUCUAUAACAACAUCUACAGAAAUAAAAUCAUUACCAUAAAUUUCAAAACACUCAUUACAGCAGCUUUGCUCGUCAAUUCGAAAUUAGCACAAUGUAGCAAAAGUGUUUAGAGAGGAAAUAUUAUUAGCACCUUGCUGGUUCCUCUUCCUAGUGAGAUUGACAACUCUAGCAUCCAUAUUUCUCAUGUUAGUGCAUAUAGUCCUUUCACUCGGUUUGGCAUGCACUACUUCUUCCAUAGGAGUAGGAAUGAUGUCCACACGUUCAAACAAAAAGUGGUAGGAGAUUACACAACAUAAAUAGAGGAAUUUUAUGUGCAAGAAACAACAUCAGGGUCCAUCUCUAUAACAAUAGGCUGGCUAAGUGAAUCAACUAAAUAUGAAGUAUAUUGAGGUACAACCACCAUCUCCUAGAUGCUGUUAACCACAAUCUCCUCAUAUAAAAAUUGUUUCUGAUUUAGUGCCUCGUAGCACUCAACUUGCAUGUCUUGUUCAUUUUACCUUUUCUGAGCAACUUUAUUAAUGAAAAGUUAAUUAUCUUCCUCUUUACUCUUUUUGUCAGAGUUAGUUUCCUCAUUAUCUUCCUUUUCCUCAUUCUCAUCUCUCAUAGGAGCACAAUUUUCACCACAAAAAAAAUCUAGGAGAAGCAAGAAAACCACCAACAAGAAUAGAUCCUCUAGUGUCCAUAUUAACAAAAUUCAAUAGUCCUAGAUCUCUUAAGAGAAGGACUACCAUCCUUAUUAGGAGCAUCAAUAGAUACAUUAUCAUCAAGGGGUUUUAUCCAUGGAUCUUAUUAGUAGAGUAGGCAAAAUCAUAAAAAUGUCCUCCUAGACUCCCUCGGUCACAUUAGAAAUAUUCUCGGCAUCUCUAUAUCCAACAUUAAGUCUCGCGGAUUCAGGCCUGUGUAAGGUAGCCAUGUCAAAGUCUGGAGUAACACCCACCAGAGAUCCUACAUAUGAUGCAUGUUUCUCAUUUAUUUAUCCAUGUGAAUAUUUCCCAUAUUAACCCAUGUAAUGUUCAACACUCCCUUAGACCCAACAAGCUCAACAAUUUCUAGGAUAUACAACCGCUCCAUGGUUUUUUAUGGCCAUACUUUCACUAUAACAUGCCUUCUCAACUUCUCUAUCAUUAGAAAAUUAUAUAACAUAGGUGUCAGGACCAAUGAUUCUAGUAGUGCACCUCCACCAAAAUCCUAAAUAUAUAUUAAAGGUCUGCUCGAUCUAUCUAGUGGAAGUUGGUUCCUCAAUAAAAAAAUGACAAUAUUCUUGCUCAUAUCUUUGACCUGGUUAGAAGAACUAGAAUCAUGAAUGUAAAUAGAAGACCUGAUCCCUAGCCCAAAACCCACACAUAGGCACGAUGCAAUCCCAGGGUUAUUGUUGCAUGCAAGAAGAAGAUGACUAACUGACCAGCAACGACCACAAACAACAUGAGGUGAAAAUAAAGGAACUUGACCCAGUCCAUUACAAGCUACGCAAACCUCACCACACAUGGCGGUUGGUGAAGCAUUUUUCCAGGCCAAAGAGGGAUCCUGCUGAAGUGGACCUUGUUGGCGAUGCCAGCUGGUCUUGACGGUGCUGCCAUGAGGCUAGGUGUUCUUGCCCAUUGCAUGAUGUUGCGUGUGCAUCCCUAAGCUUCCAUAGAUGUCUCCUCCCAUUCCUCCCUGCCAGCAUUCCCGUUGCUAGAUUUUUUGUUUUUGGAGGAAUGUUGGCCGCAAUUGUCGUCUGGCUUGUGCUGCCACACAUAGUUGUGGUGUCCGCCAUCAUGAUCUCACCCCACGUGGCAAGCCAACCCAUGUGCCCCACCCAAAACCAUCCAUUUGAUGGCCACGGUUUAAGUGCAUACACUGAUACGCCAUGGUAGGCGAUGUAGCAGGAUGAGGAGGAGAGGCAGCGACUUGAGUAAAGGAUAUUUCAUCCCCGCCAACUAUGCCCUCACACCAAUUGAAGGCAACCCCUAGGCGCCACCUAGAAGUAGUGGAAGAGGAGAUCAAGAUCUGGGAGGGGGGAGGGGUUGGAUUGGUUGGACCUGGGGAGAGUUAAACCUAGUUCCGUCUGGACGGAGCUCACCGUGGAGGCAAGGCACUCGACCUGGCUCGCUUGCAAAGUGUUUUCAUUGGCCUCUAGUCCCACAAUGGUGUGCAUACCCAUAGUUGGGCCUAUGAUUACUACAAAAAAAACACAUCCGUGACAUUUUGGGCCGAACGAAUUUUUUUCUGUCAUGCUUAUAACACUUUUAUGACAAUAAUUGUGACAAAAACACGUAUCAUCAUAGAUGUGGUGGGAUCCUACUUCUAUGACAAAAAAUCAUGACAGAAAAUGGGCUUUUUGUCCUGGGCGAGCCGGAGAUGUAGUUGCAUGACAUUCUUUAGGCCAUCCAUGAUGGAAAAAAUCAUGGUAGAAGCGAGGGCGAGGAAAAUAUUGGGGAGUUCCCGGUUAUGGUGGGUGGUCGGGGCCAAGCGAUGCACGGAGGUCUGCGCCUUUCUCUCGUGUACGCGCAUGUGUCCGAGGCGUUGGCUAACUGAACCCGAGCGAUUGCAUGUUACUAAACCCGAGCGAUUUAUCCCUUGGCUGUUAACUAAAUCCGAGUGAUUCAUUCGCUGCUGACUGAACCAAGCGAUUCCUUCGCUGCUGCUGCUAACUGAAUCAGGCGAUCAAUCACUGUUGCUGCUUACUGAAGCCGAUCGAGCCCCUGGGUGAGACGUAGCUAGUCGAUGUUGGGUUGCCUCUCGGUGAACAGUGACCAUUGCUACCGUGCGCACGGUAUGUAGAACGAGUCGAGACGUGGUGAGUCGAGCCGGUUGGUUGGCUGUGGAUGAGCAGUUCCCGGUGGGGGUUGGAUGAACAGGACCCCAUGGUAGUGGGUCGUUACCGCUGGAUGAACAGGACCUCGAGGAGGCCGCCGCACCCCAGCCGGUUGGGGGUGGAUGAACAGGACCCCGUGGAGGCUCUAUGAACAGCAACCGGUGAAGGCUGGAUGAACAGUAGCCCGUGGAGGCUGGAGGAGGUCGACGGUGGAUGAACAGUAGCCCGUGGGGACUGGAGCGAGGUAGUAGAUGGUGGAUGAACAGGACCCCAUUUAGACCGUAGGUGCUCCAACACAAGUUUGUUUCCUCCAUUUUGCCGUAUGCCACACCCCUCCCGAUGAACAGGACCCCGUUUUGACCGUAGGCACUCCAACACAAGUUUGUUUCCUCCGUUUUGCGGUACACCGGCCCUUCCCGAUGAACAGGACCCUGUUUUGACCAUACGUGGUUGAACAGAAGGCACAUUUCCUCCGUUCUGCACUAUGCAGACCUUGUUUCGGCUGUUCCAUCCAAGCCGGUUGGCUCCCGAUGAACACAACAUAUUCCGACCUAGUCAGUUGCCUCCCGAUGAACACAACGCUCUUUCAUCCGUUCUGACCCAGCCGGUUGGCUGCUGAUGAAUAGGACAACGUUGAUGUACGUGUUCAAGACCAUGCCCGUAUGUACUCCUUCCAUCCGAGAAAGCUUGUCCCUCAAAUGGAUGUAUCUAGCACUAACUUGGUUCUAGAUACAUCCAUUUGAGGGACAAGCUUGGGACAAGCUUUUUUGGACGGAGGGAGUACGUACGUAGCUGUAUUUACUUUCUUGCAGCAUGGUUGUGCGUAUGUGUGCAUGUUAUAGACGGGACUGCGUGACAUGCUACGUCUGCGCCUCUACUAUGACACAUGAUGCUCCUUACUCGACCACAGUUCAUCGUUGCAAAGAGACCGAUCAACUAGUAUGUAUGUACACGCUCGCGACCAAACAGACAACGCUAUGUACGCUUUGACCGGGUGGGUCCCAACUAUUCCUUGCGUGCGAAGAAAUAGCUGGUGGGUCCCAGCUGUCAAGGGAGAAUCUUUUUUCCAUAGUAUGGACGCACCUCCUUGCGUGCGAAGAUGUAGCUGGUGGGUCCCAGCGGUCAGGAGGGAAACAUUUUUUUGCAAAAUACAGUCCCUUUAGGUGGGUCCCUGCUGUCAGGUGGAGGAGUAAUUAUUUUACACAUAAUAGGAGGCACUUCCUUGCUGCAGCCGUGGACCCAGCUGUCAGCCUCUCCACGUACAGUCCUCUUCCGAUGGAAGUCGUUCCUUGACCAUGUUGACCACCCCGAGCCGAGAGCACCAAAGCGGCGGACGACGACAAGGCCUAGGAAGGGGAGGACACGGAGCCAUGGAAGGCGCGACUGUGGGUGCCCACGCGGAGAGGAGUACGAGGGUUGACUGGUUCGGCUGCGGUGUGAGGCUGCUGUCGCCGCAAAAUAACAUGGGUUGUGGGUGACUAGAGUGAUGGCCUGGCCAGCGAUGGAGUAGGAGGGGCGGUGAGGCCAGCGCGGCAGCAAAACCGGCCACGGGCAGUGAGGCGGCACUGCUCGCUUAGGAUUGGGCGGCUGGAGCAAGAAGACCAGAGGUUGAAGAAGCACGACAAUCAUUGGAUGGACAUCGUACAGUCAUUGCAGCUAGAAUCGUUUAUAUUGACUAAGUUGACAAAGCCCUGCAACUUAGUAGGCCCACAAGUCAGCCUCCAAAUAUGGUGGGUCCCACCUAGUGUCGGUGUACUAGAAUAGGGGUACCCUAGUACCCCGAACUUGUGCACGGGCAGUUGCAGCACCCCGCGGCGAGGCUUGCCGGGCGAACGCCAAGAUCCUCCGUGGUUCCCUUGGAGCCAUUCAAGAACAAAGUAUUUAAGCUCAGGAGACGAGGCCCCGGCAAGAGGAGCUUGCCAGGAAGGCCAACCAAGGCACUUUAGGGAACUUUCCGCAACGCGCCACGCGCUCCGGCAAGGCAACAAGGCCCCGGCAAGAGGAGCUUGCCGGGAAGGCCAACCAAGGCACUUCGAAGCCCGGUGAGCGACAAGCUUCCGGACCCGACAAGAUAGCAGCAGCGGCAAGGCGCUUGCCGCGGCAGGCGGCCACUCUGCGCCCACGCUCCAGCACAUCCGCCAACGUGUCGCUCUGGGGGCCUCUCUAGGCGCGCGUGGCGGGAGGCUGUGCAGCCAGCGGUGCGCAGUGGCAUGCGAAGCUGACAAGAUCGCCAUCGUGGCGAACGGUGGCACCCCUAACGGUCCUUUUCUGCACUGUUUGGGCGACUCAGACGGGCAUUUAAUGCCCUUGUCCCCUGCCGUCAGAGUUAGGUAGGGUGCACUGUACAAGUAACUAUACCAACCACCUCACUUUUUACAUUUGUGCCCUUCUCUGCGUUGCCACCUGUCGGUGACCCCUUUAGCGUAUAAAAGGAGGCCCAUGCACAACGUAGAGGGGGUUCGGUCCGGUUCGAUUCAUUCGUAACCCAGAAAGACACUGCGCUCUCUCUAGAGCAAGAACACAAGAUAAUACAACCAGACAAGCAGCAGUAGGAGUGUUAUCUCUCCGAAGAGCUCCGAAGCUGGGUAAACUGCUCAUGUGCUUCGCCUCGAUCUGCUCUUCAUGCGAUCUCCGCCCCCUGCCGAACCGAAAGGGGCCCGGUCCGCCGGCCCCAUAGGUGUUCGUGGAUCAGUUUCCCCUACAUCUUUGGCGCGCCAGGUAGGGGGCGUCGAGAUUGUGUGAACCUGAUCCGGCGUUCACACGAGCUAGAUCUUCAUUCCCUUCAUCAACAUGCCACCGAAGAAGAAGACUUCAGCGGCAGCCGCUCCGUCCACGUCACUUCCACCACCGUUGGAGCAAACGGGUGGUGGAAUGGACGCCGGCGGAAGAAUAGACGUCGACGAGGAAGCUCAUGAUGCUGCCAGGUCCAAAGACAAGGUUGCACAAACCUCGGCGACUGUACAUGUUCCACGCCACUCCCAGGAGGCGCAAGACCAACAGCAUCAUGGCACUUGCAGUGCCAUACGCAUGAUAGGCCAAGACCAAGCUGGUGGAUCUCGGGGCGCUCAAGACCAGCAUGCACGCCAGCAUGCUGGCACGAGCGGGGCACGGUCGCCUGGACGGGAUACUGCUCCUUCCAACAUAGUUAGAAGUUCGAGCACGUCCCGCUCCUCGCGCCGUCCGCCACUGCCACCCACCACUCCAGCAUAAGCUUUGGCGCGAGCUCAACUUCUCCUAGAUUACCCUCCGACGUCGGACAAGAUCGACGAAUGGAGGGCCACCAUUCAGAGUCUCAUCGGCUAUGCAAACAGCAACACUCCACGGCGGCCGAGCGCGUCGCCGCCGCGGCAGGGUUGCCGGGAGCGGGCCGGUGGCGACGAAACGGGUGGAGGUGCAACUACCAUGCAAUCACCACCCUGAAGGCCAAGAUCGCCGACUCGCCGGAUCCACCUCGACAGCGACUCCACCGCAUCUUCGGAUCCACGAGCUUGUCGCGAUCAGCGCCAAGUUCUUCAUGAUCGACAACAAGAAGACGCUUGAACUCGCAUCGAGCGUCAAAGAGAAGCGCGACGUCAAUCCGACAAGUGCGCUGGGCCCUCUGUUGACAUGGAUGCGCCAGGGGAACCAGGCGAUCUGCCGUACGCGGUAGGUUGCCCUGCAUUCACUCGUGAGCUGCGGCGAGUCCAGUGGCCCAGCACAAAGAACUUCAAGCCAGACGUACCGGAGAAGUACGACGGCAAGACGCAUCCGUCAGAGUUCCUCAGCAUCUACACCAUCGCGAUGCAGGCUGCCGGGGGACGAGAUGACAAGAUCCUUGCCAACUACUUCCCGCUGGUGCUCAAGCCCAACGUCAGGUCCUGGCUCAUGCACUUGCCGGACAACUCCAUAUCCUCUUGGGCUGAUCUGUGCCAUCAGUUUGUUGGCGCCUUCACAGGCGGACACAAGCCUCAUGGCCAGGAGAGUGAUCUUCAUCUGCUCGCCCAGAAGGAAGGAGAGCCCCUGCGCAAGUACAUUCAGAGAUUCAGCAGUGUGCAGCACAAUAUCCCAGACAUCCACCCUGCUGCGGUGAUCAGCGCAUUCCAUCAGAAUGUGCGAAACCGCAGGAUGCGGGAGGAAAUGGCGAUGUGCAAGAUCAGGGACGUUAGUGAGUUAUAUGCACUGGCCGACAAGUGUGCAUGUGUUGAGGAAGGGAGGAGACUCCCCGGAGAGAAUGUAGGAGCGGGAGGAUCUGACAGUGAAGAUGCUGCCCCGGCAAGGAAAAACCGGCGGCGGAACAACAGAAGGAGGAAAGGCAAAGAGGUGCUAGUUGUUGAGCAGUCCGGCAACGGUGGUGGCGCCAAGGAAGCCAAAGCUGGUGACUCCGGCAAGGAGGUUGCCGCGGAGGUGGCGGUCGCCGACAAGCAGGACGGCACCAACAAGCAAUAUUGCAAGAUCCACCGCACCAAGGGCCAUGAUCUCCAGAACUGUAAGAAAGUCGAGCAGCUUGUUGAGCAACAGAAAGCUGAAUACGAGCGGCCCGACAAGGAGAAGGCCCAGGAAGGUGCUGGGGGAUCCGGCAAGAAACGUCCCGGCUGAGGAGGACGCCACGGCAAGGCCAAGCAGCGGCAAGGAGAUAGACCUCCCCGCGGCCGCGACAAGGAUGAAGAUGACAACGACGAUGAAGACAUGGAUGAUGAGGAGACUGAUGAGCAGGAAUUCCAUAAGGCCACAGAGGUCCUGUGCGUUGACAGUGGUGCUUCUCUGCACACCUCGCACCGUCAGCUCAAGCAGUGGGUGCGGGAAGUUAAUGCAGCAGAACCACCCGUCGAGUCACGCAAGCCUCUGAAAUGGUCCAGCACGCCUAUCAUCUUUGAUAUUGAGGACCACCCUGAUCACAUAACUGCGGUCGGGUGCUUGCCGAUGUUGGUUUCACCAACAAUCCGCAACCUCAAGGUCACUAAGAUGCUGGUUGACGGCAGGGCCGGCUUGAACCUGAUCUCCUCCGCGGUGCUCCAGAAACUCCAGAUCCCUGACAGCGAGCUCGAAGAGACCGGUACAUUUCAAGGAAUCAACCCGGGAAGAAGCAAGCCGAAGGGAAAGAUCACGUUGCCGGUAACAUUUGGCAGCGAGCUGAACUUCAGGACUGAGAGGGUCACAUUUGAUGUUGCUGACUUUCCAUUACCUUACAAUGGAAUCCUUGGCCGUCCGGCACUCGCCAAGUUCAUGGCAGCCUCUCACUAUGCGUACAACAUACUGAAAAUGCCGGACCCGAUAAGUGUCAUCUCUGUCCCCGGCGACAAGAAGGAUGCUCUUAUCUGUGCCGACAAGAUCUACCGGGAAGCAGCAGCCGCAGCAGAACGCAAGACACUUGCCGCUGAAGGUCCCGAGGGGAAGAAGAAGACCAAGUCCGGCAAGAGCUCUGAUGCCCACUCCGGCAAGCGCACCUCUUCGGAGUGCUGCGCUACCGUCGAGGACGCACCAUCGAGCUCCACCGGCAAGUGUAAGAAGGCAAUGGAAGCUCCACCUGAGACCAAGAAGGUGUCCGCCAAGGAGGACGGCACUGGUGGUACAUUCACCAUCAGCGCCACCCUUGACCCCAAAUAGGAAAGCGCGCUCGUUGCUUUCCUACGGGCGAAUGUCGACGUGUUUGCGUGGCAACCGUCUGAUAUCCCCGGUGUUCCCAGGAAAGUAAUUGAGCAUCACCUUGCCGUCUGUCCUCAUGCGCGGCCCGUCAAGCAGAGAGUCAGGAAGCAGGCAGUGGAGCGCCAAGAAUUCAUAGCAGAAGAAAUCAAGAAGUUGGAAGCAGCAGGCCUUGUCAGAGGAGUGCUCCAUCCCACGUGGUUGGCCAAUCCUGUUGUCGUGCGCAAGGCUAACGGGAAAUGGAGGCUUUGUAUUGACUUCACUGAUGUUAAUAAAGCUUGUCCCAAAGACCCAUUUCCCUUGCCGCGUAUUGACCAGAUUGUUGACUCCACAGCCGGAUGUGAUUUGCUUUCAUUUCUUGAUGCAUACUCAGGAUACCAUCAGAUCUUCAUGGCAGAAGAGGAUGAAGAGAAAACCGCAUUUAUCACCCCGUGUGGCACAUACUGCUUUGUACGGAUGCCCUUCGGUUUGAAGAAUGCUGGUUCAACAUUCGAAAGGGUAGUCCACCACGCUUUUGAGCCGCAGAUGCACAGAAAUGUGGAAGCCUACAUGGAUGACAUAGUGGUCAAGAGCAAGAACAGGGCGAUCCUGAUUCAAGGUUUAGACAAGACAUUUGCAAAUCUGCGCAGGAUCAACCUCAAGCUUAACCCCGAGAAGUGCGUGUUUGGAGUCCCAUCCGGCAAGCUUUUCGGGUUCUUCGUGUCUCAGUGGGGAAUUGAAGCCAAUCCCGACAAGAUCAAGGCCAUUGAGCAGAUCGAAGCACCAAAGCGCGUCAAGGAUGUACGAAGGCUUGCCGGUUGCGUGGCUGCUCUUAGCAGGUUUAUCUCUAGAUCUGCUGAGCGCGCCCUGCCAUUUUUCAAAAUUUUGAAAAAGGUAGGUCCAAUGAAAUGGACUCCGGAGGCGGAGGCUGCGCUGCAGGACUUAAAGAGAUACCUGUCCUCCACUCCAACACUUGUCGCACCUAAGCCGCAAGAGAAGUUGUUGCUGUAUAUAGCGGCAACAAAUCAAGUGGUUAGUGCUGCGUUAGUGGUGGAGAGGGAGGCAGACGAUGAGCCAGCAACCACAGCAGAUGCAUCCAGCGACAAGCAGGGGGCUUCGCUGACAAGCUCCGAUCCCGACAAAGAUGGAUCUGCGCAGGAGCAUGAUAAGAUGCAGAAGAGAACGGUGCAGCGUCCAGUUUACUUUGUCAGUUCCCUUCUAUAAGGGGCUAGAUCAAGGUACUCUGGCGUGCAGAAGUUGCUUUUCGGCCUCCUCAUGGCCUCGAGAAAGCUGCGCCAUUACUUCCAAGCACAUGAGGUCACAGUCGUCACUCGCUUUCCGCUGAAGAGGAUACUGCAGAAUCCAGAAGCGACAUGCAGGAUUGUCGAGUGGGCACUGGAACUGUCAAGCUUUGGCCUCAAGUUUGAGAGCACUUCAACUAUCCAAAGCAGGGCAUUGGCAGAGUUCAUAGCAGAAUGGACGCCAACCCCAGAUGAAGAAAUUCCAGAGACGAGCAUCCCCGUCAAAGAGGCAAGCAAAGAGUGGCUGAUGUACUUUGAUGGUGCCUUCUCGCUGCAAGGCGCCGGUGCGGGCGUGCUGCUUGUCGCGCCCACCGGAGAGCACCUCAAGUACGUAGUCCAGAUGCACUUUCCCAAGGAGCAAGCAACCAACAAUACUGCAAAGUAUGAAGGAUUGCUUGCCGGCCUCAGAAUCGCAGCAGACCUUGGGAUCAAGAAGCUCAUUGUCAGGGGUGACUCACAGCUUGUCGUCCGCCAAGUGAACAAGAACUACCAGAGUCCAUUGAUGGAAGCAUAUGUUGAUGAAGUGAGGAAGCUAGAAGAACACUUUGACGGCCUACAGAUGGAGCAUAUCCCAAGAGCUCAGAAUGACAUUGCUGAUGGCCUGUCAAAGUGCGCCGCACUAAAGUUACCUGUGGAACCAGGGAUCUUUGUGCUCAAGUUGACUCAACCAUCCGUAACACCAUCAACUGGACAAAGUAAGAAGAGGAAGUUGGUUUCUGGUGACUACUUUCUGGCAGAGCUCCCCGAAGCCGCCGCUAAGAAAGUCCCCAAGAUCAACACCAAGGAUGCUGAGGGGCAGUCUGCUCCGGCAAGCCUUAUGGUUUGUUCCGUUGAAGCAGACGCUCCCGACAAGUUUUGCUCCGGCAAACUUGUCGGGGAACAUCAAGCUCCGGUAGGGCCGCAAGUCCUUGCCGUAGAAGCGGAUGUUCCCGCAGCAGCAGAUAUGCCUUUGGUCCUUGUUGUCGAGCCACAAGCUCCAGCAUGGGCACAGCAGAUUGUCCAUUUUCUUCAGACAGGAGAACUUCCCGAAGAGCAAGAAGAAGCGGAAAGAGUAGCCCGGUAGUCAAGUAUGUACCAGUUUGUCGAUAGCAUACUGUACAGAAGAAGACUCAACAGUGUGAAAUUGAAGUGUAUUUGCCAGGAAGAUGGACAAAAGCUGUUGGCAGAGAUACAUGGAGGCAUAUGUGGCCACCACAUUGGCGCAAGAGCACUUGCCGGCAAAGCUUUCCGGCAAGGUUUCUUUUGGCCGACAACCCUCCAGGACGCAACUGCACAAGUAACCAAGUGUGAAGCGUGCCAGUUCCACUCCAAACAGAUACACCAGCCAGCUCAAGCUCUCCAGACGAUCCCUUUAUCCUGGCCAUUUUCGGUCUGGGGCUCGAUAUCCUCGGCCCUUUCCCCCGAGCUGUCGGGGGCUUUGAGUACUUGUACGUCGCAAUCGACAAGUUCACAAAGUGGCCGGAAGUGCAGCCAGUGAGGAAGGUGACAGCACAGUCAGCAGUCAAGUUCUUCAGGUCAAUUGUUUGCCGUUUCAGGAUCCCUAACAGGAUCAUCACCGACAACGGCACGCAGUUCACGAGCCGCACCUUCAUGCAGUACGUCCAAGACCUUGGCGCUAAGGUCUGCUUCGCUUCUGUUGCUCAUCCGAGAAGCAACGGUCAAGCAGAGAGGGCAAAUGCUGAAGUGUUGCGUGGGCUCAAGACCAGAACUUUCGACAGGCUACGCAAGUGCGGAAGAAACUGGAUCGAGGAGCUGCCGGUGGUUCUUUGGUCGAUCAGAACGACGCCAAAUCGAGCCACUGGCCAAACACCUUUCGCUCUAGUCUAUGGAGCAGAGGCAGUUCUCCCCAUGGAACUCGUAUACGGAUCGCCUCGAGUGCUUGCUUAUGAUGAGCUUGAGCAAGAACAGCUGCGACAAGACGACGCGCUGCUCCUUGAGGAAGAUCGUCUUCAGGCUGCUGUACGAGCUGCUCGAUACCAGCAAGCUUUGCGCCGCUACCAUAGCCGCAAAGUUAAGGCCAGAAGCUUCGAGGAAGGCGACCUUGUUCUUCGGCGCGUUCAGUCCGCCAAGAAUUCCAACAAGUUGACGCCGAAGUGGGAAGGCCCUUAUCGGGUGAGACGAGUCACAAGGCCCGGCGCUGUCUGCCUUGAGACCGAAGAUGGCAUUCCGGUGAGCAACUCCUGGAACAUAGAACAUCUUCGUAAGUUUUUCCCGUAAGGCGCGGUUGCCGGAACCCCGUUCCGGCAACCACCUUUUGUACAAGUCUUGCCGCUGUUGCAUGUAAUCCUUUGUACAAAGCCGGGCGCAGAUCCCGUGCAUAAGUAAAACCCCAUGUGCUCCGCACAACUUGUCCAUUUCAUGCAUUAGUUUCUUUCUUGCAUGUGUUAUCUGACACUUUGUGCAGCACCUACAUCCGGUAAGCAGUAACGAGCCGAAGGGCUCCAUAUCAUUAUUUUCUCUUCUUUCUUCUUUUCAACAAAGGAAAAGAAGGUUCCCUCGCACACAUGUUUACCGGGGGGGAAGGAGAAGAUUGUGGUAUGGACCAGGCGUCGUUCAAGCAAAGUCUUGCCCUGUCGGGAAGCAAACAACAGAAAAGCUAAGUUGCCAAAGUUUGAGCAAUCAGUUUUUAAAUUUUUGAGUUAUCUUCCUCGAACGACCCUGCUUUUGUAUGGAAAACCUGUGCGCAGAGGAACCAACUCGUGGCUAGUUGCGCCCUUACUUUGUUUCGAGUCCGCUCAACAACUUAAGUGUGCUGCAUCUAGUCGCGACAAGGUUUCUUGUCGGAAGCAGCACUGCCAGCAGGCUGCUGAAGUUCCGCACUCAGCGCUCGCGGCUCGGGUGCCUGCGCCGACAAGUUCCCUAGAAGCGUAGGGUAAAAACAUACAAAGGAAGGAAUCUAGUAGAGGAAAUAACAUAGAAAUUGAUAACAAAAAUAAAGUUAUACUACAAGAUAACUUGUCGCAGCUCUAACAGAAUGUUUUCAUAACAUGAUUAGCAGCGACAAGGGAAAAGAAGAAAUGGGCGGCCUAGUCUACGCGUCCCCUCGACCCUCUUGAUCUCGCUCACCUUGUCCACAAUGGGUGCGACAAGGGCCUUGAGUGCGUCCCGAUCGGCGUCUGGCGGCAAGGACUUGAGGACGUUGGUGAAGUUGAGGCCUGGAUUGCGGAAGGCCACCUUCAUCAGCACCUUCUGGAGAACCCCGGCGCAGAUUUUGCGCGACUCGUCGGCCAGCUGAUUCGGGAUCCUCUCCCGGAGCCGCUGGAGUGCCGUCGCCACGUCCUUGAAGAACAGGCUGAGCUUGGCGCUGGGUUGGAGACUCUCGUUGGAAGGAUACCCAAAGUCCUCCAUCCCCAGCUGCGCCAGCUCCUCGUUGAUGACUGCGGCAAUGCUCACCAGACCCUCGGUCCAGUGCUCCAUAGUGUCUCUGAACGAGUUCUGGGUAACUGCAAUGCUCUCCAGCAGCGCCGCGUCAGCCUUGACCUUCUCCGACAAGGUCUUCUCCCGCUCCUUGGCGGCCUCCAAUGUCUGCGUCAGCGUGGCCAGCUUUAGCUCCAGGUCUGCAUUAGAAUCCUUGGCGGCACUGAGCUCCUUGCCCCUCUCAGCGAGAAGACAUUGCAGCUCACCGUGGGUGGCAGCAGCAAGCUCCUCGCCGCUCUUCCCGAUGUUGGCCUCCAGCUGCGCCACCUUCUCCUCCAGCUCUUUCUUGGCAGCCUCUGCAAUUGCCGCAGCGUCCUUUGCUUCCUUGAGCGCCCCGCCAAGUGCUUGCUCACGCUCGGCGAGCUCCUCCUCGUAGCUAUCGAGGUUGGCCUUCCACUGCACCAAUUCUCCUUCUCGUGCAGACUGCUUCUCGGCGGCCAGCCUUUGUUCCUCCUCAGCUUCGGCCUUCUCGAGAAGGAAGGCCAUGCGCUCCUCGUCGAGUCGCUCCCGCUCCUGUGCCAGGGACCGGAGAGCCUCUUGAUUGUGGCCCUGGAGCUCCUCCGCGCGCUUCUCCAUGUCAACUCCCGCCUUCGCGACAAGUGCUUCCCGAGAAGCCAGCUUGGCUUGUCGGGCGCGGUAGAGUGACAGCAGCUUCCGCAGUAGCUGCUCCUCCUCAGGCUCGCCACUGCUGCUGCUGGGCGCGUCGACCAACGACAGUCCAGCAGAGGCGAGCACCUCCCCGUCGAAAGUUUCCCCCUCGACCGGCGCCCUGGAGCUCGACGCCCAGGGUAGUUUGAUGAAGAUGUCGUCGCCGUCCUUCAAGUAGGCGCCGGGCUGGGGCUCCUCGGAGCCCGGCUCCACAGCAGCGGCAGAGGGAUCGGCGGUCGGCGCAGCGCCUGGCGCUCCUGCGGCCUCAGGGUCGUCAGUGCGAUCGCCAGACCCCUCGCCGCCAUCUGCGGCGGCAGCCUUGGCGGCCUCCUCGCCGGCGGUCUCAUCAGCACCAGCCCCUUCCUCGCCGGCGCCCUCUGUCUCCAUUGGCUCAGCAGCAGAUGGGUCUGAAGAAUGAAGAAGGGAGAAAAAUCAAUCAAAAAUCCAAGAGAAGAAAAUCAGAAGAAGAAGAACCCAAGGGGAAGUUCUUGGACAAGUGAAUUACCUGCGCCAAGAUCUGCAGUUACGGUCUCGGUCGCCGCAGGAUCGACGGUGCUGCCCCUUGCCGGAGAGUUCUCCCUUGCCGGAGAACGCUCCCUUACCAGGAACCCCUCCCUUGGCGGCGUAGUCGAAGCAGAUGGCACUUCGGGACCAGCUUCCGGGCGCUCCUGAUGUGGCUGCUCUGCUCCUACACAAGUCAACAAGCAAGAUAUCAACAAAGGAAAAAGCACUCAUGCGCGCCCGACAGCAGAAAGCUAACUAUAAACUUACGCUGGGGGCUGCGCUGGGGGCUGCUUUGAGGAGUGAUUGCCGGGUCCGUCAAGGUGGUCUCGGACCCACCCCCUGCAGACACGGUGGGGUCGUCUUCGAUGACAAUCACCACGGCCUUGGCCCUCUUCGCCGCUCUUUGGGCCAGCGUCCUGAAAAGAAAGGAGUCCAGAUUGAAGCAAGUCAGAUACAAGAUAUAAACAGCAAGAUUAAAGAACUACAAGAGCGCCGAAGAAACUUACUCUUCUUCCUCCUCAUCGGAGUUGAGCGCGGAAAGAUCGAAGUCAGGCCCUCCUACGGUGCGGCGAGGCGGAGGAGUAGGAUCCCUUGCCCGCUUGGCGGGGGCGGUGGCGGUGGCCCGGGAAGAUCCCGCUCCAGUUGCCGUUGCUGCGUGAGGCGCUCCCGCGGCAACAUUGCUUGCCGCGGUAGAGCACGUCGCACGGCUCGGCGGCUGUUGACCCGGCUGCCGCCCCGCUACGUCCCCGGCCCUGCGAAGGCGCCUUCUUGGCGGGGCCGAGGGCUCCGCCUGCGGCAAGUUUUCUGAAGGCUCGGGCUCUUCCUCGCCGGCCUCGCUCGGCUCGGCUUCAGAACCGGCAGGCUUUUCUUCACCAAUGAACUCCGCGCGCUCGGCAAGGUUUGCCGCCUCUGCAGCCUCCGCCUCCUCCACGGUGAACCCGAACACGCCCGCGGCAGCUGCGGCCGCAACCUCUUCCGCCCUAGUGGCGAUGCGCUGCAGCUCCUCGUCGGUGGUGUCGUGGGUGAGGCUCUUUUGCUCGUCAGUGUGGAUCGGCACUUCUUCCAAGUUGUCGAAGAACGCUUGCACGACGUCAUCCACAGGCUCUUGCCAAGUUGGAACGAUUCCGUGUGAAUCGCACAAUGGCAUCAUGGCGCGGAUCCGGUCAAGCAAAGAAUUGUUGCAUAAAGGGACGACACCCCUCGGCAGCAUGAAUGGGUGCUGGGGAUCGCGUUUGAACAACUCCAGGAGCAUUGCAUCCAGCUCCAAGACAGUGAAGUUGUAGUUGAGGCCCGGCCGCAGCCUCAUGAUGUCCGCCGAGUUCUUGAAUUCCCAGGCGGGCCUCCCCCUCUCCUGCAGGGGGGCGAUGUGGCGGCGGAGGAAAUCUGCGCCGACAGCACCUACAGUGAGCCCGACAAGCCUAAGGUGAAGAAUCCUAGUGAUGGCGAUCUUCAGCCUCUCGUCUUCCGGGGCCACGUUACUCCAGUCAUUGCCGCGCACUAUGGGAGCUUGGCGCAUGGCGGUGAAGAGCUGCGGAUUCUCCUUGACGAUCCAGCACCACUCCGCUCUCCACUCAUCCCAUUUGCUGCGGAGCUCACCCUCCAAGUACGCCUCCUUCUUGCCGACUCUCAAGAUCCAAGCAAUCCCUCCGGCAAGCGGCUCUCCUCUCUCUACCCGAGGUAUGAAGAAGUGGCGGAAAAGGGCAACAUUGGGGUGGACUCCGACAAAGUUUUCGCACAAAUGUGCGAAAACUGCCAUGGUCAGAACGGCGUUGGGGUGAAGUCAAGGAGGCGGAAGCCAUAUGUGUUCAUGAUAUCGCAGAAGAACUCCGAGAAGGGCGGGCAGAGCCUGCAAUAGAAGAAUAGCGCGAAGAAUGGGUACCCGUUUGGAGCCAGCUCCGAAGCAGCAGCCGGGAGUACCCUCGUGCGCGGAUGCGCACGCGUCUCCGUCGCCCAAAAGAGGUAGAAGUACUCCCUCAGCUCCUGCACGCCGAGCUGGGGGGAGAAGAUCGCCCGCUCCUUCCGCAGCACCGCGAGCCGCUGCGCCUCGGCCGACUUCACGCCCUUCCCCUUGUCGGCUUUCGGAGUCAUGGUGGAGGUGGUGGGGGAGGUCGACGGCGUUGGUGAUGCUAGUGGCAAUGGGGGCGGAGCACUGCUCUCUCGGCCUCGAGAAGAAGGGGGGAGCGAUGGAGGUUCGUGAAGGUGGAGUAGUAGCAACCAGCGAGGGGGAACGAACUGCCCCUGUUUCCUCUGCUUAUAAAGAGGGACGGGGCGGACGUUUCGCCCUUCCGAAUAGAGAACCACCCACGAUCUCUCCCACGAUGCCGCAUUCAACGUGUGCCAUUAGGGGAGAGCGCGGUGGAUAUGGAACGAGAUUCGGCGUGGCCCAAUCCGCGUGUGCCCGUGCCCUGUCUUGGGCCUGGCCCAACAGCGCUCGGCACCGUGUCUGGCCCGGGCCCGGGGGCUCCUGUCGGUGUACUAGAAUAGGGGUACCCUAGUACCCCGAACUUGUGCACGGGCAGUUGCAGCACCCCGCGGCGAGGCUUGCCGGGCGAACGCCAAGAUCCUCCGUGGUUCCCUUGGAGCCAUUCAAGAACAAAGUAUUUAAGCUCAGGAGGUGAGGCCCCGGCAAGAGGAGCUUGCCGGGAAGGCCAACCAAGGCACUUUAGGGAACUUGCCGCGAUGCGCCACGCGCUCCGGCAAGGCAACAAGGCCCCGGCAAGAGGAGCUUGCCGGGAAGGCCAACCAAGGCACUUCAAAGCCCGGUGAGCGACAAGCUUCCGGACCCGACAAGAUAGCAGCAGCGGCAAGGCGCUUGCCGCGGCAGGCGGCCACUCUACGCCCACGCUCCAGCACAUCCGCCAACGUGUCGCUCUGGGGGCCUCUCCAGGCGCGCGUGGCGGGAGGCUGUGCAGCCAGCGGUGCGCAGUGGCAUGCGAAGCUGACAAGAUUGCCAUCAUGGUGAACGUGGCACCCCUAACGGUCCUUUUCUGCACUGUUUGGGCGACUCAGACGGGCAUUUAAUGCCCUUGUCCCCUGCCGUCAGAGUUAGGUAGGGUGCACUAUACAAGUAACUGUACCAACCACCUCACUUUUUACAUUUGUGCCCUUCUCUGUGUUGCCACCUGUCGGUGACCCCUUUAGCAUAUAAAAGGAGGCCCAUGCGCAACGUAGAGGGGGUUCGGUCCGGUUCGAUUCAUUCGUAACCCAGAAAGACACUACGCUCUCUCUAGAGCAAGAACACAAGAUAAUACGACCAGACAAGCAGCAGUAGGAGUGUUAUCUCUCCGGAGAGCUCCGAAGCUGGGUAAACUGCUCGUGUGCUUCGCCUCGAUCUGCUCUUCGUGCGAUCUCCGCCCCCCGCCGAACCGAAAGGGGCCCGGUCUGCCGGCCCCAUAGGUGUUCGUGGAUCAGUUUCCCCGACACCUAGUAGCGGGGGUCUUCAUUUUUUGUGCGUAAUAAGGAGGCACUUGCGUGCGAAGAGAUAUAGUUGGUGGGUCCAAGCUGUCAGCGGGGAAAAUGUUUUUUUGUGAAAUACAGAGGCCCUUCCUAUGGGUCCCCGCUAUCAGGUGGAGGAAUCAUUAUUUUGCGUGUGAUAAGGAGGCACUUCCUUACCACGGCCAUGAACCCAGCUGUCAACCUCUCCAUGUAUAGUCCUCUUCCGAUGGAAGUCAUUCCUUGACCAUGCUGAGCACGCCGCGUCGAGAGCACCAAGGCGGGGAUGACGUCGAGGCCUAGGAAGGGAAUGACCAGGAGCCUCGGAAGACUCGGCAGUUGUUUCCCAUGCGGAGGGGAGUACGAGGGUUUACUGCUUCGGCUGUAGUGCGAGGAUGCCAUCGCCGGAGAAUAACAGGAGGUCUGGGUGAGUAGAGGGAUGGCUAGACCAAUGAUGGGAGUACGGUGGGGCGGUGAGGCCUACGCGGUAGCACAGCCGGCCGCGGGAGGAGGGAGCAGGCAGUCCCGCCGGUGCUUAUUUGAGCGGCUGGAGCAGGAAGAGCAAAUAUUGAAGAAGCACGACGGUCAUUGGACGGACAUCCAACAAUCACUGCUCUCGUGUGUUGACUAAGUUGACAUGGUGUUGCAUGCGCAUCAACCUUUUUUUUAGGAAAGCAUACGAGUCAACCUAUAGUAGGCGCACAAGUCAGCCUCAAAUUUGUGGAAAACAACAUACAACCCAUCUGCCAUUAUUUCUAAUAAUUUACAACCCAUUUGCUAAUUCUUAAGGUUUUUUUUGGAACACAUAUUCUUUUUAUUAGCAUUACAACCCAUACUGUGGCCAUGGUUAAAAAAUUAUAUGAAAUUUUGCAUAUUUUGGUGCGGUCCAAACUGUUUUUAAUCCCAACAUUUCGAGUCACAUUCAAACUAAUUUGAAAAAAUAAAUUUAUAUCAAUAUAAAAUCCAAAUAAUUGUCCACGCAUAAAAAUCAAUGGAAUUUAAAAUGUCGAAAUGAAAAAAAGAAAUUUGAAACUAAUUGCCAGUUUGAUGUGUUUUCAAAAUGUAUAGCCCAUUUCUCAUUACUGAUAGCCCAUUUUAUAGGCAAGCCGAAUGAAGCUCUCCUCGUCUUGAAAGAUUUGUAGCCCAGUAGGGCUGACAAAGCAAGUAGGCCUCGUUUGGGCAUUCUACAAAAGAACAAAAAAACUAGGCUAGCCAUUUUGAGAAAGGAAAAAAAUUGCUGGGUUGGUCUUGUGGUAAACAUAAAAUAAAAGGCUGGUUAGACAGGCCAGAGUGCCCCCACACAGCCCAGUUGACACCCCUGCUUCCGUCUCAAAAACAAAAAAAACUGGACAAGCUACUGGGUCCCUGGUGUCAACCACUCGUUGUGCAAUUCUCUCAUUUAUUGAUUACGUUGACAAUGGCAUGGGACCUAGAUGUCAGAAAUCCAUUAGGAGGAACCAUUUUUUUGGCUUGAAAUAAGGAAGCACUUGCUUGCGUACUGCCAUGACCCUGGUGGGUCCCUGCUGUCAUCCUCUCCACGUACAAUCAUCUCCUAAUUGUGUACACAUCAACCUAGUAGGCCCACAAGUCAGUCUCUAAACCCGUGGCGAACAAAUACAGCCCAUUUAAAAAAUAGCAGCCCAUUCCAUACGUUCAAACGGAAAGUUCAAGAUUCAGAGCAAAGUAACAUGUCCGAUCCAGAUAUAGAGUACUGAACUUCCACGUUGACAACCAGCAUAGCUAAGUUAACUAUCUACUCCCACUAAUACUAUAGUAAUGUACAAGUACUAACUUACUCUUAGCUAACUAGACGAUGCCAGACGCCAUCUACGGUAUAUACUAAACGCCGGCACCGACGUCCUCCUCCUCGCCUCGGACUUGCUAGAGGUGCGAUAGGGCAUGUUGCUCACUCGCGUUGGCCCUUUCCAUGUCGGCAUGGUCCACUGAAGCUUCGGCUUCUAAGCGGGAAACCCACUUGACGAGCUGGUAGUAAAAUUUGGCGUCACAAACGCGUGCGUGCCCAACAGCCUCCAAGGCUAUUUGUCGGGCUCCGACCUCCACGUAGUCGGCCCAGUUGCGGGCGCUCUACUCGCGACUCAGAGUGUCGGAGCCCUGCUGCUCCAUGCCCCGCUAGUGGCGCAAAUCAGCGAUACACUACUCCUCCGCCAGGCGGUCACGCUCCAACAAUUCCUCAUACUCUGCAUUGCCAUCUAAAGAUUGAUAUAAUGCCUCCUCCCUCCGCCUGCCUUCCGGUGAAAAACCAAACACUAGUUCCAGCGGUGAUCGCCUCCGGCAUCGCCUAUUGCGGAUGGGCAGGGGCAUGAUGGACGUGGCGAUAGUGAGGGCAAGUGGCGAACGACGUCGGGCCGGUGGGGGCUUAUGAGGAUAGGGAAAGUUGGGUGAUGGUGCUACCAGAGAACGCCGGGAACCAAUAAUUAUAGGCGAAAGGUAGGCGAACCAGCAUGUCAGGGGAAACGCGGUGGUCAUCACGGUCAUCAGAAUUCAAUGCACAAGCAUGCUGUCUUAGCACGCCAACUUGCCAUUGAAAACUAGAAAACCUGAAAUUAUGACUGUGUCAUCCCGUCCCGUCUGUGCUGGGUCGCACGUAGGCAUGACGGUCAAACAAGUUGCUCGUUUCAUCCAGAUGAGGUAUGUGAGUGAUCUGUUGGUUACUCGCGUAGGAUCGAGUCAGUCGGAUAGUGUACGUGUAGAAUCACAAUAGCUGAUUAAUGUUCGCUGGGAGAAAAGGCAUUUGCAAACAUUUUUGCUGUAAGUUUCUUCAGAUGCGCAUGACAUUUUCUUCAAAACAACAUGUCAGUUUCUUCAAAGGUACGCAUUUUUAUUCAAAAAACUUCCACCUUCGGAUCUUGCGUCGCAACUAAAACUGCCAGGAGCAUAUUAGUAGGCUAGCUAAUGAUUGAUCAGUAAAUUGUAAACACUGAGCGAAUGGAAAUAAGGAACUGCUAGUAACUUGUAAACACUAAGAACACAGAAAUAAGGAUCAUGACAUGCACAAUAGUAAGAGUCGAUCCGUUCGAAAUGUUCACACGAGACUCAGAGGCCUGACAUUAUAAUAUGUUCACAUUAGUAGGCCAAAUUCACAACCAACUAGUACGAUUCCCAUACAUAAGAUCAACAUGUUAAUGCAUCUCAAUGAUUCAUAGAUCAUAUACAAAUAUGUAGCUCCAAAAGCAAAGAUCUAGAAAAAACAUUUGUUCUUCCUAAUAACAUGGAUGCUUAUCUGGGCCAACAGUCAGUACAGAAUUUAAAACAAAUUUGUUUGUGAAGUCUAUAAUUCCUCUUGCAAAUGUAAGUGGUUUCACCAACAGCCGGAACCAUGAGAAUGAACCACACAUGCUGGAGGAACAUCCGCUGCAAUAUGAUUUGGUCUUCUCUCAAUCACAUGGUGAGACUAUUUUCCGAAUACAAACUUUAACUUAGGCAAAAUGAUGCCCAUUGUACAACCAGACCAAUGCAAUGAAGCACCUAGUGUUGGCCAAUAAAUAGUACAGUACUACUUUUAUGCAGUCCAUGAAGUGACUAUCCAAUCUUUCUGUGUCUAUUUUCAAAUGGCAUUGCAUGCAAUGACUAUACUAUUCUCUUGUGCAGUUCCACAAAAAUUGCGGUCACUUUGUUUGUCUGCCAAAUAGCAAUGGGCAGACAUGUGUCUACACAAAUAUCAAGCAACUAGUAAACAUAUACCCCACCUUGUAUUUUCGGUUUAAACACGUCUCUUCCUCUUAGCGUCUGUCAUGUUUUGUGAUAACCCACAUAGGGGAUCGUUUGUAGCCUUCUUCGAUAAAUAAGAGUGUUGAACCCAGCGAGCAGCUAAAGGUAGAAUAAAUAUUCCCUCAAGUUCUAUCGACCACUGAUACAACUCUACGCACACUUGACGUUUGCUUUACCUAAAACAAGUAUGAAACUAUUUUGCAAGAAUAAAACUACGAGUACUUUACAAGAAUAAAACUACUAAUAAAUUCUAAGGUAAUAAAAGUGGAUAGCUUUUUUCAACGAGAAAGCCAUUUGUCCCUAGGCAAUCGAUAACAAGUACCGGUAAUCAUUCUUGUAAUUUUAUAUGAGGGAGAGGCAUGAGCUAACAUACUUUCUCUACUUAGAUCAUAUGCACUUAUGAUUGGACCCCUAGAAAGCAUCCGCAACUACUAAAGAUCAUUAAGGUCGUGAAACCCAACCAUAGCAUUAAGUAUCAAGUCCUCUUUACUCCCAUACACCAUAACCCACUUAUCCGCAUUUAGGCUGCUGUCACCCUCGCAACACCAACAAUAAGCAAACCAUGAACAUAUUGCAACACCAUACAAGAGGGCCCCCUCAUGUUUGCACGAGAUGGAGGGCACCGUAGGACAGCACCAUAAAUAAAAUAUACAAUCAUACCAACCAAGAUCAUGAUUAACCCAUAGGACAAAACGGAUCUACUCAAGCAUCAUAGGAUAGCCAAAUAUCAUUGGGAAAUUAUAUAUGGAGUUGAGCACCAUGCUUAAGUAGAGAUUACAACAGGGAGAAGGGGUGUUACACCGCUGCAUAAAGGGGGGAGAGAGUUGGUGUUAACGGUAGCAAUAUUGUUGAUGUAGAUCGCAUCACGAUCUUAGCCCCGGCGGCGUUCCAGCGCCACUUGGAGAGAGGGGGAGAGAACUCCCCUCCUUAUUCUUCUUCCUUGGCCUCCCCCCUAGAUGGGAAGAGAGUUACCCCUCUGGUCCAUGGCCUCCAUGGCGGUGGAGGGGCGGGAGCCCCUCCGAGAUUGGAUCUCCCUCCCCGUUCUCUUCUAUUUCGCGCUCCCGAGAUCUCGCCCUUCACAGUUUCUUAAAUUCCCGGAGAUUCGUAACUCCGAUUGCGCUAAAAAAUUUACAUGAUUUUUUUCCAUAAAUUAUCUUUCUUGCGCCAGAAGUAGAGCUCCAACCAACGUACGAGGUUGGCGUAAGACUCCUGGGCACGCCUGGGCCCCCAAGCGCGCCCUAGUGGGUUGUUGUCACUGUGGGCCCCCUCUUUUGAUGAUUCCAACUCCCAAAAAAUCAUAAAUAUUCCAAAAUAAUUCUCCAUAAAAUUUUAUUGCAUUUGGACUUCGUUUGAUAUGGAUUUUCUAUGAAACAAAAAACAUGCAACAAACGGGAACUGGCACUAGGCACUAGAUCAAUAGGUUAGUCCAAUAAAUCAUAUAAAAAGUUGCCAAAAGUAUGUGAAAGUUGUAUAAUAUUGGCAUGAAACAAUCAAAAAUUAUAGAUAUGACGGAGACGUAUCAUUUUGCACUUGACAAUUUGAUACUAUCAUGUUUUACCCUGCAUAAUUUCGUACUGAAUUGAUUCGUUGGUACAUAGUAGAAAUAUAGCGCCUAUUCUUCAUCAGACCAAGCAUAUACAUGUUCACAGUAAUGGAAGAGGUGAAAUCGAUACAACCGAAAUUGAGCAUCCAAUCAUUGAAUCAUGUCCUACACCUCCAAUGUAGGUCCACCCUGCCAAUAAAUUCACAUGCAAACCACUAAUAUUACUAUCUAAUGACAAUACAAAAAGAGUAGCAAGAUAGUAGCGAACCAUGUACCUUCGUAAUGAAUAGAUCAUAGUGCCACCAAUUGGAUAUAAUGGUUUGGAAGAAAACAUGCUCCUAAUGUUGAACCAUUUGGACUUUUUGUGCAGUUCCACUAAAAUCGAGCAUCCCUGUUUGCACAAAUAUUGAAAGUGUGAUUACUAUAAAAGUGGCACUAGUUAAGCAUAGACUCACAAAUAUAAGCAUUCCAAUUUCUUAAUGGGAAAAGGUAGCAAGACUAUUUCUAACCACCUGUUUGAAGGAAUAAAUAGGGCAACAACGACUGAUGUCAGGAAGGCAUACAUAGUAUUUUCUUAAAAAUUGAACCAUUCCUCUUAUUUUAAGCAUAUUUUGUGUAGUUCAACUAAAAUAAAAUGCCAUCACCGCCUUGACAAUUCAGUGACAUUGUACAAAAAGAAAUGACUUACCAUUACAAUGAUCUCAAGUAAGUAAUCAACAUGCGUUAGAUACAAACAUACAGACCUCCUCCGAUAACAUAAUGAACAUUAAUUUUAACAAAGGUGUGACUAGCUUUACCAUCAUAAUUUGAGUGAACUCUACACCCUUUGUUCCUUGAUAUAAGACAUUUUCACUGUUCAAUUUAAAGUACCCAAACGUCUAGUAUUUAGAAAAACAGGUAGUAGUUUUCUUGAGGACAUAUCUGGGAAAGCUUGCCACACUUUAUAUAUGUCCAUAUGCUAAUGCAACACCAUUCGAAUAGUACAAAUAUACACUAAUGCAGUGGCUAGUGAAACAGUAGAGUAGUUUUCUUAUUAUGGGGUAUAGUACAAUGGUUUUACUGAACAAAUUUCCAUAAGCUAGCACUGGAAGAUUUCUAUAAGCAUUAACAAUACAAAAUUUAAAGGUAACAAGUUUCAGCAUUGGUACACUAGCUGUGCAACAUCAUUAAACCAAAUACAAAAGUCUGAAGGUAACUAGCAUUAUUAACUAAGGACAAUAUAAAAAAAUUGCAAACCAUGUACCUUCAAGGUAAAUAUCAUUUCAAACUCGAGGGGACUUGAAAAUUUGCUAUGCCAAUCUUGAUAAUUGAUCAAACAUAAAAACUUGAUCAACCGAGUCAAGAAAACAGCUGGAGGAGGAGGUACCCACUCUUGACCUUUCCUCUUCUCUUCAUAAUUUUUUGUGCAGUUUAACCAAAAUAAAAUGACAUCAGCGCCUUGGCAUUUUGGUGACACUGUACAAAAAAAUUGACUUAUCUUAUGAAAGUGAGCUUUGUAAUCUAUAAGCAUUAAUAGUGCAAAAAUCUGAAUGUAGUAACAAGUUUCAUCGUUGGUAUAUUGGAUGUGCAACAACAUUAGAAUGCCUUAGCUAAAAAAUCUUUAAUACAUCCACAAUCAACAGCUAACCCUAAAAUAAUCCAGUGACAUUAAAUGGCAUUGCUUAAAUUUAUCAGUGGCAUUAGACUGAGUGCGGCAUUAGUUAAAUGCGGCAUCACUUUAGCAGUAGCAUUGCUUGACUUUACCGUUGGCAUUACACUAACAACAAAAAAGUGGCAACAAGAGCAUGGGAGGCCCAUUCGGACAGUGGACGCACCAGUACGAUAUACCUCCAGGGAUGCAUAGAGUGGUGAGGGAGGUAUGGUUGUCCAGAGCAACAAAUAUCCAGGCAACAUAUGUGGAUUACAUCCCAUUUUUGUUCUCUUUAGCCACCUUUUUCCUAUGUGAGGACAACAAAUCGAUCGACCUGGUCAUUCUCUAUUGCGUUGUCAUGCCUUUCUACCCUUUUUCACCCUUUUUCAACCAAGAGACACGAGACUCGUUCCUUAGCUACUAUUUUUUUCCUUUUCAACCUAGAUGCAGGUUUGAUACCUAGUCUGUUCGACAUUACUUUCUCCCUUCCUUUCCUUAUUCAACCCAGACAUGGAUUAGCCUGCAUGAAGUAGGGUUUCCUUAAAUAGUGCAAAUUAAGGUUUUCAUCUGCAUGACCAGUAGAGCAGAGGAUAGCAAAUUGGGGAAAUGGUGGAGUGGAAAAAGAUCCACAUGCAGCGACAUGGUAGAUGGGGCAAUAGAACAAGGGUAUGGUUCGAAAAGAGGUAGCAUACCCAAGGGUCGGUAGGAAGUGGCUUCGCUUGUGGUCAUUGUCCUCCGCACACACUACAACAGCGAGCUUGGGGAUGGAGGCUAUCUGCGCGAAUGCUAGGUCUGAGAGGACGACCUUGUCGUCAGUGCGUGACCUCGCUCGUCGAUGAUGAGUGCGUCAACAUUGCACAUCCUUUUCUUCCCCGAUGGAUAUAUGACCACCGGUGAGGAGUGAGAGAGAGGGGCAUCGCCAUCUUUUCUAGAUCUGGAGAGAGGGUGAUAGUGUGAGAAGCAAGUGGGCAGCCCUUAGCAAGCAAGUGCUGAAGCUCUAGUUUAUAUAUCUUUUUCGAUACUAGUACUACAGGUGGAGUAGUGGUAGAGUAGUUUAUAUUUUCUCUGCAUAUAGUACCAGUUAGUCAUGCUUCAAAACUGAACAGCACUCCAUUAAAAAAUAAAGUCGAGAAAUAAUGCGGCACCUCGGGCCAACACGGCCAGAUUGCAUUUUGCACGAGAAAUAACACACCAUGUUUCGUUGACAUGUGGUCUCGUUCCAACAUGUAAGUGAGACGAUAGUGAGUCCUUUUGUACAAUUUCCGAACGAACGUCUAUGAAGGCCGGGGCGCCUCUUCCUAUACCGUGGCAACCGUCCAUCGCCUCUUUGCAUUUCCCUCUCGAUUUGGAACUAUUGUCGCACACUCUUCCUCCCUCCAUUUGCCUUCACCCUUCCUUCUGACAUUGUUCGAUCGUCUUCUCCAUGGAGGGAACAGGCCAGAAACGACCCUGUUAUUCUUUCCCUGUUCUGAAAGAUGAAGUGGUGGAGGAACUCAUUCAUCGGUGCAACGUCAUCACCUUGGCUAGCAUGGCAGGUUCAUUCAAGACCAUUCUCGAGUCAACAAAUAACAUCAUCCAAAGAACCCAAGGGUUCAGGAGCGGUUUGAUCUCCCCUAUCUUCUUCGCCAUGACCCUGUUCGCUGGCACAGAGACGAUGGAAGCCUCGCCUUGUGCAAAUUGAUGUCGCUCGAUAAUGAUACAUGUGAUGUUAAGAUGACAUCGCUUAAGGGUAAGGCAUGGGUAGGCGCAAAUGGAGAUUGGGUUGUUUAUAUUGGGCACAACUGCGAGUGGGAACUUGUGAGUGUGUACACUCGUCACCGGGUUCCACUUCCAAAAAUCUGAGAGUGCCCUGAGGUUGAGCACACAGAUGAUCUACGUAUGUUCAAAUACGAUCAUGGUGACUGUCAUCUACGCAAGAUAGCAAUUUGUCGAGUUCCCAACCGCUCUUGGGAUUACACGAACUGUGAAGUUGUUGCUAUCUUCGACAAGCUUGUUGCCGUCCUUACCUCCACGCCUUGAUGGAUAUUGCUCAAAAAUCAAUUUCUAUACACGGAUGAGUACUGUGAUGCAAUUCAAUACAAGCGUCUUGUGUUUGCUGCCACCACUCAUGCAUUGUUUUUGCAUGGAAUCCUUAUGGUUUCGGUACGUUUGUCUUCCUCCAUAAUUAGAAUUGUUUCAUCCACACGCAUGCGAGUUAGUAUCCCCGUACUAAUUAACCUUCUUAUGUUUUCAAGGUCAUGUGAACAUUCCACCAUAUACUUGAAAAAAAUUAUAACCAAGGGGGAGAUGACAAUGGUGAUGAUCAUGAGCAGGACCCCAUACUCAGUGGCACCUGGAAACUUAUUCCGAUGGAUCACCUCUUCUUGUAUGUAUACAUGGCACUGCUGACGUUACUAAGGAAGAAGGUGUUGUCUCCCAUGGUCGCACGCUCCGGACCUAUUCCAACAUCCGUUGCAGGGUAUUCAGGAUGGAUACUAGUGUGCUAGCGCCAUCACCUUCUCCCUGGUUCAAUAUUGAUAGUCUUAGAGAAAACUCGCUCUUCCUUGGACUAAACUAUCCAAUGAUGGUGAAAGGCGAUCCAUCUGCUGUUGGCACAAUGUUACUACCAUUUAUGAGAAGCAACUGUAUCUAUACAUUGGACAUUGCUAUGGUUCCCUAGCCUGGCUAUCACAAUAUGCGUCCUAAUAUAGGCCACUUCAGCCUGGAUCAUGAGUCCUGCGUUGGUUUCUAUAUUGACAAUAGCUGGCCCUUCCCAUAGGCUUACUUAUGGUUCAAAGCAAGUGUUUCCAACACCGAGGAUUGGUUGAGCUGAAGUUCAUUUCAUUGCUUGUUAUUUGUUGUGUGAUAAAAACUUUAGUAUUUACUAGAAUGUUUUGUUGGAAAUAAUCUAUAAUCCAACAUGUAUCCUCGUUGUCGUUGUGUGUUGAUGACUUGUUGUAUGUAAUGAAUGGUACAUUUGCAUAUGCAUGUGAUAAACUCAAUUUAUGAAUGGUUUUCGAGACACUUCUUAGAGUGUGAGUACCAUAGUAGUAUAGCCAACAUCAAGUUAUAUGAAGUUGCCACAUCACAUAGAGCCAACCUAAUAGUAUGCUAGUACAAUAGUUAGUCCUAGUAGUAGUAUACCAUCAACUAGAGCUAGGUGUCGCACGGAGGCCGAGAAAUAUGGUGAUAGCAUGAGGUGGGCUUGUACAAUACGUAGUAUGAUGUAGGCACAUGGCUUGCCAUGUUUCCUACUCCUCCGGUCUAAAUGUGGAGAAGAUUUGGUCAAGUUCUUCCUCCUUUUGCUGACAUGUGGGACAUCCAGCAUCCAGGUCGUGUCAUGCAAGAAAAUGGAGUGCUAGUUGAACCCACGUGAGUGCAUCUUGGGUUAAACUGUAAAUAGAAUCUUACUCUGGAGUAACUCCAAAAGCGGCCCCCGAAGAUCUUUAUUCGAUUUGUUUUUCAUCACCAACACGUCGAGGUGAAAGAUGUGCAGGUUUAGUGGGUCAUCUUGCAUUUUCACUGACAUGUGGGACCGCAUGUGAGCAAAUAGACGACUGGCACAUUCCGCGCGUCUGUUGGCUGGCUGAGGAGAGAGAGAGAGAGAGAGAGAGAGAGAGAGAGAGGGUUGAGCACGGACUCCAGGAAAUUUAGUGACAAUGUGAGUAGUACUAGUGGUGUACUGUACUCCUGGAGAGAUAAUGUGUUCAGUCUACGUAACCAGCACCUCGAUAUAGUGGGGUGGCAUGGGCCAUAACUAGCAUUCACGUCUAGCAGUAUGGCACACGCCACCCACACGAGUCCCAUCUGACACCAAUUUUCUUCGAGUCCGUGCUAUAACUAUCUCUUCUCCCUCAUGUUUUCUCUAACUCAGCCAUCACGCGGUGGGCGGGGUGGGGGUUUCCUGAUAGUCGGUUUGCUCAACUGCGGUCCCACUUGUAAGUGAAAAUGCAACACAACACGGAUUCCCCCUUGAGCGGCGUGCCAGACCAACUGUGUGGGGGUGCGACGUGAACACAGCAGGCUUUUCCUUUUGAACUUGUAACUUGUAAAAUUUGGUUCUGCUCCAUGGCGCGACCGAUAGAUAGAAAUAAUGAUUUUCCUAGUGUAAUGAGAAGUUUGGUUCUGGCGUGAUUCAUGCAUGGAGUACGUACGAAAAUUAUGAAGUUGAUGCGAAAGGUAAGAUAAUUACUAGUACAAUAUACUACUACAUGGAAUUGUCAGAAAGAUAAAGAUACAUAGAUCCAUCAACGACAUCCUCAUGCCCUAGUGCGUCGGGUCACCAACCGACGUGUGAGGAGCAGCGGCGUUGGCGGCGAGCUCAACGUGCUUCUGAACAAUGUUGUCCAAGGUUGCCCUACGGUCCAAGAAGGCCAGCAUCCUAUCGUCCUCCUCUUGCAUGUAGUAGUCCUUGUGGACGAUUUGCGCGUAGACGUGGGUGAUUAUUUCAAUGGUGUCUCGCUGUACCAGGCACUGUGCGGCGAGCGCGACCUUGAGGUGGACAUUCUUCGGCGCGACGGAGGGCAGUCGCGGGGCCACCAGUGAUCGAACAGGUUGUCACCAUAGAGGCCAUUGAGGGUGGCAGGCAUCGUAGAGCCUAGGCGCGUGGGCUGGAGGCAUACGUCAAGGUCGUCCGCGAGCUUCUUGACGAUGGUGAACUUGUCAAGGAAGCCAACAAGGACCUCAUCGAACAAGGAGACGAAGUUGUCAUCCAAGAGGCCUCUCGCCCUGGCAGCCUCAAGCACGACCUAGAGACGUUCCUUGGUACCGGGCCGUAGGCCGGCGUCGUGGACCAUCUGGCACAACCGGCUGAUGCUCGCGCUCAUCGCCUCCAUGGGUCUAGCUUCUAGUGAACUGAUCUUAUGAUUGGAGUGAUCACUCUUGCCCUUGGUUAGGGUGCGUAGGUGCGUAGGAUUUCAUAGAUUGGACUGGUGGGGAGCCUUUAUAUGAGAAGUGCAGACUGUGUUGCAUUCACGUGUGUAUUGGCCAUCUACUCCUCGGCCCUCGCCGCCCUCCCUCCAUGCCAGUGCAGUAUAGUCAUCUCACCGAGACCAACUUGGGGCAAAACGAGAGAACUUUGAUGUUUACUGGUUUAUCGGUCCCCUUUGCAUUUUACGCCAAGUUUCGACCUUUGAUUUAACUAAUAAAAUGUUAAUGCAUGUAACCAAAAAUAAUAUCAUUGGAAACUAUGUUCAAAUACGAAUCCAAUGAUACAAUUUUUGGUGACAUGCAUUAUUAUUAUUUUAGUUAAAUCUAUGGUCAAAAUUUGGCACAAAAUCUAAGGGGACCAAUAAACCAAGAUGGAGGUAAGAGUAGUAUUUUGUAACUAAUGUCAUUGCAUAAAGAGAAUUGAGCACUGAAUGUUGUGCUAAGUAGUCUCAAGUCAUUGAAUGCAUACGCACCCCACGUCUCUUAUUGGGUGAUUUCUUUUUUCGUGGCAAAAAACAGGGAACGGGGUGGGUACCUAAUGCACCGCGCCUAGAAGUUUUGGGAUUAUUUGGUUUUCGUAGCGUGACUAAUGCACUAGUACAGAGGGAGUACAAUAGUAGUCUUUGAUUGAAAUUUUUUGUUGGUAGCUUACCAAGCUGACCGCUCGGUGAGUACAAUAGUGGUCUGAUUGAUGAGAUUUCAGAUUUGAGCCAUCUACCGGAAGGGAGAGUAUAUAAUAUCAUCAGGAACGAUGUUCAAAACUGAAUAAAACAGUACUCCAUGUAUUUAUUUACAGAGGGAGUAGUAUAUUUUUUGUGACAUGCAUUACUAGAUAUUGCUAGUCAAAUACUAAAUCCAAACGGACAUGGUAGUACUACUAAAUCCAGAUGGUGGUGCUAGUACUAGUAGUAGUACUACCAAUGUAGUAGUACUGUACUACCCGUUGGUUAAAUUAUUAUGUGCUGCUCCUCAUAAUGAAGUGAUAAGACGAUGCACCGGAGAUGACACCUGAGUGUAGGCGCCGUGUUCGGCAUAUCAAAGUCAGCCUCACCGUGUGCAAUCACUAUCAUCAUGGCUAUAGAGCUAGCCUGCUUAAUUUCCUGUGCGUUGCCACGAGUAUCUCUACUCUUUUCUUAUACAAGUAAGAUGCCCGUGCAUUGCAUGGAACACCAAGAUUGGGGGUGGACGGCGCCGGCAGCGGCCAUCGCGCCAGGUUGUUCCAUGGCCUUCUAGAUGUGGUGGGGAAGAGAUAAGGCUGAUUGUGAGAGACAAGGAGUUGUUUGUAAAUAGAGAACAAGUGCAGGCAUCUUUUUGUAAAAUUGCAGCAGUUUGCUUUGUAUGCGUUAGAUCUAGAUCGGACGGCUAUUGGUGAAAGAUGGCAGUCACACCAUCAACACUAACUCAGGACCUCUUUGAUUCGCAGGAUUUUGAAAACGCGAGAAUAGGAAAGGUAUAGGAUUGGAGUGUCCUGCCCACUUGAAUCCUAUAGGAUUAACAAGGAGUGUUUGAUUUCACGGGAAAAGCAAAGGAAUUGUAAAAAGAGGUUAGAGUGGAUGUUAGAUUUCCUAUGAAAUGUAGUACAAAAGAUCCCAUUGGAAAAAUUUCUAUGGGAUUCAAUCCUAUGAAUCAAAGGACAAGCGUAGGAAAAAUUUCAAAGGAUUUAAAUCCUCCAAAAAUCCUAUAGAACUCCCUUGAAUCAAAGGAGCCCUCAGGUUUUUAUAGGAUUAGUAUAGAGAAAUAGAGAAGCUCUUAUAAAAAUCCGAGUUGGUGAUGAUGGUGUGCCUGCCAUCCUGCAAUAUAGACCGCCCGGUCUAUAUCUGACGGAUAGAAAGCAAACUAUGGCAAUUUUCCAAAAAGAUACCCACAACCCUCUCCACAUUUGCAGAUAAGGCGUUCCCUCAUUCAUCGUCAUCUCCCACAAGAUAAAUAUCUCGUAUAAAUGCAUCUUGAUGUUCCGUGCAACACAUGGGCCUCUUGCUGGUAAUAAUAAAUAUUGUACUCGAGUAAUGGGUAUAUCAUUGGGAAAAUUUUGUUUUUGCUACUCUAGAUUUUACCAAUUUUCCUUAUGCCACUCUAGAUUUUGACAUUUCAUUUUUGCCACUCUUAAUUUUUGACAAUUAUCACAAUUUCCAUUUUGUGGCAAAAGCAAAAUAAUUUUAUUUUAUUUUUGCCACUCUUAGACAAUUAUCACAAUUGCCACUCCGAAAAUUUUGCUUUUGCCACGGGAAUGGCAAUUGUGAUAAUUGUCAAAAACUAAGAGUGGCAAAAGUGAAAUGUCAAAAUCUGGAGUGGCAUAAGGAAAAUUGGCAAAAUCUAGAGUGGCAAAAACAAAAUUUUCCCUAUAUCAUUGCCACACCUAUGCACGCGAACAUUUAUCGUAACAUAGUACUACCUCGUGCUGGAUAGUCGUAAUAUUACAAGUUUCAAAUUGAUAUUACAAAUGUUAGGAUUAAUGCUGCACCUACGAAGAGGGAAUUAUUAGGAAGUUUACGUAAGAACUUUCCUUACUUUAGGUGGAUGCAACAUUAUCGUACAAACUAAAAUCCACCGCCCUGAAAAGUCACUAAUGGGAAAAUAAAUUUUUUAGUCUCUGUGACUUGAUGUUUAGAAAGCAAAUUCAGCUUCUAUGGAGACUUUGUCAUUUAGGCUUAGACACUUGCGGUGAUCAGCGCACCAUUUAUUGUUGCGCCAGAGAACGCCAAACCUCAUUACCUUGAGCACACUUGCCUCCAGAACAAAGAACCUGGCCAAUUUAAUCUCAGAUGUGCUACCUCAGUAGUUGAUCAAAUCAAUUUCAGUAAGAUGGAGAUCAAGGCAUUCGAUGGGAUUGUUAUAGUGUAGCACAUUUUUCACUUUCAGGUCUUUUUUUAUCUGCAAAAGAAGAGAACAUAUUAGAGAAACUAGCUGUAUAAGAUUGUCGUGUCAUCAAGAGGUACCAAUAUCAUUCACUCAUACGAUAGGGUUGGCUCUAAGGCUAGUGAUAUUUUUUCACUCUCUCUCUCUCUCUCUAUCUUUCUCUUUCCUCUCAUUGACCUAGGAGCACGUGAAGAGCUUGGCCAUUUGUUCAAUGUGGCCGAUGCCAUAUUUCUCAAAACUAUGCCACAUAAUACGCAUCAAUGUCAAAUCAAAAGAUUUUGGCACCGCUCUAGCGAUAUGAGAGAGUUGGCACCGCUGUGCACACAGACCCACAUGUAUAAACAAAUCAAUCAAACCAACUAUACCAGCCUCUCCCUCUCCCAAACAAGUGUUUUUUAUUGCCUUAGUCCUAUCCCUCUCCCACACAAGUGUUUUUUCAUUGCGUGAGUUAAUUUGGAACCAGAGCGAAGUAGGUGAUCCAGAUUAGGGCACCAGGUGAGCAAUGGAGGGGCAUCGAUGCCAAAUGCAUCACAAGUGAAUUUGGCACGUGUUUUGGCCUACAUAGUGGAGGGCCGUUAGGCCCUUCCCAGUGCUCCACGGUGUACAGGUGCUAAGGUUGCCACAUAGACAGAAAAAUGAUGUGGCAAAGAAUUUAAAGAUGAGAGAGAGCAUUAUAGUGACCCCAAGAAGAACCAAUGCUAAGCAAGUGGACCUAUGCAAAAGGACUACCAACCAAUACAAGAAGGAGUUUUAUCACUAAAAAAUUAAAUAAAGGUGGCUUGGCUACAAAAGCUAAGCACCGACGCAAUGGGGACAUUAGUUGCUAAGCAUUUUAAUGCACUUAGUACCUCACUUUAGCACCAAUGCACUGGAGGAGGUCUUAUAGACCACUUUUGUACUACCUCCUAUUUAGUGUAAAUUUUUGACCAUAGAUUUACCUAAGAAAAUGCUAGUGCAUGUCACCAAAAAUUAUACCAUUUGAAAUUAUGUUCAAAUAUGAAUGCAAUGAUAUAAUUUUUAGUGGCAUGCAUUAACAUUUUGUCAGUUAAAUCUAUGGUCAAAUUCUGAUACUACAAAAUAUGAAGAGUAAACUGAUGACCCACAAGUGUAGGGGAUCUAUCAUAGUCCUUUCGAUAAGUAAGAGUGUCGAACCCAACGAGGAGCAGAAGGAAAUGACAAGCGGUUUUCAGUAAGGUAUUCUCUGCAAGCACUAAAAUUGUAGGUAACAGAUAGUUUUGUGAUAAGAUAAUUUGUAACGGGUAACAAGCAAUGAAAGUAAAUAAGGUGCAGCAAGGUGGCCCAAUCCUUUUAGUAGAAAAGUACAAGCCUGGACAAGUUCUUAUAUGAGAAAAGCGCUCCCGAGGACACAUGGUAAUUAUCAUCAAGCUAGUUUUCAUCACGUUCAUUACUUUGAUAAUUUGAUAUGUGGGUGGGCCGGUGCUUGGGUACUGCCCUUUCUUGGACAAUCAUCCCACUUAUGAUUAACCCCUAUUGCAAGCAUCCGCAACUACAAAAGAACUAUUAAGGUAAACCUAACCAUAGCAUGAAACAUAUGGAUCCAAAUCAGCCCCUUACGAAGCAACGCAUAAACUAGGGUUUAAGCUUCUGUCACUCUAGCAACCCAUCAUCUACUUAUUACUUCCCAAUGCCUUCCUCUAGGCCCAAAUAAUGGCGAAGUGUCAUGUAUUCAACGUUCACAUAACACCACUAGAGGAUAGACACAUACAUCUUAUCAAAAUAUCGAACGAAUACCAAAUUCACAUGACUACUUAUAGCAAGACUUCUCCCAUGUCCUCAGGAACAAAUGUACUACUCACAAAUCAUAUUCAUGUUCAUAAUCAGAGGAGUAUUGAUAUGCAUUAAGGAUCUGAACAUAUGAUCUUCCACCAAAUAAACCAACUAGCAUCAACUACAAGGAGUAAUCAACACUACUAGCAACCCACAGGUACUAAUCUGAGGUUUUGGUACAAAGAUUGGAUACAAGAGAUGAACUAGGGUUUGAGAGGAGAUGGUGCUGGUGAAGAUGUUGAUGGAGAGUGACCCCCUCCCGAUGAGAGGAUCAUUGGUGAUGACGAUGGUGAUGUUUUCCCCCUCCCGGAGGGAAGUUUCCCUGGCAGAACAGCUCCGCCGGAGCCCUAGAUUGGUUCCGCCAAGGUUCCGCCUUGUGGCGGCGGAGUUUCGUCCUGUAAGCUUGCUUAUGAUUUUUCCAGGGUAAAAGACCUCAUAUAGCAGAAGAUGGGCACCGAAGGCCUGUCAGGGGGCCCACGAGGCAGGGGUGUGCCCUAGGGGGGUGGGCACGCCCCCACCCUCGUGAACAGGGUGUGGGCCCCCUGACGCUGAUUCCUUCGCCAGUAUUUUUUAUUAAUUCCAAAAAUGACUUUCAUGGAGUUUCCAGACUUUUGGAGCUGUGCAGAAUAGGUCUCUAAUAUUUGCUCCUUUUCCAGCCUAGAAUCUCAGCUGCCGGCAUUCUCCCUCUUCAUGUAAACCUUGUAAAAUAAGAGAGAAUAGCCAUAAGUAUUGUGACAUAACGUGUAAUAACAAUCCAUAAUGCAACAAAUAUUGAUAUAAAAGCAUGAUGCAAAAUGGACGUAUCAACUCCCCCAAGCUUAGACCUCGCUUGUCCUCAAGCGAAAGCCGAUAUCGAAAAAUAUGUCCACAUGUUUAGAGAUAGAGGUGUCAAUAAAAAUAAAGUACGGACAUGCAGGCAUCAUGAUCAUUCUUACAACAGCAACAUAUAUAUAUAUAUAUAUAUAUAUAUUGUCAUAUAAUUUCUUAUGCUCAAGUAACGAUCUAUUCACAGUGUCAAGUAUGGUUCAGAAACUUCAUUGAGAACUAACAAACUAUAAUCUCAGUCAUUGAAGCAAUCACAAUUUAUCAUAACAUAGGAAAGAGUCAACAUAAGAGCUUUUCAGCAAGUCCACAUACUCAACUAUCAUUUAGUCUUUCACAAUUGCUGACACUCACGCAAUACGUGUGGUUAUGGAGUUUUAAUCGGACACAGAGAAAGAUAGGGGAUUAUAAUGUUGCCUCCCAACGUUUUACCUCAAGGGUAAUGUCAACAAUAAUAGUUCAUGCUAACGUACAUCCAAUUGGAUAUAUGUAUCAGGAUCUUUCCAACACGAGGUGCUUGCCAAAGGAUAAAAUAAAAAGGAAAGGUGAAGAUCACCUUGACUCUUGCAUAAAGUAAAAAUAGGCCCUUCAAGAGGGAAGUAGAGGUUGUCAUGUGCUUUUAUGAUUGGAUGCACAAAAUCUUAAUGCAAAAGAACGCCACUUUAUAUUGCCACUUGUGAUAUGAACCUUUAUUAUGUAGUAUGUCGCUUUUAUUACUUCCAUAUCACAAGAUCGUAUAAAUCUUAUUUACUCCACACUAAUAAGUCAUACAUAUUUAGAGAACAUUUUUUAUUGCAUGCAACAUGACAACUUACUUGAAGGAUCUUACUCAAUCCAUAGGUAGAUAUGGUGGACUCUCAUGGCAAAACUGGUUUAAGGGUAUUUCGGAAGCACAAGUAAUUUUUACUUGGUGCAAGGAAUUUGGCUAGCAUGAGGGGGAAAGGCAAGCUCGACAUGUUGGACGAUCCAUGACAAUAUACUUUAACUAAGAUGUGAGAAAGCAUAACUCAUUACGUUGUCUUCCUUGUCCAACGUCAACUCUUUUAGCAUGUCAUACUUUAAUGAGUGCUCACAAUCAUAAAAGAUGUCCAAGAUAGUAUAUUUAUAUGUGAGAACCUCUAUUUCUUUAUUACUUCCUAUUAAUUGCAAUGAUGACCAAAACUAUGUUUGACAACUCUCAACAACUUUUAUGCCUCAUACUCUUUAUGUGUGAAGUCAUUACUAUCCAUAAGAUCAACAUGGUUUCUUUAUUUCUUUUUAUUCUUUCUAUUUUCUCAAGAUCAUAGCAAGAUAGCAAAGCCCUUGACUCAACACUAAUCUUUAUUAUAGAUAGCUCAAAGACUCGAUUACAUAGAGGGAUCACAAAGAAAAAAUCAAAACUAAUUCAUAGCAAACUUUAUUCUACUAAAUCAAGAUAUUACCAAAAGGAUCGAACUAAGAAAAAUUGUAAAGAUAGGAGUGUGAUGGUGAUACGAUACCGGGGCACCUCCCCCAAGCUUGGCAGUUGCCAAGGGGAGUGCCCAUACCCAUGUGAUUAUGUCUCCUUUGCUGGUGAAGAAGGUGGUGAUGGAUAGUCGCACAUCAACCGUAGGAGCUCUUCUAACUUGCGGAUAAUGCCCUUGAGUGCGAUAAUAUGAUCCUUCAAGAAAAUAUUUUCACGUGUGAGAUACUUGUUUUGUAUGCGAGCUAACUCAAUCAUCUUGAAAGCUUCAAUCUCAGUUAGGGUAAAGAGGUUAGGAAGAGGUUGAGGGAUGUUUUCUUCUUCUGCCGCAAGAGUUUGAUCCUCCAUGGCCUUCUUGAUCCCUUCAUCCUUGUUGAUCUCCCCAGGUUCUUCUCUCUUCGGCUCUAUCUCCAAUAGCCAAGCAUCCUUAUCUUCAUUGUUGGAGGAGAAUGACGUCAUGGUGAUAUAGGUCUGUCAGCAAAACAGCUCGAAACAAAGAUAGAGGAUAUUUGCAUGAUACGGUGGUCAAAACCUCCGGGAGAUUAUAUAAUGAAUUUUUACCGACCAAAAGAAGUAUCGACCAAGAAAACAGAGUCCAGAGAGCACACGAGGUGCCCACGAGGCAGGGGGCGCGCCCUCCACCCUCGUGGACGCCUCAUGUCCUUCUCGGACUACUUCUUAUUUUCCUAUUUUCUUAAAUAUUCCAAAACAGAGAAAUGUUGUUGUUAAAAUUAAUUUGGAGUCGGUUUACUUACUGUACCUGGUACGUACCUGUUCCUUUUCGGAGUCUGGAACAUUCUGGAAGGUGUCCCUUAUAUAUUCCUCCGCGGUUACGGUUUCAAUAAUGUUAGUUUCAACAUUUAUUGGGUUACCUGAGAUAUAAUGUUUGAUUCUUUGACUGUUCACCACCUUCAGAUUUGUGCCCUCGAAGUUGUUGAUUUUUAUGGCACCGGAAUGAUAGACUUCCUCGAUAACGUAAGGGCCUUCCCAUUUAGAGAGAAGUUUUCCUGCAAAAAAUCUUAAACGAGAGUUGAAGAGCAACACAUAGUCACCAACAUUAAACUCACGCUUUCAUAUCCUUUUGUCAUGCCAUCUUCUAACUUUUUCUUUAAAUAGUUUAGCAUUUUCAUAAGCUUGGGUUCUCCAUUCAUCAAGUGAGCUCGUGUCAAACAACCUCUUCUCACUGGCAAGUUUGAAAUCAUAAUUAAGCUCUUUAAUAGCCCAAUAUGCCUUAUGUUCUAGUUCAAGAGGUAAGUGACAAGCUUUUCCAUAAACCAUUUUAUAUGGAGACAUACCCAUAGGAUUUUUAUAUGCAGUUCUAUAAUCCCAUAAUGCAUCAUCAAGUUUCAUGGACCAAUUCUUUCUAGAUCUAUUAACAGUCGUUUGCAAGAUUAAUUUAAGUUCUCUAUUACUAUCUUUACUUAACCGCUAGACUGUGGGUGAUAAGGAGAUGCAAUUCUAUGGUUAACAUCAUACUUAGCAAGCAUUUUACGAAAAGCAUCAUGAAUAAAAUGAGAACCACCAUCAGUCAUUAAGUAUCUAGGGACUCCAAACCUCGGGAAAAUAACUUCUUUAAGCAUCUUAAUAGAGGUGUUAUGAUCAUCACUACUAGUUGGAAUAGCUUCUACCCACUUAGUAACGUAAUCAACAACAACUAAAAUAUGUGUAUACCCAUUAGAGGCAGGAAAAGGUCCCAUAUAAUCAAAGCCCCAAACAUCAAAUGGUUCAAUAACAAGAGAAUAGUUCAUAGGCAUUUCUUGACGUCUACUAGUAUUACCAAUUCUUUGACAUUCAUCACAAGACAAGACAAACUUACGGGCAUCUUUGAAGAGAGUAGGCCAAUAAAAACCAGAUUGCAAUACCUUAUGUGUAGUUCUAUCUCCAGCGUGGUGUCCUCCAUAUGCCUCGGAGUGACACUUGCGUAGGAUCUGUUCCUGUUCAUGCUCAGGUACACAACGUCCAAUAACACCAUCUACUCCUUUAUAAAGGUGUGGUCAUCCCAGAAGUAAUGUCUUAAAUCAUAGAAGAACUUUUUCUUUUGUUGGUAUGUAAAACGAGGUGGUAUAAAUUUAGCAACAAUGUAAUUAGCAUAAUCAGCAUACCAUGGAGCAGUACGAGAAGCAUUUAUACAGCUAAUUGUUCAUCAGGAAAGCUAUCAUUAAUAGGUAGUGGGUCAUCAAGAACAUUCUCUAACCUAGACAAGUUGUCUGCAAUGGGGUUCUCAGCUCCCUUUCUAUCAAUAAUAUGUAAAUCAAAUUCUUGUAGCAAGAGAACCCACCUAAUAAGUCUAGGUUUAGCAUCUUUCUUUUCCAUAAGAUAUUUAAUAGCAGCAUGAUCAUUGUGAAUAGUUACUUUAGAAUCAACAAUAUAAGGUCUGAACUUAUCACAAGCAAAUACAACUGCUAAAAAUUAUUUUUCAAUAGUAGCAUAAUUUCUCUGGGCACUGUCUAGAGUUUUACUAGCAUAUUGAAUAACAUUUAGUUUCUUAUCAACUCUUUGUCCUAGAACAGCACCUACAGCAUAAUCGCUAGCAUCACACAUAAUUUCAAAGGGUAAAUUCCAAUCAGGAGGUUGAACAAUAGGUGUAGAAACCAAAGCUUUCUUAAGUAUUUCAAAUUCUUCUACACAAUCAUCAUCGAAGAGAAAAGGAAUAUCUUUUUGUAAUAGAUUAGUUAGAGGCCUAGAGAUUUUGGAAAAGUCCUUAAUGAACCUCCUAUAAAAACCGGCAUGACCAAGGAAACUUCUUAUACCUUUGAUGUCCUUGGGACAUGGCAUCUUUUCAAUGGCAUCAACUUUAGCUUUAUCAACUUCAAUACCUCUUUCAGAAAUUUUAUACCCCAAGACAAUGCCUUCAUUAACCAUAAAGUGGCACUUCUCCCGGUUCAAAACAAGACUAGUAUCUUCGCAUCUCUGCGAAACUCGUUCAAGGUUGCUCAAGCAAUCAUCAAAACAGGAUCUAUAAACGGAGAAAUCAUCCAUGAAUACCUCACAAAUUUUUUCACAAAAGUCAGAGAAUAUAGCCAUCAUGCAUCUUUGAAAAGUAGCAGGUGCAUUACAUAAACCAAAAGGCAUAUGUCUAUAAGCAAAAGUACCGAAAGGGUAAGUAAAAGUGGUCUUUUCUUGAUCAUCUGCUGACACAGGUAUUUGAGAGAAACCAAAGUAACCAUCUAGAAAGCAAAAAUGUGUAUGUUUGGAUAGUCUUUCUAGCAUUUGAUCAAUAAAAGGUAAAGGGUAAUGAUCUUUUUUAGUAGCUUUAUUUAGUUUGUGGAAAUCAAUUACCAUCCUAUAACCUAUAAUAAUUCUUUGUGGGAUCAAUUCAUCUUUAACAUUAGGAACAACAAUAAUACCUCCCUUCUUAGGGACACAAUGGACAAGACUUACCCACUUAUUACCGGCAACGGGAUAAAUUAUACCUGCCUCAAGGAGUUUGAGUAUUUCCUUUCUUACCACUUCCUUCAUCUUAGGAUUUAACCUUCGUUGGUGAUCAAUAACUGGUUUGGCGUCUUCUUCAAACUUAAUUUUGUGUUGGCAUAGAGUGGGACUAAUACCCUUAAGAUCAUCAAGAGUAUAUCCAAUAGCAGCAUGGUGCUUCUUCAGAGUUUUCAAUAAUCUUUCCUCUUCCUGCUCUGAAAGGUUAGCACUAAUAAUAACAGGAUAUAUCUUCUUCUCAUCAAGAUAAGCAUAUUUGAGAGUAUCAGGUAAUGGUUUAAGUUCAAACACGGGAUCACCCUUGGGUGAUGGGAGAUCACCUAGGAUUUCAACAGGUAAGUUGUGUUUCAAAAUAGGACCCUAUUUAAAGAAUACUUCAUCUAUUUCCCUUCUUUCAUUCAUGAACAUAUCAUUUUCAUGGUCUAGCAAAUAUUGUUCUAAAGGAUCAGUCGGAGGCACAGCAAUAGAAGCAAGACCAAUAAUUUCAUCCUUACUAGACAGUUCUUUAUCAUGGGGUUGUCUAUGAAAUUUAGCAAAAUUAAACUCAUGAGUCAAAUCAUCCAAGCUAAUCAUGACAACAUCUUUUUUGCAAUCAAUUCUAGCAUUAACAGUAUUCAAGAAGGGUCUACCAAAUAUAAUGGGACAAAAGUCAUCUUGUGGGGAACCAAGAAUAAGAAAAUCAGCAGGAUAUUUAACUUUCCCACACAAGACUUCAACAUCUCUAACAAUCCCAAUUGGUGAAAUAGUAUCUCUAUUAUCAAGCUUAAUUGUAACAUCAAUAUCUUCUAUCUCAGCAAGUGCAAUGUCAUGCAUAAUUUCUUGAUAUAAGGAAAUAGGUAUUGCACUAGCACUAGCACCCAUAUCACAUAAGCCAUGAUAAACAAUGCUCUCCUAUUUUAACAGAAAUGACAGGCAUGCCUACAACAGGUCUAUGUUUCUUAGCAUCAGGUUUAACAAUUCUAGCAGCUUCAUCAGAGAAAUAAAUAGCAUUCCCAUCAAUAUUAUCAGCCAAGAGAUCUUUAACCACAACAAUAUUAGGUUCAACUUGAAUUUGCUCAGGUGGUGUAGGUGUUUUAGUAUUACUCUUACGAACCACAUGUGAAGUUUUAGCAUGAUCCUUUAUCCUAACAGGGAAAGGAGGUUUCUCAAUAUAAGUAGUAGGGACAAUAGGAUCAUUAUAAGUGAUGGUAUUUUCUUCAACUUUAAUAGGUGCAACUACUUUCACUUCAGUGGGAGGAUUAUAUUUAAACCACUUCUCCUUAGGGAGAUCAACAUGAGUAGCAAAUGAUUCACAGAAAGAAGCUACUAUUUCAGAGUCAAGUCCAUAUUUAGUGCUAAAUCCACGAAAAGCAUUGGUAUCCAUAAAAGAUUUAACACAAUCAAACUUAGGUGUCAUACCUGACUCCUUACCAUCUUUGGAAUCCCAAUCUUCAGUGUUGCAUUUAAUUCUUUCCAAUAAAUCCCACUUGAAUUCAAUAGUCUUCAUCAUAAAAGACCAAGCACAAGAAGUAUCAAGCAUGGUGCGAUUGUUGAGAGAAAGACGAGCAUAAAUUUUUUGAAUAAUCAUUUCUCGUGAGAGCUCAUGAUUGGGGCAUGAAUAUAACAUUGACUUAAGCCUCCCCAAGCUUGAGCGAUGCUUUCUCCUUCACGAGGCCAAAAAUUAUAUAUGUAAUUACGAUCACGAUGAACAAGAUGCAUAGGAUAGAACUUUUGGUGAAAUUCCAAUUUCAGUCGUUUAUAGUUCCAGGAUCCCAUAUCAUCACAUAGCCUAUACCAUGUCAAUGUGUCUCCCUUCAAAGAUAAAGGUAAAACCUUCUUCUUGAUAACAUCCUCAGGCAUACCUACAAGCUUAAAUAAUCCACAAACUUCAUCUACAUAGAUUAGGUGCAAGUCGGGAUUAGGUGCAAACUCCAUCUCCUCUAAAAGGAUUAGCUAGCAGUUUCUCUACCAUACCCGAAGGAAUUUAAAAGUGAACAUUUUCAGUAGGUUCAGUAGGUCGAGUAGCAACUCUUUGCUCUACUGGUCGAGGUGAAGAUACCCCGAACAAGCCCCUCAAAGGAUUAGUUUCCAUAGUAACAAGUGACAGUAAAUUUCAGCACACUAUAUAAAUUUUUCCUUACCAAGUUCCACUUACCAAAGGCGCUUCACUCCCCGACAAUGGCGCAAGAAAAGAGUCUUGAUGAUCCACAAGUGUAGGGAAUCUAUCGUAGUCCUUUCGGUAAGUAAGAGUGUCGAACCCAACGAGGAGCAGAAGGAAAUGACAAGCGGUUUUCAGUAAGGUAUUCUCUGCAAGCACUAAAAUUGUAGGUAACAGAUAGUUUUGUGAUAAGAUAAUUUGUAACGGGUAACAAGAAAUGAAAGUAAAUAAGGUGCAGCAAGGUGGCCCAAUCCUUUUAGUAGCAAAGGACAAGCCUGGACAAGUUCUUAUAUGAGAAAAGUGCUCCCGAGGACACAUGAGAAUUAUCAUCAAGCUAGUUUUCAUCAUGUUCAUAUGAUUCGCGUUCGUUACUUUGAUAAUUUGACAUGUGGGUGGACCGGUGCUUGGGUACUGCCCUUUCUUGGACAAGCAUCCCACUUAUGAUUAACCCCUAUUGCAAGCACCCGCAACUACAAAAGAAGUAUUAAGGUAAACCUAACCAUGGCAUGAAACAUAUGAAUCCAAAUCAGCCCCUUAUGAAGCAACGCAUAAACUAGGGUUUAAGCUUCUGUCACUCUAGAAACCCAUCAUCUACUUAUUACUUCCCAAUGCCUUCCUCUAGGACCAAAUAAUGGUGAAGUGUCAUGUAGUCGACGUUCACAUAACACCACUAGAGGAUAGACAACAUACAUCUUAUCAAAAUAUCGAACGAAUACCAAAUUCACAUGACUACUUAUAGCAAGACUUCUCCCAUGUCCUCAGGAACAAACGUACUACUCACAAAUCAUAUUCAUGUUCAUAAUCAGAGGGGUGUUGAUAUGCAUUAAGGAUCUGAACAUAUGAUCUUCCACCAAAUAAACCAACUAGCAUCAACUACAAGUAGUAAUCAACAGUACUAGCAACCCACAGGUACCAAUCUGAGGUUUUGGUUAAAAGAUUGGAUACAAGAGAUGAACUAGUGUUUGAGAGGAGAUGGUGCUGGUGAAGAUGUUGAUGGAGAUUGACCCCCUCCCGAUGAGAGGAUCAUUGGUGAUGACAAUGGUGAUGUUUUCCCCCUCCCUGAGGGAAGUUUCCCCGGCAGAACAGCUCCGCCGGAGCCCUAGAUUGGUUCCGCCAAGGUUCCGCCUAGUGGCGGCGGAGUUUCGUCCCGUAAGCUUGCUUAUGAUUUUUUCCAGGGUAAAAGACCUCAUAUAGCAGAAUAUGGGCACCGGAGGCCUGUCAAGGGGCCCACGAGGCAGGGGGCGCGCCCUAGGUGGUGGGCGCGCCCCCACCCUCGUGAACAGGGUGUGGGCCCCCUGACGCUGAUUCCUUCGCCAGCAUUUUUUAUUAAUUCCAAAAAUGACUUUCAUGGAGUUUCAGGACUUUUGGAGCUGUGCAGAAUAGGUCUCUAAUAUUUGCUCCUUUUCUAGCCCAGAAUCUCAGCUGCCGGCAUUCUCCCUCUUCAUAUAAACCUUGUAAAAUAAGAGAGAACUAGCGGGUCCACCCGCGCAAUUGUGCGGCUAGAAUUGAUAUAUUAUGUAUUUUUGGUAAAUGACAUCUUUUUGCUAUUUUUCUUAUUUAUAUGGACUUGCAUUUUUUGUUCUUCAACAUUGUAUGGAAGUUUAUAAUCAUUGUGAAUUGAACACCUCUAUAAGCACAUUUUCCGCUUCAUUGAUUAUUUUUGUUUAAAUUAUCUCUGUAUAUUAUUUUCAUUUGGCAAGUAUUUUUUUAAUGCACAACAUUGACUUUUUAUUUUUUGCCUAUUGUCACUGCAUGUUCAUAAUCCAUUAGGAAAUACUAAAUUCUGUAGCUUUUUUAGAAAAUUUUGUAGCUAAUUUCUCACCGAAAUAUAGUUUGUAGCUUUUUUCAUACUCCCUCCGUCUUAAAUAAUUCAAAUAUGGUUCCAUUAUAACUGAUAUGACUCAAUUAUCAGUACAUGUUAGUCUCAUUUUCCUCCAAAAGUGGUGAUAUCAUAUCUUAGAGGAGUCUGAAUCAUUACCUGACUUGUGGUUUUCGUGCCUCAUUGCACUAAAUUCUUGUAAUGUUCUCCUAUGUAAAAUAUUUCUCGCGCUCCUUGUGCGUUGCAAUCUAUCUCCAUCAUUUUUGGCAAACUUUCUUCUACCGAGUGCCUACAUUUGUGGAGUUAGUCAAGUAAAAUUAUUACGUUACAAUGAUGAAUAAACAUGAGUCACGAUUCAUUUGUUGAUAAAUAAUUAAAGAUAGUGUUCCAUAUGUAAGGAAGUUCUCGAAUUUCAUCUAUGUCUAGAUCUGUAUAUAUUCAUGUGAGACUGGUUUACUUUAGGUACAACCCUAUUAAAUAAAUGACAAAUCUUUUAGAUUUCUUGCAACCAUAGUCUAGCGCUGGUGUUAUCACCCGUAAAGAGGUUAAGCUGAAAAAUGCAAAUCUUAGCCAGAGUGGUGGAAGUCCAAUUAAACUUUCAAUAAUGAGUAUGCAUGCUUUCUCUGUUAUUAGAAUCAGUCGUUUUUCUUGGUUAGAAAUAUUAAUUAGAUUAUUUAAAACUACAGAGUAUAAGCAUACCUGAGCAUUAUUUAACUUUAUCUGCUGGUUUUGUAUUGUGUCCUUGGUGGAAAACUCGGAGUAGUAAUCUGGAAAACAUUCUGAUGGUUGUUUCACCCUCUUUACCUUUGUAUUGUACACAGAAAAAAAAAUCAAUUCAUUUCUCAAUGGGUGAUAUUUUGUGGAUUCCACAACCUUAAAAGUUGAUAGUGUAUAAGUGGAUACUUCUGAUAGUAGCAUGAUGUUUUUAAUAUUGAUAGUAAGAUGAUUUGUUUGGCCAUGUCAAACCAUACAAAAUAUAACUAGCAAUUUUUUGUUUAAAUUAGUGGGGCAGUCUGUAAUUGAAUGUUUAAUGAGUAAACAAUUUUGUCCAUCAAAAUCAUAUCGAGGCUCAUGAACCGAUCGGUUGCAUGAUUGAGCGAAUUGCAUAUGAUCGGUACUUUCACAUGAAUGUUCUAGUUUGUCUUGUUGUUGGUAAGCACUAAGCUUCUUGCACGCCAUAGUUUUUUGGCUGCAAAAGGAUUUGAAAAUUGUUAGUCAGCUACCCAUGCAGUUGUUAUCCUGAUAAGUGAUGAGCCUUGAUGAUUCAGGUGAGAGGCAGCUCAGAAGGUCUAUGUUGACUUCAUUGGGUGUCGAGUUGCAGUCACAUCGCAGUUUUGGCGGUUUCAGAUGUUUGGCUGGCGUCACAGAACCCGUAGUCUUCGAUUUUGUUAGUGGUGCUCUGGUCUGGUAGCAGAUUUGGUAGACUUCAUGAAUUGGAAGAUCUUGAUUUUGCUGACGGUUCUCUGGUCGGGUAGUAGAUUUGCCAGUUUGCCCAGUUAAGACUCUUGGGCGUGUGCUUGGUGUGUCUGGCUGGGUGUUGUUCUAUUUUGUUUCCCAGCUGACUCCAUGUGGAGUUUUUUCUCCCUUUCGAUCAAGAAUCCAUGUAGAGUUUCGUUGAUUGAGUCCAUCCUGGGUUGUAGUCUUUUGGGCAUGUGCCCGAUUUGGAAGUAGGUGCACGUGAGGAUUCAUAUCUUGUUUUGUCUCUUGAAAGGAUGUGCACGUGAGGAUUCGUAUCUUCUUUUGUCUCGUGAUAAUGGUUGUACGUGUCAUAUGUGUCAUGUACAUAUGUGUCCUGUACGGAGGACGGGGCAUGUACUCGGUCGUUUUUGUCCCUAUCUAUGUAAGCUUACACGUGAUUGUUAUAAACAGAUCUUUAUAUAGAAAAAGAUGUCUUAGACUAUUUAGACGUGCCAUGCUAAGUUAGUUGUACGGGAUAAUAUUUGUAUGUUAUGCUGCAACUUUUAAAUUUCAGCCAUCAAUAAUUGCGCGUCUAGAAUUGAUAUAUUAAAUAUUUUUGGUAAAUGACAUCUUUUUGCUAUUUUGCUUAUUUAUACGGACUUGCAUUUUUUGUUCUUCAACAUUGUAUGGAAGUUUAUAAUCAUUGUGAAUUGAACACCUCUAUAAGCACCUUUUCCGCUUCAUUGAUUAUUUUUGUUUAAAUUAUCUCUGUAUAUUAUUUUUGUUUGGCAAGUAUUUUUUUUAAUGCACAAUAUUGACUUUUUAUUUUUUGCCUGUUGUCACAGCAUGUUCAUAAUCCAUUAGGAAAUACUAAAUUCUGUAGCUUUUUUAGAAAAUUCUGUAGCUAAUUUCUCACCGAAAUAUAGUUUGUAGCUUUUUUCAUACUUCCUCCGUCUUAAAAUAAGUGUCUCUACUUUGUACUAACUUUAGUACAAAUUUAUACUAAGAUUAAGACACUUAUUUUGAGACGGAGGGAGUACAUUCUAUAGCUAAAAGACCUGUUAGGUAAGAAAAGAAGUAGGAAAGUCUCGUCUUCUAUAGUAAAAAAAAUCUGUAGCUUUUUUCAUAGUAUAUUCUGUAGCUAAAAGACCUAUAUAUAUUAUGUAAGAAAGGAAGUACGAAAGUCUCGUCUUCUAGAGUGCGGCGUUUCGGUGCCCGGGUGCAUCUGCACUCGUUCAAAAAAAAUUCAUAAAAGAUUCAGAAAAAUUCAAAAAAAAUCGAAAAAAAUUGAGGUGGUGGACAAUUUGAUGCGUGAGGUGCGCCCCAAUUUUCAAAACAUUUGGACUUAUGUGCAGCUCUCAGCAAAAAAGACAAAUCAGACCAAAACAGUAUAUGAACAGUACACAUUUUUACAGACCUCCGAUUUGUCUUUUUUGCUGAGAGCUGCACAUAAGUCCAAAUGUUUUGAAAAUUAGGGCGCACCUCACGCAUCAAAUUGUCCACCACCCCAAUUUUUUUCGGAAUUUUUUGAAUUUUUUUAGUAUUUAUUUUGAUUUUUUUGGUGAGCGCAGGUGCAGAUGAGCUCGGGCUCAGAUUUGGAUUUUCGCGUCUUCUAUCUAUAGAUACUCCAUAUAAGUCAGUCACAACUGGCUGACCAUUGGUCAACGUGCUACCCAUCCCAUGUGUAGAAAGCAUAUCCCUUCCUCAUUCCUCUGCUCCACCAUCUUUGAGAAGGGAAAAAUAGAUGGAGAGGGUGUACCAAAUCGAUUGGCCUGCUCGUCCAUGUGAUGGGGAGUGCCGGAGUGGCUGCACCAAAUCGAGUGGCCUGCCCGUGCAUCAAAAAAGCUGGGAAGGAGAUUAUCUUGGAGGCCAGAUCUGAGCGAGGUCGGGGCACGCGUUCCAGCCGCGGAUUUGGCGCUCCCUAGCAUCGAGGCAAGGCGGUCGCCGGGGAGGCCACUGAAGAAUAUGAGUGAUCCGUAGUUAGUAGCUUCCCUAAUGGCGCUGCUAUCCUGUUCAUGUCACUGGGCCAAGGAUUGUGGUGUCGGGUUUGACGGCCAUGUUCUUCAUAGUGUUCCUCAUCUUAUGUGGCAGAGUAGUGAUGGAUAUGACUGUCUUACUACUCUCCCAUCCUCCUCCGCAUCAUUAUCUUGUUGGGCUCAGUGUACACGUACUUUAAAAUUUCAUUUACUUAGUUGAUCUAUUAAAUUUAUUCAGAGGUAAGGUUGAGUUACCUAGUUCUGGUAAAUUAUAAUACAGACGAUGAAUUCAUAUAUUUUCUUGUUGUUCAUGUAAGGAUCAUUUAGGAUAUGAAUUAUAGAGUUAUUUAACUUUUCAUUGGUGUGCCUUGCAUUAUUUUAAUGAAUUGAACUUAUAUUACUUUUUCUGUUGACAUUCUGCCAACUUUGAUUAUUGUCUCUUCAACUCAUCCGUAUCAAUUAUACGAAGUUUCGUCUAGCAAAAGUUAUAUCCAUCUACUACGUAUAACGCUUAUAUAUCUUUUAUUUCAUUGUCUUGUCUGCACUUCUUAACAUGUAUAUACAUGAAAGUAGUGUGAGGAAAUAUUAAUCUGCAUUAGCAUGUGAUUGGUCUCUUUACAUUCGUAGAAAGUCCACAGGUGGAGGCGAGUCAUGGGCUCCCUAGUUGCUACUGCUGUCAAGUUCCACCUAUGUGAUUCGAAAAAAAACUUCCACCAAUGUAACGUGCUACAACUUUGCAUCAUUCCUACUUCCUCGACACUGUUCUUCACAGGUAUGCUUCCCGCCUCUAGUUGGAUAAAAGGUAUAUUCUCUAUUUGUUGUACCAUAUAAUAGCAAGUUAUAUCAAUGAUAUGUGUAGUUAAGACAAACGAAGAAGGUUCACAUGUAUUCACUGAAUUUGGUUCAUGUGUGUUAAUUGAUAUGCAAUAGAUUUUUCGCAUGUGUUGUAGGCGAUGCCUAUAACACUGGUGCUUUUCUCAUUAUUCUCUUCAACUGAAACAGCUGUAGGAUGGAAGAGAUGUUACCAAGAACACAACUCACAAAAGUGCAUGUCUGAAUGUAUUUCAACCUUAUCUACUAAGUGUCCUCCCUAUAUUGAUCAUGUGAUGUAUUCUUUCUCUAUCCCGGUAAACAUAAAUUAGUUGCCUUUCAAUAUUGUAAAAUAUUUGAUGCUUCUCAUAUUUUUCGUCCAAUGAGUUCAGCAAUUUUGCUACCACUGUUAUUGGUGCAGAGUAAAUAUAAUAUGAAAGUUCUUGUUGAAAUUAGUAGAAUAUGCUUUCGAGGUGUUAUAAUUUCUAGAUAUAUACCACAAUUGUCACAGUAAUACUUGUCAGUUCCUUUGUAAUUAGUUUGUGACUAUCACAACAUGUUCAUGUACAUAUUUUUUUGUAAUAGAUCUAUUACAGCUUGUCGUGAAAAGUAAAAUCCUAAAAAAGUCGCCGAAAAACUUUAAAGAUAGCAACCCAAAGAAGUUGGGAGACAUAAAUAAUUCAGAUAUGGUUCCAUUAUAACUGAUAUGACUCAAUUAUCAGUACAUGUUAGUCUCAUUUUCCUCCAAAAGUGGUGAUAUCAUAUCUUAGAGGAGUCUGAAUCAUUACCUGACUUGUGGUUUUCGUGCCUCAUUGCACUAAGUUCUUGUAAUGUUCUCCUAUGUAAAAUAUUUCUAGCGCUCCUUGUGUGUUGCUAUCUAUCUCCAUCAUUUUUGGCAAACUUUCUUCUACCGAGUGCCUACAUUUGUGGAGUUAGUCAAGUAAAAUUAUUACGUUACAAUGAUGAAUAAACAUGAGUCACGAUUCAUUUGUUGAUAAAUAUUUGAAGAUAGUGUUCCAUAUGUAAGGAAGUUCUCGAGUUUCAUCUAUGUCUAGAUCUGUAUAUAUUCCUGUGAGACAGGUUUACUUUAGGUACAACCCUAUUAAAUAAAUGACAAAUCUUUUAGAUUUCUUGCAACCAUAGUCUAGCGCUGGUGUUAUCACCCAUAAAGAGGUUAAGCUGAAAAAUGCAAAUCUUAGCCAGAGUGGUGGAAGUCCAAUUAAACUUUCAAUAAUGAGUAUGCAUUAUGCUUUCUCUGUUAUUAGAAUCAGUCCUUUUUCAUGGUUAGAAAUAUUAAUUAGAUUAUUUAAAACUACAGAGUAUAAGCAUACCUGAGCAUUAUUUAACUUUAUCUGCUGGUUUUGUAUUGUGUCCUUGGUGGAAAACUCGGAGUAGUAAUCUGGAAAACAUUAUGAUGGUCAUUUCACCCCCUUUACCUUUGUAUUGUACGCAGAAAAAAAAUCAAUUCAUUUCUUUUUUUUCGAGAAAACGCAAAAGAGUUUGCGUUUCAUUUCAUUGAACAGGAAGAGAACAGCAGUACAGGUACAACCUCCCGGGAGGAGGGACACACGCACACACACCAUCGUCCUCACCAGACAAGCAGGUGAGGAGGUGCUACCAACUACAGACCGCAACAACGAAAGGUCUAGCCUUGUCCAGCCUCCAACCAUGAAUGGCAAGGUAGCUAGACACAGAGCCUCAAGGCCGGAAUGGCAAGGUAGCUAGACACAGAGCCUCAAGGCCGCGUCACAGCCGUUGCCAGGCGCCUCCGAAGAAGACUGCAUCUCCAGGGCUGAUCGGGCCAACGUACCUUCCACCCAUAUGUGCCUAGGAGACGGCAGGUGGAUGGCAGGACCCAGCCAGAACUAGCGAAGCCAUCGUCUUGGACGUGCCGGCGCCGGCGUACAUUGCGCCCCGGACGCCCACGCUCCAUGCUGCAGCCCUCAUCACAGCAUCGCAUUACCAGCAAACCUCGCCGGAAAGACCGGGGAGGCCACCAUCUCCAACUGACGCAUAGGGGACUCCAAGUGCGACCCAAGCAGCGCUUUCAAGAAAGGAACGGCGCUGAGACACCGUCGCUGCCUUGUCCAGGGAACUGGACCAAGGGUUUCUCCCGGUGCCCGAGGAGAGGGUCCAGUCUGGGCCAUGACAGCGCCUCCAUGGAGGUAACGACACCCUCAGGUGUCGCCGUUGUCAGCGCAGGCCAACGCCGCGCAGGGAUUUCGCCCGGCCCAAGACCAGAACCCCAAAACCGCUGAAGCAGAGCAAACAGGAGAUGGGGAAGCAGAUCGCCAGAGAGGACCACCAGCACCGAGAGGGAAACCACGUAUUGUCACUGUCGAUGUAGGGAAGCACCGGCCAGCGCAGUGCAGCAGCUGCUGGAUGGCUGCCAGACAAGGCCAGCCAUCGCACGGGACGCGUCGAGCAGGGCUAGUGGCGCCGUCGCGGAGACCAGCCACCUGCACCUUGCCGCCGCCGACCAUGGCCGCUGCCGCGCCGGCCCGCAGCCUCCGCCACCCGGAUCCGCCGGGGCACAGCCAAGCAGCCGCAGCCGCGCCCCCAAAGGGUCGCGCCGCGCCGCCCGCGUGCUCGCCACGCCAGUCCAGAGGCCCGACCCUCUGGAUCUGGGGCCGCCGUCGCGAAACCCUAGGUUCGGAGAAGCGCAGCUCCGUCAGCCUCGUCGAGCCCCACGCUCGAGGGGGGAGGCCGCCUGGGAGCGAAGUCCCGCCGCCGCCGGAUCCACCAGGGCUUUGCCCGGCGGGGAGCACCGGCGGCGGCAGGGGGAGGGGGAGGAGGAGGGGAGGGAGCGCUUGAGGGCUGCGUCGCCUCCCGAGUCGCCCGUGGGGAGGGCGACGCGGGGGAGGGGGGGNNNNNNNNNNGCCGCCCGCGUGCUCGCCACGCCAGUCCAGAGGCCCGACCCUCUGGAUCUGGGGCCGCCGUCGCGAAACCCUAGGUUCGGAGAAGCGCAGCUCCGUCAGCCUCGUCGAGCCCCACGCUCGAGGGGGGAGGCCGCCUGGGAGCGAAGUCCCGCCGCCGCCGGAUCCACCAGGGCUUUGCCCGGCGGGGAGCACCGGCGGCGGCAGGGGGAGGGGGAGGAGGAGGGGAGGGAGCGCUUGAGGGCUGCGUCGCCUCCCGAGUCGCCCGUGGGGAGGGCGACGCGGGGGAGGGGGGCGAGUGUAAAAUCAGAGAUUCUCCAAAUUCAUUUCUCAAUGGGUCAUAUUUUGUGGAUUCCACAACCUUAAAAGUUGAUAGUGUAUAAGUGGAUACUUCUCAUAGUAGCAUGAUGAUUUUAAUAUUGAUAGUAAGAUGAUUUGUUUGGCCAUGUCAAACCAUACAGAAUAUAAUUAGCAAUUUUUUGUUUAAAUUAGUGGGGCAGUCUGUAAUUGAAUGUUUAAUGAGUAAACAAUUUUGUCCAUCAAAAUCAUAUCGAGGCUCAUGAACUGAUCGGUUUCAUGAUUGAGCGAAUUGCAUAUGAUCGGUACUUUCACUUGAAUGUUCUAGUUUGUCCCGUUGUUGGUAAGCACUAAGCUUCUUGCACGCCAUAGUUUUUUGGCUGCAAAAGGAUUCGAAAAUUGUUAGUCAGCUACCUAUGCAGUUGUUAUCCUGACAAGUGAUGAGCCUUGAUGAUUCAGGUGAGAGGCAGCUCAGAAGGUCUAUGUUGACUUCAUUGGGCGUCGAGUUGCAGUCACAUCGCAGUUUUGGCGGUUUCAGAUGUUUGUCUGGCGUCACAGAACCCGUAGUCUUCGAUUUUGUUAGUGGUGCUCUGGUCUGGUAGCAGAUUUGGUAGACUUCAUGAAUCGGAAGACCUUGAUUUUGUUGAUGGUUCUCUGGUCGGGUAGUAGAUUUGCCAGUUUGACCAGUUAAGACUCUUGGGCGUGUACUUGGUGUGUCUGGCUGGGUGUUGUUCUAUUUUGUUUCCGAGCUGACUCCAUGUGGAGUUUCUUUCUCCCUUUCGAUCAAGAAUCCAUGUAGAUUUUCUUUGAUUGAGUCCGUCCCUGGGUUGUAGUCUUUUGGGCAUGUGCCCGAUUUGGAAGUAGGUGCAUGCGAGGAUUCAUAUCUUGUUUUGUCUCUAGGAAGGAUGUGCACGUGAGGAUUCGUAUCUUCUUUUGUCUCGUGAUAAUGGUCGUACGUGAGAUCUUUAUAUAAAAAAAGAUGUCUUAGACUAUUUAGACGUGACAUGUUAAGUUAGUUGUAUGGGACAAUAUUUGUAUGUUACGCUGCAACUUUUAAAUCUCAGCCGUCAAUAUCUAAAAUUAACGACCGUGAUAAUUUAAUCUAUGUGGAUCAACGUGAUGGCUUUUUUGACUUCUGUCAUAAGUAUAUAAUAGAUAGCCAUAAGUAUAAUGACAUAACGUGUAAUAACAGUCCAUAAUGCAAUAAAUAUUGAUAUAAAAGCAUGAUGCAAAAUGGAAACUAGCAAGAUGUAAAUGAAAUUCAAUAAUUUGGAAAAGAGACUUAAUAUAAUGGAAAAGAGACCCCGGGGACCAUAUGUUUCACUAGUGGCUUCUCUCAAGAUAGCAUGUAUUAUGGUGGGUGAACAAAUUACUGCCGAACAAUUUUUAGAAAAGCGCAUAGUUAUGAUGAUAUCUAAGGCAAUGAUCAUGAACAUAGACAUCACGUCCGUGUCAAGUAGACCGACUCUUGCCUGCAUCUACUACUACUACUCUACACAUCGACCGCUAUCCAGCAUGCAUCUAGAGUAUUAAGUUCACAAGAACAGAGUAACGCAUUAAGCAAGAUGACAUGAUGUAGAGGAAUUAACUCAAGCAAUAUGAUGAAAACCUCAUCUUUUUAUCCUCGAUGACAACAAUGCAAUACAUGCCUUGCUGCCCCUACUGUCACUGGGAAAGGACACCGCAAGAUUGAAUCCAAAGCUAAGUACUCCUCCCAUGGCAAGAAAGAUCAAUCUAGUAGGCCAAACUAAACCGAUAAUUCGAAGAGACUUGCAAAGAUAUCAAAUCAUGCAUAUAUGAAUUCAGAGAAGAACCAAAUAAUAUUCAUAAAUAAUCUGAUCAUAAAUCCACAGUUCAUCGGAUCUCGGCAAACACACCGCGAAAGAAUAUUACAUCGAAUAGAUCUCCAAGAACAUCGAGAGAACAUUUUAUUGAGAAUCAAAGAGAGAGAAGAAGCCAUCUAGCUAAUAACUAUGGACCGGAAGGUAUAUGGUAAACUACUCACACUUCAUCGGAGAGGUAAUGGUGUUGAUGUAGGAGCCCUACGUGAUCGAAUCCCCCUCCGGCGGAUCGCCGGAAAAGGCCCCAAGAUGGGAUCUCACGGAUACAGAAGGUUGCGGCGGUGGAAAAGUGGUUUCAUGGCUCCCCCUGAUGUUUUUAGGGUAUAAGAGUAUAUAUAGGUGAAAAAACUAGGUCGAUGGAGCUACGAGGGGCCCACGAGGGUGGGCGGCGCGCCUACCCCCUAGGCACGCCCUCCUGCCUUGUUGCCUCCUCACUACGUUUCCGACUUCAUCUCCAAGUCUUCUGGUUUGCUUUCGGUCCAAGAAAGAUCAUCGCGAAGGUUUCAUUCCGUUUGGACUCCAUUUGGUAUUCCUUUUCUGCAAAACUCUAAGAUAGGCAAAAAAACAGAAACUAGCACCGGGCCUUCGGUUAAUAGGUUAGUCCCAAAAAUAAUACUCCCUCCAUUCCUAAAUAUAGGGUGUAUAGUUUUUGGCACGGAAAUUAAAGAACGCACAUGAAGGGAAAAUUUCACAAGUUUUGGGCGAGGUUACACCUAACUAAUUGACAUGAGAAAUAGAGGAGCUUGCCUAAUAUAAGAAAAUGUAAUCAAAUCCCUAAGAACAUUAUCUAGACGAGUGGUGCAAUGCAAUACACCUUAUAUUUCGGAUUUUUUCUCAAAAACCUAUACACCUUACAUCAAGGAACGGAGGGAGUAUAAAAGAGCAUAUUAAAGCCCAUUAAACAUCUAAAGAAGAUAAUAUAAUAGCAUGGAACAAACAAAAAUUAUAGAUACGUUGGAGACGUAUCAAGCAUCCCCAAGCUUAAUUCCUGCUUGUCCUCGAGUAGGUAAAUGAUAAAAACAGAAUUUUUGAUGUGGAAUGCUACCUAACAUAUUAAUCAAUGUAAUCUCUCUUUAUUGUGGCAUGUGUUCAGAUCCGAAAGAUUCAAGACAAAAGUUUAAUAUUGACAUAAAAACAAUAAUUCUUCAAGCAUACUAACAAAGCAAUCAUGUCUUCUCAAAAUGACAUGGCCAAAGAAAGUUAUCCCUACAAAAUCAUAUAGUCUGGUUAUGCUCUAUCUUCAUCACACAAAGUAUUUAAUCAUGCACAACCCCGAUGACAAGCCAAGCAAUUGUUUCAUACUUUUGAUGUGCUCAAACUUUUUCAAUCUUCACGCAAUACAUGAGCGUGAGCCAUGAACAUAGCACUAUAGGUGGAAUAGAAUGGUGGUUGUGGAGAAGACAAAAAGGAGAAGAUAGUCUCACAUCAACUAGGUGUAUCAACGGGCUAUGGAGAUGCCCAUCAAUAGAUGUCAAUGUGAGUGAGUAGGGAUUGCCAUGCAAUGGAUGCACUAGAGCUAUAAGUGUAUGAAAGCUCAAAAAUAAACUAAGUGGGUGUGCAUCAACUUGCUUGCUCACGAAGACCUAGGGCACUUUUGAGGAAGCCCAUCAUUGGAAUAUACAAGCCAAGUUCUAUAAUGAAAAUUUUCCACUAGUAUAUGAAAGUGACAACAUAGGAGACUCUCUAUCAUGAAGAUCAUGGUGUUACUUUGAAGCACAAGUGUGGAAAAAGGAUAGUAGCAUUGCCCCUUCUCUCUUUUUCUCUCUUUUUUUUAUUUGGGCCUUUUUAUGGCCUCUUUUUUUCGUCCGGAGUCUCAUCCCGACUUGUGGGGGAAUCAUAGUCUCCAUCAUCCUUUCCUCACUGGGACAAUGCACUAAUAAUGAAGAUCAUCACACUUUUAUUUACUUACAACUCAAGAAUUACAACUCGAUACUUAGAAUAAAAUAUGACUCUAUGUGAAUGCCUCCGGUGGUGUACCGGGAUGUGCAAUGAUUCAAGAGUGACAUGUAUGAAAAAUUAUGAACGGUGCCUUUGCCACAAAUACGAUGUCAACUACAUGAUCAUGCAAAGCAAUAUGACAAUGAUGGAGCGUGUCAUAAUAAACGGAACGGUGGAAAGUUGCAUGGUAAUAUUAUCUCGGAAUGGCUAUGGAAAUGCCAUAAUAGGUAGGUAUGGUGGCUGUUUUGAGAAAGGUAUAUGGUGGGUGUAUGGUACCGGCAAAGGUUGUGCGGUACUAGAGAGGCUAGCAAUGGUGGAAGGGUGAGAGUGUGUAUAAUCCAUGGACUCAACAUUAGUCAUAAAGAACUCACAUACUUAUUGCAAAAAUCUAUUAGUUAUCGAAACAAAGUACUACGUGCAUGCUCCUAGGGGGAUAGAUUGGUAGGAAAAGUCCAUCGCUCGUCCCCGACCGCCACUCAUAAGGAAGACAAUCAAUAAAUAAAUCAUGCUCCAACUUCAUCACAUAACGGUUCACCAUACGUGCAUGCUACGGGAAUCACAAACUUUAACACGAGUAUCUCUCAAAUUCACAACUACUCUACUAGCAUGACUCUAAUAUUACCAUCUUCAUAUCUCAAAACAAUCAUAAAGAAUCAAACUUCUCAUAGUAUUCAACGCACUUUAUAUGAAAGUUUUUAUUAUACCCAUGUUGGAUGCCCAUCAUAUUAGGACUAAUUUUAUAACCAAAGAAAAUUACCAUGUUGUUCUAAAAGACUCUCAAAAUAAUAUAAGUGAAGCAUGAGAGAUUAAAAAUUUCUAUAAAAUAAAACCGCAGACGAUAUAAGUGAAGCACUAGAGCAAUAUUGUCUAGCUAAAAAGGUAUAAGUGAAGCACAUAGAGUAUUCUAAUAAAUCACGAAUCAUGUGUGACUCUCCCAAAAGGUGUGUACAGCAAGAAUGAAUGUGGUAAACUAAAAAGCAAAGACUCAAAUCAUACAAGACGCUCCAAGCAAAACACAUAUCAUGUGGUGAAUAAAAAUAUAGCCUCAAGUAAAGUUACCGAUAGACGAAGACGAAAGAGGGGAUGCCUUCCGGGGCAUCCCCAAGCUUAGGAUUUUGGUUGUCCUUGAAUUUUACCUUGGGGUGCCUUGGGCAUCCCCAAUCUUAGGCUCUUGCCACUCCUUAUUCCAAAAUCCAUCAAAUCUUUACCCAAAACUUGAAAACUUCACAACACAAAACUUCAACAGAAAAUCUCAUGAGCUCCGUUAGUAUAAGAAAAUAAACCACCACUUUAAAGUACUGUAAUGAACUCAUUAUUUAUUUAUAUUGGUGUUAAACCUACUGUAUUACAACUUCUCUAUGGUUCAUACCCCCCGAUACUACUCAUAGAUUCAUCAAAAUAAGCAAACAACACAUGAAAAACAGAAUCUUCCAAAAACAGAAUAGUCUGUGGUAAUCUGUAACUUUCGAAUAUUAUGUAACUACAAAAAUUCUGAUAUAAAUUGUUGGGCAUGAGUAACUUGUCUAUUAAUCUUCUUCAAAAUGAAAUUAACCUAAAAUCACUCUUCUGUAAAAAAUGACAACUAUUCUCGUGAGCGCAAAAGUUUCUGUUUUUUACAGCAAGAUCGCAAAGACUUCACCCAAGUCUUCCCAAAGGUUCUACUUGGCACAAACACUCAUAAAACAUAAAACCACAUCUAAACAGAAGCUAGAUGAAUUAUUUAUUACUAAAUAGGAGCAAAAAUUAAAGAACAAAAAUAUAAUUGGGUUGCCUCCCAACAAGUGCUAUCGUUUAACGCCCCUAGCUAGGCAUAAAAACAAGAAUAGAUCUAGGUAUUGCCAUCUUUGGUAUGCGAUCAAUAAGUGGAUCUCAUAAUAGAUUCAUAAGGCAAUUUAAUUUUCUUCCUAGGAAAGUGUUCAAUGCCCUUCCUUAACGGAAAUUGGAAUCUAAUGUUUCCUUCUUUCAUAUCAAUAAUUGCACCGAUCGUUCUAAGGAAAGGUCUACCAAGAAUAAUAGGACAUGUAGGAUUGCAAUCUAUAUCAAGAACAAUGAAAUCUACGGGCACAUAAUUCCUAUUUGCAACAAUAAGAAUAUCAUUAAUCCUUCCCAUAGGUUUCUUAAUGGUGGAAUCCGCAAGAUGCAAAUAUAAAGAACAAUCAUCAUAUUCAUGGAAACCUAGCACAUCACACAAAGUUUUUGGAAUCAUGGAAACACUAGCACCCAAAUCACACAAAGCAUAGCAUUUAUAAUCUUUAAUCUUAAUCCUAAUAGUAGGUUCCCACUCAUCAUAAAGUUUUCUAGGGAUAGAAACUUCUAGUUCAAGCUUUUCUUCAAAAGAUUGCAUCAAAGCAUCAAUGAUUUGUUUAGUAAAAGCUUUAUUUUGAUUAUAAGACUGAGGAGAAUUUAAUACGGAUUGAAACAAGAAAAUACAAUCAAUCAAAGAGCAAUUAUCAUAAUUAAAUUCCUUGAAAUCCAAAAUAGUGGGUUCAUUACUACUUAAAGUUUUGACCUCUUCAGUCCCACUUUUAUCAAUUUUUGCAUCUAGAUCUAAAAACUCCAAAUCAUUGGGAUGCCUUUUAACUAAAGUUGACUCAUCUCCAGUCCCAUCUUUAUCAUGAUUCAUAUUGUAAAACAAAGAUUUAAUAGGAGUAACAUCAACUUUUAGAUCUUCAUCAUUGUUAUCAUGAAAACUAGAAGAACACACUUUUACAAACCAAUCUUUUUUAGCACGCAUCUUAGCGGUUCUUUCUUUGCACUCAUCAAUGGAAAUUCUCAUGGCUUUGAGAGACUCAUUUAUAUCAUGCUUAUGGGUAAUAGAUAUAAGUUUCAACGAAUCAACAUCAAGAGAAAUUCUAUCCACGUUCCUAACCAACUCAUCAAUCUUAAGCAAUUUUUCUUCAAUCAAAGCAUUGAAAUUCUUUUGCGAACUCAUAAAUUCUUUAACACUAUUCUCAAAAUCAGAGGGCAUCUUAUUAAAAUUUACAUAAGAUUUGUUGUAGGAACUACCAUAAUUAUUAGAGGAAUUACUAGGAAACGACCUAGGAUUAAAAUUUGCUCUAUACGCUUUGUUACCAAAAUUGUUCCUACCAACAAAAUUCACAUCCAUAGAUUCAUUAUUAUUCUCAAUCAAAGUGGACAAAGGGAUAUCAUUAGGAUCAGAAGAAACACUUUUAUUAGCAAACAAUUUCAUAAGUUCAUCCAUCUUUCCACUCAAAACAUUAAUUUCUUCAAUCGGAUGAACUUUUUUACUAGUGGAUCUUUCGGUGUGCCAUUGAGAACAAUAAACCAUAAAGAGCUUAGUAGCUUCUCCUAAAGUGAUUUCCAUAAAAGUGCCUCCCACGGCCAAAUUUAAAAGAUUUCUAGAAGCAAAAUUCAAUCUGGCAUAAAUUUUUUGUAUAAUCAUCCACAAAAUCAAACAAUGUGUAGAGAAAUUAUGUAUCAUUAAUUUCAUCCUCUCCCAAGCUUGUGCAACAUGCUCAUGAUCAAGUUGCUUAAAAUUCAUAAUAUCGUUCCUAAGGGAGAUGAUCUUAGUGGGAGGAAAAUACUUAGAGAUAAAAGCAUCUUUGCACUUAUUCCAUGAAUCAAUACUAUUUUUAGGCAAAGAUGAGAACCAAGUUUUAGCAUGAUCCCUAAGCGAAAACGGAAAUAGCUUCAAUUUAAAAAUAUCAAUAUCCACAUCUUUCUUCUUUUGCAAAGCACACAAAUCAACAAAGUUGUUUAGAUGGGAUGCGACAUCUUCACUAGGAAGGCCAGAAAAUUGAUCUUUCAUAACAGGAUUCAACAAAGCGACAUUAAUUUCACAAGAUUCAGCAUUGGUAGUAGGAGCAAUCAGAGUGCUAAUAAAAUCAUUGUUGUUGGUAUUGGAAAAGUCACACACUUUAGUAUUAUCUUGAGCCAUCGUGACAAGCAAUCAAUCCAACACACAAGCACACAAGAAGCAAGCAAAAAUAGACGAAUGGAAGAGGGGCGAAGAAAAGGCAAAGGUUUUCGAAAAUCGUUUUAGAAGUGGGGGAGAGGAAAACAAGAGGGGAAUGGCGAAUAAUGUAAUGCAAGGGAGAAGAGUUUAUGAUGGGUACUUGGUAUGGCUUGACUUGACGAAGAUCUCCCCAGCAACGGCGCCAGAAAUCCUUCUUGCUACCUCUUGAGCUUGUGUUGGUUCCCUUAAAGAGGAAAGGGUGAUGUAGCAAAGUAGCAUAAGUAUUUCCCUCAGUUUUGAGAACCAAGGUAUCAAUCCAAUAGGAGAUGACGCACAAGUCAUCGAAUACCUACACAAACAAUCAAAAACUUGCAACCAAUGCGAUAAAGGGGUUGUCAAUCCCUUCACGGUCACUCGCAAAAGUGAAAUCUGAAAUCUGAUAUAGAUAGAUAAAGGGUAAAGUAAAUAUUUUUGGUACUUUUGGUUUAUAGAUUGGAAACUAGCAAGAUGUAAAUGAGAUUCAAUAAUAUGGAAAGAGACUUAAUAUAAUGGAAAAGAGACUCGAGGGCCAUAGGUUUCACUAGUGGCUUCUCUCGAGAUAGCAUGUAUUAUGGUGGGCGAACAAAUUACCGCCGAACAAUUGAUAGAAAAUCGCAUAGUUAUGAUGAUAUCUAAGGCAAUGAUCAUGAACAUAGGCAUCACGUCCGUGUCAAGUAGACCGACUCGUGCCUGCAUUACUACUAUUAAUCCACACAUCGACCACUAUCCAGCAUGCAUCUAGAGUAUUAAGUUCAUAAGAACGGAGUAACGCAUUAAGCAAGAUGACAUGAUGUAGAGGAAUUAACUCAAGCAAUAUGAUGAAAACCCCAUCUUUUUAUCCUCGAUGGCAACAAUACAAUUCGUGCCUUGCUGCCCUACUGUCACUGGGAAAGGACACCGCAAGAUUGAACCCAAAGCUAAGCAAUUCUCCCAUGGCAAGAAAGAUCAAUCUAGUAGGCUAAACUAAACCGAUAAUUCGAAGAGACUUGCAAAGAUAUCAAAUCAUGCAUAUAAGAAUUUAGAGAAGAACCAAAUAAUAUUCAUAGAUAGUCUUGAUCAUAAAUACACAAUUCAUCAGAUCUCGGCAAACACACCGCAAAAUAAUAUUACAUCAAAUAGAUCUCCAAGGACAUCGAGGAGAACUUUGGAUUGAGAAUCAAAGAGAGAGAAGAAGCCAUCUAGCUAAUAACUAUGGACCUGAAGGUCUGUGGUAAACUACUCACGCUUCAUCAGAGAGGUAAUGGUGUUGAUGUAGAAGCCCUCCAUGACCGAAUCCCCCUCCGGCAGAUCGCCGGAAAGGCCCCAAGAUGGGAUCUCAUGGGUACAGAAGGUUGGGGUGGUGGAAAACUGGUUUUGUGGUUCCCCCUGAUGGUUUGAUGGUAUACGAGUAUAUAUAGGCGAAAGAACUAGGUCGGUGGAGCUACGAGGGGCCUACGAGGGUGGGGGCGCGCCUAUCCCCCUGGGCGCGCCCUCCUGACUUGUGGCCUCCUUGUUACGUCUCCGACUUCAUCUCCAAGUCUUCUAGUUUGCUUUCGAUCCAAGAAAGAUCAUCGUGAAGGUUUCAUUCCGUUUGGACUCUGUUUGGUAUUCCUUUUCCGCAAAACUCUAAAAUAGGCAAAAACAGAAACUGGCACUCGGCCUUCGGUUAAUAGGUUUGUCCCAAAAUUAAUAUAAAAGAGCAUAUUAAAGCCCAUUAAACAUCCAAAACGGAUAAUAUAAUAGCAUGGAACAAUAAAAAAUUAUAGAUACUUUGGAGACAUACUAGCAAUCUCUUAAGGAAAGGCACAUUCGCAAUGACCAUAACGUGGAAGAGCUGGCAUGAUCUCUUCCCAAUUGAUGUCUUGUUGCGGGGCCAGCAAGACACAUAAAUCCAUCGGAGAUUCAUCGAGGUGAUGUGGAGGCUAAUGAACCCGUGGAUCUGCCAAAGAAAAAGGUACUCAAGCAUAGUACAACUGCGGAGCAGGUGCUCCAUAGCCUUCUUUGAUAUGCCAACGUCGAAGAGGUCGAGCUGCUUGAGUUGAGGGAGAAGAAGAGCGGGCGCGGCAUUAAUCUGGGGAAAAUAGCAGGAGUUGAAGCUGGUGCGACGCAGCGUUGGCGUGAGGCGGAGCGCGGACGGCGGCAGAGAGCGACAUUGUCUAGCUUCAAACUUGAGCUCCUCGAGCUGAUCUAGGGCGGGGGAUAAGAACCACUCGUCGAACUUGGCUUGGACCUUGCAGUUGGUACUGAACAUGCGGAUGUCAAGGCGUCUGGCUGGCCCGGGGUGCGAUAAAAGGAUCUUGGAUACUGCGGCCAUGCGUUUGCAAUCCCCGUCAUGGAGGCAGCUGUCGACGGUGAGGUUGAGGGGGAUGCGGUAGCAGAGGGGGCGCCACCACCGGGAGAGCAUGGUGGUCCGCAUGACAGAUUUGGUGGGGAGGAGGCCGAUGAUGACAAGCAGCAUGUUGUCGGGGAGGCUGCUGAUGAAGUCCAGGCUCAUCGGAUGCGGUUUUGGCUCGAGCCGCCUCCGCUUGUUGGUUGCCUCGCCGUCCAUCUCGGCCGGAGGCGACGCUAGUGUACACGUGUGCUCAUGUGUAUUUUGUGUUGGGUGUGCGCGAGUGCGCUCUUGUGUGCAUGCCGCCGUGCACUAGUGAAGUGUGUGUGAGUGCGUCCUUCAAGCGGAAGAAGUGUGCCCUCAAUUUACUAGCAUGCGGAGUGGUACCGCGAGUGGUUUCAACUUUGCUUACUUCACUGCGUGUCAGAUGGGCCUCUGGUUUACUUAUUUUCACCCACUGCCACAUGGGCCAGCACACGAAGAUAGAGAACAUGAGCUGAGAAGGCAGCAUGUGGACUAGUUGACUGGUCAACUAAACAAUAUACGGAGCUAUACGCUAACACAAUGACCGUAUAAUCCCUCGGUAUAGAGAGUUCGGGUGAGAGGGAGGCCCGUGAGAGAUAGUAGAGAGAGAGAAAGAGCCACUCCCUCCGUUCGAUAAUGUAGUGCCUAUAUUAAGUCAAACGUUUGAAACUUUGACCAAGUUUAUAAACAAAUUACUUAUAUCUACAAUACCAAAGAUAAAUGAUAGUAUGAAGUAAGUACAUUUUGUGAUGAAUCUAAUGAUCAUUCCAGAUGUAAAUGUUUUUCUCCACAUAUACCUAGUCAAGCUUUUCUGAGGUUUGACUUUUCAAUAUAUACAUAUGUUUUGUGGACGUGAGAGAGUACCUAACUAGAGAGAGAGAGAGUGUGUGAAAUAGAAAGAGUGAGUGAAGCAAGUGUGUGUGCAUGUGUGAAAGAGACAUGGAAAACACAUGAUAAAGUAGAGAAAAAGCAUGGGUGUCUUAUGCAAACAUAUCACACAUGCAUCUUCGACAGCGGAAGCGAGGUGAGGAGAUAGUGUGUGGUUGUUUGCAACUGAGAGAGAAAGACCCCUAGCACGUGGCCAAGAGAGGUCUGUCAAACAAGGGAGAGAGGUCGAGAGAGACGUAUGGAGAAAAUGCAGACAUGGGGAGGAGAGAGUGUAUGUUUGUGACAGAGAGAUCCCCUGGAGCUCGUGAUGGCACUACAUGGGUGGGAGAUCGAGUGACAAGGUGUGUGCGUGAUAGAAGAUACCUCAAGAUAUAUUGAUAUAAAUGUAUGGAUGGAAGAAGACAAUAUGUGUGUUCCUGAUGGCUAGUGAGAGAUAGUCAUACUUAGGGGGGGUGCCUAUGAUGGAGUGAGUUAUUAUCGUACUUAGGGGGGGGUGUGUCACAUACAGAGAGAACAAGGGUACAAAGUGUUAGAUGGGUCUAUGUAGCACGAGUGAGAUAUGUGUAUGUGUGAACCAAGGAUAUAUAAAGUUUGAGAGAGAUAGAGGAGCCCUGGUACGGCUGAGUGAUUGAUAACCCACAAGUAUAGGGGAUCGCAAUAGUUUUCGAGGGUAGAGUAUUCAACCCAAAUUUAUAGAUUCGACACAAGGGGAGACAAAGAAUAUCUGAAGGUAUUAGUAGCUGAGUUGUCAAUUCAACCAUACCUGGAGAUUAAUUAUCUGCAGCAAAGUGAUUAGUAGCACAGUAAUAUGAUGGUUUUGAUGAUAGUAGCAGCAGCAAUAGUAACGGUAACAGUGAUUUUGUAGCAGUAAUGAUAGCAGUAGCAACAGUAGUAACUUAGCAAGAACAAUAUAAGGUAAAUUCGUGGGCAUUGGAUCGGUGACUCGUUGGAUGAUAUUCAUCAUGAGAAAAUUAUGACCUAGGGCGAGGGCGAUACGGCACUAGCUCCAGUUCAUAGAUAUAAUGUAGGCAUGUAUUCCGUAAAUAGUCAUACAUGCUUAUGGAAAGAACUUGCAUGACAUCUUUUGUCCUACCCUCCCAUGGGAGUGGGGUCCUAUUGGAAACUAAGGGAUAUUAAGGCCACCUUUUAAUAGAGAACAGGAACAAAGCAUUAACACACGAUGGAUACCAAACUCCUCAAACUACGGUCAUCACCGAGAGUGGUCCCGACUAUUGUCACUUCGGGGUUGUCGGAUCAUAAUGCGUGGUAGGUGACUACAACUUGCAAGAUCUCAUCUAGAACAUGGAUAUAAUGGUGAUAACAUAAACGGUUCAGAUCUGAAAUCAUGGCACCCGGGCCCAAAGUGACAAGCAUUAAGCAUGGCAAAGUCAUAGCAAUAUCAAUCUCAGAACAUAGUGGAUACUAGGGAACAUGCCCUAACAAAACUAACUCAAUUACAUGAUGAAUUUCAUCCAACUCCUCAUCGACCAGCGAGCCUACGAAGGAAUUACUCACUCCUGGUGGGGAGCAUCAUGGAAUUGGCGAUGGAGAUGUGCUGGUGAUGACGAAGAUCAAAGAUCCCCCUCCCUGGAGCCCCAAACGGACUCCAGAUCUGGCCUCCUGAUGAAGAACAGGAGACGGCGGCGGCUCUAUCUCGUGAAACGCGAUAAUUCUUUCUCCCUAAUUUUUUCUGGAAAUAUGUCAUUUUAUAGCGCCAGUUUCAGGGUCAUCGGGGCCACCAGGUGGGGACAACCCACGGGGCGUGCCUGAGGGGCAGGCGCGUCCUGGUGGGUUGUGCCCACCCAGGUGCCCCCCUCAGGUGGCGCUUGGCUCUAGAAUUUCUCUUUAUUGAUAUAAAAAAAUCCUCACAAAGUUUCGCUCCAUUCCGAGAACUUUUAUUUCUGCACAAAAACAACACCAUGGUAGUUCUGCUGAAAACAACGUUAGUCCGGGGUUAGUUUCAUUCAAAUCAUACAAAUUAGAGUCCAAAACAAGAGGAAAAGUGUUAGGAAAAGUAGAUACGAUGAAGACGUAUCAACUUCCCUAAGCUUAAACCUUUGCUUGUCCUGAAGCAAUUCAGUUGAUAAACUGAAAGUGAAAAAUAAAAACUUUUACGAACUCUUUUGCUCUUGUUUCAUAAAUAAGCUUAAACAACACCCAGGUUUUCAGCAAAGAUUAUAACUAACCAUGUUGACAAUAACUCUUAAAAAUUAUAUUAACUCAUAUCAAUGACAUAAUCAACUAGAGAGCAAUAAUAAGAUAUCUCAAACAGCAACACGUUGUCAAAACAAUCAUGAUACAAUAUGACAAUAGUGGUAUCUCGCUAGCCCCUUCUGAGACCGCAAAACAUAAAUGCAGAGCACCUCUAAAGUUCAAGUAGCAACUAAACAUUGUAAUUCAUGGUUGAAAAGAUCCAAUCAUGAUGCACCCAACAUUAGCUACACACAAUGCAUCAGCAUGACAUCAGUGCUCUCAGGUUCUAGCGCUUAUUUGAGAAGGUGAUGACACAACAUAAAAGUAAAUAGAUAGUCCCUUCGCAGAGGGAAGCAGUGAUUUGCAGAGGUGCCAGAGCUCAAGUUUUUAAAAUAGAGGUAAAUGAAAUUUUGAGAUAUGCACCCUUCUCAUUUACUUCACGACCAUCAAUUAUCAAUAUCUCCCAUGCUAAGAACGCUAGUGGCGGUUCCCAAGCGGAAAGGUAAAGGUUAUGACUCCAUUGGGAGUUUUUGUUUGAUUAUUUGAGAGAUCAAUUCUUUUUGCAAUUUGGGACUGGGCAUCCCUAUUACCACCCUUUUCUCGUGCGAUGGCGAGUGAGUAAACACUCAACCUGAGAAUAACCCACUAAGCAUGGAAGAUACCGACUACCUCCUGUCGUUCCAUGAAUGAUCCAGGCACACAAAAAGGAUAUUUAUCUGAUUUUUUUAGAGAUGGCACAUGCAAAUUUACUUAGGAUGACAGGGUAAUACCACAUAUAGGUAGGUAUGGUGGACUCAUCUGGAAUAACUUGGGUUUCAGGUUUUUGAUGUACAAGUAGAGUUCCCACUUAGUACAGGCGAAGGCUAGCAAAUAGGUUGAGAAGCGGCCAGCUAGAGAGCAACAACGGUCAUGAACAUGCAUUAUGCAUAAGUAACAUUGGAUACUAGCAUGAGUAGGAUAUGAACACCAUGAACAUAAAUAUCAUAGAGGCUAUGUUGGUUUUGAUUCAACUACAUGCAUGGGCAUGUGCCAAGUCAAGACACUCGAACAUUCAAAGGAGGAUACCAUAUCAUCAUACUACAUCACAAUCAUUUUAAUGCAGUAUUGAUAUCCAAGAUAAGUCAUUAUUCACUCCUAGCUACUUAUGCAUGGCAUGAGAAACUAUAAUCUCUAAUUGUCAUUGCAAACAUGUUUGAUCAUAAUAGGCUGAAUCAUGGAUACUAGAUUAAACAUAGUUACAAAAACAGAACAAGUCGAGUUCAUACCCGUUUCUCUCCGCCAUGACCAGUUCAUCUAAUAUCGUCAUUAUUGUCUUUCACUUGCACAACCGAACAAUUUGAAAAUAAUAAUAGUGCAAGAGUGUCGUGGACUAAGCUAGAAUCUGCAAACAUUUUAUUCAAAAGGAGAAGACAAGGUAAUAUGGGCUUUUUGUUAGAUCAACAAUAAUGCAACUGAAAGCCGCACAACAUUUUCAUCGUGGUCUUCUCCUUGAUAUGACUCAAUGAAAAAAAAGAAAUUCAGAGAAACACACUGAAAUAUUUUUGGAGUUUUUGUUUUUUAUACACAAGCAAAUGAAAAGAGAAAAGCAAAAAUGAGAAAAACUAUUUACACGGGAAAGCUCCCAACAAGUAAAAGAAGAACAAGGAAAUCUUUUUGGGAUUUCUUUUUAGUGCUACAACAAUUUAAACUAGAAAGUAAAAUAAAAAAUAAGCAAGAAACAUAUUUGUAGAUUUUUCUCAAAGUUUUUCAAACACACAAGAAGAAAGCGAGAAAAUAAAUUAAACACAGGUGAUACAAUGAAAAAGUGUGGACACCGAAAACUGGAAUGAAAUGUGUGAACAUGAAUGUAAUGUCGGUGGGAAUACAUACUCCCCCAAGCUUAGGCUUUGGCCUGGUAAUCAGUCAGUAGCCUAUGUAAUGGUCGGAGUGGUAGCUCACGGAGGCUCUUGGUGCAGAUGCCUUAGCCCGCCGUGCAGCCACAACCGCUGUGUUAUGAGCUCGGGCCUCGCUCUCAAGAACAUAGUAUCUUCCCCUGUUAUGAACAUCAAAGAGAGCAGGUGCAGGCAAAUAUGUGUCUACCCACAUAUUCCUUGUUAGACGCUAAAUUAUAAGUGAAAUUAUGGGGAUCAACCCUCAGAAUCUUAUGAUGUUUCAUAGCAUCAAAGUCUAGGUAUUGCGUGGGUAGAAUAGGAUAAUAGGGCAAAGGUGAAACACCCAACCCUCUUGCUAAGCGUGUGGCAUAAAUUCCACCAUAAAAAUAUCCACUGCCAGCAUUGUGCUCUAACCUACGUGCAACAAUCGCUCCAAGAUUAUAACUGAUACAUCUCCAACGUAUCUAUAAUUUUUUAUUCUUCCAUGCUAUUUUAUUAUCAAUCUUGGAUGUUUUAUAAUCAUUAUAUAGUCAUUUUAUAUCAUUUUUUGGUACUAACCUAUUGACAUAGUGCCAAGUGCCAGUUGUUGUUUUCUGCAUGUUUUUUACAUCACAGGAAAUCAAUAUCAUAAGGAGUCCAAAUGCCACUCCAAUUUAUGAUGAUUUUUUAUGGGUCAGAAGGAACACAAUGGGCCCUGGUUGCACCUAGGGGGAGUCCCGAGGAGGGGAUAACCCACCAGGGCGCGCCAGGAGGCCCAGGCACGCCCAGGUGGGUUGUGCCCACCUCAGGUGCCCCCUGGACCGACUCUUUGCUCUAUAAAUACCCCAAUAUUCAAGAAAACCAAGAGGAGUCGAUGAAAUUUUCAUCCAGCCGCCGCAGAGUCCAGAACCACGAAAUCCAAUCAAGACACCAUCACGGAGGGGUUCACCACUUCCAUUGGUGCCUCUUCGGUGAUGCGUGAGUAAUUCUUUGUAGACCUUCCGGUCCGUAGUUAGUAGCUAGAUGGCUUCCUCUCUCUCUCUCUUGAUUAUCAAUACAAUGGUCUCUUGGAGAUCGAUAUGAUGUAAGUCUUUUUGCGGUGUGUUUGUUGGGAUAUGAUGAACUUAGAGUUUAUGAUCACUUAUAUAUUUUUAUAUCCAUGAAAGUUAUUUGAGUUCUUUGAUCUCUUAUAUGCAUGAUCUCUUAUAGCCUCGUAUUUCUUCUCCGAUAUUUGGGUUUUGUUUGGCCAACUUGAUCUAUUUAUCUUACAAUGGGAAGAGGUGCCCGGUAGUGGGUUCGAUCUUACGGUGCUUGUGAAGGAAAUAUGCCCUAGAGGCAAUAAUAAAGUUAUUAUUUAUUUCCUCAUAUCAUGAUAAAUGUUUAUUAUUCAUGCUAGAAUUGUAUUAACUGGAAACAAUGAUACAUGUGUGAAUACAUAGACAAACAUAUAGUCACUAGUAUGCCUCUACUUGACUAGCUCGUUUAUCAAAGAUGGUUAUGUUUCCUAGCCAUGGACAAAAGAGUUGUCAUUUGAUUAACGGGAUCACAUCAUUAGGAGAAUGAUGUGAUUGACAUGACCCAUUCCGUUAGCCUAGCACUUGAUCGUUUAGUAUGUUGCUAUUGCUUUCUUCAUAACUUAUACAUGUUCCUAUAACUAUGAGAUUAUGCAGCUCCCGUUUACCGGAGGAACACUUUGUGUGCUACCAAACGUCACAACGUAACUGGGUGAUUAUAAAGGUGCUCUACAGGUGUCUCCAAAGGUACAUGUUGAGUUGGCAUAAUUCGAGAUUAGGUUUUGUCACUCCGAUUGUCGAAGAGGUAUCUCUGGGCCCUCUGGGUAAUACACAUCACAUAAGCCUUGCAAGCAUUGUAACUAAUGAGCUAGUUAUGAAAUUAUGUAUUACGGAAUGAGUAAAGAGAUUUGCCAGUAACGAGAUUGAACUAGGUAUUGGCUACCAAUGAUCGAAUCUCGGGCAAGUAACAUACCGAUGACAAAGGGAACAACGUAUGUUGUUAUGCGGAUUGACCGAUAAAGAUCUUCGUAGAAUAUGUAGGAACCAAUAUGGGCAUCCAGGUUCCGCUAUUGGUUAUUGACCGAGAAUAGUUCUAGGUCAUGUCUACAUAGUUCUCGAACCCGUAGGGUCUGCACGCUUAACGUUACGAUGACAGUUUUAUUAUGAGUUUAUAAGUUUUGAUGUACCGAAGUUUGUUCAGAGUCCGGGAUGUGAUCACGGACAUGACGAGGAGUCUCGAAAUGGUCGAGACAUAAAGAUUGAUAUAUUGGACGGAUAUAUUUGGAUACCAGAAAGGUUCCGGAUGAGAUUGGGAAUAUACCAGAGCUCCGAGAGGUUACCGGAACCCCCCGGUAAGUAUAUGGGCCUUAUUGGGCCUUAGUGGAAAGGAGGUAGAAGGGGCAAAGGAGGGGCCCCCCCAAGCCCAAUACGAAUUGGGAGGGGGGCCGGCCCCCCCUUUCCUUCUUCCCUCCCCUCUCUUCCUUCCCUCUCCUACUCCUAAUAGGAAAGAGGGGGCCAAACCUACUUGGAGUAGGAUUGCCCCCCCCUAGGGCGCGCCUCUCCCCUUGGUCGGCCCCCUCCUCCUCUCCCCCUUUAUAUACGGGGGAAGGGGGCACCCCUAGAACACACAAGUUGAUCUACAGAUCGUUCCUUAGCCGUGUGCGGUGCCCCCCUCCACCAUAUUCCACCUCGAUCAUAUCGUCGCGGAGUUUAGGCGAAGCCCUGCGCCGGAAGAACAUCAUCAUCGUCACCACGCCGUCGUGCUGACGGAACUCAUCCCCGACGCUUUGCUGGAUUGGAGCCCGGGGAACGUCAUCGAGCUGAACGUGUGCUGAACACGGAGGUGCUGUACGUUCGGUACUUGGAUCGGUCGGAUCGUGAAGACAUAUGACUACAUCAACCGCGUUGUCAUAACGCUUCCGCUUACGGUCUACGAGGGUACAUGGAAAACACUCUCCCCUCUCGUUGAUAUACCAUCACCAUGAUCUUGCGUGUGCAUAGGAAUUUUUUUGAAAUUACUACGUUCCCCAACAGUGGCAUCCGAGCCUAGGUUUUAUGCGUUGUUGUUAUAUGCACGAGUAGAACACAAGUGAGUUGUGGGCGAUACAAGUCAUACUGCUUACCAGCAAUGUCAUACUUUGGUUCAGCGGUAUUGUUGGAUGAAGCGGCCCGGACCGACAUUACGUGUACGCUUACGCGAGACUGGUUUUACCGCCGUGCUUUUCACACAGGUGACUAGCGGGUGUCUGUUUCUCCAACUUUAGUUGAACCGAGUGUGGCUACGCCCGGUCCUUGCGAAGGUUAAAACAACACUAACUUGACAAACUAUCGUUGUGGUUUUGAUGCGUAGGUAAGAAAGGUUCUUGCUCAGCCCGUAGCAGCCACGUAAAACUUGCAACAACAAAGUAGAGGAUGUCUAACUUGUUUUUGCAGGGCAUUGAUGUGAUGUGAUAUGGUCAAGACGUGAUGCUAUAUUUUAUUGUAUGAGAUGAUCAUGUUUUGUAACCGAAGUUAUCGGCAACUGGCAGGAGCCAUAUGGUUUUCGCUUUAUUGUAUGAAAUGCAAACGCCCUGUAAUUGCUUUACUUUAUCACUAACCGGUAGCGAUAGUUGUAGAAGCAAUAGAUGGCGUAAAUGACAACGAUGCUACGAUGGAGAUCAAGAUGUCGCGCCGGUGACGAUGGUGAUCACGAUGGUGCUUCAGAGAUGGAGAUCACAAGCACAAGAUGAUGAUGGCCAUAUCAUAUCACUUAUAUUGAUUGCAUGUGAUGUUUAUCCUUUAUGCAUCUUAUCUUGCUUUGAUUGACGGUAGCAUUUUAAGAUGAUCUCUCACUAAUUAUCAAGAAGUGUUCUCCCUGAGUAUGCACCAUUGCGAAAGUUCUUCGUGCUGAGACACCACGUGAUGAUCGGGUGUGAUAGGCUCUACGUUAAAAUACAACGGGUGCAAAAUAGUUGCACACGCGGAAUAUCCAGGUUAAACUUGACGAGCCUAGCAUAUACAGAUAUGGCCUCGGAACACGGAGACCGAAAGGUCGAGCGUGAAUCAUAUAGUAGAUAUGAUCAACAUAGUGAUGUUCACCAUUGAAAACUACUCCAUCUCACGUGAUGAUCGGACAUGGUUUAGUUGAUUUGGAUCACGUAAUCACUUAGAUGACUAGAGAGAUGUCUGUCUAAGUGGGAGUUCGUAAGUAAUAUGAUUAAUUGAACUUAAAUUUAUCAUGAACUUAGUACCUGAUAGUAUUUUGCUUGUCUAUGUUUGUUGUAGAUAGAUGGCUCGUGCUGUUGUUCCGUUGAAUUUUAAUGCGUUCCUUGAGAAAGCAAAGUUGAAAGAUGAUGGUAGCAAUUACACGGACUGGGUCCGUAACCUGAGGAUUAUCCUCAUUGUUGCACAGAAGAAUUACGUCCUGGAAGCACAGCUGGGUGCCAGGCCUGCUGCUGAUGCAACUGACGAUGUUAAGAACGUCUGGCAGAGCAAAGCUGAUGACUACUCGAUAGUUCAAUGUGCCAUGCUUUACGGCUUAGAACCGGGUCUUCAACGACAUUUUGAACGUCAUGGAGCAUAUGAGAUGUUCCAGGAGUUGAAGUUAAUAUUUCAAGCAAAUGCCCGGAUUGAGAGAUAUGAAGUCUCCAAUAAGUUCUAUAGCUGCAAGAUGGAGGAGAAUAGUUCUGUCAGUGAACACAUACUCAAAAUGUCUAGGUAUAAUAAUCACUUGAUUCAACUGGGAGUUAAUCUUCCUGAUGAUAGUGUCAUUGACAAAAUUCUUCAAUCACUGCCACCAAGCUACAAGAGCUUCGUGAUGAACUAUAAUAUGCAAGGGAUGGACAAGACUAUUCCCGAGCUCUUCACAAUGCUAAAAGCCGCGGAGGUAGAAAUAAAGAAGGAGCAUCAAGUGUUGAUGGUUAACAAGACCACCAGUUUCAAGAAAAAGGGCAAAGGGAAGAAGAAGGGGAACUUCAAGAAGAACAGCAAACAAGUUGCUGCUCAAGAGAAGAAACCCAAGUCUGGACCUAAGCCUGAGACUAAGUGCUUCUACUGCAAGCAGACUAGACACUGGAAGCGGAACUGCCCCAAGUAUUUGGCGGAUAAGAAGGAUGGCAAAGUGAACAAAGGUAUAUAUGAUAUACAUGUUAUUGAUGUGUACCUUAAUAAUGCUCGCAGUAGUACCUGGGUAUUUGAUACUGGUUCUGUUGCUAAUAUUUGCAACUCGAAACAGGGACUACGGAUUAAGCGAAGAUUAGCUAAGGACGAGGUGACGAUGCGCGUGGGAAAUGGUUCCAAAGUCGAUGUGAUCGCAGUCGGGACGCUACCUCUACAUCUACCAUCGGGAUUAGUUUUAGACCUAAAUAAUUGUUAUUUGGUGCCAGCGUUGAGCAUGAACAUUAUAUCUGGAUCUUGUUUGAUGCGAAACGGUUAUUCAUUUAAAUCAGAGAAUAAUGGUUGUUCUAUUUAUAUGAGUAAUAUCUUUUAUGGUCAUGCACCCUUGAAGAGUGGUCUAUUUUUAUUGAAUCUCGAUAGUAGUGAUACACAUAUUCAUAGUGUUGAAACCAAAAGAUGCAGAGUUGAUAAUGAUAGUGCAACUUAUUUGUGGCACUGCCGUUUAGGUCAUAUCAGUAUAAAGCGCAUGAAGAAACUCCAUACUGAUGGGCUUUUGGAAUCAAUUGAUUAUGAAUCACUUGGUACUUGCGAACAGUGCCUCAUGGGCAAGAUGACUAAAACGCCGUUCUCCGGAACUAUGGAGCGAGCAACUGAUUUGGUGGAAAUCAUACAUACUGAUGUUUGUGGUCCAAUGAAUGUUGAAGCUCGCGGCGGGUAUCGUUAUUUUCUCACCUUCAUAGAUGAUUUGAGCAGAUAUGGGUAUAUCUACUUAAUGAAACACAAGUCUGAGACAUUUGAAAAGUUCAAAGAAUUUCAGAGUGAAGUGGAAAAUCAUCGUAACAAGAAAAUAAAGUUUCUACGAUCUGAUCGUGGAGGAGAAUAUUUGAGUUACGAGUUUGGUUUACAUUUAAAACAAUGCGGAAUAGUUUCGCAACUCACGCCACCCAGAACACCACAACGUAAUGGUGUGUCCGAACGUCGUAAUCAUACUUUACUAGAUCUGGUGCGAUCUAUGAUGUCUCUUACUGAUUUACCGCUAUCCUUCUGGGGUUAUGCUUUAGAGAUGGCCGCAUUCACAUUGAAUAGGGCACCAUCAAAAUCCGUUGAGACGAUGCCUUAUGAACUGUGGUUUGGCAAGAAACCAAAGUUGUCGUUUCUUAAAGUUUGGGGCUGCGAUGCUUAUGUGAAGAAACUUCAACCAGAUAAGCUCGAACCUAAAUCGGAGUAAUGUGUCUUCAUAGGAUACCCAAAAGAAACUAUUGGGUACUCCUUCUAUCACAGAUCUGAGGGCAAGAUUUUCGUUGCUAAAAUCGGAUCCUUUCUAGAGAAGGAGUUUCUCUCGAAAGAAGUGAGUGGGAGGAAAGUAGAACUUGAUGAGGUAACUGUACCUACUCCCUUAUUGGAAGGUAGCUCAUCACAAGAACCGGUUCCUGUGACAACUACACCAAUUGGUGAGAAAACUAAUGCUAUUGAUCAUGAAACUUCAGAUCAAGUUUCUACUGAACCUCGUAGGUCUACCAGAGUAAGAUCCGCACCAGAGUGGUACGGUAAUCCUAUUCUGGAAGUCAUGUUACUUGACCAUGAUGAACCUACGAACUAUGAGGAAGCGAUGAUGAGCCCAGAUUCCGCAAAAUGGCUAGAGGCCAUGAAAUCUGUGAUGGGAUCCAUGUAUGAGAACAAAGUAUGGACUUUGGUUGACUUGCCCGAUGAUCGGCAAGCCAUUGAGAAUAAAUGGAUCUUUAAGAAGAAGAUUGACGCUGACGGUAAUGUAACUGUCUAUAAAGCUCGACUUGUUGCGAAAGGUUUUCGACAAGUUCAAGGGGUUGACUACGAUGAGACCUUCUCACCAGUAGCGAUGCUUAAGUCUGUACGAAUCAUGUUAGAAAUUGCCGCAUUUUAUGAUUAUGAAAUAUGGCAAAUGGAUGUCAAAACUGCAUUCCUGAAUGGAUUUCUGGAAGAAGAGUUGUAUAUGAUGCAACCGGAAGGUUUUGUCGAUCCUAAGGGAGCUAACAAAGUGUGCAAGCUCCAGCGAUCAAUCUAUGGUCUGGUGCAAGCCUCUCGGAGUUGGAAUAAACGCUUUGAUAGUGUGAUCAAAGCAUAUGGUUUUAUACAGACUUUUGGAGAAGCCUGUAUUUACAAGAAAGUGAGUGGGAGCUCUGUAGCAUUUCUAAUAUUAUAUGUGGACGACAUAUUAUUGAUUGGAAAUGAUAUAGAAUUUCUAGAUAGCAUAAAAGGAUACUUGAAUAAAAGUUUUUCAAUGAAAGACCUCGGUGAAGCUGCUUACAUAUUGGGCAUCAAGAUCUAUAGAGAUAGAUCAAGACGCUUGAUUGGACUUUCACAAUGCACGUACCUUGAUAAAAUGUUGAAAAGGUUCAAUAUGGAUCAGGCAAAGAAAGGGAUCUUGCCUGUAUUACAAGGUAUAAAAUUGAGUAAGACUCAAUGCCCGACCACUGGAAAAGAUAGAGAGAAAAUGAAGGGAGUUCCCUAUGCUUCAGCCAUAGGCUCUAUCAUGUAUGCAAUGCUGUGUACCAGACCUGAUGUGUGCCUUGCUAUUAGUUUGGCAGGGAGGUACCAAAGUAAUCCAUGAGUGGAUCACUGGACAGCGGUCAAGAACAUCCUGAAAUACUUGAAAAGGACUAAGGAUAUGUUUCUCGUUUAUGGAGGUGACAAAGAGCUAGUCGUAAAUGGUUACAUCGAUGCAAGCUUUGACACUGAUCCAGACGAUUCUAAAUCGCAAACCGAAUACGUAUUUUUAUUAAACGGUGGAGCUGUAAGUUGGUGCAGUUCUAAACAAAGCGUCGUGGCGGGAUCUACAUAUGAAGCGGAGUACAUAGCUGCUUCAGAAGCAGCAAAUGAAGGAGUCUGGAUGAAGGAGUUCAUUACCGAUCUAGGUGUUAUACCUAGUGCAUUGGGACCAAUGAAGAUCUUCUGUGACAAUACUGGUGCAAUUGCCUUGGCAAAGGAAUCCAGAUUUCACAAGAGGACCAAGCACAUCAAGAGACGCUUCAAUUCCAUCCGGGACCAAGUCCAAGUGGGAGACAUAGAGAUUUGCAAGAUACAUACGGAUCUGAAUAUUGCAGACCCGUUGACUAAGCCUCUCUCACGAGCAACACAUGAUCAGCACCAAGACUCCAUGGGUGUUAGAAUCAUUACUAUGUAAUCUAGAUUAUUGACUCUAGUGCAAGUGGGAGACUGAAGGAAAUAUGCCCUAGAGGCAAUAAUAAAGUUAUUAUUUAUUUCCUCAUAUCAUGAUAAAUGUUUAUUAUUCAUGCUAGAAUUGUAUUAACCGGAAACAAUGAUACAUGUGUGAAUAUAUAGACAAACAUAUAGUCACUAGUAUGCCUCUACUUGACUAGCUCGUUUAUCAAAGAUGGUUAUGUUUCCUAGCCAUGGACAAAAGAGUUGUCAUUUGAUUAACGGGAUCACAUCAUUAGGAGAAUGAUGUGAUUGACAUGACCCAUUCCGUUAGCCUAGCACUUGAUUGUUUAGUAUGUUGCUAUUGCUUUCUUCAUAACUUAUACAUGUUCCUGUAACUAUGAGAUUAUGCAACUCCCGUUUACCGGAGGAACACUUUGUGUGCUACCAAACGUCACAACGUAACUGGGUGAUUAUAAAGGUGCUCUACAGGUGUCUCCAAAGGUACAUGUUGAGUUGGCAUAAUUCGAGAUUAGGUUUUGUCACUCCGAUUGUCGGAGAGGUAUCUCUGGGCCCUCUCGGUAAUACACAUCACUUAAGCCUUGCAAGCAUUGUAACUAAUGAGCUAGUUACGAAAUGAUGUACUAUGGAACGAGUAAAGAGACUUGCCGGUAACGAGAUUGAACUAGGUAUUGGAUACCGACGAUCGAAUCUCGGGCAAGUAACAUACCGAUGACAAAGGGAACAACAUAUGUUGUUAUGCGGUUUGACCAAUAAAGAUCUUCGUAGAAUAUGUAGGAACCAAUAUGGACAUCCAGGUUCCGCUAUUGGUUAUUGAUCGAGAAUAGUUCUAGGUCAUGUCUACAUAGUUCUCGAACCCGUAGGGUCCGCACGCUUAACGUUAUGAUGACAGUUUUAUUAUGAGUUUAUAAGUUUUGAUGUACCGAAGUUUGUUCGGAGUCCCGAAUGUGAUCACAGACAUGACGAGGAGUCUCGAAAUAGUCGAGACAUAAAGAUUGAUAUAUUGGACAGAUAUAUUUGGAUACCGGAAAGGUUCCGGAUGAGAUUGGGAAUAUACCGGAGCUCCGGGAGGUUACCGGAACCCCCCGGUAAGUAUAUGGGCCUUAUUGGGCCUUAGUGGAAAGGAGGGAGAAGGGGCAAAGGAGGGGGCGCGGCCCCCCAAGCCCAAUCCGAAUUGGGAGGGGGGGCGGCCCCCCCUUUCCUUCUUCCCUCCCCUCUCUUCCUUCCCUCUCCUACUCCUAAUAGGAAGGGGGGGGGGGGCAAACCUACUUGGAGUAGGAUUGCCCCCCCUAGGGCGCGCCUCUCCCCUUGGCCGACUCCCUCCUCCUGUCCCCCUUUAUAUACGGGGGAAGGGGGCACCCCUAGAACACACAAGUUUAUCUACGGAUCGUUCCUUAGCCGUGUGCGGUGCCCCCCUCCACCAUAUUCCACCUCGAUCAUAUCGUCGCGGAGUUUAGGCGAAGCCCUGCGCCGGAAUAACAUCAUCAUCGUCACCACGCCGUCGUACUGACAAAACUCAUCCCCGACGCUUUGCUGGAUUGGAGCCCGGGGAACGUAAUCGAGCUGAACGUGUGCUGAACACGGAGGUGCCGUACGUUCGGUACUUGGAUCGGUCGGAUCAUGAAGACGUACGACUACAUGAACCGCGUUGUCAUAACCCUUCCGCUUACGGUCUACGAGGGUACAUGGACAACACUCUCCCCUCUCGUUGCUAUACCAUCACCAUGAUCUUGCGUGUGCGUAGGAUUUUUUUUGAAAUUAUUACGUUCCCCAACUGCUUGAUCCCAAUGACAGAAAGGGAGCUGACAUGUAUGUAUCAUUGCUACUAAGGAUAAAAAGACGGGAUCCAUCUCUGCCACAAUAGAUAAACGGAUCUUGUCUACAUCAUGUCAUCGCAUUACUCCGUUUUUCCAUGAACUUAAUACACUAGAUGGAUGCUGGAUAGCGGUCGAUGUGUGGAGUAAUAGUAGUUGAUGCAGGCAGGAGUCGGUCUACUAAUCUUGGACGUGAUGCUUACGUAAUGAUCAUUGCCUGGAUAUUGUCAUGAUUAUUUGAAGUUCUAUCAAUUUCCCAACAGUAAUUUGUUCACCCACCGUUUGCUAUUUUUCUCGAGAGAGGCCACUAGUGAAACCUAUGGCCCCUGGAUCUUCUUUCUCAUAUAUUUGCCUUGUGAUCUACUUUUUGCUUAUGUUUAUUUUUAGAUCUAUUAAACCAAAAAAUACAAAAAUACCUUGUCGCAAUUUAUUUGUUCCGCGAUCUAUUUGUCCCAUCUAUAAAUUUACCUCACAUCCUUUGCCUAUCUUGAGGCAACGUACCCCAAAAGGGAUUGACAACCCCUUUAACAUGUUGGGUUGUGAGGUGUUGUUCUUUGUGUGUAGGGGCUGUUUACGUUGUGUUGCUUGGUUCUCCUACUGGUUCGAUAACCUUGGUUUCAUAUCUGAGGGAAAUACCUACCACUGUUGUGCUGCAUCAUCCCUUCCUCUUUGGGGAAAUACCGACGUAGCUUCAAGCGACAUCAAAAGGAAUUUCUGGCGUCGUUGCCAAGGAGGAUCUUCAACAUAACCAGGUUCCUAAUAACAAAUCUCAUGUCCUUGCAAUUUACAUUAUUUGCCUCUCGUUUUCCUCUCCCCCACUUCACAAAAAAAAUGUCGUUUUAUUCGCCUCUCUUUUUCCAUUUGUCGUUUUCUUGUCGGCUCUGUUUUUGAGUGCAAUCUUGUUGUGUGGUCAUCAUGACUCAAGAGAACACCAAACUAUGUGACUUCUCAAAUACCAACAACAAUGAUUUUAUUGGCACUCCGCUUGCUCCUCCCACCACUAGUGCGGAGACUUGUGAUAUUAAUAUUGUUUUGCUGAAUCUUGUUAUGAAAGACCAAUUUUCCGGUACUCCUAGUGAGGAUGCCGCGUCCCAUCUUAAUACCUUCGUGGAAUUAUGUGAUAUGCAAAAUAAAAAAGAUGUGGACAAUGAUGUGGUCAAGAUGAAAUUAUUUCCGUUUUCCUUGUGUGAUUCCGCAAAAGUUUGGUUCCCUCGCAAUAGUAUUGAUUCUUGGAAUAAGUGCUAAGAUGCUUUUAUCACUAAGUAUUUUCCUCCCGCAAAAAUUAUUUCCCUUAGAACCCAGAUCAUGAAUUUCAAGCAACUUGAACAUGAGCAUGUUGCACAAUCUUGGGAAAGGAUGAAAAUGAUGCUAAGGAAUUUCCCAACUCAUGGGUUAAAUCUUUGGAUGAUCAUACAAAAAUUUUAUGCGGGGUUGAAUUUUGUUUCUUGUAAUCUUAGAUUCCGUCACGGGUGGUACUUUUAUGGAAAUUACCUUUGGUGAAGCCACCAAAUCUAUAAUACCUAAAUAGUUCAUCCCCACUAUCUUAUUUCUAUUGACAUGCAGCCUAUCCACAUCAUUAAAUAGGCCCACAUAUUAAACCAGUCCUCACUGUCUCCUCAUGCGUCCACGUCAUCCGCUAAUACUUCCAUCGCUAGCACGUUUUCUCACUGUGACCGCAGGAUUAUUUUUGCACCUGGGCUUCCUGGCCCAAUAGUUGGUACCUUCUUGCAUCUGUUAGUGCUAGCCCAUCUAACUAAUGCAUGCUACAAAUUAUUUUCACGUGGUGUUAGCCAAGGUAACACAUUAGGCCACUCAGACUUCAUCUUCCCCGCUGCGAGUCCAUCGCCACCGCUUUAUAUUCCACUCGCCAACGCCAUGAUGGGUACUAUCCAUUCAUUGCCAUGAAUUGGCAUCCACAAAUGCAAAUGAAAUGGCAGGAUUAAUCACCCGUUAUUACCUCGCCCUCCAUUACCAUGCAAAUGCGAGCAGAAACCACCAUCAUCUUUAGAAAGACGUCGUCGACCAUGCAUAGGCUGCUCACGUCCUUCUCUUCGAACCGGCAUCAAUUUUUCUAAUGCAUGCAGCCCCUUCAGGAUACAUGGUGUAGGUGGACGCUCCCUUCCCCCCUCCAUUUUUCUUAUGCCCGAGCUCAUGCUUUUAUGAUCAAUAUAUAGCCACGAUUCCUCUAUGAACUCAUUUUGUCUUUAAUUUCUUCAUCAGAGUGAAUUUCAUAUUUUAUUCCUACUAUUUGCCCUGAUGUUUUGGUUUUCUUUGUUAUUGCAUGAUUUCAUCCAAAAAUUGUGAGUGUUGUGGAAUCGUGAGCAUCUGACAUUUGAUAAGGCAUGAGAUCCUGUUAUUGGUUUCCGGGAAGAGGAUGCGUUCAUAAAUUUUGGCAUGCGGUGCUGGACUUGCCCACAUGGCUGUAGUACAAUUAGAAACAACCAAAUAGUUGUGCUUGCUUCAUUACUUGGUUCAAUACAGCGCUGGCCUGCACAGCACAUAGUCUGAUUGACAUGGCUUUGAUUUGUUAUCCCAUCAUUGUUAUUGCAGAGAUGUAGACAUGGAACAUCACUAAUGGCAAAAAAUAAUAUUCCCAGGAUUGAUAGGACCAAGAAUUCAGUAGAGUUCUAAUUUUUAUGAUGUACACAUGGUAUUGUUGUGUCAAAAAAUAGCAUGACUGAUUAAUUCCUCGGCACAUUAGGCAUCAUAGUAUGAUUCAGUAUGAUGUGACGUUUAGAUUUCACCAAGAAGAGGCUACAAAGGAGAAUGGUCAGUUAACUUUAUUUCUUUUGAUGAAGGAAUAGAGCGAUUUCACUAGAGAUUCAAUCGACAAUAGUUAAUUUGCUUCGGGAUACAUGUUGUGUGUGGCCUUAAAUAUUUUAUUCCAAGUUUUAUGGGGCUACUGCAGUGUUCAUGUAUCUAAGAGUUUUCUCUAUUAUUCGUGUGAGCACACUUGGCAUCCUAUGUUUGAAUACAAACUCUCAUAUUUCUGUUCAGUUUGUUUCUCCCAUUAAGAAAAAAUAGCAUAUGCAUGGACUUGGCUAUCUUACAAUGAUUUUCUGCACCUUUUUGUAGACACCCAGAGGGGAGAUCAGUGCUACAUUUGAGUUGUCUAAUAAGAGCAACGGGUGCAAGCAUGUCUUGAUUUGCCAUCAUGUUGCGACUUUCAGAGUAGUAACUGAUUUACAACAAUGCUAAUGUCAUGAUUCCAUGCUUUGAACAGGAGAAGGUGACAGAUGUACAACACAGGCUCAGUUGUACAAUAACUUUGGCCAUCUCUAACUUUGCAUCGACAUGCAGUAACAAUAAAAAUAAUUAAUGUUAUACUACAGAUCAGCAUAACAAACCCUAGCAACAAUAAGGUUAUGUCACUUAUACAUUAGUUGGACAGUAUCACCUUGGGUGUGCUUUAGUCCUCAAGUUAGCAUCUGUACUUGCAGUUUUUCAUUGUCUUGCCUUGAUUUACUUCAUGUUGGGCAUCUUCUGGUAAAACAAGUAAUUUAUUUUAUAAUGUGUACAUACUUUCUAAACAUGAUAUCAGGUGAUAUGAUUAUACAAGUUUGAGUGUGACCAUACUUUUUUUGAGUUGUAUGUCAGCCACUAAUUUUAACACCCAAUACCAUACUAUUAUUCAACUUCGUAGUUUCUCUUAUUCUCUUUAUCAUCACGUAUGUGCUAUAAUUCCCACAGCAACGCACGGGGCAUCAUCUAGUUGCUUGAUAAUAUCAUGGCAAAAUAUUCACAAUGGCAUACCGAAAGGGCUCCUACUAGUAAAAAAGUUAAUUCGGUUGAAGAAAUUUCUUCUUUGAGUGAAAAAUUUAAUGCUCUUAUGAAAUUGGUUGCUAGUAAAAGUGCUCCUGUUGAUUUUAAUGAUAUGCCUUUGUCUACUUUGAUUGAGCAAAAUAGUGAUGCCAUAGAUGUGAAUUUUAUUUCUCGCAAUAAUUUCAAUAAUAAUGCUUAUAGAGGUAAUUUUAAUCCUAGGCAUUUUCCUAGUAAUUCCUCUAAUAAUUAUGUUAAUUCAUAUGGAAAUCAAUCUUACAAUAAUAAUAGGAACACCUCUGAUCUUGAGAAUAAUAUUAAAGAGUUUAUCAACACGCAAAAAGUUUUCAACACUUCCAUAGAAGAAAAAUUGAAUAAGAUUGAUGAUUUGUCUAGAAGUGUUGAUAGAAUUGCUCAUGAUGUGUAAAAUCUCAAGAUGAAAAUUUUUGUGCCUAUAGUGGAUGAAUCAAUUAAAGCUCUUUAUGUUUCUAUGUAUGAAAGUAAUAAAAGAGCUGCUAUGCUUAGAGCUAAAAGAGAAUUUUUAGAAAAAGCGCUUUCUAGUGAUUUCUUUCGCAAAAGUGAUGAAGAUCUUAAAAUGAUUGGUGUUUCUUCUAUUGAUUCCUUGUUUAGUAAAAAUAAGAUUGAUGGAAAAGGGACUGGAGAAAAGUCAACUUUAGGUAUAAGGCGUCCCAAUAUUUCGGAGGGUGAAAAUCUUGUUGAGAAAAUUGAUAAAAGUGGGUUUGAAGAGGUCAAAACUUUAACUAGUGAUGUGCUCACUCUUUUGGAUUACAAAGACUUUAACUAUGAUAGUUGCUAUUUGAUUUAUUUGUUGCAAUCCAUGAUAAAUUCACCCCAUGCUUAUGAACAAAAUAAAGCUUUUACUAAACAUAUUGUUGAUGCCAUGAUGAAACCUUUUGAAGAAAAAUUGGAAUUGCAAGUUUUGAUUCCUAGAAAAUUGCAUGAUGAAUGGGAACCUACUAUCAAAGUCAAUAUUUAAAUGUAUGAUUGUUUUGCUUUGUGCGACUUGGGUGCUAGUGUUUCUACAAUUCCGAAAUCUUUAUGUGAUGUGCUUGGUCUUACCGAUAUUUAAGAAUGCUCUUUAAAUUUGCAUUUAGUGGAUUCUACUAUUAAAAAUACUAUGGCAAGAAUUAAUGAUGUUAUUAUUCUUGCAAAUAGAAAUUAUGUGCCCAUAGAUUUUAUUGUUCUUGAUAUUGAUUGCAAUCCGUCUUGUCCAAUUAUUCUUGGUAGACCGUUUUUACGCACUAUCGGUGUAGUGAUUGAUAUGAAAGAAGGCAAUAUUAAGUUCCAAUUUCCUUUGAGGAAGGGUAUGGAACACUUUCCUAGAACAAGAAUUAAGCCACCAUAUGAAUCAAUCAUGAGGGUAUCUUAUGGAUCUAGCACCAAAUAUGACAAAACUUAGAUUCUUGCUUUACGCCUAGCUAAGGGCGUAAAACUAUAGCGCUUGUUGGGAGGCAACCCAAUGAAUAAAAUUUAUUUUUGAUUUUUUCUUUAUUUUAUUGAGUGUUAGAACAAUUAUGCUAUUGUUAUGAUUGUGUUUUUUGUGUUUUAAUUAGUGUUUGUGCCAAGUAAAGCCUUUAGGAUCUUCUGGGGUGAUAGUUGUUUGAUCUUGCUGAAAAAGACAGAAACUUUGUGCUCGCGAAAAUAAUUAUCAUAAAUCACAGAAAAGAUAUUUUGCCCUGAUUCUUUUUGCAUAAGAUUAAUAUAAAAUUUAUUAUGGUCUUCCUAAUUUAGUAGAACUUUUGGAGUUACACAAGUAUUCGAAAGUUCCAUAUUACUACAGAUUGUUCUGUUUUGACAGAUUCUGUUUUCUUUUUGUGUGUGCUUAUUUUGAUGGCUCUAUGGUUUUCUUUGAUGAGUUUUUGCCAUAGAAAAGUUGGAAUACAAUAGAUAUAAUACAGAAAAAAAUAAAAAUUGGUUUGACACAGCACUUAUAGUAGUGGUUUGCUUUCUUUUACUAAUGGAUCUCACAAGGGUUUUGUUGAGUUUUGUGUGAUUGAAGUUUUCAAGUUCUGGGUUAUCUUACGAUGGAUGAAAGAAGGAUAGAAGAGCCUAAGCUUGGGGAUACCCCGGAAUCCCAAGCUAUUAUACAAGAAUGAGCAACCAGCUAAGCUUGGGGAUGCCCCCGAGUGGCAUCCCCUCUUUCUUCUAACGACCAUCGGUAUUUUACUCGAGACUAUAUUUUUAUUCGUCACAUGAUAUGUGUUUUGCUUGGAGCAUCUUGUAUGAUAUGUGUCUUUGCUUGUUUUAUUUUUUGCUUUAAUUCAUCAAUCCUUGCUGUACAUACCUAUUUGAGAGAGCCAAAAUUAUUCCAUGACUUGUUAGAAUUGCUCUCUAUGCUUCACUUAAAUUUUUAUGAGCAAUGGACUUGCUCUAGUGCUUCACUUAUAUCUUUUUUACCACGAUGUGCUUAGUAUUUUUGAACAAAUGCUCUCUUGCUUCACUUAUAUCUAUUUGAGAGUUAGUAAAAAUUUUAAGAAAUUCUCUCUUGCUUCACUUAAAUUAUUUUGAGAGAAAGAAAAUAUGUUAUGCUCAUGAUCAUCACUUAUAUUUGUUUGAGCUUAUGAAAAGAAACACAUGAAAAUUAGUCCCAAAUUGAUAGAUAUCCAAGAAGAUUAAAGAAAAAAGAUAUGUCAUGAAGAUCAUUGGACAAAAUAAACUUGAUUCUUAGUAGUACUUUUGAGAUAUGAUGAUGUGAUAUGUGAGUCAUGUUGGUGAGUAAUUGUGCUCUAGUAAGAAUAUUGGUGUUAAGGUUUGUGAUUCCCUAUGCAUGCAUGAAAGUCAAUAAUCAUGCAAUGAAAAUUAUGUCCUACUUGUGGUGCAUUAUUCGGUGUUAAUUAUACUUAAUGCUUGCUUAUGAGAUUAUUCGUUUCUUGGUUGGUCGCUUCUCAAUCUUUUUGCUAGCCUUCAUUUUGCACCAAGUAUGACAUCUACUUGUGCAUCCAAAAUCCUUUAAACCAGUUUUGCCACAUGAGUCCACUAUAUCUACCUAUAUGUGGUAUUUUUUAAGUUCUAAGCAAAUUUGCAUGUGCCAUCUCUAAUUUUCAAAAUGAACUUAUCUUUUGUGUGUUUGUUUCGCUUAUGGAACGGUAAUGGGUAGCUAAUAAUUUCCAUGCUAGAUGUGUUAUUCUCACGAUGAGUGUUUAUUCACUUGUCAUUGCACGAGAGUAAGGCAAAGGCUUUAGGGAUGCCCAGUCCCGAAAUGCAAAAAUGAAUUUACUUUAUGUUAUCAAAUAAUAAAUUCCUUGGAAAGUGUUGGUAUGGAGGGCACCCGUGGAUAUAUCUGGCCAUGGGUCGGGCCGGGCCUAAAAAAGCCCACAGCAAAAAACUAAGGCCCAUGCCCUCCCAGGCCCUACCAUCGGGCCUACUUUUAAAGUUCAAGCCUUACCCAUCUGGUAAAAAGCCCUGAAAAGCCCUUAGGGCUUAGGGCUGUGGGCCGGGCCUCUUCCUUAAAAUGCCAAUAUGCCAAGCCCAAGCCUGUCCAGGCCCUGCUGGUGGGAUCAAAACUUAGGCCCAAGCCUGGCCCACGGGCAAGCCCAUCGGGCCUAGGCCUUGGAUUUUAGGGUUGGGCCUGGGUGGGCCGACAGGGCCGGGCUUGAGAUGGCCAAGACUACCCGUGGAUACGGCUAGCCAUGGAAAGUGAAAGUUAUGGUGGAAAAAGAAGUAAACUUUAUUUUCUAUUUGGGAUCCGCCUAUGAUAUAUCUAGCAUGGAAAGUGUUGGGAUGCUCCAAGUCGUUUUUGUUGGUGGGAUGGAUACACCUCCCAAAAUGUUUUUAUUUCUAUUUUUUUUUGCUUUGAGCUCUGGCACCUCUACAAAUCACUACUUCCCUCUGCAAAGGGCCUUUCUUUUACUCUAUGCAAUUUUGAUUUUUGAAAUUGGGUCUCCAUUCUCUCUUAUAAAAGCACCAACUAGGGGACAAUAUGAUCGUACUUAAGUAUUGGGUGUAGCUAAUAUUUGAGUGUGUUUCAUGAAUGGAUCAAUGUUUGAGCAUGACGGGCUAGGGAUAACUUGUUUUAGCAUUGAUAUUUUGAAAGACAUGGUUGUUUGUUGAUAUGCUUGAGUAUCUAAAUUAUUAUGUCAAAACUAGACUAUUGCUUUGGAUCACAUAAAAGUCCAAAUGUCCAUGCUAUGAAGAGAAGAAUAUGAUAUGACAUGAUAAACAACACUCCACAUCAAAAAUUCUGUUUUAUCACUUACCUACUCGAGGACGAGCAGGAGUUAAUCUUGGGGGUGCUGAUAUGUCUCUAACUUAUUUAUAAUUUUUUAUUAUUCCAUGUUGUUUGAUUAUCAAACUUGGAUGUUUUGUAAUCAUUAUAUAGUCAUUUUAUAUCAUUUUUUGGUACUAACCUAUUGACAUAGUGCCAAGUGCCAGUUGUUAUUUUUUGCUUGUUUUUUACAUCACAAGAAAUCAAUAUCAGAAGGAGUCACAAUGCCACACCAAUUUAUGAUGUUUUUUUAUGGGCCAGAAGGAACACAACGGGCCCUGGUUGCACCUGGGGGAGUCCCGGGGAGGGGAGAACCCACCAGGGCGCGCUAGGAGGCCCAGGCGCACCCAGGUGGGUUGUGCCCACCUUGGGUGCCCCCUAGACCAAAUCUUUGCUCUAUAAAUACCCCAAUAUUCCAGAAACACUAGUCGACGAAACUUUUGUCUAGCCGCUGCAGAGUCCAAAACCACGAGAUCCAAUCUAGACACCAUCACGGAGGGGUUCACCACUUCCAUUGGUGCCUCUCCGAUGAUGUGUGAGUAGUUCUUUAUAGACCUUCGGGUCCAUAGUUAGUAGCUAGAUGGAUUCCUCUCUCUCUCUCUCUCUCUCUCUUGAUUAUCAAUAAAAUGGUCUCUUGGAGAUCCAUAUGAUGUAAGUCUUUUUGCGGUGUGUUUGUUGGGAUCUGAUGAACUUCGAGUUUAUGAUCACUUAUAUCCUUUUAUAUCCAUGAAAGUUAUUCGAGUUCUUUGAUCUCUUAUAUGCAUGAUCUCUUAUAGCCUCGUAUUUCUUCUCUGAUAUUUGGAUUUUGUUUGGCUAACUUGGUCUAUUUAUCUUACAAUGGGAAGAGGUGCCCGGUAGUGGGUUCGAUCUUACGGUGCUUGAUCCCAGUGACAGAAAGGGAACUGACACGUAUGUAUCAUUGCUACUAAGGAUAAAAAUACGGGAUCCAUAUCUUCCACAAUAGAUAAAUGGAUCUUGUCUACAUCAUGUCAUCGUUCUUAUUGCAUUACUCCGUUUUUCCAUGAACUUAAUACACUAGAUGCAUGCUGGAUAGCGGUCGAUGUGUGGAGUAAUAGUAGUAGAUGCAGGCAGGAGUCAGUAUACUAAUCUUGGACGUGAUGCCUAUGUAAUGAUCAUUGCAUGUAUAUCGUCAUGAUUAUUUGAAGUUUUAUCAAUUGCCCAACAGUAAUUUGUUCACCCACCGUUUGCUAUUUUUCUCUAGAGAAGCCACUAGUGAAACCUACGACCCCCGAGUCUUCUUUCUGUUAUAUUUGCCUUGAGAUCUACUUUUUCCUUGCGUUUAUUUUUAGAUCUAUUAAACCAAAAAAUACAAAAAUACCUUGCUGCAAUUUAUUUGUUCCGCAAUCUAUUUAUCCCAUCUACAGAUUUACCUCACGUCCUUUGCCUAUCUUGAGGCGCCGUACCCCGAAAGGGAUUGAAAACCACUUUAACAUGUCGGGUUGCGAGGUGUUGUUCUUUGUGUGCAGGGGAUGUUUACAUUGUGUUGCUUGGUUCUCCUACUGGUUUGAUAACCUUGGUUUCAUAUCUGAGGGAAAUACCUACCACCGUUGUGCUGCAUCAUCCCUUCCUCUUUGGGGAAAUACCGAUGUAGCUUCAAGCGACAUCAAUAACUUCUAUCACCGUUGAGAGUGGUGUGUAUGAGGCUCAGGUCAGGAGCAGAAAGUGUACUACAAUCCUGUUUGCCUACAAUACAUUUUCCAUUAAAUAAUGCAAAGUACUAAAUUGCAGGAAAAUGUAUGCUCUUUACUCUACCUUGCAUCACUCCCCUAGUUUCAUCAUAGCAUAGACUAGUCUAGAAUAUUUCAAACUCAGACCUCGGUGGUUCAUCAAGCGAACCCCAGAAUGGGAUUUUGCAUAGGUGAGCAAACCUUUCUAGAGAUAUGGUAAAUGGAUUUUUAUACAGUUUAAAUGACAUCCUAGACUCACAGGGAAGGAAUUUAAAUCCUUUGACAAAUGAUUCAUUGAGGAUGAGGUGUUGGUCACACUUAUCUGAAAUGUAGAGACCAAGAUCGGCACUGUGAACAUAUUGCUCAAAUUCCUCCUUAAUGCCCACACUCAUCAUAUAAUCGUUGCACAUCCAUAAGCAUGUUUUGGUGGUGGCACUUCGAAUAGAACUCUCACUUGGUUCAACAUAAGACCGACAAGCGGAGCUGCUGCUAGAAGAUGCCUCCGAGGAUCUCCUCCUCGAAGAACUCCUUCCAAAUAAAUUCAUAAUGUUCGCAUACAAUUUUUUGAAAACUUUUUGUCGCAAAAAGUCAUUAACAAAAAUUCAUAAGAAUGGUAGCAACUACUCAUAGGGAAGCAUAGAGGCCAUAGCAAUCAUUCAAACUACUUAGAACUCUAAGAAUUCAACAUGCAAGCUCAUCUACAGCAGCACCAAGAGUAGCUAAUUAUUCCAAAUAUGAACCACUAAAACAAAAAAUAAUUGGACACAUGGAGGAGUCACAUACCAAGCAACAAAUUCCUGAAACAGUUUCAGAAAUUGAGCUUCGAACAAGAGCUCGAGAUCAGCGGUUUCGGGAGCAAGAACACGAGAGAGAGUGCAAUGGUGAUUUUUUUUCUGGGUGAAUGUGAUGAUGUGAGAAGAAGAAGUAAGUGAGGGGGGCCACGUGGGGACCACAACCCACCAGGGCACGUGUGGGAGUCCUGGCGCGCCCAGGUGGGUUGUGCCCACCUCGUGCACCUCCCUCUGAUAUUAUUUGCACCAGAAAUUCUUAAAUAUUCAGAAAAAAUCGUAUUAUAUUUUCAGGGCAUUCUAAGAACUUUUAUUUUUGGGUCAUUUUUUAUUGCAUGGAAAACUCAAAAAACAGACAAAGCAUGGCAUUUUAUUUUAUUUAACUAAGAAAAAUAGAAAACAAAAGGUAGGGACAAAAGGUAGUGCUUACUAAAUUCAUCAACUUCAUACCUCUCAAAAAUGAUCCAUUAAUAAGGUUGAUCAAGUCUUAUUAACAACCACUUUCGAUUAAUACGAAACCGAAGAACUUUCAUAAAUUACUAAGUUACCUCAAUGGGGAUACGAAUGCCCCCAACAAUAAGCAUUUCAUAUUUCUUUUUAACAGUAGGUAGAGGUAGUUGAAAACUUCCAAUAGUGAUUGUCGGAGAUUUUUCAAUGACAUUAAUACCAUUCACUUGGAAUUGUUUCUUCGGAAAGUGCACAGUAUGCUCAUUACCAUUGAUAUGAAAAGUAACCUUGCUUUUAUUGCAAUCAAUAACAGCCCCUGCAGUAUUCUAGAAGGGUCUACCAAGGAUAAUCGACAUGUUGUCUUCCUCGGGCAUCUCAAGUAUAACAAAGUCAUUCAAAACAGUAACAUUAGCAACAACAAUGGGCACAUCCUCACAAAUACCGAUAGGUAUGACAGUUGAUUUGCCAGCCAUUUGCAAAGAUAUUUUAGUAGGUGUGAGUUUAUUCAAAUCAAGUCUUUUAUAUAAAGAGAAAGGCAUAACGCUAACACCAACCCCCAAAUCACAUAAAGCAGUUUUCACAUAGUUUCUUUUGAUGGAGCAAGGUAUAGUUGGUAUUCCCAUAUCUCCAAGUUUUUAGGUACUCCAUCUUUAAAAGUGUAAUUAGCAAGCAUAGUGGAGAUUUCAGCUUCCAGUAUUUUUCUCUUAUUGGUGAUGAUGCCUUUCAUGUACUUUACAUAAGGAGGCAUUUUUAAGAUAUCAGUCAAGCGAGUACACAAAAAGAGUGGCCUAAUCAUUUCAGCAAAGCGUUCAAAUUCUUCAUCAUUUUUAUUUUAGUUGACUUAGGUGGAAAGGGCAUAGGCUUUUGAACCCAUGGUUCUCUUUCCUUUCCAUGUUUUCUAGCAACAAAGUCUCUUUUAUCAUAUCUUUUAUUCUUUGGUUGUGGGUUAUAAAGAUCAACAGUUGGUUCUAUCUCGACAUCAUUAUCUGGUUCUUUGUUAUUUGUUUGAGUGUCUUCAUGAACCUCACCAUUGUCUUUUUCAUUAUCAGAAGUUGGGUGUUCAUUACCAGAUUGAGUUUCAGCACCAGAGAUAAAAACUUCAUUAUCAUUAUCAGGAGGUUUCUCUACUUUAGGUUCACUAGAGGCAGGCAAAGUCCUAUUGUUUUUCUUCUUCUUUUUCUUUUUAGAAGGACUCGGUGCAUCAGUGUUAAUUCUUUGAGAGUCUUGUUCAAUUCUCUUUGGGUGACCCUCAGGAUAGAGUGGUUCCUGAGUCAUUUUACCUCCUCUAGUUGCUACUCUAAUAGAAAAGUCACUUAUAUUAUUGUUCAUUUCAUCAAGUAACUCCAUUUGAGAUUUAGCAACUUGUUCUAAUUGAGUUUGAACCAUAGAGGCAUGCUUUCCUACACCUCUAACAUAAUUUGAAAUUCUAAAUAACAAGUCACUUAAGCAAGCAAUCAUAUCAGAGUUGUAUUUCAAUUGUUUCAUCACAUUUGCAUUGAAGUGAUCUUGCUUUCUAAUGUAAUUAUCAAACUCAUAAAGGCAUUGACUAGGAUGUUUAGUACGAGGAUCAUCACUAUCAUUGAAUUUCAUUAAAUAUUUUACCUCUACCACCUUAGGUGGUGGUGGUGCUUCAAGCCCAUGUAUUUCUUCAAUAGGUGGUUAAUUUUUAACAUCCUCUUCUUUAAUAUCUUUUUCCUUCAUAGAUUUAUUUGCCUCUUGCAUAUCUUCAGGACUGAGAUAUAAGAUACCCAUGUUCUUCGGAGUGGGUUUAAUAGGUGUUUAAGGAGGAGUCCAAUCAUCAUAAUUUUUCAAUAUGUUAUUCAAUAAUUCUUCAGUUUGCCCAAUAGUUCGUUCCCUGAAAACACAACCAGCACAACUAUCUAGGAAAUCCCUAGAAGCCUCAGUUAGUCCAUUGUAGAAGAUAUCAAGUAUUUCAUUCUUCUUAAGAGGAUGAUCAGGCAAAGCAUUAAGCAAUUGGAGAAGCCUCCCCCAAGCUUGUGGGAGACUCUCUUCUUUAAUUUGCGCAAAGUUAAAUAUUUCCUACAAGGCAGCUUGUUUCUUAUGAGCAGGGAAAUAUUUUUCAGAGAAGUAAUAAAUCAUAUCCUAGGGACUACGCACACAACCAGGAGCAAGAGUAUUGUACCAAGCUUUAGUGUCACCCAUUAAUGAGAACAGAAAUAACUUGAGAAUAUAAUAGUAGCGAAUCUUCUCAUCAUGAGCAAAAAGGGUGGCUAUAUCAUUCAACUUAGUAAGAUGUGCCACAACAGUUUCAGUUUCACAACCAUGGAAAGGAUCAGAUUCGACCAAUGUAAUUAACUCUGGGUUGAGAGAGAAUUCAUAAUCCUUAUCAUCAAUAAAAAAAUAGGUGAAGUAGUAAACUCAGGAUCACAUUUCAUUUUUUAGCAUUCGAAGAUAUUUCUUUAUACUUGCAUAAUAAAUUUUCUAGAUCAUCUCUAUCCUUACAAGCAAGAAUAUCUCUAGUUGCCUCCUCACUCAUAGUAUAACCUUCCGGUACCUUUGGCAAUUCAUAUAUAGGAGGAGUAGUUCUAAUAGGUGUUUCAAGAUUUUCAGUUUCAAGUUCAUCAUCAGAUUCAACAAUAUCAUGUUGUCCUACUCUAGCAAUCUGUUCAUCAAGAAAUUCACCUAGUGGCACAUCAUCAUCAAGCAAGGUACUAGCAUCAUCAUGAGUAGCAUUCAUAUCAGAAGUAGCAUCAUCAGUAACUUGCGACAUAUCAGAAUUAAUAGCAUGUGGUGGUGUUGCAAGUUUACUUAUAACAAAAGGUGAAUCUAAAGCAGAGCUGGAUGGAAGUUCCUUACCUCCCCUCGUCUUUGAGGGAAAAAUCUUAUUCUUAGCAUCCUUCGGAUUCUUCAUAGUGAUAAUAUGAUAAUAAUCCCAAGUGACUCAACAAAUAUAGCUAUGAUCCCUGGCAAUGGCGCUAGAAAAUGGUCUUGAUAAUCCAUAAGUAUAGGGGAUUGCAACAGUUUUCGAGGGUAGAGUAUUCAACCCAAUUUAUAGAUUCCACACAAGGGGAGCCAAAGAAUAUCUGAAGGUAUUAGCAGCUGAGUUGUCAAUUCAACCACACCUGGAGAUUAAUUAUCUGUAGCAAAGUGAUUAGUAGCACAGUAAUAUGAUGGUUUUGACGAUAGUAGCAGCAGCAAUAGUAACAGUAAUAGUGAUAGUAGUGAUUUUGUAGUAGUAACGAUAGCAGUAGUAACUUUGCAAGAACAAUAUAAGGUAAAUUCAUAGGCAUUGGAUCAGUGACUCGUUGGAUGAUAUUCAUCAUGAGACAGUUAUAACCUAGGGCGAUACGGCACUAGCUCCAGUUCAUAAAUAUAAUGUAGGCAUGCAUUUCGUAAAUAGUCAUGUGUGCUUAUGGAAAGAACUUGCAUGACAUCUUUUGUCCUACCCUCCCAUGGCAGCGGGGUCCUAUUGGAAACUAAGGGAUAUUAAGACAUCCUUUUAAUAUAGAACCGGAACAAAGCAUUAACGCAUGGUGAAUGCAUGAACUCCUCAAACUACGAUCAUCACCGGGAGUGGUCCCAACUAUUGUCACUCCAGGACUACCAGAUCAUAACGCAUAGUAGGUGACUAUAACUUGCAAGAUUGGAUCUAGAAUAUGGAUAUAAUGGUGAUAACAUAAACAGUUCAGAUCUGAAAUCAUGGCACCCAGGCCCAAAGUGACAAGCAUUAAGCAUGACAAAGUCAUAGCAACAUCAAUCUCAGAACAUAGUGGAUACUAGGGAUCGGGCCCUAACAAAACUAACUCAAUUACAUGAUGAAUCUCAUCCAACUCAUCACUGACCAGCGAGCCUACGAAGGAAUUACUCACUCGCGGUGGGGAGCAUCAUGGAAUUGGUAAUGGAGAUGUGUUGGUGAUGACAAAGAUCGAAGACCCCCCUCUCCGGAGCCCCAAACGUACUCCAGAUCUGGCCUCCCGAUGAAGAACAAGAGACAACAGCGGCUCCAUCUGGUGAAAUGCGAUAAUUCUUUCUCCCUGAUUUUUUCUAAAAAUAUGUGAUUUUAUAGCGUCGGUUUUAGGGUCAUCGGGGCCACCAGGUGGGGACAACCCACCGGGGCGCGCCCGUAGGGGGGGGGACGCAGGCGCACCCUAGUGGGUUGUGUCCACCCAGGUGCCCCCCUCAGGUGGCUCUUGGCUCUAGCAAUUCUCUUUAUUGAUAUAAAAAAUCCUCGCAAAGUUUCGUUCCAUUCCGAGAACUUUUAUUUUUGCACAAAAACAACACCAUGGUAGUUCUGCUGAAAACAGCGUCAGUCCGGGGUUAGUUUCAUUCAAAUCAUGCAAAUUAGAGUCCAAAACACGAGGAAAAGUGUUAGGAAAAGUAUAUACGACGGAGACGUAUCAGUGGUGCGUCUGAUAGCUGAGAGGGGGAAAGAGAUACUCCAUCCGCUCGAUAAUGUAGUGCAUAUAAAUUUUUUAGAAGUCAAACUUUGGAAACUUUGACCACAUUUACACAAAUUUUAUUUAUAUAUACAAUAAUAAAGAUACAUCAUACGCAACUACAUCUCAUGAUGAAUCUAAUGAUAUAUGUUUGUCGUUCUAGAUGUAAAUGUUUUUCUCCAUGUACAUGGUCAAACUUUGUGAUGUUUGACUUUUCAAUAAAUCUAUAUGCUAUGGACCAAAAAGAGUGCCUAAGUCGAGAGAGAUCAAGUGCGUGUGAAGGAGAAUGAGGGAGUGUGCAAAAAGAGUGUGUGUGUGUGUGUGUGUGUGUGAAAGAGAAAGGGACAACAAACGAUAAAUUAGAGAGAGAGUGUGUGUUCGUUUCUUAUGCAAACAUAUCACGCAUGCAUCUUCGAGAUAGAAAAGCGAGGUGAGGAGAUACAUGAAGAUAGCUAGUGCGUGAUUGUUUGCAACGGAGAGAGACACCCUUAUAGCACAUAUCCAAUAGAGGUCUAGCCAACAAGGGACAAAGGUCGAUACAGACGCAUAGAGAAGAUGGGUGCAUGGGGAGGGAGAGAGGGUGUGUUUGUGAUAGAGAGACCCCCUCAAGAUCAUGAGGGGACUAUAUGGGUGGGAGAUCGAGGGACGAAGUGCGUGUGCGAUAGACAGAUGCCCCGAGAGAAAUUGAGAGAAUACCACGCACAUGUUUGGGAUGGAGACUAAGAAUUAGCUAGUCAUAUACAUAUAGGGGGGACUGCAUGUGCCUACAAUUGAGUGAGAGACCAUCAUACUUGGCUAGGCAUGAGAUUGUGUGUGUGUGCAUGUGAGAUGGAGAGAUAAUGAGGGAGAGAGAGAGAGAGAGUUUUAGAUGGGUCUAUUGAGUGCGAGUGAGAUACGCAUGUGUAUGUGUGACCCAGGGAGAUGGAGAGUUUGAGAGAGAGAGAGAGAGAGAGAGAGGGAAGAGCUCCGAGAUGGCAGAGUGGUGCGUGAGAGAGUUACAUGCAAUGAGUCAGGGAAUUUGUGUGCGUACGAUGAGUGCACCCAAGAUAUUCAGCUUGGACUAGAGAAUCAUAUAUAGUGUGCCAGAGAGACCUAUACAUGGAGUGUGCAUGCGAACUAGAAAGACCCCCUCCCCCCCCACCCACCCACACACAGAGAGAAAUAGAUAGAGGGAGAGGGAGAGAGAGAGANNNNNNNNNNNNNNNNNNNNNNNNNNNNNNNNNNNNNNNNNNNNNNNNNNNNNNNNNNNNNNNNNNNNNNNNNNNNNNNNNNNNNNNNNNNNNNNNNNNNNNNNNNNNNNNNNNNNNNNNNNNNNNNNNNNNNNNNNNNNNNNNNNNNNNNNNNNNNNNNNNNNNNNNNNNNNNNNNNNNNNNNNNNNNNNNNNNNNNNNNNNNNNNNNNNNNNNNNNNNNNNNNNNNNNNNNNNNNNNNNNNNNNNNNNNNNNNNNNNNNNNNNNNNNNNNNNNNNNNNNNNNNNNNNNNNNNNNNNNNNNNNNAGGUUUGUGUUUGGAUGCGUGCAAUAGAAUUGAAGAUUGUCGGCGAGAGAGAGAACAUGAGUCUGGGAGAGGGGGAGGUCACGUUUAUGCAUGAAAGACUGAUAUAAACCAUGUUCCGGUAUAAAUUUGCAUUGAAAUAUUUGAAUUGGAGAACAUGUUGUCUGCAAUCCACACAUGAACGGAGAUAUGCGUAUCAAACAAGUUCAUUAAUUUGACUUCCAACAUGUUCGUGGAGUACUAUGAUACUGUACAACAUGCUACUCGAUUGAGGUGUUCAAUUUUGGAUUUAGUUCACUAUUUUGACCUGGUGAAUGAGCUAUUUCAUUGAAUCGAGAUAUUUCAUUUGGGGUCUGAUUCCCGUUUUGAGUGGGUCAACUAUUUGUCAUAUAGUAAAUCGUUAGCGAUGAUCAUGUAAAAACACAUUAGUCCCAAGCAUCAUCUCACCAUCUAAAAAAGAAGUGGCAAGCUAAUAUUUCAAACUUUUAUUUGAAUCUACUUGGUAAGGUAGACGUGGAUGCUCGUUCUUCCAAAAUUUGAACGAACCGCUAAACACCCUCUGCUCAGUGGAAUUCGCUCGAGCAAAUAAAUGGGAGACGCGAAAUUACCAGCCUAUGUGUGACACACAUCAAUUGGCACGUUGUACAUCGAGGGUAGGUUCGUAACUUCAUCCAAGCGCGCCUUCUCCUCGGCCGAAAUGACAAGUGCCGAAUAAUUCAUAAACCAUGGGCAGCAAACACCCUCUCAUCGCCCGAAAUCGCUCGCGCCGACUAUUUCAAAACACGCCCUCCUCGCCCGAAAUCGCUCGCGCCCACUAUUUCAAAACAUGCCCUCCUCGCCCGAAAUCGCUCGCGCCCACUAUUUGGGAGAAGAAAAGUUACUCUACUAUCCCCGACCCUCAGUACACAGACCCAAGCCCAGAAUCCUAAAGGCAGUGGUAGAACUGUAACCCCCCCCACACACACACACACACUUCAGACAAAUGCGUCCGUAAGACAUGGUUCCCCCUCCCAAUUCCCCAUUCAUACCUCGCGGACGCAGAGGCACCUUCUCCCCGGAAGCUCCCUUCUCCCCAGCCGCGAAACCUCAGUCCCUCUGCCGGCGUUCUGGAUAUGGGGGUAUCCAGACUUGCCUGCCUGCGGCCCACCACGUGGCUCCAUCAACGGCCUGGUACGGCCUGGCUUCAGCAUCAACAACUCAGGACCCUCGCGAGGGGCCAAGCCUCACGAGGAGGACGACACCAAGACCCCUAAGGGGAUCGGCCUCUUCAGGCUAGCGCCCGAGGGGCGGAGAGUUCUAUGCAAGGUGCACCUCACGAGGCUCAGGUGACGUGAGCCAUGACGACCAAGGCCAGGCGGGCGCCAAUCGGGUGCCAGCGGGCGCAGAGCGCCAGUUUCUUCUUUGGUGCAAGGGAGGCGAGCCACAGGCGCGGAGUCCCGAGGAAUCAGUGAAAGGUUUCCAUUCUGGUGCAAUGAGACCAAGACCACUAGGACGGCAGGACGGAGGUCAUCACCAAGCCCAGCGCAACAUCACGACUAGGGGCUUUUCGCAGCCGAAGACCACUUUAGUCAGGAUAAGUUGUACUACUUGUCCCCUUUCAAAUCCGGUUGUUGUGGGAUCCCUUCCGCCAACAUUUUGGAAGAGGACCAAGGCCACUAUAAAUAGGACUUAGCCACCAUCAUAGAUCGGGGAGAACGGGAUCUGAUUCUGAGAGGAUUCACCCACACCCACCCACCUCACCAGCUCUCUUGAGCUCAAGAACACCUCACCUCCUGAGGCCAGUUCAUCCUCUGUACUAGUUCAUCCUCAGCCCCUUGCGGCAAUCCACCAAAACGCUAGAGUAGGGUAUUACACCGCAAGGUGGCCCGAACCAGGAUAAACUGUUGUGUCUCUUUGUCUCUUCGAGCUAGUCGCGCUAGGCUUAGGAGGAUCAUGAGUAGGAAGGCUGGGUAGGUUGAGAUCUCCGCACGCACCCUAGAGUUUGAACCUUUCAAGGGUUUGCGGAACCUGUAAUCCGACACCCUCCUCCAUGGCGCCCCCACCGCACCAAAAUUCACCGCCGCCCUCCUCCCCAAUGCUGGAGACGUUGUCCAUUUGUCCUUGUGCACUGGGCCAUGUGCCUCUUACUCCGUGCUGCCGAAGCUGCCUCGACGAGGGUCGCGUGAACCAUACCAGAGCCGAUUCACCCCUGCUAUUGUGCACGACACCGGGGAGGCUCCAACUUUGGAUGCGUCCAGGGCCCCGGCGCUGCUUCCCCGUAGCCGUCAACCGUCGCGACAUCUCUGCUUUCCUGCCGCCAGUAGCCACCACAACCGCGCCGACCUCACCGACUCGGCAGCUGGAGCUGCCUACUCCAUCGAGCCGCAAGAUAGGUCAUACACUCAUCUCAAAUCACUUUAUUUAGGCGUCAGUUGUCUGAAUUUUUAUUCUGGGCCAAUCGAUUCCCAAUGAUAAGCAGCACCCCUUGAGGCGGCGGAGCUCCUAGGCUGUCGGUUGGCUGUUGUCUAACGUAAGGAUGCAGGGGCGCAAGUUCACCAUGGAAGCAGCACUUAUGUGGCUCUCUUAGAGUUGCGUGGCUUGAAGGUACUGUCGCCGUCGGAUUUGGAUGACGGCGAGUCUUUGUCGAUUAGCCGGGGACGGCGCAACCACAACAGUCCAGUGGGGCGAGGAGUAGGGUUUUGGUCGGAGCUCUCGCGGCCAAGGACGAUGGAGGCAGGCUGCUCUGUCGGUGGUCACUGUCGGCAUUCUAGGAACGGGGGUCCCCAGACUUGCGUGCCUGCGGCCUGUGGCGUGGCUCAAGCAGUGGUCCAGUGCGGCCCACCUUCAUCAGCUCAAGCUCAAGACCCUCGCGAGGGGCCAAUCCUCGCGGGGCGGACGACAUGAAGCUUCCUCAGGAGCAGCCUCGUCAGGAUAGCUCGCGAGGAGGCGGAGAGAUCAAGGCAGGGGUACCUCGCGAGGUGCCCGUGAUGCAAGCCAUGACGAUCGAGGCCAGGCAGGCGCCAGGCGGGCACCGGCCUGCGCAGUGUCCUUGUUUCCUCUUUGGUGCAAAGGGAGCAAGCACAUGCCAAGGCAUCAGGCAAAGGCUACCAUUUCGGUGCAACAAGACCAAGACCAGCAGAGCGGCAGGAUGGAGGUCACCAUGGAGCCCAAGCCGGCGUCAUCGUCAGAGUCUUUGGCAGUCGAAAACCAACUUUAGUCAGGAUAAGUGUACUAGAUGUUCCCCUUCAAAAUGGCCAAUUUUUGGUGCCCUUCCCGCUCAAUAUUUGGGAAGAGGACCAGGUCCUCUCUCUAUAUAUAUAGGACUAGCCACCAUAGUAUAGAGGCAUCUGGAAUCGACCCCUCCAAAGGGACAACACCACCACAAGAACAUCCCUCGCGAGGCUGUUCUUCCCUUGUACUGUUCAUCAUCAGCCCCUAAGGCAAUCCACCACACCACAAACUAGAGUAGGGUAUUACACCACAACGGUGGCCCGAACUAGUAUAAACCUUGCGUCCCUUGUGUUGUUCAUUGUGUAGCCUAGAUUCCUUGCGAGGCUUCGAGACGUGAGCCGGUAGGGGAGAGAUCUUCACGCGCACCCCAGAGUUCAAACCUCAAGGGUCUGCCGGAAUCCGAAAUUCGACAUUUGGCGGGCCAGGUAGGGGUGCGCCGGAAUCGUGUCUUCCACCGUCUUACGUUUCGUCGUCCGUCGCGUCCAUGUCUGACGCUCACUGAGCCCGCGCCGAGCGUCGAGCUGCUCUCGCGGCCCAUGUCGCCCAGACGGCCCCCGUCGGCGGGCCUCCCCGUUGUUCCCCGUCGCCUGCCGCCCACGCCGCCACCGGCCCGGCGGGGAACAAGCAGCAGGCGUCGUCGCUGCAUCCCUCGGUGCGGCGGGAAGGCUGCACCGCUACCCCGUCGCUGACUCCAGCAGGCUCGUCGUCGCACGCUCAUCGCGCUCCCGCGGGUGCGCACGCCGCAUUGCUCCUAGCACGUGAGCUCCUGCACUACCGCCUCGUCGACGACCUCUACGAUGAGUGGCUCGCUCGCAUCACCGAGCUCGUCAGUGCCGCAGGGGGCUCCCCCACGCCGUCCCUCUCGCUGCAUCGCCCUCCGUCCUGUGCGGGCAACGCGGCUCCGGAGGCGCCUCUGCCGCCUCCUCCUCAAGAAGGCGUCUUGGCCCCAAGGCGCGCGGCCCCUGGACGAGACCCGCCGUGUCCAGCGCCCGCGCAACAAGAAAAGAGUUGCCAAGAGAUCCCUCGCCCUCAAGAAGGCGCUCGCGUGCUCCCUGCGCUAGCACGUCAUGACCGCACUCCUGCUCCAGCGCGCCAAGACCCCACGCUGCUCCUGGCGGCAGCACGCGGAGACCUCCAAGAUCAAGCCCUUCGUCACCAAAGGCCCCCUGUGGCCACUGCAGGCUGUCGCGCCUUCACCGCCGAGCUAUGCAGCGUGGUCUGGCCGGGCAAGUUCAAGCCAGAUCUGCCUCCUCGCUACGACGGCACUGCCGACCCCGCGGAGUUCCUCCAGCUCUACGAGCUGGGCAUCAAGGCAGCCAACGGGGACGAAAAAGUCAUGGCGAACUAGUUUCCCAUGGCGCUCAAGGAUGGCGCCCGCACCUGGCUCCUAAACCUGCCUCCCAGCACGAUCUUCUCUUGAGACGAGAUGCACACUCGCUUCAUCGCCAACUUCCAAGGCACUCGCGACUGGCCCCCGGCCAUGAGUGGCCUGCGCCGCAUCAAGCAACAGCCAGGAGAGACCCUGCAAAAGUACAUCUAGCACUUCAACAACACCCGCCUCAAGAUCCCCAGGGUGACUGAGGAAGCCAUCAUCUCAACCUUCUCCGAUGUCGUUCGUGACAUCAAGAUGAAGGAAGAGCUAGCAAUCCAUGAGGAUCUGUGCACAUCUCUGGAGCUGUUCAACUUGGCGACCAAGUGCGGCAGGGCUGAGGAAGGGCGCCUCUCCCUCCUCGAGCUUCCAGCUGCUAAUCCGGAAGAGAAGAAGCCCAAGGUCAAGGACGUGAAGCGCAAAGGAGCAGUUGUGCUCGCAACUGAGCCAGAUACCAAGCAAGGCAGGGAUCAGCUGGAGUCAUCCAAGGGCAGCCGUUACUGCGUGUACCACGACCUCCACACCCACAACACCAACGAAUGCCAAGAGCUUAGAGCUGUGCGAGAUGAGCGUAUUGGCCGACACCCCGAGCGCAACGAUUAGGUCUAUGGCCGAGGAGGAGGAAGAGGUGGAGGACGAUGGGAAGACCGUGGCGCUCGCCAAGGGUGGCGUGACUGACCCCGCGAGGACCGCUGGCAGGACCAGCCUCGUGAGGGGGGUUGGAGGGAUCAGCCUCGCGAGGAUCGCCCGCAAGGCAAUGCAUGCCUCUCUCCUCUGCCGCCACCACCAAGGAGGAAUGAAGACCAGCAUCAGGAUGAGGGGCUAGGGGCUUCCAGGAGCCUCACGCAAUCGCUUGCAUCCUGGGCGAAGCUCAAGCCCCGGCCUCUCAACGCAUCUUCAAGUAGUUUGCUCGCGAGGUGAAUGCAGUCCUCCCAAAGCCCGAGGCCUCGUGCCCUCUCAGGUGGUCCACGUGUGCCAUCACGUUCAGUUCAGCGGAUCAACUCAAGUGCGCAGCAACGACUGGUGCUCCCAAUGCUCUGUUCCCCAGUCAUCAGCAACGUGCACGUCACUAGGACCCUCAUCGAUGGUGGAGCAGGGCUCAACGUUCUGUUUGUCGAGACAUUCAACAAUAUCCAAGUGUCGUAUGAUCAGCUUCAGCCAACCAAGCCUUUCUCAGGAGUCACUGAUGGUUCUACCACCCCGAUAGGGCAGGUCCGCCUCCCUGUCACCUUCGAACAGCACAAAAACUACCGCACAGAGCUCAUUGACUUUGAUGUCUCCCACAUUCGCCUGUCAUACAAUGCCAUCCUCGGGUACCCAGCCCUGGCCAAGUUCAUGGAAGUGACUCACCAUGGCUACAAUGUCCUCAAGAUGCCAGGAAGCGGUGGAGUCAUCGCAGUCCUUUGUGAGGAGAAGGAUGCAGUGUGUUCUCUCGAGCGUGCCUUCCAGGCCAUGGCAAUCGAAAGGCAUCACCUGGCCCGAACCAUCAGGAGGCAGGCACCUCCAGGGGCAUUGCGUCAAGAUCCGCGCCCAUCCAAGGGGCGCCUCCCACUGUCGCAUAGGAAGGCGCUCCCAACGCCCUCCUCGGGCAAGGCUCGGGGGAUCUCUCCUGGAGGGCCACCGACUUUUCCAAGGUCACGAGGGAGGUGCUCGGGCACCACUUGGAGGCGUGCUUCAAAGCACAUUUUCCUUAGGAAGGAGUGAGGCAAGGAGGGCCAAACCCUCAGGAGUUCAUCGCAACAAACACUCAGGAGCUGCAGGAGUCAAGAGUCAUGCGCGGCAGCCGCCACUUACCCGCCGUAGCCCCCCCAUCCAGGCGAGGAUGGUGGGCUGCACGUCUGCAUCAACAUGCCAGGGCUCAACCGAGCCGCGUCUAAGGAGCGCCUUGCUAUGUCUUGAGCUAGCGUUGGUUUUCCCCGAAGAGGAGAGGGUGAAGCAGCAAAGUGUAGCGUAAGUAUUUCCCUCAGUUUUUGAGAACCAAGGUAUCAAUCCAGUAGGAGUCUCCUCAAAAGUCCCACGCACCUACACAAACAAACUAAGAACUCGCAACCAACGCAAUAAAGGGGUUGUUAAUCCCUUCACGGUCACUUACGAAAGUGAGAUCUGAUAGAGAUAGUAUGAUAAGAUAAAUAUAAUUUUGGUAUUUUGUGAUAUAGAUGCAGAAAAGUAAAGAUGCAAAUAAAAGUAGAUUGAAAGCAAAAAUGAUAAGAGAUAGACCCGGGGGCCAUAGGUUUCACUAGUGGCUUCUCUCGAGAGCAUAAGUAUUACGGUGGGUGAACAAAUUACUGUCGAGCAAUUGAUAGAAAAGCGAAUAAUUAUGACGUUAUCUAGGCAUGAUCAUGUAUAUAGGCAUCACGUCCAUAACAAGUAAACCAACUCCUGCCUGCAUCUACUACUAUUACUCCACACACCGACCGCUAUCCAGCAUGCAUCUAGUGUAUUAAGUUCAUAAGAACAGAGCAACACAUUAAGCAAGAUGACAUGAUGUAGAGGGAUAAACUCAUGCAAUAUGAUAUAAACCCCAUCUUGUUAUCCUCGAUGGCAACAAUACAAUACGUGUCUUGUAACCCUUUCUGUCACUGGGUAAGAUCACCGCAAGAUUGAACCCAAAGCUAAACACUUCUCCCAUGGCAAGAAAGAUCAAUCUAGUAAGCCAAACCAAACUGACAAUUCGAAGAGACUUGUAAAGAUAACUUAAUCAUACAUAAAAGAAUUCAGAGAAGAUUCCAAUAUUAUUCAUAGAUAAACUUGAUCAUAAACCCACAAUUCAUCGGAUCUCGACAAACACACCGCAAAAAGAGAUUACAUCGAAUAGAUCUCCACGAGAGAGGGGGAGAACAUUGUAUUGAGAUCCAAAAAGAGAGAAGAAGCCAUCUAGCUAAUAACUAUGGACACAUAGGUCUGUGGUAAACUACUCACAACUCAUCGGAGAGGCUAUGGUGUUGAUGUAGAAGCCCUCCGUGGUCGAUUCCCCCUCUGGCAGAGUGCUGGCGAAGGCUCCAAGAUGGGAUCUCGCGGAUACAGAAGGUUACGGCGGUGGAAAUUGUGUUUCGUGGUGCUCCUGGAUGUUUUCGGGGUCCGUGGACAUAUAUAGGGAGGAAGAAGUACGUCGGUGGACGCCCGAGGGGCCCACGAGACAGGGGGCACACCCCUAGGGGGGCAGCCUCCUAUCUCGUGGGGCCCUCGGAGCUUUCUUGACUUGCACUCCAGGCUCUCUGGAUCAGAUUUGUUCCAAAAAAUAACGCUCCCGAAGGUUUCAUUCUGUUUGGACUCCGUUUGAUAUUCCUUUCCUUCGAAAUACUGAAAUAGGAAAAAAACAGCAAUAUGGGUUGGGCCUCCGGUUAGUAGGUUAGUCCCAAAAAUGAUAAAAAUGUGUAAAAUAAAGCCCAUAAACAUCCAAAAGGGGUAAUAUAAUAGCAUGGAACAAUCAAAAAUUAUAGAUACGUUGGAGACGUAUCACGCCUCUGGCCCUCGCGUGUGGGACGUUGCGAGGGUCCACCCCACAGCUAUGUUCGCAUACCUCUCGGCCUGCCGAACGCGGCUGCUGCUCAUCAGCACCUGCUAAGGAGCAUUCUGGAGGCUCAGGAGGUCAGGCAUUGCGCGGUCCUGGCAGAGAUGGAGAUGGUCCUCGAGGAGCCGCCUGCGCCCCCGGAACCUCCCGAGGCUUUGGGUCCUGGAGGCUUGUGAGGAUCAGCUUCCUCGCCGCGCGUCGUCCGCUACUUCAACAUUCCUUCAUCUCCACGGUAUCAGGUGACAUCUUUCAAGCUCCAUUUUCAGCUGGGAGCGCCCCCAGGGCUGCAUCAUUCCCAGGUCGCGUGGGUCUGUCCCUGCGGCACGUAUCUCUUUUGUUCAUGCCUUUAGGUUACCUUGUUGGGGGCGCCCCUCGGGCUGCAUUAUCCCCAAGGCGCUCGGGCCUGACCCAGUGGCAUAUAUCCCUCUCGCAUUCGUCUGAGCUAGUUUACUAUUCCAUGCUUAACCUGCUUGACUUAAUCGCUCGAUCAAUUGACGCCAACAAGUGGAGCUGCUCCCCCUAGCACGGCUCUUGAGCAUGGGUCUGUCCCUGCAACACCGACAAAUCUGAUUGACAGAGCUCUGGCCGCGGCAGCCCCGCAAGGCGCCACCUCACCUGGCCCUCAGAGCCCUCAUCACUCCCCCAGAGCAACCAGUGGCUUGCCGACAAUUGUGAUGGCAAUUCUCGUUUUCCUCGUGAUGAGUUUACAGGGUCUCUCUAAGGGACAGCAUCGGGUGAGGCAUCCGCGGUCUCUCUUCCUCUCUCACCCGCACGAACCGCUUAUGCGUUAAAGGGGGGCACCUGAGCAUCGUGACUCAUGGGCUCUUACUGGCUCUCCAGACCUCACCUCCUGGCCUUGACCACGGCAUCGCGACCUGGCAUACCAGCGAUGGCUGAGCUCGCUCGAGGGCCGGGACCCAAGGACGUAGAGCAUGAAGGGGAGUGCGGGGGAGAAGGAGGAAGCUCACGAGGACCUCACCGGGCACCCCCCUAGCUACGGACGCGCGGGCUUGGCGCCGCGCCGAGAAAUGGCCCAAACUCCUGAGAUAAGUUGCCCUCUACGGAAUUGCUAGCUAACGCAACACCGACUAUGCACCUAAUGCGGCCCUGUAACGGCGACGUUGCGCUCCUUUCUCACUGAGCGACAGCAGCUUGAGCGCCAAGGGGGACCUCCUGAGCAUCACGCCUUGGGGGCUCUUAAUGGACCUCGGGCCGCUCACCUCCUGGCCUUGACCACGGCAUCACGACCUGGCAUACCAGCGACGACUAAAGCCUGCCUGGGGACCAGGACCUGUCAGCGCAGAGCACCAGGCCCUUGUGAGGUUAGAAAAUAGGAACCGAGCAGGGACAGGACAAGCAUCUCACACUGCAUCACGAUAAGGAUCAUAUUAACAAAAGGAAUUAUAGACGCUUUACAUACCCCCACGGGGUACUUCCUUGAUUCCCCGCAGGAAACAAAAGAUGCAAAUCCUAAAGAGCCCUAACUACAGGAGCCGCAGCAGCAGACGCCAUCAUCAACAGUGGGCCUCGGGGGGUCGGCGCCAACCCCAUCCAGAUCAGCCGCGCCGACCGCCGGGCGCACCGGCUCUGCUCCGGGUGCAACGUGAGCUCGGUGGCUCAUAGCUGUAGUCGCUCGUCUUCGGAGUCAGAAUAAGAUCGGCGGAGUCGCUGGACCCUCUGUCACGCCUGCUGCUACCAGAGGAGCUGCCGGAAAGGCGGGCGGCAGGCCUGGUCCUCGCCGCUCCAGGGCUCCGGCCGCUGUCUCUGGGGCAGCACUCCAGCCGGCAUCCUUCCUUGUCGAAGACCUUGAAGAGUAUCAGGGAGGCGCCGUCGUAUUCCAGAUGAAUUACGAAGGCUCCCCCCGGUCGGCAGACCCUGGCGAUCUCGCCCCAGCCUCGAGUCAUGAAGACCUUGCCAGGAGCGACAACCUCGACCGCCGCUUUGGUCGUGGGGGUGCGGCAGUUGGCAUGCUGCAGCCAAAGCUCCCGAGGCCCCCUCGGCGGUAUCUCGAAGGCGAAGGAGGCAGCAAGGCGGAUCCAAGAGCACAGAGGCAUGGCGGUGUGACGCACGAGCUCGCGGGAGGAGUUCGCAGCAUGGACUCCAGGGGGGACGACGCACGUCGCUGUGAUCCGUCAGCGACGCCGGCGACGCGGGUGGCACCGCUCAGCGCCCUCUUCCCUAGGGCCCUCGUCCUGGGCGUACAAGGAUAAUGGAUAUCCGGGAGGAGGCCGCUCGUACCAAGGCCUCGACGCCUCCUGCCGAGCACCCUCAUCUCGGUGGCAGGGGACCGGCCGCUUCUUCAGCGGGAGUGGGACGGGCCCCUCUCGGGGGGCCUUCCCUUUCUCUUCGGCCGAGAAGCAGCGGAUCGGCGCCAUUGUCGUCGAAUUGGAGGAGGAGCGAAUAAGAAGAGGCGGAGCAAGGAGAGACAGACUAGAAGGGCUCGCGUUAUUCCGUACUUAUAAGCUGGAGGAGGCCAACCGUCGGCUGUCGUGGUUCUAAGCCUGACAGUAGAGUGGGGGGUAGGUAUGGAGAGGCAAGGUUCUAGCUACGGAGAGGUUGUAAGCACAAAGGAUGUACGAGUUCAGGCCCUUCUCGGAAGAAGUAACAGCCCUACGUCUCGGAGCCCGGAGGCGGUCGAGUGGAUUAUGAAUGUAUGGAUUACAAGGUGCCGAACCCCUCUGCCUGUGGAGGAGGGUGGCUUAUAUAGAGUGCGCCAGGACCCCAGCCAGCCCACGUAGGAGAGGGUUUAAGGUGAGUUAAGUCUGGGGUGUUACUGGUAACGCCCCACAUAAAGUGCCUUUACUAUCAUAAAGUCUACUUAAUUACAGGCCGUUGCGGUGCAGAGUGCCUCUUGACCUCCUGAUGGUCGAGUGAGUCUUUGUGGUCGAGUCCUUCGGGCCAGUCGAGUGAAUCCUCGUUGGUCGACUGGAAGGCGACCUUUUCUAGGGAUGUCCUAGGGUAAGUUACUUGGAACAGGUCCAUGACCCUACCCUAGGUACACAACCACAUCAUUAGCCCCCGAAUGGAUUGAGGCUUCGAGUGAAGAAGGCGUUGAUGUCGUUUUCGAUUAACCUUUGCGCUCUAGUUGUGCGCUGUUCUGGAUCAAAAAUCUCUUCGUUGACAGGGAGCAAUUUGUCUUCGGUCGACUCGAUCCAUUCUAUUUUUGCGUCGAGUGAGCUUCGACGAUCUCCGAGCGACGGAUCGCCGGAAACACCGCGUCUGACAGACUGAUUUGUUGCUCGCGGAUUCCGCGGGGUGCGAAAUUUGGGGGUGCGCGCGAAGCGGGGCAGACCGUGGCGUUUGGAUGGGACGGGGCAUAGACGCCUCGAUCUCCGCGCCGCCUUUUUCGCCACGUAUCCAGUCCUCAUAACUGCUCCCAGAUAUGAUUAGAUCGACCGGGCCCACAUGUCAGCCACUCGGAAGAGACCUUAUAAAUGCGCCCGGCGGGGAUUUCUGUGCUGCGCCUCAGCAUUCUCCCUCUCUCCCUCUGCCUCCUUCCUCUCUGCUCAGUGCGCUCGCUCUCACCUCCGCACCACUUUCCUUCGCGCAUUUCGUCGGCGACCAUGGCCAAGGAGAAGACGGCGGCGCUGGAGCGUGCCAAGAAGGCGUCGGCAUCGGAGAAGGCGAAGGGGAGAUCCACCACCCGCAGGGGGUCCUCGUCCAGAUCCCGCCUGCCGAAAGGUUGGGUCCAAGGAGACUGGAUCCAGUCGACCAUCACGGAGAAGGACCUCCUCGACAUGGCCAACGAGGGCUUGAUCCCUCACGGAGCUGCGAGGUUGCCGGGGAAGGAGUGGCAGCCACAACCAGAAGAGGGUGAGUGCGUGCUCCUGGCCACUCAUGUUGACCGAGGGUUUUCUUUGCCACCCAGCAUUUUCUUCCGUGGCUUCUUGAAUUUCUUUGGAGCGCAGCUCCACCACUUUACCCCAAACUCCAUUGCCUAUCUUGCUGCAUUCGUGUCCAUGUGUGAGGGUUUCUUGGGCUGCCGACCGCACUGGGGUUUGUUCAAACGCAUCUUCACGUGUCGCUCUCAGACCGUGAAGAAGGCUAGCCCAGGUGACGAGAAGACCCGAGUCGUCCAAAUGUGUGGGGGCCUGGGGAUUCAGGUGAGGAACAAUAGCACCUUCCCGCCCAUGUCCUUUCCCGAGUCCGUCAGGGGCUGGCAGUCGACUUGGUUCUACUGCCAGGUCCAAUCGACGCCAGGGCAGUCGAGUGGACUUCCUCCAUUUUCCAUGGGCCGAGUGGGCAAGCCCUCCCCUCUGAAGCUGAUUCCGGAGGAGAAAGCCGACGUGAAGAUGUUGAUGGAGCGCGUGGUGCAGCUGGUUCGGGACGGUGUGACAGGCAUGGACCUCCUGGAGGUUUUCCUCAAGCGCCGCAUCCAGCCUCUCCAGUUCAGGAGCCACUGCAUGUGGUUGUACUGCGGACCCGAAGACGAGACUAGAGUCCAUCCAGAAGAAGUCGACGAUGUCACUCUGGAAAGAUGGAUGGUAGCCGUUACCGGAAACAGGGACAACCCGCGCGGAGCCAGAAGGAUUCCUCCACUCGACCGCAACAGCAACCCAAACAAGGUACGCUUGCUCUGCCCUCCACUGAGUCCUUGUCGUAUUCAUUUCUGCUAACCCUGUCGACUGGUCGACUGAUCUUUGUUUGUGCAUCUGCUAGGCCCUUACUGAACUGUACUCGAUGCCCAAUGGGGCACAAGCCUCGGCUGAGGAAGGCGAGGCGAGCGGGGGCGAGGCGAGCGGGGGCGAGGCGAGCGGGGGCGAGAGCCAGGAAGAGGAGGAGUGGGACUCGGAUGCUGCAGGGGGUGAUGACGACGAUGAUGAUGAUGAAGAUGAUGAAGAUGACAUCGAGGACGAGGAAGAAGAGGAAGAGGAGGUCAUUCCACCGCGCUCAGAAAGGCGGUCGAAGCUUGUCCACGACCCUUCGACCGAACGUGGCAAGGGGGUUGCGACCGCCACCCAGUCGACCAAGCGCCCCCGGACCACCUCUCCAGCGCCGACUGAAAAGGCGCCGAAGCAGCCCAGGGCGGCCUCAUCGAAGCCGACCAAGCUCCUGCCGAAGAUGAAGGUGUCCAUCCCCACCAUUUCAGGGUAAUUGUGUUGCUCAUAUUUCCUUAUCCUUAUGCGAACUUUAUCUCUGGUCGACACCGAGGUUAGUCGACUGAUCCUUUGGAGUUGCAGUGCUGCUACCUCUGAGACUUCGGCCCGGGCCGAAGACCACGAGAUGGAGGAUGCGGCAACUUCGAACCCAGGUACUGUAUUCUUAAUACCGUUGUUAGUCGACUGAUUUGCGACCUCUGAUCCUGAUUCUUCUUCGCAGUUCCGCCCCAUACUGUUAUCGAUCUUCCUGACGACGACGAGGAUGAAGAACCACUGGCACGCAGGAAGAGUCGGAAAACGCCCGCCAGUAAGGUGCCUCAGGACGUGACGGCGCCUGAGACUCUGACUGUGGAGGAAGAGAACACCACUCGACACACAGUGUCCUUCGCGAAUCCACUGUCGAGUGCUCAGCAGCCUUCCCUCUUCACGACUCACCACGUCCCAGAGGACCAAGCUGGUGCAGCGAAGGAGGCAAUACGCCAGGCGGGGCUCAUGAUGGAGCAGCUGAAGACCAUCCGGGAUGCGAGCCAGGCAGCUUAUGACGCCAGCUCUGCCCUCCAAAGCAAUGUCCAGGUCAGUCGACUGCUGUUUGUUCUGUUGGAUAUGCUACCAAAAACUUUUCUUUUCCGGGAUUUAUAUUAGUCACCCACUGGGUGUGUCGAAUAAACUCCGUGUUAGCGGGGGCACGCUUAGUGCACCCGCUGGGUGUAGUCCCCAAGGCUAAGGUCGACUGCUGGCAGUCGGCCUUAGGCUUUAUGAUGUCAAUCUUUCUGUCAGUCGACUGGUCGACUGGAUUUCGCAAACCGGUGGGGGCACGCUGAGUGCACCCACUGGGUGUAGUCCCCGAGACUGUGGUCGACUGCUUGCAGUUGAUCACAGUCUUNNNNNNNNNNNNNNNNNNNNNNNNNNNNNNNNNNNNNNNNNNNNNNNNNNNNNNNNNNNNNNNNNNNNNNNNNNNNNNNNNNNNNNNNNNNNNNNNNNNNNNNNNNNNNNNNNNNNNNNNNNNNNNNNNNNNNNNNNNNNNNNNNNNNNNNNNNNNNNNNNNNNNNNNNNNNNNNNNNNNNNNNNNNNNNNNNNNNNNNNNNNNNNNNNNNNNNNNNNNNNNNNNNNNNNNNNNNNNNNNNNNNNNNNNNNNNNNNNNNNNNNNNNNNNNNNNNNNNNNNNNNNNNNNNNNNNNNNNNNNNNNNNNNNNNNNNNNNNNNNNNNNNNNNNNNNNNNNNNNNNNNNNNNNNNNNNNNNNNNNNNNNNNNNNNNNNNNNNNNNNNNNNNNNNNNNNNNNNNNNNNNNNNNNNNNNNNNNNNNNNNNNNNNNNNNNNNNNNNNNNNNNNNNNNNNNNNNNNNNNNNNNNNNNNNNNNNNNNNNNNNNNNNNNNNNNNNNNNNNNNNNNNNNNNNNNNNNNNNNNNNNNNNNNNNNNNNNNNNNNNNNNNNNNNNNNNNNNNNNNNNNNNNNNNNNNNNNNNNNNNNNNNNNNNNNNNNNNNNNNNNNNNNNNNNNNNNNNNNNNNNNNNNNNNNNNNNNNNNNNNNNNNNNNNNNNNNNNNNNNNNNNNNNNNNNNNNNNNNNNNNNNNNNNNNNNNNNNNNNNNNNNNNNNNNNNNNNNNNNNNNNNNNNNNNNNNNNNNNNNNNNNNNNNNNNNNNNNNNNNNNNNNNNNNNNNNNNNNNNNNNNNNNNNNNNNNNNNNNNNNNNNNNNNNNNNNNNNNNNNNNNNNNNNNNNNNNNNNNNNNNNNNNNNNNNNNNNNNNNNNNNNNNNNNNNNNNNNNNNNNNNNNNNNNNNNNNNNNNNNNNNNNNNNNNNNNNNNNNNNNNNNNNNNNNNNNNNNNNNNNNNNNNNNNNNNNNNNNNNNNNNNNNNNNNNNNNNNNNNNNNNNNNNNNNNNNNNNNNNNNNNNNNNNNNNNNNNNNNNNNNNNNNNNNNNNNNNNNNNNNNNNNNNNNNNNNNNNNNNNNNNNNNNNNNNNNNNNNNNNNNNNNNNNNNNNNNNNNNNNNNNNNNNNNNNNNNNNNNNNNNNNNNNNNNNNNNNNNNNNNNNNNNNNNNNNNNNNNNNNNNNNNNNNNNNNNNNNNNNNNNNNNNNNNNNNNNNNNNNNNNNNNNNNNNNNNNNNNNNNNNNNNNNNNNNNNNNNNNNNNNNNNNNNNNNNNNNCUUUUCCUCUUGCUUGUUUCAACAUCUGAUCUUGCUGUGUCUUGCAGGUAAGGUAAGGGAGGCCCAGCAGAAGAAAGACCUUGAGCUAGCUGAGAAGAUCAAGCUUGCCGACGAGAAGUUAGCUUCAGUCACCAAGCUUGAACAAGACAACACCAACCUGAAAACUGCUCUUGGGAUUGCCAACAAGGAGGUCAGUCGACUGAGAACUGACAAAGCUGCCCUGACCGACCAAGUCAGCAAAUUGACUGAGAAGAAAACUGAACUGGAAACCUUCCUGAGUGGCCUUGCCAAGAAGCUGUUUCUUAUGCUUGAAGGUAAAUCUUCAUGUUUGGCAAAUAUUUCCAAUUGCGGCCUUUUCCAUUCGACUAUCUCUUUGACUUAAUGAUCAUCCUUGCAGAAUUUUGUCAAAACUUUGAAGAUGAAACCAGCCGACUGGAGCCAAACCUUGACCCCGUCAAUUCUCCGGUGAACGACGAAGUUGCCAUGGAUGUCUUCCGACUGGAGUCACGUGUUGCAGCUGUCGUGGACUAUCUCGCAAGGCUGAAGGCCGCCACAUCUCGCAUCGACUCGACGCUCUGGCCUGAGGAGACACUUCAGAAUGACCUUGAGUCGCUGAUGGCCCGCUUGAACACGAUCCCUGGUCGAGUGCAAGAGUGGAAGAAGUCCUCGGCUCGAUGUGGUGCAGAUGUCGCUCUGUGUCUGGCCCGAGUCCACUGCAAAGAUGCACGAGAGGAGAAGCUGGCGGCCCUUCGGGUGGCCAAUACCAAGAAGCACGACUUCAGGUCCUUUAUGGAGACUUUCCUUGCAGCUGCCACUCGGAUCGCUGACGGAAUUGACCUUGAUGAAUUCGUUGCACCUUCCAGCCCUCCGCAGGAGGGGUAAAAAACUUCUUCUGGCUCGACUCUUUAAAUUUGCCUCGGUAUGCCGAGUGGAAUUGUAACCGACAAACUUUAACAGGCUUGACGCCUGAGCACUUUCGGUUCCUUUAAAUAUCGAUUCAAGCUUGAAUUUGGCGCUUGGAUAUGAUUGCCUGUGCUUAGGCGAGCGCUUGGACUGCAGCUAAGCCUCCGAGUGAGAGGGUCGCUCUUCACUCGGUAGGAUUUUUGUAACUUAGGCGAGCACGAGGCUGCAGCUAAGCCUCCGAGUGGAAGGCUAGCUUACCACUCGGUAGGAUUUUUAUAACUUAGGCAAGCACGAGGUCGCAGCUAAGCCUCUGAGUGGAAGGCUGGCUUACCACUCGGUAGGAAUUCGAUAAACUUAGGCGAGCACGAAGCUGCAGCUAAGCCUCCGAGUGGAAGGCUGGCUUACCACUCGGUAGGAUUUUGAUAAACUUAGGCGAGUGCUUGGACUGCAGCUAAGCCCCCGAGUGUGAGGAUCGCUCNNNNNNNNNNAACUUAGGCGAGUGCUUGGACUGCAGCUAAGCCCCCGAGUGAGAGGAUCGCUCGUCACUCGGUAGGAUUUUUAUAACUUAGGCGAGCACGAAGCUGCAGCUAAGCCUCCGAGUGGAAGGCUGGCUUACCACUCGGUAGGAUUUUGAUAAACUUAGGCGAGUGCUUGGACUGCAGCUAAGCCCCCGAGUGAGAGGAUCGCUCGUCACUCGGUAGGAUUUUUAUAACUUAGGCGAGCACGAAGCUGCAGCUAAGCCUCCGAGUGGAAGGCUGGCUUACCACUCGGUAGGAUUUUGAUAAACUUAGGCGAGUGCUUGGACUGCAGCUAAGCCUCCGAGUGGAAGGCUGGCUUACCACUCGGUAGGAUUUUGAUAAACUUAGGCGAAACGGAUUCGCAGCUAAGCCUCCGAGUGAGAGUCUGGCUCACCACUCGGUAGGAUUUUUACAAACUUAGGCGAAACGGAUUCGCGGCUAAGCCACCCACUGAGGGGGAGUUUUUAUAUGGACAAAGAUAAAAAGUGAUGACACUAUUAUUCCUAAACCCAUGAACUACAGAAGUACUUAAGUGUAAAAUGGGCGGAGUAGCUCCGCGUUCCAAGCUCGGGGCUCGUCGAUAUUAUGCUUGACGUUGUAAAGACGGUACGCCCCGUUGUGGAGAACCUUAGUGACGAUGAAGGGGCCUUCCCAAGAAGGAGCAAGCUUGUGUGGUUUGUGCUGAUCCACUCGGAGAACCAGAUCCCCUUCCUGGAAGGCUCGACCUCUCACAUUUCGGGCGUGAAAACGGCGCAGAUCUUGUUGGUAGAUGGUCGAGCGGAUCAGAGCCAUCUCCCUUUCUUCCUCCAAAAGGUCGACUGCGUCCUGUCGCGCUUGUUCAGCUUCUGCUUCGUUAUAGAUUUCGACUCGAGGAGCAUUAUGCAGAAGGUCACUCGGCAAGACUGCUUCAGCUCCAUAGACCAAGAAGAAUGGAGUUCUUCCAGUCGACCGAUUGGGCGUGGUCCGCAGUCCCCAGAGUACAGAUGGAAGUUCGUCGACCCAAGCUCCAGCCGCGUGUUUGAGAUCACGCAUCAGUCGCGGCUUCAGUCCCUUGAGAAUCAGUCCAUUAGCUCGCUCUGCUUGUCCAUUCGACUGCGGAUGGGCGACUGAUGCGUAGUCGACCCGUGUGCCCUGGGAGUUGCAGAAGGUUCUGAAUUCCUCUGAGUCAAAGUUUGACCCAUUAUCCGUAAUGAUGCUGUGCGGGACUCCAUAUCUGAAUAUUAGUUCCCUGAUGAAGCUAACAGCAGUACCGGUGUCGAGGCUCUUGAUUGGCUUAGCCUCGAUCCACUUGGUGAACUUGUCGACUGCCACCAGUACAUGUGUGAAGCCACUUCGUCCUGUUCUCAAAGGGCCGACCAUGUCCAGCCCCCAAACUGCAAAAGGCCAGACGAGUGGGAUGGUCUUCAAAGCUGACGCAGGCUUGUGCGACAUAUUCGAGUAGAACUGACAUCCCUCGCACUUAUCCACUAUCUCCCUUGCCAUCUCAUUCGCCUUGGGCCAGUAAAAUCCGGCUCGGUAUGCCUUGGCCACGAUGGUCCGAGAGGACGCAUGGUGACCGCAGGUCCCUGGGUGAAUAUCAUUGAGGAUGAGUCGACCUUCUUCUGGCGUUAUGCACUUCUGGCCGACUCCAGUCGCACUUUCUCUGUAUAAUUGUCCUUUGAUUACGGUAAAGGCUUUAGAUCGACGGACGAUCUGUCGAGCCUCUUCCUCAUUCUCCGGAAGCUCUUUCCUCAAGAUAUAUGCGACGUACGGAAUCGUCCAGUCGGGAACGACCACCAAAACCUCCAUGACCAAGUCGACCACUGCUGGGACUUCCACUUCAGUCGGAUCUGUGGCGCUCUUAGGCUGCGGAGUUUCUUCUGUGAAAGGGUCUUCUUUGACUGACGGAGUAUGUAUAUGCUCCAAGAACACGCCACUCGGAAUGGCUUCUCUCUUGGAACCUAUCUUCGCUAGAUCAUCAGCUGCUUGAUUCUUCAGUCGGGGUAUAUGAUGGAGCUCCAACCCCUCGAACUUUUUCUCCAGCUUCCUCACUGCAUUGCAGUAUCCAGUCAUGGCUGGGCUUCUCACGUCCCACUCUUUCAUCACCUGGUUGACCACUAAAUCCGAGUCGCCAUAGACCAUUAGGCGACGGACGCCGAGUGAAAUGGCCAUGCGCAACCCAUACAGGAGGGCCUCAUAUUCUGCCUCAUUGUUGGAGGAAUCAAAGUGAAUCUGGAGCACAUAUCUGAGCUUAUCUCCUCUGGGGGAAACCAGGACAACCCCAGCACCGGAACCAUUCAACAUCUUAGAACCAUCGAAAAACAUGGUCCAAUGCUCCGAGUGAACUUCAGUCGGCUGCUGUUGUUCAAUCCACUCGGCGAGGAAAUCUGCUAUCGCCUGGGACUUAAUGGCUUUCUUUGCCUCAAACUUGAUAUCAAGGGGAAGAAGUUCAAUCGCCCAUUUGGCCACUCGACCAGUUGCAUCUCUGUUGUGCAAAAUCUCUGAUAGUGGAGCGUCGCUGACGACUGUGAUUGAAUGGUCAGAGAAAUAAUGAGCAACCUUCUUUGUGGUCAUGUAUAUUCCAUACACAAGCUUCUGAUAAUGAGGAUAUCUCUGCUUGGAUGGAGUCAAGACUUCAGACAAAUAAUACACUGGGCGCUGAACUUUGAGAGCUUUUCCUUCUUCUUCCCGCUCGACCGUUAGCACAGUACUGACGACUUGUCCUGUGGCUGCGAUGUAGAGCAACAGAGGCUCUUUGCUGAUUGGAGCAGCAAGCACCGGCUGGGUGGAGAGCAGAGCUUUUAGCUCGGCAAACGCUGCAUCAGCUUCUGGAGUCCACUCGAACUUGUCAGCCUUUUUCAUCAGUCGGUAAAGAGGCAGUGCCUUUUCACCGAGUCAUGAGAUGAAUCGACUUAAUGCGGCCAAGCAUCCAGUAAGCUUCUGGACAUCGUGCACUCGCACAGGGCGUUUCAUUCGGAGAAUAGUGCCGAUCUUUUCUGGGUUGGCGUCGAUUCCCCGUUCGGAAACGAGAAAACCGAGUAACUUGCCACCAGGAACUCCAAAUGUGCACUUUGAUGGAUUGAGCUUGAUAUCAUACCUUCUGAGGUUGGCAAAUGUUUCAGCAAGGUCAGCGAGCAGGUCGGAACCUUUUCGCGACUUGACAACAAUAUCAUCCAUAUAAGCUUCCACAUUCCGACUGAUUUGAGUGAGGAGACACUUCUGGAUCAUUCGCAUAAAUGUGGCUCCGGCAUUCUUGAGACCGAAUGGCAUGGUGAUAUAGCAGAAGCACCCGAAUGGAGUGAUGAAAGCUGUUUUUACUUCAUCGGGCCCAUACAGACGGAUCUGGUGGUACCCGGAGUAAGCAUCUAAAAAAGACAACCUCUCGCAUCCCGCGGUCGAGUCAACAAUUUGAUCUAUGCGAGGGAGAGGAAAGUGAUCUUUCGGGCAGGCCCGGUUGAUGUGCUUGAAAUCAAUGCACAUUCGGAGCGAUUUGUCCUUCUUAGGAACCAUGAUGACAUUAGCGAGCCACUCGGAGUGGAAUAUCUCUCGGAUAAAUCCUGCCGCCAACAGUCGAGCCACUUCUUCACCGAUGGCCUUUCUCUUCUGGACGGCGGACCGCCGAAGAUGUUCUUUGACUGGUUUUGCAGACUUGUCGACUCUUAGGCGAUGCUCAGCCAGUCCCCUGGGAACACCUGGCAUGUCAGCGGGCUUCCAUGCAAAAAUGUCCCAGUUCUCACGGAGGAACUGGAUGAGCGCUUCUUCCUAUUUUGGGUCGAGUGUUGUGGAGAUGCGGGUCGGAGCUGCUUCAGGGUCGGUCGGGUGGAUGUGAACAGGCUUUGUCUCACCGGACGACUGGAAUGCAGAUUCUGUGGCGGGCUUCUUGGAUCGCAGCAAGUCACUCGGAUCUGCGCUUUGCUUGUAUUCUUCAAACUCGACCGCUGUCACUUGGGAAUCGGCAAUUUUGGAGCCCUUCUGAAAGCACUCUUCUGCCUUUUUCCUAUCACCGGUGACAGUGAUCACACCUUUGGGACCGGGCAUCUUCAAUUUGAGGUACACGUAACAUGGUCGAGCCAUGAACCGUGCAUAGGCUGGCCUCCCCAAAAUGGCAUGAUAUGCACUUUGAAAAUCCACGACCUCAAACGUCAAUUUUUCUUUGCGAAAAUGCUUUGAAUCGCCAAACACUACGUCCAAAGCUAUCUGGCCGAGUGACUCGGCCUUCUUCCCUGGUAUGACUCCAUGAAAGCUCAUGUUACUAGUGCUCAGUCGGGACAUCGGAAUGCCCAUACCUUUCAAUGUGUCUGCAUAUAAUAAGUUCAGCCCACUUCCACCAUCCAUCAGCACCUUUGUCAGUCGAGUGCCUUCGACAACUGGAUCGACCACCAAAGCUUGCCUCCCAGGGGUGGCAAUAUGAGUCGGGUGAUCAGAUUGGUCGAAUGUGAUGGGUGUUUGAGACCACUUCAGAUAACUUGCCUUUGCUGGGGCAACCAUGUUAACCUCUCGGUUAAUCACUUUCAGUCGACUUCUGCUUUCCACAUCUGCGAAGAUCAUCAGAGUGGAGUUGAUAUGCGGGUAUCCUCCCUCACUGUCCUCUUUGUCUUCGGCUUUGUCUGACUCCUUCUCCUUGUCCUUAGACUGUUUUCCCUGAAACUACUGGAUCAGGAGUCGACAUUGGCGAGUGGUGUGCUUCGGGUAAAUGAUAUUCCCCUCUUCGUCUUUCUUCGUGUGGAUGUGGCACGGCAUAUCCAUCACGUCGUUCCCUUCUUUAUCCUUCACCUUCUUGGGGUUCCAGGAUCCUUUUGGUUUCCCCUUAGACUUUCCUUGAGUCACGGCCAGAGCCUCCCCAGGAGCUGCCGGUUCGGCCUUCCGCUUCUGUUUCCGACUGGUGUUCCCUUUUUCCGAUUGACUCGGCUUGUGCUUGCCGCUUCGGAGUCGGUCUUCUUCUUCGCCGUUGGCGUACUUGGUAGCAAUCUCCAUCAUCCGACUCAAGGUCAUGUCACCGGUUCGACCAAAUUUCAAACUCAGUUCUCUGUUCUUGACACCAUCUUUAAAGGCGCAUACUGCCUGAUGGUCAGAGACAUUUUCCACAGUGUGGUGCAAAGUGAUCCACCUCUGAAUAUACUCUCUGAGAGUCUCAUUGGUUUUCUGCACGCAGACUUGCAACUCUGUCAAUCCCGCUGGUCGCUUGCAAGUCCCUUCGAACGUUCUGACAAACACUCGGGACAGAUCUUCCCAAGUGUAAAUGCUGCUAGGAGGUAAUUGAGUCAACCAUGCCCUGGCAGAACCUUCCAACAUGAGGGGCAAAUGCUUCAUGGCCACCUCGUCGUUCCCACCACCGAUCUGAACUGCCACUCGGUAGUCUUCAAGUCAAGUUUCAGGCUUGGACUCACCAGUGAACUUGCUGACUCCUGUUGCCAGCCUGAAAUUGGGGGGGAUAACUGCGGCUCUGAUAGCUCUGCUGAAACAUUCAGGACCAGAAACAUGUACUCGACUGCUCGUGGGCGCAUCUCUGUCGAGUGCACCUCGAUGGGCUCUGUUCCGGUCGACCAACCCUUGCACGAUAAUGGAUCGCGCGUCGAAGCCUGGCUCUCUAUGGUCAACUGGAACCCUACGCCCUGUACUGUACUGACGCCUAUCAUCUGGCCGCCGAGGAGCGUAAGACCCACCCCUCGGAGGGGAAUAGGGCACUCGACGCCUAUCAUCUCGGUCGAGUCUGUCGCCAUAUUGAUCUCGCCGAUUCUCACGCCCUUCGCGCCGCGGAGGCGAUCUGGGGCUGUGAGCCGACUGAACCGUAUUCACAGUGACAGAUCGACUGUGAAUUCUGUUGCGCGACUGAGACACGGCCGAAUUCUGAUCUCCUGCUGCCCGGAGCAGAUCCCUGAUCUGCAGCAAACCUCUGCCAGCCUCUGACUGCGAAGGCUGAAUGGACUCUGCUAUACGGGUCGCAGCUGCUAAAUUCUGAAUUGGGGUUCGAUAUACCUGAGUCGGCGGGAAGAGUUGACGUCGACUGGAGUCGGGAACUCGUUGCCGCGCGCGCUCGUCGAGUGCUCGCUGAAGGUUCUCCAGUCGAGUGCGCUCGGCCAAGUUGGCCAGACGCGCCUCCUCCAAGGCACGAGCCUCGGGGGUUUCUCCCGCGAUGGGAAUACGCAGGGGAUCCUCGUUCCUGCGGCGAAGCUCUUCUCUUUGCAGAGAGUCGAGUGGCUCGGGCUGGUACUCUUCGUAGCCUCGAGCAGGGUCUCCGCCGUCGCCUGCUCCACCUCCGCGGGCGAAGCCAGGAGGGCUGUGGGGCCCGUCGACCAUCAAGAUUUCCGCCGCUGGAUCACUGCUUCCGCACUCGGAUGCAGUCUCUCCGGAGCCAGUCGACUGAUCGAACAAGCCGUAGAGAGAUUCGUUGGGCUCGAUUGCCGCAACUUGUGUAGUGGUCGACUGGCGAGCCAUCGCGUGACUCACCCAUCGCUGAAGCCUCGACCGGCCCGAGCGCUUGCGCUGGCGGGAGACCGGGAGGGUGGAAGACGGAGGAGCCGACCGGUACUGGGUCGAUGGCUGCCGCAGCAGAACACCGUGGACACAUGCGCGGAAAUGCGUCGCACCGCGGACGGGGAGCGCAUCCACGUCGAGUGGAGCCUCCUGAAGCCAUGCGGAGUCGUCGGCGACGAAGGUGAGUGCGCCGAGACGGAUCUCUUGGCCCUCGACCAAAACUCCAGCAGACACCAUGAUGAAAAUACUCGGAAGAAUCGCAACUUCUCCGAAAAAUCGCUAAAACACCUGCCCCACGGUGGGCGCCAACUGUCGUGGUUCUAAGCCUGACAGUAGAGUGGGGGGUAGGUAUGGAGAGGCAAGGUUCUAGCUACGGAGAGGUUGUAAGCACAAAGGAUGUACGAGUUCAGGCCCUUCUCGGAAGAAGUAACAGCCCUACGUCUCGGAGCCCGGAGGCGGUCGAGUGGAUUAUGAAUGUAUGGAUUACAAGGUGCCGAACCCCUCUGCCUGUGGAGGAGGGUGGCUUAUAUAGAGUGCGCCAGGACCCCAGCCAGCCCACGUAGGAGAGGGUUUAAGGUGAGUUAAGUCUGGGGCGUUACUGGUAACGCCCCACAUAAAGUGCCUUUACUAUCAUAAAGUCUACUUAAUUACAGGCCGUUGCGGUGCAGAGUGCCUCUUGACCUCCUGAUGGUCGAGUGAGUCUUUGUGGUCGAGUCCUUCGGGCCAGUCGAGUGAAUCCUCGUUGGUCGACUGGAAGGCGACCUUUUCUAGGGAUGUCCUAGGGUAAGUUACUUGGAACAGGUCCAUGACCCUACCCUAGGUACACAACCCCAUCAUCGGCCUCCACGAUCACAGGUAAUCAUGACCCGUUUUGCAUGUAGGGACUAGUCACGUCGGACGGUUGCCGAUGCGUCAUGGGGAAGCGGAUACGCCCAUGUCCAAUCAACCGCCACACGGCGUCCAAGGCUGCAGGCUGUUGGGGCCUGCGGCGCUUCGCACUUGCCCCUUCGCUUCUCUGCUAAGCCAAGUCCGGGCGCGCCUUGGGCCCGGGGGCUACUAUCGGUGUUCUGGGAACGGGGGUCCCCAGACUUGCCUGCCUGCAGCCUGCGGCGUGGCUCAAGCAGUGGCCCAGUGCGGCCCACCUUCAUCAGCUCAAGCUCAAGACCCUCACGAGGGGCCAAGCCUCGCGGGGCGGACGACAGGAAGCUUCCUCAGGAGCAGCCUCAUCGGGCUGGCUCGCGAGGAGGCAGAGAGAUCAAGGCAGGGGUACCUCGCGAGGUACCGUGACGCAAGCCAUGACGAUCGAGGCCAGGCGGGCACCAGGCAGACGCCGGCCUAUGCAGUGUCCUUGUUUCCCCUUUGGUGCAAAGGGAGCAAGCACAUGCCAAGGCAUUAGGCAAAGGCUACCGUUUCGGUGCAACAAGACCAAGACCAGCAGAGCGGCAGGAUGGAGGUCACCGUGGAGCCCAAGGCGGCGUCAUCGUUAGAGUCUUUGGUAGUCGAAGACCAACUUUAGUCAGGAUAAGUGUACUAGAUGUUCCCCUUCAAAAUGGCCAAUUGUUGGCGCCCUUCCCGCUCAAUAUUUGGGAAGAGGACCAGAGCCUCUCUCUAUAUAUAUAGUACUAUCCACCAUAGUAUAGAGGCAUCUGGAAUCGACCCCUCCAAAGGGACAACACCACCACAAGAACAUCCCUCGCGAGGUUGGUCUUCCCUUGUACUGUUCAUCAUCAGCCCCUGAGGCAAUCCACCACACCACAAACUAGAGUAGGGUAUUACACCACAACAGUGGCCCGAACUAGUAUAAACCUUGUGUCCCUUGUGUUGUUCAUCGUGUAGCCUAGAUUCCUUGCGAGGCUUCGAGAUGUGAGCCGGUAGGGGAGAGAUCUUCGUGUGCACCCCAGAGUUUGAACCUCAAGGGUCUGUCGGAACCCGAAAUCUGACAUUCGCUGGCUCUUCGAGGAAGAUCCUGAACAGUGUCAGCUGGGAGGCAUAAGACGGCCAUCAAGCCAUCCGGCGUAGAUCCGACAGUACCAAAAUAAAAUAAAAUCGUGUGACCCCAAUUUAGUUUUCAGUCAACAGACGUGUGACCACUCUCGUACCUUACUGUUGAUCUCUUAGUGUAUUUCUUCAUAUCAAAGAUAUGUUUCAUUCUUAAAAUUAUGCAUUUUUUGCAUCUUCAGCCACACCGUCUUCCUUCUCACCGCAGCUACUCCAACAAGGGAAGCAUACACCAGAAGGGAGCUAUAGUCUCCACUCAACAGUUCCCUGCAUUGAAUGCGUGUGCCCGACAUGGACAACCACAACAAUUGCAGGGCCAUCGACAAGUCAGCACAUGAUGCUCACUCCUAUGGAUGGCGGCCAGAUAGGUUGUACCCUCAUCUUACUUGUGUGCAACAUUUAUGGCUUUGCUAUUCAUCUAAGCAUGGAAAAUAGAUUAUCACAUUUCACUGUAUAUUCAUGCUGAUCUCUUAUGGGUCUUGUUCAGGAGUUAACGUUGUUCCAUAGUUCAGAUAAGAUACUUGUUCUUUAGGUAGCGUUGUUCCAUAGUUAUCAUCCAUUAGCCAAUGCUAUCCCACAGGCUGGUGAUUAUAGUAUUAUACCACUUCUAGUAUUACCUAUGUUGUUCUUUAAUACUUUUGUGUGCCAUCUAGUUAAUCUCGAGUACAAACGAUACAUAUUCUGUAGCUUUCAUCUGUGUUCUCCCUUUAGUUUUUGAGACAUGUUGUUGUAGUUAACCCCAGUCCUACUAUUUAUGUCAUCUCCUACACGCACUCAUUACAUAAAUCUAAGUACUAGUUGUCUUCCAUGCAUGUCAGAUAUAAUUGCACACACUGAUAUAUCCACAAGAACCUCACGGAGCAAUGUAACGGCCAACAAACUUGACGUCAAUGAUACCCAAUAUGAUGGAAUAUGUAAAGGCAGUUCUUUAGAAGACUUGCAGAAAGAUGAUGAAUCCUAUUCAACCCACAAGGUUCUUGCUCUAACUUGGCCCGUGAUAUGGGUACAACAUGCACAUAAUGUCUUGGAGUGCAUCUACUAUGUUGCAAUGCUAUGUGCUUAGCCUGCUGAUCAUGCAUGUAAAUAUGUCAUGCCUUCUUGUUUUUCAGUACCUAUCCCAUUCAUGAUAAUAUGUUUUCAAAUUCAAGUAUUGUCGUUCUACUCUAUCACAAUGCCAUUUGCUUAGUCUGGACAUCAUGCUUCUGAAUAUCUUAUGCAUUGUUAUUCAUCAGUAUGUACUUCAUAUGUCUACCAUACCAUGUUUUUUUUACAUUGAAGUGAUGUUCCAGUGGUCUGUUGCAAUGCCAUCUUAGUUUCCAAAUCAUACACACAUAUGUUGCCUUAGUGUUUUUCUGUAUGUAUUCCUCUAUCAUACAAUUUUACAUUCAACUAGUGUUUUUUUACUCUGUUGUCCUGUCGUAUCCCUAGCUCUUACAUCAUACUCCCUUCGUCCGGAUUACAUGUCGUAGAAAUGGAUAAAAAUGGAUGUAUCUAGAACUGAAAUACCCUAGACCCAUCCAUUUAUUUUUGGAUGGAGGGAAUACAUGUCAAUAUGUCAUGCCUUUCUAUUCUUCAGUACCUAUUCCAUCUCUCUGUUGUAGCAUGUUUUAUAAUUGAAGCACCAUUCUUCUAUAUAAGACAUGCAAGGGGAAGACGACUAUGUUAGAAUCUGAAGGGUUACAAACAAGGUCUUUACAAAAGAUCCAAGCGCCAGGAGAUAGUAAACCAACUCCAGUGUUUAUAGAUACUGCUCCAGCACAGAGAAACCCAACUCCUACUGAUAAUAAGCAGAUUGCAGUGGCCAAAGAACUAGUCCGCUCCAGUCCAGCAAAAAUAUGUCAACUCCAUUCUAAGAAGCGUGUGUGUAUCCUCGCGUCAUGAAAUUUUAUAGCAUUUUGAUCAUAUUUUCUACAUGUUUCUUACUCAUCUCUCUUUUAGAAAAUAAGCUUAAAGGAUAGAAGACUUUAUAUACUGGGAUCAUAUUCGAGGAAAGUAUCUUGCGGUAAUUCUUUGUGCUCCAAUACUGAUGUAAGUACAUGUUGUAUAUCACUAUAUUUUUACAUCAGCAUGCAUUUUGUUAAUCGGCGUGAAUCCAACCUUUAUCUGAUCUAAAUUUAGUUGUAGCAAAAUGUAUAAUUAAAGGCAACACUGUUGAUUUUUGUAAGGAAAACUGCCUAGUAAUUUUGCAUACUGAGUUGCAUGAGUGUACUAUCUCAUAUCAUGCACAUUACUAAAUUGUAGUGUUGUUCUGGUUGCCCAUUCAUUCAUUGUGUCAAUGUUUCUUUCGUAUUACCUUACCUAGCUGAUGAUAGCGGUGCCAUAUUGUGUUAAUUUGGUGUAGGCUGGUGUGGUCUGGUUGCCCAAACGUUCAUUGUGUCAAUGUUGCUUUCCUAUUAUCUGACCUGGCCAAUGAUAGCAAUGUUAGUGUGUUAAUUUGGUGCAGGCUGCUGAAGAUAAGAAGACAAACUCUGAAAACAACAAGGAAACCCCAUUGUUUCUUUUCAAUAAAUUUAGGCCAGGUAAUAUGGCAAUAACUCUUGAUUAAUUUAUUCGGUUCCCCUCCUAAUUUAUGUUAUGAUGCAGUGGUCGAGACACUCUCCACUAUCAAUAAUACAAGCCUGCCAAACUUGUCAUCUGAAUCUGUUCAGUUUCCUCUACCUCGAAUGCAACGGAAAAAAUGUAUAUUUGUGAACCAAUUACUGGUUGAAGAAAUGAUGAAAAUCAUGGAGGAAUCAUAGGUGCACAUUCUUGUGCAACAACAACUGAUCAAUGUUUUCAGAGACAAUGUAGCAAAGAAGGAAGAACUUGCUCACAUGCUUAUGGGCGUCAUCCAUGCUAAGGUUGCAGAUUGUAAGGUUGUAGAUCAUUAGGUUCUGUUCAUUUAUUUGCACUGGCAUCAAUCUUUGAUUGCCCAGUGGAUGUAAUUUCCUGUAAUAUAAGCUGGAUGUGCAACGUUUUUCCAUGUAUGGCGUAUGUUUGCUUAGCGCGCUUGCAUUCCAGCUAACUGGUCGCUAGGAAGCUAAAAAAGCAGUGAAAUUAUUAGUUAGCACGAACAGUCAUGGGCCCUAUAUGAAGGAAGAAGCCCACUGCCCUUAAUGGGCUUCCCUAAUGGGCUCGCAGGGGCCAAAAUUCUCAUAGGGCCUUUGAUUGAUCGGUUUUGCUCCUGUCCAUAAUUGCUCGUCGUAAUGGGCUCAAAUUAUCUAAUUGGGCCCACAAGCAUGUUCGAACUUUAGUGGGCCCAUUAAGUUAAUGGGCUGUAACCAGGCCGAAAGCUCUAUUGGGUCGCUGUAAUUGUAACGAGCUGACAGUUAAUGCUCGGCCCUAUUACCUCCCGGGUCGUUAACAGGUCGACAUUGAAGCGGGCAACAGGUGGGCCCAUUUGAUUUCACGGGCCGUUAACAUGCUGAUACUAAGGUCGGGCUACAUAUGGCCCAACUAUACUGUGGGCCUUUAGCAGGCCAAAAGAGACAACGAGCUCGUACUGGACCAUGAAGAGCAUGGGCCGCUAAGAGGCCAAAAGUCAGAUCGUACUGUAUAUGGCCCAACUGUGUUGUGGGCCUUUAGCAGGCCGAAAGAGAAACCGGGCUGGUAUUGGACCAUGAAGAGUAUGGGCCAUUAAAAGGCCAAAACUCAGGUCCGACUGCAAAUGGCCCAACUCAUUUAUGGGCCGUUAACAGGCUGAAAGACACACCAGGCCGGAAAUUGGCCCAACAACUAAAUGGGUCACUAAAAGGCCGAAAGACAUACAUCCUGAAAAUUGGCCCAUCCCUUGAAUGGGUCGUUAACAUGCUGAAACCACAUCGGGCCUAUAUUGAGCCCAAAUAUAUAGCGAGCUAUUAACGGGCUCGAACUGACGAUGGGUGAUACAUCCAUUUUGCAUCAUGCUUUUAUGACAAUAUUUAUUGCAUUAUGGGCUGCUAUUUCACGUUAUGUCACAAUACUUAUGGCUAUUCUCUCUUAUUUUACAAGGUUUAUAUGAAGAGGGAGAAUGCCGGCAGCUGGAAUUCUGGGCUGGAAAAGGAGCAAAUAUUGGAGGCCUAUUCUACACAACCCAAAAGUCCUGAAACUCCACGGAAUACCUUGAAAUAAAUAAAGAAAAAUCGUCACCAAAGAUGAAGGCCAGGGGGCCCAUACCCUGCUCACUAGGGUGGGGGCGCGCCCUCCCUGGGCGCGCCCCCCUAACUCGUGGCCCCCCUGGUGGCUCUCCAACGCCCAUCUUCUCCUAUAUGAAGUCUUUCGAUGAGAAAAAAAUAAGAAGCAACCUUUCGGGACGAGACUCCGCCGCCACGAGGCAGAACCUUGGCGGAACCAAUCUAGGGCUCCUGCAGAGCUGUUCUGCCGGGGACACUUCCCUCCAGGAGGGGGAAAUCAUCACCAUCGUCAUCACCAACGCUCCUCUCAUCGGGAGAGGGCAAUCUCCAUCAACAAUCUUCACCAGCACCAUCUCAUCUCCAAACCCUAGUUCAUCUCUUGUAUCCAAUUCUUGUCUCCAAGUCCGGGAUUGGUGCUAGUAGGUUGCUAGUAGUGUUGAUUACUCCUUGUAGUUGAUGCUAGUUGGUUUAUUUGGUGGAAGAUCAUAUGUUCAGAUCCUUUACACAUAUUAUUACCCCUCUGAUUAUGAAUAUGAAUAUGCUUUGUGAGUAAUUACGUUUGUUCCUGAGGACAAGGGAGAAGUCUUGCUAUUAGUAGUCAUGUGAAUUUGGUAUUCGUUCUAUAUUUUGAUAAGAUGUAUGUUGUCUAGCCUCUAGUGGUGUUAUGUGAAUGUCGACUACAUAACACUUCACCAUUAUUUGGGCCUAGAGGAAGGCAUUGGGAAGUAAUAAGUAGAUGAUGGGUUGCUAGAGUGACAGAAGCUUAAACCCUAGUUUAUGCGUUGCUUCGUAAGGGGCUGAUUUGGAUCCAUAUGUUUCAUGCUAUGGUUAGGUUUACCUUAAUACUUUUGUUGUAGUUGCGGAUGCUUGCAAUAGAGGUUAAUCAUAAGUGGGAUGCUUGUCCAAGUAAGGGCAGUAACCAAGCACCGGUCCACCCACAUAUCAAAUUAUCAAAGUAUCGAACGCGAAUCAUAUGAGCGUGAUGAAAACUAGCUUGACGAUAUUCCCAUGUGUCCUCGGGAGCACUUUUCCUAUUAUAAGAGUUUGUCCAGGCUUGUCCUUUGCUACAAAAACAAUUGGGCCACCUUGCUGCACUUUAUUUACUUUUGUUACUUGUUGCUCGUUACAAUUUAUCUUAUCACAAAACUAUCUGUUACCACUUAUUUCAGUACUUGCAGAGAAUACCUUGCUGAAAACCGCUUAUCAUUUCCUUCUGCUCCUCGUUGGGUUCGACACUCUUACUUAUCGAAAGGACUACGAUAGAUCCCCUAUACUUGUGGGUCAUCAAGACUCUUUUUUGGCGCCGUUGCCGGGGAGUGAAGCGCCUUUGGUAGGUGGAAUUUGGUAUGGAAAAAUUUAUUUAGUGUGCUGAAAUUUUCUGUCACUUGUUACUAUGGAAAGUAAUUGUCUGAGGGGCUUGUUUGGGGUAUCUUCACCCCGUCCAGUCGAGCAAAGAGUUGCUCCUCAACCUACUCAACCUACUGAACCUAUUGAAAAUGAAACCCCUUUUGAGAUUCCUUCGGGUUUGAUGGAAAAACUGCCAGCUAACACUUUUACAGGAGAUGGAACAAAGCAUCCUGAUGAAGAUCUACGCUAUGUGGAUGAUGUUUGUGGACUAUUUAAGCUUGCAGGUAUACCCGAUGAUGUUGUUAAAAAGAAGGCUUUCCCUUUAUCUUUAAAGGGAGACGCAUUGACAUGGUAUAGGCUAUGUGGUGAUACGACAUCCUGGAACUAUAAAAGAUUGAAGUUGGAAUUUCAUCAAAAGUAUUACCCUAUGCAUCUUGUUCAUCGUGAUCGCAAUUAUAUAUAUAAUUUUUGGCCUCGCGAAGGAGAAAGCAUCGCUCAAGCUUGGGGGAGGCUUAAAUCAAUGUUAUAUUCAUGCCCCAAUCAUGAGCUCGCAAGAGAAGUGAUUAUGCAAAGUUUUUAUGCUCGGCUUUCUCAUAACAAUCGCACCAUGCUCUAUACUUCUUGUGCUGGCUCUUUUAUGAUGAAGACUAUUGAAUUCAGAUGGAAUUUAUUGGAUAGAAUUAAAUGCAACUCUGAAGAUUGGGACCUCGACGAAGGUAAGGAGUCAGGUAUGACACCUAAGUUUGAUUGUGUUAAAUCUUUUAUGGAUACCGAUAUUUUCCGUAAGUUUAGCACUAAAUAUGGACUUGACUCUGAGAUAGUAGCUUCUUUCUGUGAAUCUUUUGCUACUUAUGUUGAUCUCCCCAAGGAGAAGUGGUUCAAAUAUCAUCCUCCCAUAGAAGUAAAAGUAGUUGCACCUAUUAAAGUUGAAGAAAAGAUUGUCACUUAUAAUGAUCCUAUUGUUCCCACUUCUUAUGUUGAGAAACCACCUUUCCCCGUUAGAAUGAAGGAUCAUGCUAAAGCUUCAACUGUUGUUCGUAAAAGCAAUAUUAGAACUUAUACACCUCCUGAGCAAGUCAAAGUAGAACCUAAUAUUGCUAUUGUUAAAGAUCUCUUGUCUGACAAUAUUGAUGGGCAUGUUAUUCAAUUCUGUGGUGAAACUGCCAGAAUUGCUAAACCUUGUGAUAAAGAUAAACAUAGACCUGUGGUAGGCGUGCAUGUUAUUUCUGUUAAAAUAGGAGAUCAUUGUUAUCAUGGCUUGUGUGAUAUGGGUGCUAGUGCUAGUGUUAUACCCAUUGACUUAUACAAAGAAAUUAUGCAUGAUAUUGCACCGGCUGAGUUAGAAGGUAUUGAUGUUACAAUUAAACUUGCCAAUAGAGAUACUAUUUCUCCAGUGGGAAUUGUUAGAGAUGUUGAAGUCUUGUGUGGAAAAACCAAAUAUCCCGCUGAUUUUCUUGUUCUUGGUUCUCCACAAGAUAGCUUUUGUCCCAUUGUAUUUGGUAGACCCUUCUUGAAUAUUGUUAAUGCUAAGAUAGAUUGCAAAAAGAAUGUUGUUACUAUUGGCUUGGAUGAUAUGGUUCAUUAGUUUAAUUUCUCUAAAUUCAGUAAACAACAUCGUGAGGAAGAAUCGCCUAGUAAGGAUGAAAUUAUUGGUCUUGCCUCUAUUGCUGUACCUCCUAGUGAUCCUUUAGAACAGUAUUUGCUAGACCAUGAAAAUGAUAUGUUCAUGAAUGAAAGAAGGGAAAUAGAUGAAGUAUUCUUUAAACAGGAACCUAUUCUGCAACACAAUUUGCCUGUUGAAAUCCUAGGGGAUCCUCCUCCACCCAAGGGUGAUCCCGUGUUUGAGCUUAAACCGUUGCCUGAUAAUCUUAAAUAUGCUUAUCUUGAUGAAAAGAAAAUAUAUCCUGUCAUUAUUAGUGCUAACCUUUCAGAGCAUGAAGAAGAAAGAUUAUUGAAAACUCUGAAGAAGCACCGUGCCGCUAUUGGAUAUACUCUGGAUGAUCUUAAGGGUAUCAGUCCCACUCUAUGCCAACAUAAAAUAAAUUUGGAAGCAGAUGCCAAACCAGUUUGUGAUCCUCAAUGACGUUUGAAUCCUAAAAUGAAAGAAGUGGUAAGAAAAGAAAUAUUCAAGCUUCUGGAGGCAUGUAUAAUUUAUCCCGUUGCUGAUAAUCAGUGGGUAAGUCCUGCCCAUUGUGUCCCUAAGAAGGGAGGUAUUACUGUUGUCCCUAAUGAUAAAGAUGAAUUGAUUCCGCAAAGAAUUAUCACAAGCUAUAGGAUGGUAAUUGAUUUCCGCAAAAUAAAUAAAGCUAGUAAGAAAGAUCAUUACCCCUUACCUUUUAUUGAUCAAAUGCUAGAAAGAUUAUGCAAACAUACACAUUAUUGCUUCCUAGAUGGUUAUUCUAGUUUCUCUCAAAUACCUGUGUCAGCUAAGGAUCAAUCAAAGACUACUUUUACAUGCCCUUUUGGUACUUUUGCUUAUAGACGUAUGCCUUUUGGUUUAUGUAAUGCACCUUCUACCUUUCAAAGAUGCAUGAUGGCUAUAUUCUUUGACUUUUGUGAAAAAAAUUGUGAGGUUUUCAUGGACGAUUUUUCCGUCUAUGGUUCCUCUUUUGAUGAUUGCUUAAGCAAUCUUGAUCGAGUUUUGUAGACAUGUGAAGAAACUAAUCUUGUCUUGAAUUGGGAAAAGUGCCACUUUAUGGUUAAUGAACGUAUUGUCUUGGGGCACAAAGUUUUUGAAAGAGGUAUUGAAGUUGAUAAGGCCAAGGUUGAUGCUAUUGAAAAGAUGCCAUGUCCCAAGGACAUCAAAGGUAUAAGAAGUUUCCUUGGUCAUGCCGGAUUUUGUAGGAGGUUCAUUAAGGACUUCUCAAAAAUUUCUCGGCCUCUGACUAAUUUAUUACAAAAAGAUGUACCAUUUGUCUUUGAUGAUGAUUGUGUAGAAGCAUUUGAAAUACUUAAGAAAGCAUUAGUCUCUGCACCUGUUGUUCAGCCACCUGAUUGGAAUUUACCCCUUAAAAUUAUGUGUGAUGCUAGUGAUUAUGCUGUAGGUGCUGUUCUAUGGCAAAGAGUUGAUAAAAAAUUAAAUGUUAUCCAUUAUGCUAGUAAGACUCUAGACAAUGCUCAAAGAAACUAUGCUACUACCGAAAAGGAACUUUUAGCAGUUGUAUUUGCUUGUGAUAAAUUCAAACCCUAUAUGUUGAUUCUAAAGUAACUAUUCACACUGAUCAUGCUGCUAUUAAAUAUCUUAUGGAAAAGAAGGAUGCAAAACCUAGACUCAUUAGAUGGUUUCUUCUGCUGCAAGAAUUUGAUUUACAUAUCGUUGAUAGAAAAGGAGCUGAGAACCCCGUUGCAGAUAACUUAUCUAGGUUAGAGAAUGUUCUUGAUGACCCACUACCUAUUGAUGAUAGCUUCCCUGAUGAGCAAUUAAAUGUCAUAAGCACUUCUCGUAGCACUCCAUGGUAUGCUGAUUAUGCUAAUUAUAUUGUUGCUAAAUUUAUACCACCUAGCUUCACAUACCAACAAAAGAAAAAGUUUUUCUAUGACUUGCGACAUUACUUUUGGGAUGACCCACAUCUUUAUAAAGAAGGAGUAGAUGGUGUCAUUAGACGUUGUGUACCUGAGCAUGAAUAGGAACAGAUCCUACACAAGUGUCACUCCAAAGCUUAUGGAGGACACCAUGCUGGAGAUAGAACUGCACAUAAGGUAUUGCAAUCUGGUUUUUAUUGGCCCACUCUCUUUAAGGAUGCCCGUAAGUUUGUUUUGUCUUGCGAUGAAUGUCAAAGAAUUGUUAAUAUUAGUAGACGUCAAGAAAUUCCUAUGAAUUAUUCACUUAUUAUUGAACCAUUUGAUGUUUGGGGCUUUGAUUAUAUGGGACCUUUUCCUGCCUCUAAUGGUUAUACUCAUAUUUUAGUUGCUGUUGAUUACGUUACUAAGUGGGUAGAAGUUAUUCCAACUAGUAGUGAUGAUCAUAACACUUCUAUUAAAAUGCUUAAGGAAGUUAUUUUUCCGAGGUUUGGAGUCCCUAGAUAUUUAAUGACUGAUGGUGGUUCACACUUUAUUCAUGGUGCUUUCCGUAAGAUGCUUGCCAAAUAUGACAUUAAUCAUAGGAUUGCAUCUCCUUAUCACCCACAGUCCAGUGGUCAAGUAGAGUUGAGCAAUAGAGAGCUCAAAUUAAUUUUGCAAAAGAAUGUUAAUAGGUCUAGAAAGAAUUGGUCCAAGAAACUUGAUGAUGCAUUAUUGGCCUAUAGAACUACAUAUAAAAAUCCUAUGGGUAUGUCUCCGUAUAAAAUGGUUUAUGGAAAAGCUUGUCACUUACCCCUCGAACUAGAACACAAGGCAUACUGGGCUAUUAAAGAGCUCAACUAUGAUUUCAAACUUGCCGGUGAGAAGAGGUUAUUUGAUAUCAGCUCACUUGAUGAAUGGAGAACCCAAGCUUAUGAAAAUGCCAAGUUGUUUAAAGAAAAGGUUAAAAGAUGGCAUGACAAAAGGAUACAAAAGCGUGAGUUUAAUGUAGGUGAUUAUGUAUUGCUAUACAACUCUUGUUUAAGAUUUUUUGCAGGAAAACUUCUCUCCAAAUGGGAAGGUCCCUACGUUAUCAAGGAGGUUUAUCAUUCCGGUGCCAUAAAAAUCAACAACUUCGAAGGCACAAAUCCAAAGGUGGUAAACGGUCAAAGGAUCAAACACUAUAUCUCAGGUAAUCCUAUAAAUGUUGAAACCAAUAUUAUCGAAACCGUAACCCCGGAGGAAUACAUAAGGGACACUUUCCAGCCCGCUUCAGACUCUGAAAAGGAAUAGGUAUGUGGUACGGUAAGUAAACCGACUCCAAAACAAUUUUUAAGGCAAUAUUUCUCCAUUUUGGAAUAUUUAGAAAAAUAGAAAAAUAAGUAGCAGUCCGGGGAGGACACGAGGCCUCCACGAGGGUGGAGGGCGCGCCCUACCCCCCAGGGCGCGCCCCCUACCUCAUGAGCACCUCGUGUGCCCUCUGGACUCUGUUUCCUUGCACGAUACGUAUUUUGGUCGGUAAAAAUUCAUUAUAUAUACUCCCGAAGAUUUUGACUCCCGUAUCACGCAAAUAUCCUUUGUUUUCGUUUCGAGCUGUUGCUGCUGUAGAUUAAAGCAAGAUGUCAUCUCAAGAUUCGGAGGGAGAAAGCUAUGUGGCUGAUUACCUUGCAGACCCUGAGGUCUACGGGGACUUGGACCAUAGUGGCUGGACCACGGAAGAGGAAGAAGACUAUGAGCCUAAGGAGAAGGAGGAAACAAGCUCAGACGAAGAUGAAGUUCUGCUACCUCAACCGGGGGAUGUGCAUGUGGAGUUUAAAAAGUCAAGUCUACCUGAUAGAGCGAAGAAGCCAAAGAUCGAGUUUAUCCCUUUUUGUCUCUUGCAGGAAAAUAAGCAAGAACUAUGCAAAAGAGUAUUAAGUCUUGAGCGGGAGAUCGAAGACCUAAAAGAGCAAAACAUUAUGCUCAAGCGUAAAUUGAGGAAGAAGUCAACCUCAUCAUCAACAACACCACCUCCAUCACCUCCGAGGAAAUAAUCACAUGGGUAUGGGCACCCCCCUUGGCAACUGCCAAGCUUGGGGGAGGUGCCCUGGUAUCAUAUCACCAUCACAACUCCUAUCUUUACCGUAUUUCUUAGUUCGAUCCUAUUAGUAGUAUCUUGAUUUAGUAGAAUAAAGUCAUGGCAUGAUCUAGUUUUGAGUUUUGCUUUAUGAUCCUUCUUUGUAAUCGAGUCCGUGAGCUAUAUAAUAAAGAUUAGUGUUGAGUCAAGGGCUUGAUUGUUUUACCAUGAUCUUGGGUGGUUAGAAGAAAAAGAAUAAAAAGAAUCAAAGAGUUCAUAUUGAUCUUAGUGAAAGUGAUGACUUCACAUAGAGAGAGUAUGAUGAUUAAAAGUUGUUGGGAGUUGGAAAAUAUAGCUUUGGUCAUCGUUGCAAUUAAUAGGAAGUAAUAAGGAAAGAGAGGUUUCACAUAUAGAUAUAUUAUCAUUGACAUCUUUUAUGAUUGGGAGCACUCAUUAAAAUAUGACAUGCUAAAGAGUUGAGGUUGGACAAGGAAGACAACAUAAUGAGUUAUGUUUCCUUGCAUCCAAGAUAAAGUAUGUUGUCAUGGAUCCUCUACCGUGUUGAGCUUGCCUUUCCUCCUCAUGCUAGCCAAAUUCUUAGCACCAAGUAUAAAUACUACUUGUGCUUCCAAAUACCCUUAAACCAGUUUUGGCAUUAGAGUCCACCAUAUCUACCUAUGGAUUGAGUAAGAUCCUUCAAGUAAGUUGUCAUCGGUGCAAGCAAUAAAAAUUGCUCUCUAAAUAUGCAUGACUUAUUAGUGCAAAGAAAUAAGCUUUGUACGAACUUGUUGUGGACGCAAUAAAAGCGACGGACUGCAUAAUAAAGGUUCACAUACAAGGGGCAAUAUAAAGUGACAUUCUUUUGCAUUAAGAUUUUGUGCAUCAACCCUAAAUGCGCAUGACAACCUCUGCUUCCCUAUGCGAAGGGCCUAUCUUUUAUUAUUAUCCUCUACCUUAUACAAGAGUCACGGUGAUCCUCACCUUUCCUUUUUCAUUUUAUCCUUUGACAAGCUCAGCAUGUUGGAAAGAGUAUGAUAUACAUAUCUAAUUGGAUGUGGGGGAGCAUGAAUUAUUAUUGUUGACAUUACCCUUGAGGUAAAAGGUUGUGGGGCAAAACUAUAAGCCCCUAUCUUUCUCUGUGUCCGAUUAAAACUCUGUAACCACAAGUAUCGCGUGAGUGCUAGCAAUUAUGAAGGACUAAAUGAUAGUUGAGUAUGUGGACUUGCUUUUGAGCUCUGACAUAGACUCUUUCCGAUGUUAUGAUAAAUUGCAAUUGCUUCAAUGACUGAGAUUAUAAUUGUUAGUGCCUAAUAAGGUUUCUGAUUCAUGCUUUGGCUUUGUGAAAAGAUCAUCACUUGAACAUGAGUAAUCAUAUGACAAAAUCUAUAUAAGUUGCUGUUAUGAAAUAAUCAUGAUGCCUUCAUGUCCGUAUUUUAUUGUUAUCGACGCCUCUACCUCUAAACAUGAGGACAUAUUUAUUGUUAUCGGCUUUCCGCUUGAGGACAAGCGAGGUCUAAGCUUGGGGGAGUUGAUACGUCCAUUUUAGAUCAUGCUUUUAUGACAAUAUUUAUUGCAUUAUGUGCUGCUAUGUCACGUUAUGUCACAAUACUUAUGGCUAUUCUCUCUUAUUUUACAAGGUUUACAUGAAGAGGGAGAAUGCCGGCAGUUCGAAUUCUGGGCUGGAAAAGGAGCAAAUAUUGGAGGCCUAUUCUACACAACUCCAAAAGUCCUGAAACUCCACGGAAUACCUUGAAAUAAAUAAAGAAAAAUCAUCACCAAAGAUGAAGGCCAGGGGGCCCACACCCUGCUCACUAGGGUGGGGGCGCGCCCCCCUGGGCGCGCCCCCCUAACUCGUGCCCCCCCUGGUGGCUCUCCGACGCCCAUCUUCUCCUAUAUGAAGUCUUUCGAUGAGAAAAAAAAGAAGCAACCUUUCGGGACGAGACUCCGCCGCCACGAGGCGGAACCUUGGCGGAACCAAUCUAGGGCUCCUGCAGAGCUGUUCUGCCGGGACACUUCCCUCCGGGAGGGGGAAAUCAUCACCAUCAUCAUCACCAACGCUCCUCUCAUCGGGAGAGGGCAAUCUCCAUCAACAAUCUUCACCAGCACCAUCUCAUCUCCAAACCCUAGUUCAUCUCUUGUAUCCAAUUCUUGUCUCCAAGUCCGGGAUUGGUGCUAGUAGGUUGCUAGUAGUGUUGAUUACUCCUUGUAGUUGAUGCUAGUUGGUUUAUUUGGUGGAAGAUCACAUGUUCAGAUCCUUUACGCAUAUUAUUACCCCUAUGAUUAUGAACAUGAAUAUGCUUUGUGAGUAAUUACGUUUGUUCCUGAGGACAAGGGAGAAGUCUUGCUAUUAGUAGUCAUGUGAAUUUGGUAUUUGUUCGAUAUUUUGAUAAGAUGUAUGUUGUCUAGCCUCUAGUGGUGUUAUGUGAACGUCGACUACAUAACACUUCACCAUUAUUUGGGCCUAGAGGAAGGCAUUGGGAAGUAAUAAGUAGAUGAUGGGUUGCUAGAGUGACAGAAGCUUAAACCCUAGUUUAUGCGUUGCUUCGUAAGGGGCUGAUUUGGAUCCAUAUGCUUCAUGCUAUGGUUAGGUUUGCCUUAAUACUUUUGUUGUAGUUGUGGAUGCUUGCAAUAGAGGUUAAUCAUAAGUGGGAUGCUUGUCCAAGUAAGGGCAGUACCCAAGCACCGGUCCACCCACAUAUCAAAUUAUCAAAGUAUCGAACGCGAAUCAUAUGAGCGUGAUGAAAACUAGCUUGACGAUAUUCCCAUGUGUCCUCGGGAGCGCUUUUCCUAUUAUAAGAGUUUGUCCAGGCUUGUCCUUUGCUACAAAAAGGAUUGGGCCACCUUGCUGCACUUUAUUUACUUUUGUUACUUGUUGCUUGUUACAAUUUAUCUUAUCACAAAACUAUCUGUUACCACUUAUUUCAGUACUUGCAGAGAAUACCUUGCUGAAAACCGCUUAUCAUUUCCUUCUGCUCCUCGUUGGGUUCGACACUCUUACUUAUCGAAAGGACUACGAUAGAUCCCCUAUACUUGUGGGUCAUCAAUGGGCUGCAAUGCUGUCAAAUCGUUGACGGGCCGUUGACAGGCCGAAUUGGCACAUCUCGUAUGGGCCAUGGGCUUAAAUGGACCUGACACAAGUAGGCCUUAUAUGGGCCAGCCUGCUAAUUUUGACUAGACCGGUCUUUUUUACCUGAAUGGGCCACUGUUGGGCCUUGCCACGUGCUGACGUAACAUAGGCGCCUCCCGUACUAUGAGUGGAUGACAUUUGUCCCAACACUGAGCCGACACGUGGAUCCUCCGGCGAAUGAGAAUUUUAUACGUGGAAUUUCCCCAUUGGUCGGGGUUGUUAACGGGUUAUCGGAUCCAAACCGGCACCCGAUAGCUUAACGGCGACCCGUUACGGUGGAUGCCACGUGUCGGUCACCCUUGACGAAAACACUUCCAUGACGUGUCAUUUAUCGUCAUGGAAGUGGACACUUCCGUGAUGAUAAUUUUGGUAUUGUCAUGGAACACUUCUACGAUAGCACAUGUAUGACUAUCUUGAUUCUGUCAUAAAAUCGUCAUGGAUGUACAUGCAUGACAGAAAACGUGACCUACUGUGACAAACACGUAUCAUCACGGAAGUGUAUUUUUUUAUAGUGGAUGCAUGGGUCAUCUAAUCUCCGAGGUAUGGCCCGCUCCCUGUGAAAUGGUACACAAACACACCCCACCACCACCGAGUUAAGAGGGUCACCUCCAUUGUCCAACGAUGAUGGUCAGAGAGGAGAUGCCGGUGCCACGAGAGGAGUGGAGGGAAGUGGAGGUCAGUGGUGAUGGUCCGCAUGAGGCGAAGGGGAGGAAAGAGACGCGAUAAAAGCCAUCCAAAAGGGAAUAUACUUGUUUGGUUUUAAGGGCGUGCACAACAUGGCGCCUCCGUGCCAGGUCUGGAUGAGGCAAACAUCAGCUGGAGAGGAGAGCAUCUUGUAGUGGAAAUUUAUAGUGGCAGGCUGGCAACUAGUUGCUAUUGAUUUGGAUUCAUGAUGGCGAAGUAGGAGCACCUAUAGUAGGUAGAAUUAUGUAUAGGUUUAGUUAGCAGUAAAGUCGGUCCGGUCCAUUCAUUUUUCUUAGCAAAGCAGCCCAUUUAUUUAAUGUCUGAAAACUCCGAAAUUUCACACAAAACCGCAAGAUCAUCCUCGCACAAAAAAGACCAUCAUAUUAAUUUAUUUGCCAACAUAUUUCACUCCUCUAAGUCUUUGUAUCAACAUUCAAGUAUCUAAUCAUUGUCUUGCUUUGUGAGAUAAUUCUCUUUCUCAAAAAUACCCUCAUCUUCCUCAUUGUAUAUCAUAUUGACCAUUUGAAGUAAAAUUGUGGAAACUCUCUUUGGUAACCGAUUGUGUGUGACGAUUGACUAUAAACCGUAUGAGCCCUUUUACUUUCCCCACCAUGCUUCAAGGGGGCAAUCUUUUUACGACAAAAGGUGUUCUGUUUUUAUGUCAUAUGCUCUUUUGUAUCCUUUUAGGUUAGUUAUAAUAAUUGUUAAAAACAUGCAUCGAAAACUGUAGAAAGGCAAACAUACUUUAGGAGUACCCCAUGUAAACCUGGAUGGAGCUUGUCGUCUUGAUUUCUUUUUGAAAAACUCUGCUCAUGGACUUUUUUUUGAACAACUACAAAACCAUAUGGAUAUUACUAAACUCCUACUCAUAUUUAACCUUGAUGGAGUAUCAAACCCAUAGCACCCUCUACCGCCUUUUUCCAACGAUGAUAAUGAGACUCCAAUAUCCCACCCUCGGUGGUGACGAGCUUCUCAAGUUUUCUGAUUCAUUAUGGUCGUGUACACCUACAAACCAAAGCGGUGGCUAAGCGGAUACACCUACAAACCAAAGCGGCGGCGGCUGCAGUAGCACCUCUGGACGUUUGGGCCCUCAGUUCUUUGGCUUCGGAUCCGGUGACCGUACUUCGUCUCCGAGAUGUUUGGCAGUGAUGACUUCCUGUCCGCGUGAUUCUUUAAGGUUCGCCGCAAUUUGGCAGCGGGGUUGCCGGAGCGGCUGCGGUGGCGCGCCAUCGGCCCAUCCUGGAGGUUUGAGAAGUGUGAGAUUCCAGGGACCUGAUUGUAAUUUCUUUCUUUUUCAGGGGUGUCUUGUACCGCUGGUCUCUGGUUAAUAGAUCUGAGGGUCUUUUCGCAAAAAAAGAUACACCUACAAACCAAAGCAGGUGGUUAAGCCGAUGCAACGAGAAUAUUCAAUUCAAUUCCACUACCAAUGCAACCAUCACCGCCGAACACGCCUCCCUCAUUUCCUUGCUCAUCCCGGACUCCCCUCCCAACCACACCCCCUACCCAUGCGCGCGGUGACUUCACUUUUCUUCGCGCCACUCAUGUGUCUUUCAGGCAAAUGUUUUCUCAUUUUAAUUGUUAGCAUACUUUGUACUGUUUGCAAAAUUUACAGUUCAAAAUCGUGCAAUGAAGACUGAAAAGGGGUCGAACGAGGAAGGAUUAAGUCUGAAGUAUUCAUAAACCUGCUCGGAGUACAACAAAAAACUCAAAGAGCCCUCGGUAACCCCGCCGGAACCCCAAACCCUUCUGCCCCCGCCCCCGCCCCCUACAUUCCGAUGGCGACGGCGGUGUCGGCGCCCGUCUCUACGGCGACGGUGCGGGUCUCCAAUAUCCCGCCCUCCGCCGUCGCUAAGGAGCUCCUAGCAUUCUUCAAUUCCGCCGUCGCCGCCGCCGGCGAAGCCUACGCCUGCGAGAUCGCCGCCGCCCGACGCGGCUGGUUAAGUCGAGGCGAUGGGAGCGUUCAGUUCGAUUCCACCGCCACCGCAACCCUCGCCGUCGAACUCGCCUCCUCCGGUCGCCUACCCCGCUUCCUCGGCUCCCUCCUCUCCGUCUCCCCUGCCCCAGGGGACCUUCUCCCCCGCGCGCCGGACCUUUCUCUCCGCGUGGUCGACGCCCGCCUCCUUGUAGGCAACCGCGUCGCCGAGCGCGAAUUGGAGGCGGCUGACUCUUGGGACGGCGUCCGCGUGGAGGUCAUCCCAGCGAAGCGGCGGAUAGACCUGUACCUGAAUCACGAUUCCCAGAGGUACAAGCUGGAGGUUUUCUUCGAGGACAUCAGGAACUGCUACCGGUGCAGCUUCGAUGGGGCCGACGCCAUCUUGCUUCAGGUGAGCUGCUCAGGGUGUUUAUUUUUUGAACGUUGAAGACUGUAGGAGUGGCUCCUACAGUCAUAUAUUAAUCAAAAAAGUAUUUACAUAGUGUAAAGGGUGUAGUCGGGCUUUUGCCCCAAUCACAGGGACCCCAUUGAGCAGUACCGAGGAUUUCCCAGAACCAAAGAUGCAUUUGAUCAAUCCUAACCAUUUCUCGUCAAAGCGCAUGUGUCUCAUGACCUCAAUCAUAGCCGGGUGUUCUAUAGUGUCCAAGGCCUUGGAAAAGUCCAGUUUCAGAAUAAACGCCCGUGAUCCAGAGGCUUGACAUUGGUAUAUAUACUCGAACGCCCAAGCCAAGCAGUCCUGUAUUGUUCUCCCUUUCAAAAAUCCGUAUUGGUUCCUGUGAAUGACUUUUAGAAUCCAUUUCUGUAACCGAUCAGCAAGCAGUUUGGUUAUUAGCUUCGGACAACAGUUUAGCAGUGUGAUGGGGCAAAAUCAUUUGCUGUCUGGGGUGAGUGGAUCUUCAGAAUGAGAAUGAUGAACCUGGUGUUUAUGCUUUCCAGAUUGAGUUCUCCUGCGUGGAAAUAAUUUCUGAUUUGGAGGCGAAGAUACCCCCAAUCUUUCUUUAAACGCAUUGAGCAGUAUCCCUUUGUUGCCUGCAUGGUUCUCAGCCUCAGUGCCAUCGGGUAAUUUCAGCAUGGCGAUGAAGUUAUUUCGGUAUCGCUCCGUGGCCAUCCGGUGGAAAGUUUUCGUAUUUUCCUCUGCGAAACGAAUAACCCUGACAGUGCAUCUUUUUCUCCAGUGUUGGUUCUGAAAGUUCAGACGCUGCAGUAGGUGAGCUUUUAGAAUUCGCCUGAAGUUCGAUUCCGGGGUUGUGAGUGUUCUCAGGUUUUUCAAUUCAUCCAGCUCGUUAACAGCCCAUUCAGUGUUUUGGAUCAGCACUUUGAGACGUGAGAGGCCUUCACUCCACUUCUUAAGGGUGUACCUUAGUCUUCUCAUUUUCUGGCAAAUCCUGGCUGCACUAUUAUGCAAAUAACUUGGUUUGGACCAAGAAGUAUUCACCACAUCAAAGAAGCAUCUUUGCUGCACCCAGUAAGAUUCUAACCUGAAAAUUUUGCUCGCGGGGAUCGAUGAUUCUAUACUGACCAAACAAGGCGUGUGGUCGGAGAUUGGUUUGGCCAUGGCAGUAACCUUGGUAUUAGGAUAUACUGAAGUCCAAUUGUUAGACGUGAAGAACCAGUCGAGUUGGUCACCAUGUUGCUGUGAUACUUCUGUUUUUCCUUUGUACAUUAUAUAUUAGUCAGACAUUGCAGUUAUAGGGCGAGGUACAAAUUUGAAGACGGAAGCUCUAGAUGUACUUCCUCCCUCAAUACUUGCGUGAGCUGAAAAAUUGGCAAGUUCUCGAGUCAGUAAACUAGAGUGAACCAUCAGAGUGGUCUGGUGUGCAAUUAUGCGUUAGAGCCCAUAAAGUAAGAUGGAUAGUGGUGCUACUUUUAUUUCCACUCCUAUAAAUAUCUCAGUUGGUGGUUACUAAUUGGAGCGAAAUGAAUAUGAAGCUUAUCUGAUGAAUACACAUCACCUUUACUUUUCUAAAUUUACUGAUUGUCAUACUUCUUAGACUAUAAGUUGGUGAGGCGCAACACUCUUUUAAUUCUUUCUAUAAUUCUGAAGUUGGUAAAAUAUAUAUUAUCUUGACUAAUGUUAAUUUAAUAUUUGUUUCAGCUCAUGUAUGCACCAAGGAUAUGCACAACAAUUUCUGGGCCUGCAGUUUAUUCAAGGUUCUCAGAUGACCGCUUUCAUGCAUGCAAGGAGGAUGCAAAAUUUACCUGGGUCAGAGCACUAGAUUUUACACCCAACCACUCUUUUGGGAAGUGUUCAACUCUUGCCCUCGUACUUGAUGAAGGUGCACCGAUGUCAUUUAUUCUCAACAGCUUACCUUUGUCAGGAGAAUUAGGGAAAUUGGUCAUUUCUUCAAUGGAAUUUUUUGGCCCGUCGUCCAAAGUCGUUCCCCUUGUUGACUGCCCAAGUGGUUGUUCAGUGUCAUAUGAAGUUCUUUUUCGUCUCAAUUCUCUCGUUCACAUGGGGAAGAUAGUUGCCAAGGAUGUUAAUGCUGAUCUGUUUAAAGCACUUGAAGAAAUACCACUUCAUAUUUCAAGGAGGAUUUUUGAGAAAAUGAGCAAGUUAGACUUCACAUGCUAUAAACCUUUGCAAUUCAUCCAGCAGGAGGCUCAUAGCAGGAAGAGGAGCCAUGAUGCUUUGCUUUCCAGUAAGACUGAAGGUGAAGGAAAGUUAAUUAUGUGUUACAGAAUUCACAUCACUCCAUCCAAAAUAUACUGCUUGGGACCUGAGGAAGAAGUUCCAAAUUAUGUGGUUAAGCAUCACAAACAGCAUGCUUCUGACUUUGCUAGAGUUACUUUUGUCGAUGAAGACUGGAGUAAGCUUUUUCCAGAUGCUAUCUCUGCUAGAAUUGGACGAGGGUUAUUUUCUCAACCCUUGAAAACUGGCCUAUAUUAUCGUAUUUUAUCCAUCCUGAAAGAAGGAUUUUCCAUUGGUCCAAAGAAGUAUGAAUUCCUGGCCUUCUCAGCAAGUCAACUUCGUGGAAGUUCUGUCUGGAUGUUUGCUUCUAAUGAUUCCCUGAAGGCCGAGGAUAUAAGAAGGUGGAUGGGCAACUUUGAAGAUAUUCGUUCAGUAUCUAAGUGUGCGGCUAGAAUGGGCCAGCUGUUCAGCUCCUCCAGACAAACACUUGAAAUCCUACCACGGGAUGUAGAAGAGAUUCCAGAUAUUGAAGUCACAACUGAUGGCAGUAAAUACAUAUUUUCUGAUGGUAUCGGGAAGAUCUCUGAGAGACUUGCUAAAGAAAUGGCUUGCCGAAUUGGAUUAGACUAUACUAACCCUCCUUCAGCUUUUCAAAUAAGGUAUGGUGGCUACAAAGGAGUUGUUGCUGUCGACCCUGAUUCCUUUCGCAAUCUUUCUCUGCGACCUAGUAUGAAGAAAUUCGAAUCAAAGAGCAGAAUGUUUAACAUUACAAGUAGCAGCAAAUCCCAACCAUGCUAUAUGAAUCGUGAAAUUAUCUCUCUCCUUUCAACUUUGGGGAUAAGAGAUGAGAUAUUUGAGUUGAUGCAACACGAUGAUAUGCGUGAAUUAGAUGAAAUGCUGACCAACAGAGAAGCUGCUCUCUCUGUUCUGGGGAAAAUUGGUAGUGCAGAAACGAAGACAGCAUCGAAAAUUUUACUGCAAGGUUAUGAACCGAGUUUAGAGCCUUACCUGUUGAUGAUUCUUAAGGCCCAUCAGGAUAAUAGGCUGACUGACAUAAGAACUAGAUGUAAGAUUCAUGUUCCGAAAGGCCGUGUUCUUCUUGGUUGUUUGGAUGAAACAGGUGAAUUAGAAUAUGGUCAAGUGUACAUCAGAAUUACAAAGAACAGCAAAGAGCAGAAGGAUAAUCGUCAGCCAUAUUUUGCUGAAGAUAAUGGAAAAGAGAAAACAGCAGUUGUUGUUGGAAAAGUUGCAGUAUCGAAAAAUCCUUGUCUCCAUCCUGGUGACAUCAGAGUACUUGAAGCUGUCUAUGACCAUGGUUUGUACGCUAAGAACCUGGUUGAUUGUGUUGUCGUCCCCCAAAGAGGAGAAAGGUAAUGUCGUAUGUUAUACUGAAACUGAAAGACGAUCAUCUAGAGUUUAUAUUGCUCUGGCAAUGCCUUCAGAGGAGCUCAAAUCUCUAUUGAAGUGUUUGUCAGCGUGUUUGUUUCCAUGUUAGAUUGAUAUCUCUUCAUGUUACGUACUUGCAUCUCUACCUAUUGAUGGAUGUUGACAAUGCUUGCUUUCUCCUUCAUUAAUCUUUGAUGUUUAAUAGGCCUCGUCCAUAUAGACUUUAAUCUUUGAUGUUAAUCAGGCCUCAUCCAAAUGAAUGCUCCGGGGGCGAUUUGGACGGUGACCUCUAUUUUAUCACUUGGGAUGAGAAACUGAUUCCAGAGAAGGUUGAUUCACCCAUGGACUACACUGCAGCAAGGCCACGCAUAAUGGAUCAUGUUGUUACACUUGAGGUAUAUUCCUCACUGUUUAUUCAUUUUAAUUUCUCUUACUAGGUUGUUGCUGCUAAUUUUUACCGAAGAUUGUUUUAUUUGACUAAUAUCAAUUUUUAUACUUGCAACUGCAAAUAUAAUCAAAAUCUCAGUUUUUUACAAUCUGUAGCAUUUCAAUAAUACUAGAAGAAAAUGUGUGCUUCGCCGCACCAUUUUCCAUUUUUAUGCCAUGCUUCCUGUUAUAAAUCAUCAAAGAAGGAAUUCUUUAAACAAAACUUCUGAUGCAAACAAAUCACAGGCUAAUAUCAUUCAUUUUGAACAACUUCUUCUUAUUGCUUGCCUAUUUGUUCAUGGGCUCCCUGAGAACCUGACAAGAUAUAUUAGCUAGGUUUUGAAGUUGACAAAAUGGGAAGGAAAAACUGCAGUAUAGGAUAAAGAUGAUCUUGAAUAAGAUAGCCAGUAAAGAAACCAAAACAUGUAAACAAGUUUGCGACCUGAACCAGUUGAGCUUCAGUGAGAUGAGUGAAACCAAUGGCAUUGGCAACCUCCCAAUAAAUUCUGUCAGGCAGAUCAUCAUUCACAGUAUUAGUAGGAAGUUAUCCAAAGUUACCUUUAGUAUAUGAGCGUAUAAUAAUAUAAAAAUUCAUAAGUGUCACAAGACCAUCAAAUAAACUUACAUCUUCAAGCAAGCUCGAUUCCUCGAGAGCAUAAUCACGCAAUUCAUGAAAUAUUAUUCUUCCAAAACCAAAAGGACAGUGGCUAUGUCUUGCACAGUGCACAUACUUUCAGACACGCUAUGGAAGCAUAUAGAUAAAAGAAGGGUCGUUCCAAAAAGUAGAGAUUUUAUUAUCGCCAAUCAUAUAAACUUUCCGAGAUGUCUCUUCCCCAUGUCAGAGAAGGCACAUCCACAAAUGAAGAUAUAUUUUUCAUAUCAACCUGCAAAAACAAAUUAAUAUGCAUCUCACAGUAGACUGCUUGCGUAUGCGCAACUCACCAUUGUAAUGGAAGGUGUUAUUACAAAUUUAAAGUAUAAACACCCAACCAAACUGCCGCCCUGCGGAGCACCGUGACCUAGAAGUCCUCACACCGGCAUGUCAGCUUCCUGUCACACAAUGGCAGCAACGAAGUGUAUCCUGCACCCCAUGGCCACCGCCUUGCAGGGACCGUUUUCCUGCCUGUGCUUCCCCCCUUAUCAGUGUAACUGACACAUAAUUGCAAAAAUUAUAGCAAGAAACAAGAUAAGGAGCUUAUCUUUGAAGUUUGAUUGAUUAAUUGGAGAGCACUGCAUUACAGGUUGUUGAAGCACACAAAAAGAAUAAGGUGUCUGUCACCUAGUCAGAAAACAUAAUAUCCAUAACAGGUGAAGUAAGUAGAGUUCUGAUGGAGGGAAAGAGAGACUGACCCCUAUAGUACUUAUGUGAUUAGUAGAUAAUCAUACUAAACCAAUAUCACAUCUUUCAAGUUUUCUAGUGCUUUACAUCGAAAGGUAUGUUAUACUCCCUCCGUUCCAAAAUAAUUGUCUUUCUAGCCAUCUCAAAUGGACUACAACAUACGGAUGUAUGUAGACAUGUUUUAGAGUGCAGAUUCACUCAUUUUGCUCCGUAUGUAGUCACUUGUUGAAAUCUCUAGAAAGACAAUUAUUUCGGAACGGAGGGAGUAUAUGCUACUAUAACCACCAAAGAUUCAUCAGAGUAGAAAGAACCUCCAGGAAGGAAUGUCAGAGACAAACACACAACCAAAGAGAUCUAACUGGAAGAGAUAAGUACCAUGUGCGGCACUUUGACUGAGGUGUGGAGAUCUCUCACAGUCACAUCUUGGAAAAUAGCUGCCUGCAUUUGUUUUGUUCAAAAUAAUAAAUGAAAUGAACAACUUGGUUGAUUUGUUUCAAUCAAAUUAGUUAAGGGUCUCUAUGGUUAUUUCUAAUCAAUAGUAAAUGCGUAUGUGCAAUGCACGUAAAUAUUAGGCAGUAUAUCAAUUCCAUAAAGAUAAUAGGUAAGAUAACAUUUUCUUGUUAGUUGUGUGAUUAGUGCUGGCGGUGAUAUUUGGUAUGUUAUUUAUUGCAUGUUAAACAUGUUGAGCGCUCACCAUUGGAGCAAUCUGGGUCAUUGGAUUGACCUUAUUUGAUGGCUGAGGUUAAUUGGAUCUGCCCCUUAGGGUCUUUUUAUAUUGGUAUAGAUAUAGAUAAAGCUCCUCACAUCCCCUUGUUAAAAAGAUUAAAAUAUAUGAAAACAUCAGUAUGUAAUCAUCACAAGGACUGUAAACCGACAGAAGAGAAUACAAAUAUGACCACAUUUAUUCAGACCUACAAAAGUGAACUGACAUGCAGUAUCCACCAGAAGUAUGUCUCAUCUACCCAUAUUACAGCAAUUUUGAUAAAGUAAUUCUUAGCAAUUGACAAUUAUGUUUGCGAAACAAUAAAAACAGGGAAUGAAUUAUGAAUACGACAUCAACACUGUUAUAUAAGGCUUUGAUUGGUAGGGUGCACUCGUUGAGAGCAAUAAAUAGAGGAGAUGAUGUUUACCAGCAAGUUGCAAUGCAUUUCAGCCAAUUUUUUUGAUGUGAAACCUAUACUCCCAACUCCAGUGCUUUUCUUUCCAAACCUGUAACAAUUAGCAUGAUAGCUUCAAUACUAAGCAAGUUUCUUAUUAUUCAUCUAUUUGCAUACUGAUAAGAGAUAAGAAGGCUUCACAUCUUUUACUUUCUCUCUUUCUUUCCAUGUUUGUCUCUUUCUUGUCCCGGUGGUCUACUUUUUGACUGCUCUAUAACUCUGUUAGGUCCGACGAAAAGUUAUUUUGUUAAACCACAACAUGACCACAUGACAAAUCCAGGACGUUAUCAAUAAGCAAUAACGCCAGACUGAGCCAUACACUUUCCAAAUCUGUUGAAAAGUGCAGCCUAUCUUCCAAUUCUUUGUAGCCUGACAAGCAUUCUAAGUGGUCACUGCUGAAAAUUUUGUGAUAAUAUUAGCCUAUUUUGAAAUUGCGUAACUGAACACAUCAAGAACCUGAUGGUGUGAAUGUACUCAAAAUGGAACACUCGCAUUCUAUACUGCACUGAUGUCAAGUUUAAUUAAGUUUACAGCUCAUUUACUAAUUUAGUUAGAGUGGCGAAAUAAGGCAAGUGACCUGAAAAUUCCAACACUAAGUCUGGCCGACAACUCCUUUCCAGCCUUUCUGUUUUCUCUAUCCCUGCGUACUAAGUGCCUCAGGCCGAUUUUGCCGCACCAUGUGAGCCCGAGCUAGUGUCCAUCUUCCACUGAUGACCCCCAAUAAAUCUAACGACCAAAGGCCCAUCGGCCGCUACAUGAAGACAUGCCAACAACCCUCGAUGGAUUGUUUGGAACCUAUAUGUAACUCCAUUAAGAGCUAUAGCAAACCAUCAGAUAAAGGAUAGGAACUUCACCUUCAGGGAUGAACACCUGAUGUCGAUGCGAAUGAGGUAACCACACUACCAGGCUGUUCCUGUUGUUGUCAAUGUGGUGGCUGGCCGGUUGGAGCAACACCGCCCCUGAAAGCCCCCACACGCAAUCAAUCCAGCGAAGCCACAAAGCUGCCCACUGCCUUUUCUCCUCCNNNNNNNNNNNNNNNNNNNNNNNNNNNNNNNNNNNNNNNNNNNNNNNNNNNNNNNNNNNNNNNNNNNNNNNNNNNNNNNNNNNNNNNNNNNNNNNNNNNNNNNNNNNNNNNNNNNNNNNNNNNNNNNNNNNNNNNNNNNNNNNNNNNNNNNNNNNNNNNNNNNNNNNNNNNNNNNNNNNNNNNNNNNNNNNNNNNNNNNNNNNNNNNNNNNNNNNNNNNNNNNNNNNNNNNNNNNNNNNNNNNNNNNNNNNNNNNNNNNNNNNNNNNNNNNNNNNNNNNNNNNNNNNNNNNNNNNNNNNNNNNNNNNNNNNNNNNNNNNNNNNNNNNNNNNNNNNNNNNNNNNNNNNNNNNNNNNNNNNNNNNNNNNNNNNNNNNNNNNNNNNNNNNNNNNNNNNNNNNNNNNNNCAGGGCACAUAGUCAAAGGUGGUUUAGAUUGUGUCAACACCAGCUGACCAGUGGGAGCAUAAAUGAUAAAAAAGCCAGAUCGCUGAGGGCGUUAUAUUUCCUGGGAGCUUAGUAACUUUAGAGAUUUAUUAUCUUGAGGCACCUCACAUCUUUCUAAAACAUUACUUUGGCAAAACUGGGUACAUGCCUACAUGGUAAGUGCACAACAGCCAGAGAGAACUGGCUACAAGCGUCGAACUCAGCCAGGAUGGAAUAACAGCCAACACAAAAUUUUGAAUGCUUUGAACCAAAUAUAUGCUCGUCAUGCACAGUUCUUUUCUUUUUUUUGAAUUUUUCGCCAUGCACAGUUAAUAACGUUCUUUUCAAAUGUGGGUACCUGUUUCAGAAAGAAAGACAUUUUUGCCAUCCUCUAAUGAAAACAGUUUUGCAUGAUUCAGUUUUAAGUGGUCUUGGUUUUAAAAUGCUCUUCAAUGUAUAUAUCUAACCUUGAUAGGUUCACAACUAUUUACCAAUUAGCUCCAAUAAGCAGUUCAAAGUUGUCUUUUCAACAAGCACAUGUAUUUUCCUUGCCUGACAUGUUUAUACCUGUACUCUUACAAAAACAUCUGAUGAACUGCAGGAAAUUCAGAAGUACUUUGUGGAUUACAUGAUAAAUGACUCGCUCGGUGCAAUCUCAACUGCUCACUUGGUCCACGCGGAUCGUCAUCCAAUGAAAGCCCGGAGCCCUGAGUGCCUCCAGCUAGCUGCUUUGCAUUCGAUGGCGGUCGACUUCGCCAAGUCAGGAGCUCCAGCUGAAAUGCCCCGGUCACUGAGACCAAAGGAGUACCCUGACUUCAUGGAACGGUGGGACAAACCAACGUACAUCUCCAACGGAGCUCUCGGCAAGCUCUACCGAGCGGCUGCGAGCCGUAUGCAGAGCGCUCCUGCCCCCUCGUCCUCGGCUCAACCGAGGCCCGCUUUCGAUCCUGACCUGGAGGUCCCUGGCUUCGAGGAAUUCCUGGCAUCCGCGGAGGAGUGCUAUGACCUGUACGCGGAGAAGCUGAGCACCCUGAUGAGCUACUAUGGUGCGGAGCACGAGGACGAGAUCCUGACGGGCAACAUCCGGAACAGGCUCCUGUACCUGAAGAAGGACAACAAGAGGUACUUCGAGAUGAAGGACCGCAUCAUCGACUCGGUGGAUGGCCUGCACAAGGAGGUGCAGGGUUGGUUCAGGAGCCGCCCAAAGGCCGAGGCGUCGAGGAGGGCGUCGGCGUGGUACCGCGUGACUUAUCACCCGGACCACCGCUGGCCGGGAAAGAAGCAGUUCUGGAGCUUCCCGUGGAUCGUCUGCGACGAGCUGCUGAAGAUCAAGGAGUCGAGUAAGCGGCGCAGGCAGCAGGUGGACGGCGCGGCGGCCUGAGUCGUCCGGCCAAAGUAAUUAAGCGGGAGUUGGCAAGAAGAUGUAAUAAGUGGUAUUCACAGGCAAGCUUGUCUGAUGAUUGCGCGGCUGCUAUGUGUUUGUAUGUAUGUAAUGUAAAACUCUGGGGCAUGACUGCAGUGCAGACCAUUCUGAGCUCAGCUGAGCUGAGCGGCAGAGCUGUGCCUACGUCGCUCGUAUGGACGGAGAGAUUUGCUGGAUGUGUGUGACUGGAAAUGAACCGUGCUUGGUCGGGCUUUGCGGGAGGUUAAUCAUGCUCCAUCACUAUCUCAACAUAGCUUCAGCUUUGUGUGCAAUUCUGUGCUGUUGGGUGCCUAUACCUUUGGUGAUGUUUA